AUUCAUUUUUUUAAAUUUCUCGUACCCAAGUUUCCAAAGAUUCACAAAAAUUCCGGAUUCAUUUUUUAAAAUUCCUAUACACGAGGUUUCCAAAAAUUCGUAAAAUUUUGAAUUCAUUUUUAAAAAAAAUUCUCGUAACCAAGUUUUCGAAGAUUCGAAAAAUUCCGGAUUCAAUUUUUUAAAAAUUCUCAUACCCAAGUUUCUGAAGAUUCAAAAAAUUCUGGAUUCUUUUUUAAAAAAAUUUAUGUACCCAAGUUUCCGAAGAUUUCAAAAAUUCUAGAUUCUUUUUUUUAAAAUUCUCGUAUCCAAAAUUUCCAAAAUUUCCAAAUUCUGGAUUCUUUUUUUAAAAUUCAGGUACCCAAAAUUUCCAAAAACUCUCAAAAUAUUCAAUUUUUAAAAUUCUGUACCCAAAAUUUCCAAAAUCUCCAAAUUCGGGAUUCAUUUUUUAAAAUUUUAUACCCAAAAUUUCCAAAAUCUCUAAAUUCCGGAUUCAUUUCUUAAAAUUUUUGUACCCAAAAUUUCUAAAAUCUCUCAAAAUUCCGAAUUCAUUUUUUAAAAUCCCGUACCCUAAAUUUCAAAAAAUUCUCAAAAUUCCGAAUUCAAUUUUUAAAAUUCUUGUACCCUAAAUUUCCAAAAACUCUCAAAAUUUUGGAUUCAAUUUUUAAAAUUCCCAUACGCUAAAUUUCCAAAAACUGUCAAAAUUCUGGAUUAAAUUUUUAAAAUUCCGUACUCAAAAUCUCCAAAUUCCGAAUUCAUUUUUUUAAAUUUUCGUACCCAAAAAUUCCAAAAUCUCUCAAAAUUCCGGGUUCAAAUUUUAAAAUUCCCGUACCCCAAAAUUUCCAAAAACUCACAAAGUUCUAGAUUCAAUUUUUAAAAUUCACAUACCCUAAAUUUCCAAAAACUCUCAAAGUUCCGGAUUUAUUUUUCUAAAAAUUCUUGUACCCAAAAUUUCCAAAAUCUCUAAAUCCCGGAUUCAUUUUUUAAAAUUUUCGUAGCCAAAAUCUCUCAAAAUUCCGGAUUCAAAAUUUAAAAUUCCUGUACCUUAAAUUUCCAAAAACUUUCAAAAUUCCGAAUUCAAUUUUUAAAAUUCUCAUACCCUAAAUUUCCAAAAACUGUCAAAAUUGUGGAUUAAAAUUUUAAAAUUCCGCACUCAAAAUUUCCAAAAUCUCCAAAUUUCGGAUUUAUUUUUUAAAAUUUUUGUACCCAAAAAUUCCAAAAUCUCUCAAAAUUCCGGGUUCAAAUUUUAAAAUUCCCAUACCCCAAAAUUUCCAAAACUCACAAAGUUCCGGAUUCAAUUUUUAAAAUUCCCAUACCCUAAAUUUCCAAAAACUCUCAAAGUUCCGGAUUCAUUUUUCUAAAAAUUCCUAUACCCAAAAUUUCCAAAAUCUCCAUACCCUUCCAAAUUCAUUUUUAAAAAUCCCGUACCCUAAAUUUUCAAAAACUCUCAAAAUUCCGGAUUCAAUUUUUAAAAUUCCCAUACCCUAAUUUUCAAAAAACUGUCAAAAUUCUUGAAUUAAAAUUUUAAAAUUCCGUACUCAAAAUUUCCAAAAUCUCAAAAUUCCGGAUUCAUUUUUAAAAAUUUUCAUACCCAAAAAGUCCAAAAUCUCUCAAAAUUCCGGGUUCAAUUUUUAAAAUUCCCAUACCCUAAAUUUCCAAAAAUUCUCAAAGUUCCGGAUUCAUUUUUCUAAAAAUUCCUAUACACAAAAUUUCCAAAAACUCUCAAAAUUUUGGAUUGAAUUUUUAAGUGUCAUUUCCAAAAAUUUCCAAAGUUUUGAAAAUUCCUAAUUUAAUUUUUUUAGUUUCAAUUUCCAAAAUUUUCCAAAGUUUUGAAAAUUCCAGAUUUUAUUUUUUAGUGUUAAUUUCCAAAAAUUUCCAAAAGUUUCGAAAAUUCCAGAUUUAAUUUUUUAGUGUCGUUUUCCAAAAAUUUUCAAAAGUUUCGAAAAGUUGGGAUUUAAUUUUUUAGUGUCAUUUUCCAAAAAUUUCAAAAGAUUUGAAAAGUUUGGAUUUAGUUUUUUUAGUGUCAUUUUCCAAAAAUUCCCAAAAGUUUCAAAAAGUCUGGAAUUAUUUUUUUAGUGUCAAUUUCCAAAAGUUUCAAAAAUUCUGGAUUUAAUUUUUUAGUGUCAUUUCCAAAAAUUUCUAAAGUUUCGAAAGGUCUAGAUUUAUUUUUUUAGCAUCCAUUUCCAAAAAUUUCCAAAAUUCUCAAAGUUCGAAAUUAUUUUUUUAGUGUAAUUUUCCAAAACUUCCCAAAAGUUCGAAAAAUUCGGAAUUAUUUUUUUAGUGUUAAUUUCCAAAAUUUUCGAAAAGUUCGGAUUUAAUUUUUUAGUGUCAUUUCCAAAAAAUUUUAAAGUUUCGAAAAGUCCAGAUUUAUUUUGUUAGCGUCCAUUUCCAAAAAUUUCCAAAAUUCUCAAAGUCUGAAUUUAGUUUUUAGCAUCCAUUUCCAAAAAUUUCCAAAGUUGCGAAAAGUCCGGAUUCAAUUUUUUAGUGUCAUUUCCAAAAAUUUCCAAAGUUUCCAAAAAUUUGGUUAUUAGGGGAUGAAGUUCAAAUGGGAACGAUGUUAGUCUUCAGUUGAAAAUCAGUGGAAUGGGAGUAACUAAAUUUUUGCCACGUAGUCCAUAGUCAUGGCUGCGCUUGGUGGCCAUUGGGUAGAGCCUAGAGAUUACAUAUAUAUGGUUUGGUCAUGGUUGGAAAUUUUAGUAAAUUUGGAAUUUGCAUAUAUUGUGUGCUUGUGCUUAUUGAUUAACCCUUUCUUGCAGCACAUAGCUAGGGACCUCAGGUACACAACUUUGUUCUGGUUAUUAAUUUCCUGUGCGUGCUAAAUAUCAGCUAAGAUUACAUGAGUCCUGUCAUCUAUGUAACCUAGGGGAAUUGAGUGAUCUUCGACCCAUAUGCUCUAAUGUACCCAAUUCAAUAGUAGAGAUCGGAUUUCGGGCCUAGAGGGGUGCUACCUCGUAUAAGGUACCUUCUUGAUAGGUAACCUGAUCCCCGGACCCAGAAAUCUAGUUUCGUAGGCCUCUUUUUCCUAACUAGAGUUAUUGAGGGGUUUUUGUUCUUACUUAAUUUUCCCCAUUUCAAAAUUAAAAAUAAAAAGUAAGUGGCGACUCCAAACAAAAAUCGUCCCUCAUCGGGAUGGAUUUUCCAAAACUUAAAAACCACACUUUUUCUCCACACACCCUUUAUUAUUUUAAUUCGCGAGUUGCGUUGGUCGGUGGAUCGGGGGAGGGUCCACAUCCUUGUCAUAUGAGAAAUUGAUGAGUUUCACUUUGAGCUAUGAAUUUGUUUUUAAUAUCUUUAUUCUUUUUUCUUAAGGUUGUACAAUUUUCUUGCUCACUUUUUGAUGAAUUUUUUUUGUCAUAUCUUGAUCAUUGGUUGUUUUGAUCAACUGUUUUUUCAAGAAAAAUUGAGUAUUAUGCAACGUGAUCAAACUGUGAAUGAUCAACUUUUGAUCGACUGUAUUUUUCUAACCUUGGCUGAGAACCGUAUUAUGUGAUCGAAAUGUGAUCAAUUGGCGAUCAACUAUGUUUUGUCUAACCUUAGGUUGAAAACUAUAUUAUGUGAUCGAACUUGGAUUGAUCCAUCUUUGAUCAACGAUGCUUUUGUUAGCUUAACUAACAAUUUUAUUAUGUGAUUGAAUUGUGAUCGAUCAAACUUAUUCUCUAGUGCUUUAAUUAAAAAAUAAAAUAAAAUCAAAAGAAAUAGAAUAAAAUACAUGUUUAAAUAGCAAGGAAAAAAAGGGUUUCUCCAUCUCAAAUCAAAAUCCCCAAUUUUUUUCCAACCCUAACUCCUUCUAACCCCUUUUUCUCUUAAAACCCUUUUUGCUCGUCACUUUCUCUUCACCAUAGCAUUCAAAGUUUUCCAUUGCUCUUCUCCAUGGGUGGCUUCUAACUUCGAAAUCCCUUUCAUCUCUCUCCAACAAAGCAUGUUUUAUUGUGGAUUGUGGUUCCAACGGCUAGUUGUUCUCCAUUGCUAGGUAGGUUUGGUUUUCCUUUCAAUCUAAGGUUUGAUUAUGGAAGAUUUCUCAAAUUCUUAUUCUUAUGGUUCCUAAGUUGAGUACUAGGAAGAGACUGUGAGUUACAAUCCAACAUUUUGAGAUACUCUUGCUAAAGUGGAUAGUGCAUGUCUUUGGUGUUAAGGUUUGAUUUUCUAUAUUUUGAUUCACCUAAGUCAUUGUAUCUAUUCAUAGAUUUGUUUUGGUUUAGGUGUUCGUGGUGCUCCUUUGGCAUAUUGGUAUUGAUCCUUCAAUGUUUGCAAAAUUUUUUGUUGGAGCUUGAAUGUGAUAUUUUUGCUUGCAAUGUGAUGCUUAAUUUUAGGUCUUUCAUAUUUCUAAAAGGUUGCUUUCAUAGAGCUCCUAUUCGAAUUUUUUUGUCUAAUCCCAUGGAUAGGUUGAGGGGGAGGAAGCUCAUAUUGAAUUUUUUCUUGAUCUAUUUUACAUGAAUAUUCAAUUUUUGUUAGAACAUCAUUGGUCUGUAUGAAUAUCCUCUCAUUUUUAUUGUUUCAUUAAUGUGUUUAUUGAGGAUCCUAUUUUUAGGUUUUUUGAACAUAUUUAUUUUUUCCCUUUGUCUCAUUCUAGGAGAAAAAGGGGGAGAAUUUUUGGAUGUGCAUAUUGUAUAUCUUGAGAAGAUAUUUUACAUAUUGGUUUCUAUAUUCUUUAUGCGCAGGUACUACUAACUAUUUUUGUAUGUCAAUCUUUGAUGACAAGUUGUAUAGUGUCUAGUUUUUAAGGAUGAGCGAGUGUGUACCUUAUAUGAGAGUGGGGUGGGGUAUACUCUUACUCAUCGGUGUUUUAAAGGGUUUUGUCCCAAAAUUGCCAAAGGGAGAGAUUGUAAGUGUAUUUUGUGUAUUGGCAAUUUUGGGUCAAAAUUCCCAUUGUGUCUUGUAGCUCAUAUUUUUCAAAUUCUCUCUUGGAUACUUGCCUUUUCCAAAUUAUUCGUAUUUGAAGAUGGCUAAAGGAAUUGGUAAGUGCAUUUGAGGUGAUGGAUGAUGGCAAAAAGUGAUCAAUCGUAUUUUAAAUUUUUAUCCUUUUAUUGAAAAAUGAUAUUGAAGCAUAAAAGUGUAAAACAUUGUGUUUAAAACAUUUGGAUCGAUUUCUAAUCGAUUGAACUAAAGAACAACAAUUUAUCUUAAACUUAGAUUUUUCAGUCUUGUUCGAUCGAUCAAAUUUCAAUCAUAUCUGUGAAUUUUCAUGAUUUUCUAAACAAAUCUCAACCAUUGGAUGAGUUUCAAAACCCUAAUACUUAAGCCCUCUUUCUAGAUGUGGAGAGAUGACUGUGAGAGUAAAAACCCUAGGGUUUUGAGCUUCAAGUUUCUUUUACUAUAUUGGGGAGUGUUUGCCUUGUGAGAAAAUUUAUGGAUUUGAAUUGAAAAUCAAAUUUAAAGUGAAAAAUCUUUAGUUCCAAAUGGGUUGAUUCAUUGUGUUUUUUGCUAAGUUAUUUUGGUAGUUUAGUUGUUUUUUGCUUAAUUUAAAAAUUUUUAAAGUUUUUAUUCUACUCUCCAUGGUUAUUAAGGAAAAAUUUUCAAACUAAAAUUGGAGAAAUUGAAUUUUUGUCCUUUUACUUGACUUAGAGUUUGUAUUAUGCUUACUAAAGUUGAUGAAUUGUUGAAACUUCUAUUGAAGUCAACCUUAGUUCUUCCACUUUAAGCUAUUCACACACUAUGCACAAUAGGUUCCGAUUAUAAGAUGAAAAAUUAUUUCCCUCUUGACUUAGGAAAAUUUUAGACUUCGUACCUUUGACCUCAUUUAAUAGUGUUGGGACACCUUGUAAAAGGCCAAUGAGUCUUUGAAGAAAAGAAAAAAAGAAAGAAAAAUGUUUGCUUGCCUUGAAACCCGAGCAAGGUCUGAGGGGUAUAUGGUGAAAAUCUUUAAAACCUGGUGCCCUAAGCCUUCAUUGGUUGGGAGUCACCAAUGGACCCCCGUUACAUGGACAAUUUAGAAAAGAAUACCUUUAAGCCUUGUACUCCUACAAUGAAAAAAAUUGUGAAAAAAUAGGUACGUUCUUAGCCUAUUGGAGGUUGAUCAGUUUGCUAAGCUUUGAAAAAAAUCUAGGUUGGGGGGAGAGAUUAGUUCAACAUACUAUAUUCGGAAACUAAUAAAUAACACUUAGAUUUUUGUGGAAGAGUAAGGUUUGGUCCUUUGGAAGUGGAAAUGAUUUUAAAGCUUCAAUUUGCAUAAGGCCUUCUCUUUAAGAAUUGUGAUUAGAAAAAUUAUUUGAUAACUCUUGUUGAAGUUUGAGUUUUAUUUCUUUAAUGUUCCAUGUGAGAGUUAGAUCAUCAUGCCACUUGAAAAUUGUUUUUUUUAUCAGCAUGAUGUUGUAAAUUAUAGUACUUUUUAUUUUUAUUUUUCUCUCCUUCAUUGCUAAGGGACUAGCAAUAUUCGGCUGGGGGGAGUGAUUACUACUCAAAAAGUGCUAUUUUAUAGCUUGGAAUUAACUCUUUUAAACACUUUUGAGUAGUAGUUAUUACCUUUUAACCCAAUUAACAUGUUAAGGACCCUUGCAAUCAUUUCUAAUCAAUUUGUGUUAAGUUUUGGUGUUUUGAUAUCUUUUUGAUCACUAAAGCAAUAUGAGAUUGAGGAGAGUUAUUUGGAAUCCUUGGCAAAGCAAUGGAAAGCACAAAAACAUGAAGAACCAAAGCUUUGAAGUCCUUUGCCAUAAGGAAAUCCGGAAUGCAAGGAGAGGAAGCAAAGAGAAAUCUGCCAUGAAGCAUUCUUGAUGACAGUCAUGUCAGCCACUUUUGGAGCACUUCCUAGAGUCCAAUUUAUGCAUGCUAUAUGUCAUUUUGAAGCUCAAGAAGUCAAAAAUCCAAUGAUUCAAACGGUAUGCAAUUUAGAGUUGAAAUGAAGGAGUUACAGCCAUUGCAAGCAGAUCACUCCAAGCUGAAGAAAGAAUUUUGCACAGCGUUGCGAAAUCACCCUUUUGCUGCGAAAUGAUUUCGCAGCCAUUUUGUACAGUGUUGUGGAUUUUCCCUUGAAGUUUCUCAGCACGUUGGAAGCCGAACACCGCAAACUGAAAGACCACUUCGCAUCGGUGCGAAAUCAGCCGUUUGCUGCGAAGUGAUUUCGCAGCCCUUUUUGUGCAUCUGCGAAAUCUCGCAGACCUUGUUUUCACCUGCGAAAUGGUCCUUAGUGCUUCCCGAUAUUUGCGACCGACACUUUUGGAUAUUUUGCUUCAGAUUUUUGAUGUCUAAAUCCCCAUUUUCUCCUUGUAACCCACCAAUUAUAGGAUUCCUUAGUUAUUAAGUUUGGAAAAUGGGUGAAUAACCUCAGAUAUUUUGUUUUGUAAUUUUCUUUAUAUAUAGCUCUCGGGAGCUUGUUCUCAUCAUGAUGUAAUCCAACGGGAUAUAGAUAUAUAAAUAUAUAGAAUAUACAGAGCCUUGCUCUGUUUUUUCCUUCUCUUUCAUUUUCAUUUUCUUGCUAACCAAACUCUGAGGAUUUUUCCUCAGAGGAUGAGAGGCUAAGCUUUUUGUCUCUUGGAGUGAAGAAAGCCGGGUAAGUUUCCACAUGCAUAAUUUGGAAGUUUUGUUGUUUUAGUUUUUAAUGAAGAGAAAGUGUGACCCGUUAAUGGUUUUUAUCUUUUUAGUUAACUUAAAACACCUUGAAGUCACUUAGGCCAACACUUGGUAAGGCAAGUGAUCUCCGUCCAUGGAGAUUCACUAGUUUAUCUCUUGCGAGCCUUUGGGAGGUGGUUUGAAGGUAGGAUUUUCUAGAAUAGCCAACACUUGGUAAGCUUUUGGACUCCAAGGAGACAUCUAUUAGUUAUCUCUUGCAAGCUUUUGACGGGUAAUCCAAGGUUAAAGAUCACCUUGAAUGGCAAGUGCUAGGUGAGAGGCAUGAGCCAUUGCAAGGUGCAUCAGUGAGAGGGAUUUAGUGUUUGAACCCAUUAAUGGGAAGCAUCUGUACAACACCGGUUGGAGAAGGAACUAUAUGUUAAUUCUCUAAUGCGAGGAAAAGAAACAAGUGACCGGAACUCUCCUUUUUGUAUGAGGAAUCUGAGCCUAGUGAUCUGAAACUCUAAGAAACAUUUUUCUUUGUAAGUAAAAUCAGUUACUAUUUUUGGUUAGUUUAAAACCAAACCUUUUUUAAUCAAACAUCUUUAUGUUUUCUUUUAAAGCUAACNNNNNNNNNNNNNNNNNNNNNNNNNNNNNNNNNNNNNNNNNNNNNNNNNNNNNNNNNNNNNNNNNNNNNNNNNNNNNNNNNNNNNNNNCCACUUCGCAUCGUGCGAAAUCAGCCGUUGCUGCGAAGUGAUUUCGCAGCCCUUUUUGUGCAUCUGCGAAAUCUCGCAGACCUUGUUUUCACCUGCGAAAUGGUCCUUAGUGCUUCCCGAUAUUUGCGACCGACACUUUUGGAUAUUUUGCUUCAGAUUUUUGAUGUCUAAAUCCCCAUUUUCUCCUUGUAACCCACCAAUUAUAGGAUUCCUUAGUUAUUAAGUUUGGAAAAUGGGUGAAUAACCUCAGAUAUUUUGUUUUGUAAUUUUCUUUAUAUAUAGCUCUCGGGAGCUUGUUCUCAUCAUGAUGUAAUCCAACGGGAUAUAGAUAUAUAAAUAUAUAGAAUAUACAGAGCCUUGCUCUGUUUUUUCCUUCUCUUUCAUUUUCAUUUUCUUGCUAACCAAACUCUGAGGAUUUUUCCUCAGAGGAUGAGAGGCUAAGCUUUUUGUCUCUUGGAGUGAAGAAAGCCGGGUAAGUUUCCACAUGCAUAAUUUGGAAGUUUUGUUGUUUUAGUUUUUAAUGAAGAGAAAGUGUGACCCGUUAAUGGUUUUUAUCUUUUUAGUUAACUUAAAACACCUUGAAGUCACUUAGGCCAACACUUGGUAAGGCAAGUGAUCUCCGUCCAUGGAGAUUCACUAGUUUAUCUCUUGCGAGCCUUUGGGAGGUGGUUUGAAGGUAGGAUUUUCUAGAAUAGCCAACACUUGGUAAGCUUUUGGACUCCACGGAGACAUCCAUUAGUUAUCUCUUGUGAGCAUUUGACGGGUAAUCCAAGGUUAAAGAUCACCUUGAAUGGCAAGUGCUAGGUGAGAGGUAUGAGCCAUUGCAAGGUGCAUCAGUGAGAGGGAUUUAGUGUUUGAACCCAUUAAUGGGAAGCAUCUGUACAACACCGGUUCGGGAAAUAACUAUAUGUUAAAUCCCCAAUGCGAGGAAAAGAAACAAGUGACCGAAACUCUCCUUUUUGUAUGAGGAAUCUGAGCCUAGUGAUCUGAAACUCAAAGAAACACUUUUCUUUGUAAGUAAAAUCAGUUACUAUUUUUGGUUAGUUUAAAACCGAACCUUUUUCAUUCAAACAUCUUUAUGUUUUCUUUUAAAGCUAACCUUGAAAUGAAAAGGCACCAAUUCAGCUUUGAAUUAAUAUCAUUUGCAAAGUGAAAACCCAUCCCAGUGAACGAUCCUAAAGCCACUAUGCUAUAGUAGCUUUGUCUUUGCUACCCUAGUUCAUGGUGUAAUAGGUUAUAAAUUUUGUUGAUUACUCCCUCAAUCAAGGAGCACCAGUUGGACACGAAUCAGCUGAGACACCAAUUGGGCACGAAUCAGCUGAGACACCAAUUGGGCACGAAUCAGCUUUCAUGCAUAUUGCUCUCAUAUCCAACUUAUUGGGGUGAAACCCAAAAUUCUUCUUAUGUGGACUCAAGAAGAAGCAAAGAUCANAGGUUGGAGUGGAUUCCAAGUGUUUUCCUAAAGAAGAAUGGUGAUAGCUGAAGCUUGAAGNNNNNNNNNNNNNNNNNNNNNNNNNNNNNNNNNNNNNNNNNNNNNNNNNNNNNNNNNNNNNNNNNNNNNNNNNNNNNNNNNNNNNNNNNNNNNNNNNNNNAAAGCUACUAUAGUAUAGUGGCUCUAGGAUCGUUCAUUGGGAUAGGUUUUCACUUUGCAAAUGAUAUUAACUCAAAACUGAAUUGGUGCCUUUUCAUUUCAAGGUUAGCUUUAAAAGAAAACAUAAAGAUGGUUGAAUGAAAAAGGUUCGGUUUUAAACUAACCAAAAAUAGUAACUGAUUUUACUUACAAAGAAAAGUGUUUCUUGGAGUUUCAGAUCACUAGGCUCAGAUUCCUCAUACAAAAAGGAGAGUUCCGGUCACUUGUUUCUUUUCCUCGCAUUGGGGAUUUAACAUAUAGUUAUUUCCCGAACCGGUGUUGUACAGAUGCUUCCCAUUAAUGGGUUCAAACACUAAAUCCCUCUCACUGAUGCACCUUGCAAUGGCUCAUACCUCUCACUUAGCACUUGCCAUUCAAGGUGAUCUUUAACCUUGGAUUACCCGUCAAAAGCUCACAAGAGAUAACUAAUGGAUGUCUCCGUGGAGUCCAAAAGCUUACCAAGUGUUGGCUAUUCUAGAAAAUCCUGCCUUUANNNNNNNNNNNNNNNNNNNNNNNNNNNNNNNNNNNNNNNNNNNNNNNNNNNNNNNNNNNNNNNNNNNNNNNNNNNNNNNNNNNNNNNNNNNNNNNNNNNNAAGUGAUCUCCGUCCAUGGAGAUUCACUAGUUUACCCUUUGCGAGCCUUUGGGAGGUGGUUUGAAGGUAGGAUUUUCUAGAAUAGCCAACACUUGGUAAGCUUUUGGACUCCAAGGAGACAUCUAUUAGUUAUCUCUUGCAAGCUUUUGACGGGUAAUCCAAGGUUAAAGAUCACCUUGAAUGGCAAGUGCUAGGUGAGAGGCAUGAGCCAUUGCAAGGUGCAUCAGUGAGAGGGAUUUAGUGUUUGAACCCAUUAAUGGGAAGCAUCUGUACAACACCGGUUGGAGAAGGAACUAUAUGUUAAUUCUCUAAUGCGAGGAAAAGAAACAAGUGACCGGAACUCUCCUUUUUGUAUGAGGAAUCUGAGCCUAGUGAUCUGAAACUCUAAGAAACAUUUUUCUUUGUAAGUAAAAUCAGUUACUAUUUUUGGUUAGUUUAAAACCAAACCUUUUUUAUUCAAACAUCUUUAUGUUUUCUUUUAAAGCUAACCUUGAAAUGAAAAGGCAUCAAUUCAACUUUGAAUUAAUAUCAUUUGCAAAGUGAAAACCCAUCCCAGUGAACGAUCCUAUAGCCACUAUGCUAUAGUAGCUUUGUCUUUGCUACCCUAGUUCAUGGUGUAAUAGGUUAUAAAUUUUGUUGAUUACUCCCUCAAUCAAGGAGCACCAGUUGGACACGAAUCAGCUGAGACACCAAUUGGGCACGAAUCAGCUGAGACACCAAUUGGGCACGAAUCAGCUUUCAUGCAUAUUGCUCUCAUAUCCAACUUAUUGGGGUGAAACCCAAAAUUCUUCUUAUGUGGACUCAAGAAGAAGCAAAGAUCAAAGGUUGGAGUGGAUUCCAAGUGUUUUCCUAAAGAAGAAUGGUGAUAGCUGAAGCUUGAAGGCUUCUAGGAAAGUGGUCCGGGAGAGGAUGAAAAACUUGGGCUAGGUAAAACAUUGAACUCAUUUAUUUUUUUUUAUUCAUAGUGGAUUAUUUAAUUUCUUCAGGCUUGCGGUUUUUAUUUUUAUUUUUAUCUCUUUAGAGGUUUUUCCCGUUAAACAAAUUGGGUGUCAUUGUCUCACCUUUCUAUCUUGUCUUUUGAUUCGCAUUUCAUGAGCUUGUGAUAUUUUUCAUUGCGUUAUGGUGAUUGAAUUAAUUGGAGUAUGAGCUAAAAUGUAUCUAUUGAAUCUUUGAAAGAACAAGAUAUAUAUAUAUAUAUGAGAAAACAAAGGCUAUGCUUAGUUAAGAAAAACACCCAAAAAUGAGGGGGGGGAGGGUGAAUUGGGUUUUUAAAAUCUUUUUUAUCACAACAAAUUUAAACAAAAUAUAAGCAAAGUAAAGAGAUAGAGUUUAGAGAAUUCAAACUCAGGUUUAUAGUGGUUCGGCACUUCCUUGCCUACGUCCACUCUCCUCAACCUUCUAACCAAGUGAGGGUUCCACUAACUUGAAGCUUCAACCAAGCUUCCAAUCUUCUUACACUUGGAUUCCGGCUCCAAUGGGCUCUUACACAACUUCUUUAAGAUUCAACCCUCUUGAAGGUUUUAACACUCAGAUUGUUACAAGAUAUAAUCACUCAACCUAGCUUAAAGAUGGCUCAAAUAUAAGACAAAGCUAGGACGACAAACAAGAGUGCACUAAAGGAUAUGCAAGUGGUGAUUUAAUGCACAAUGAAAGAAAUGAGAGCUUUUUGAUCAAGAACAGGUAGGUAGGCUUUGAAUGAAAGUGUUCUCUUAUUAAUAAAUGAAGUGGAGCUCUUAAUUAAUAAGUUUCUAAGCUCGGGAGUCAAAAAAAGCAAAAGACAACCUCGUCCGGUCGAGCUAGGGGUCGACCGGUUCACUAGCCGUUGGAGCAUUUAAUACAUGACAAGUUACCGUUGCCUUAACCAGACCUCGACCGGUACUCGACCGGACCUCGACCGGUACUUGACCGGACCUCAACUGGUAAGAGAAACACCUCGAUUGGGAAAAGAAGGCUACUGGGAGAGAGAGAAGAUUUUUGACCUCCUUCAACUGGUCCUCGAUCGGAUGACCACAACCGGUUGACCGGUUGAGCCUUUUUGGCCCCGAAAAACCUAUUUUUUGAUUCCUUUAUUUUCUAACACUUAGGCAAGGUCUUUAGGAAAAUUAUUAAGCCAAUUUUGAAACAUUUUGCCUAAGAUAAAUUAGUUAAAAACUCGGGUUUUAAUGACAUUGACGUUUUAAAUAAUAAACCGAGUUUUCUAAGAUGCAUGAAACGUAUGAAAAUCCUAAGUGCACUCAUGCAUUCAUCUUACAUUGGUUUCCUAUGAUCACAAGUCUUCCAAGCGUCUCGAUCUUGUAUCUAUUUGGUCAUUUGAUGAAUUUUCGAGUUUAUACUUGAGAUUCUUAAACAUUAAACCAAUUAGUCACUUAACCAUGGUUUGUUAUCACCAAAACCCAAUUAGGAGAACCCUUGGGCUAACAAUCUCCCCCUUUUUGAUGAUGACAAACCUUGGUUAUCUAGGAGAGAAAAAAAUCUCCCCCUCAAACCAAUCAUGGAUCAAUCAAACGAUUUUUAAUAGGAAGCAAUGUAAAAACACAAAAAUGAACAAUGGAUCAUAAAAAUAUCAUAUCAUAUAUUUAUAUGGAAGCCUCACAUGUACAAUAAGAUAGAUAUGAUAACAAUGACAUGCAUGAGGGUCUCCUAGAUCCUAUAAAUUUCUCCCCCUUUGGCAACAUAAAAAAGAAACGAAGGGGGAUGUCUAGAUAGUCUCAAGGUUGAGGGGGUGGAGGAGGAAACACAGAGUGGAGAUAUGCCAUCAUUUCCUCAUGCUGACUUUCCUGACGGCUCUCAAUACGAUCAAUGCGCUGCUGGAGAUGGUCGAAGGUAGCCUGCUGCUGAUCCAUACGCUCCUUUAUGCGCUCAAAUCGCUACUGGAAGUGAUCAAACCGAGAAGUGACUCCAGUUUGAUACUGAUCUAGGUGCUUCUCCAUAGAGUAGAAGCGAGAGUCAUGGACUAAGGCGAGCUUCUCCAUACGAGUCCCAAGAGAGCUGAUUUGAGCGGAGACAUCCAUCCAAGGCGCAUGAUUAGAAACGUGAGGUGCCUGAGAUGGUAGCUCGGUAAAUGAUGGUUGAGAUGAAGAACCUGCUGUGAAAGACGGCUCAGUCAUCAUAGGCUCUGAGAAGGUAGCCUCAACAUGAAUGCCCUCUGACUGAGGUGGAAGCGGAAUGUCAUGCUUGGUCCCUCUCUGCUCAAAGUCCCUCUAAGGGUCCAACCCAUCCUCCAUCUCUCUGAUCUCGGCCUCCUCUUCUACUUUGGGAUGUAUCUGAUCAUGUCCCUGGGCCUGUCGCUCGGCUUUCCUAACCUAGGAGCCAUCAGGUGCCUUCUUGAACUUCAUGCGUCCCAAAGACUGCUCAUCAUAGUGUCAUAGCUGGUGGGGGCCUCGAAAUCAUCUCUCUACUCAAGUCGACCCGGUAUCCUUGAAAACUCGGGUAAGGAAGCGGCCGUAUGGGAAUACUCGGGUAGUGCUCUCAACGUAGGAGAUCAUAUGCAUCAUCAUCAGAUAUCCCACGUGAAUCCGUCUCCCGGUGAGGAUCGAGUCCACAAUAAAAGCCUCGAGGUAGGAGACCUCGUCUCGAUGUCCUCCACGUGGUAAGAGAAUAGAGUAGAUCAUGUGGUGAAGGACUCGGCUGGUCACGAUCAGGCUGUGAGCCGAUGGUUUGCCCAUCCCCUAGGGAUCGACGAGUCCGCAUAAUCUCUGAACAGCCUCUCUAGGCUCUAAUCCCAGCACAGUGGGCCACGCCUUGGCCUCAUACACUCGGAGUCCAAUCGAAGGGAUGUCGAGAAUGCGGUAGAUGCUCUCGGGACUCAAUCGGAUCUCAACUCCUCUCACAGUAGAUAAUACGGGUCCUCCAAGCCCGUAGGUUGCCUGGGAAUAAAAAGCCCGCACCAGAGUCGGGAAGAUCUGCUUAGAAAUCGUCACUACGGGCAGUCAUCCCAUCCGUCCGAAUAGCCCCUCAAACUCGAAGUGCUGAAGUUGGGAGAAAUUGACACUUCUCCCUAGGACGAGUUUCCUCUGGGCAAAUUUUUGCUUGUAGCGCUGAUAGUCUUCAUUCGAACUGAAGAGUGCCGUGUCAAACCUCACCUUUUGGUGAGCCUCCGUUUGCUCGGGCUGAGAUGGCUUAGCAGGACGCUUUCCCUGAGCCUUGGAGGUGCUCGUCUCUCUCCUUGGUGCCAUCCAAUGAAACGAAAAAGGAGAAAAAGGAGUCCAAAGAGAGAAGGAAAUGAGACAAGAAGGAGCAAUCACAAACCUGAAGCCCUAGGCGCAUAGAGAAGAAACUAAAACAACCCUGAGGCGCGCAAUGCAAAGAGAAGACGCUCCCACAAGCUAAAACCCUGGGUUUCAAAUCCAAGCCCUAGCUCAAAUCUGUCCCAAAAGCAAGUCCAAGCCUUCAAUCAGUCCAAAAUCCAACCCAAAAUGGCCUCUGGAAGCAGGUAGGUGAAGGGGCGACAAGCUAUGGAAGAGAAAAUGUGAGAAAUGAAGCGUGGAAUGGGGUGUUUUAAAUUCCCAGCCCGACGAACCGCCUGGUCAGCUGUCAACGGUCAUGGUCAACGGUCAAUUUUUUUAAAAAAUUUGUUGCAUUUUCUUGUCUCAUGAUCUUCCCCCUACCUUUUUCAGUUGAAAUCCCCAAUUUUUUAUGUCCAAUGCCGUGGGAAUUUUGAUUUUUGGUCAAAAUUUGACCUCUUUCCUAUGAUUAUUUCUAUAUGAUGCAAAUGAUAUGAAAUUCACGCAAUCAUAGGGUAUAAUCAAGAGUAAUAUCAACAAGAAUUCAUCAAGCAAUCAUUUGAUCAUAAAGAAAUCACCCAUAAUUGUCUUCUAAUAUCAACAAAUUGCUUUACCCUUAGGGGUUUUGUAAAAAUAUCAGCAAGUUGAUCUUUUGUGCUUACAAAUUCAAGUGUAAUGUCACCCUUUUGUGCAUGGUCUCUAAGAAAAUGAUGUCUUAUCUCUAUAUGCUUAGUCCUAGAGUAUUGUACCAGAUUUUUUGAAAUGUUUAUGGCACUAGUGUUAUCACAUUUUAUAGGAACAUGCUCAAAAAUCAAAUUGAAAUCACUAAGUGUUUGUUUCAUCCAAAGGAUUUGUACACAACAUAAACCGGUUGCUAUGUAUUCGGCUUCCGUCGUAGACAAAGCUACCGAAUUUUGCUUCUUAUUAUGCCAUGAAACAAGUGAGUGUCCUAGGAAAUGACAAGUGCCACUAGUGCUUUUCCUCUCAACUUUAUAACCGGUAAAGUUGGCAUCCGAGUAUCCAAUUAAUUUAAAGUUAUCACCCUUAGGAUACCAUAGGCCUAUGUCCAUAGUCCCUUUUAAAUAUCUAAGAAUUUGUUUUACAACACUUAAAUGAGAUUCCUUAGGACAAGAUUGAAAUCUAGCACACAAGCAUACACUAUACAUGAUGUCGGGUCUACUAGCGGUCAAAUAUAGCAAAGAACCUAUCAUGCCUCUAUAUAUAGUUGAGUUGAUGAGCUUACAUUUCUCAUCCAUGUCAAGCUUGAUGGAUGAACUCAUUGGAGUCUUCAUUGUUUUAGCUUCUUCCAUAUUGAACCUUUUGAGGAGAUCUCUUAUAUACUUUUGAUUGAUGAAGGUUCCUUCCUUUAGUUGCUUGAUUUGAAGUCCAAGGAAGAAUUUAAGUUCUCCCAUCAUGCUCAUUUCGAACUCACUAUGCAUGCAUUUAGAGAAUUCUUCACAAAGAGAGACAUUAGUAGCUCCAAAAAUGAUAUCAUCAACGUAUAUUUGUACUAAGAGCAUGUCAUUAUCUUUGGUUUUUAUGAAAAGAGUUGCGUCAAUUUUUCCCAUUUUAAAACCCUUUUUCAAAAGAAAUUUACUCAAUCUUUCAUACCAUGCUCUAGGUGCUUGUUUCAAACCAUAAAGUGCCUUUUUAAGUCUAAAAACAUGAUUAGGAAAGUUAAAACUUUGAAAACCGGGUGGUUGUUCAACAUAUACCUCUUCAUUUAUAAAGCCAUUUAAGAAAGCACUUUUCACAUCCAUUUGAUAUAAAACAAAGUCUUUAAAACAUGCAAAGGCAAGUAGCAUCCUAAUGGCUUCCAAUCUAGCUACGGGAGCAAAGGUUUCUUCAUAAUCUAUCCCUUCUUCUUGAUUAAAACCUUGGGCUACCAAUCUUGCUUUAUUCCUUAUAAUUAUGCCAUUUUCAUCCAUUUUGUUUCUAAAGAUCCAUCUAGUUCCAAUAACACUUUACUUUUGAGGUCUUGGUACUAAUUCCCAUACUUCACUUCUUUCAAAUUGGUUUAACUCUUCUUGCAUGGCAAUCAUCCAAUUUUCAUCAACUAGAGCAUCUUUUAUAUUUUUAGGUUCAAUUUGAGAGAUAAAAGCAAGAUUAUUGCAAAUAUUUGUAAGGGAUGAUCUAGUUCUUACCCCACUAGAUGGAUUACCUAUAAUUUGAUCUUGUGGGUGGUUGAUGACAAACUUCCAAUCUUUAGGGAGGUCUUGGCUUGAUUCACCUUGCACUUGUUGAGAAGGAGGUAGUGCCAAAGGUGAUUCCUCUUUCUUAGGAUCCUCUACAACUUCUUGUUGCCUUCUAUCUUCAAUUUGUAAUUUUCCCAUGGAGGUCUCCAAGCCAAUGUUGCCUUGACCAAUGAUCCUUCCUUUUUGAAUUGUCUCCAAAGGUAACGUAUCCUUCCUUUCUUUUUGUAAGGAAAGCGAACUUGGAUUCAUCCCUGGUCAUGUGCCUUAAGCAUCCAAUAUCCAAGAACCACUUAUCCUUCUUUGAUCCCUACAAAAUAAAAUUUAAGUUGAUUUAGGUACCCAUAUCUUUUUGGGUCCUUGAGGGUUAGUGACAUUGGAUUUCUCAACCCAAACCUUUUUAGCUUUAGCAUUACCAUUUCUUAAGGGACAUGUACUACUAAUGUGCCCUUCUCUUCCACAAAAGUUGCAAGUGGUGGAAGGACUUGCACUUGCGGAUUCUUUUACAAAGUAGUUUUUAAAAUACUUUUGAUUUUUUUAUGAUUUGAAUCUUAGCCCUUGUUUGUCAAAGACACAUUUUUGGCUAGCUAAGAUCAUUUCAAAAGAUUUUUGUCCACAAGAGAAAAUUGAAAGAGAGGAGGUUAACCAUUCAUUUUUCUUUUUCAAAAUCUCAUUUUCACUCCUCAAAAUCUCAUUUUCCUUUUCAAGAUGAGUUUUAGAUAUUUCAACAAUUGAAAAUUUUUCUUUCACUUCUUCAAGUUCUUAAAUUUUCUUUUUAAGAGAAUUAUUUUUUAAACUAAGUUUUUCAAAAUCCUCAUAUAAUUCUUCAAAAACAUCAUGCAUAUCUUCAUCACUCAAGUUAGAGUUUACCUCAUCUAGAUCAUCUAUUGCCAUGAAGCACAUGUUUGCCACUUCCUUCUCAUUUUCUUCUUCGGAGGAUUCUUCACUUUCACUCCAAGUGGCCAUCAUUGUCUUCUUCAUUUUUCUCUUGGCUUCACUCUUGUAGAGAGGACAAUCAUAUUUGAUGUGUCCCAGUUUUUUGCACUUGAAGCAUGUCAAAUCUCUUUUCUCUUCCCAUUUCUCCUUGUCACCAUGGGAUAAAGAUUCCUUUUUAGAAGAAUCCCUUCUAGAGGUGAAUUUCCUUCCUCUAAACCUUUCACCUCUCAUGUAUUUGUUGAGUUUUCUUGUGAUGAGGGCUAGAUCAUCAUCUUCAUCACUUGGCUUUUCUUCUUCAACAUCUUCUUCUUCCUUGGUUGUAGCUUUGAGGGCUAUGCUCUUCUUUUUUUUGUCUUUACCCUCUUGUAGCUUCUUUGUCAAAUUGAUCUCAUAUGUCAUUAAUGACCCUAUGAGCUCUUCCAUAGGUAGCUUAGUCAAGUCUUUUACUUCUUGAAUUACGGUGACCUUGGUGUGCCACUUUAAUGGGAAAGACCUCAAUAUCUUCAUCACCUUCUCAGAUUCCUUGUAGGUCUUUCCCAAAGCUUCAAGACCAUUGACAAUGUCGGUGAACCUAGUAAUCAUCUCAACAAUAGUCUCAGUUUCUUUCAUUGAAAACAAUUCAUAGUUAUGAACAAGUAAAUUGAUUUUUGACUCUUUCACUUGAUUAGUUCCUUCAUGAGUUAUUUCUAGCAACCUCCAAAUUUUUUUAGCCGAUUUGCAUUGACAUAUUCUAUUAUAUUCAUUUAUAUCCAUAGCACAUUGCAAAGUAAAAACGACUUUAGCAUUUAAUUGAAAGUUUAUUCUAUCAAGCUCAUUCCAUUCUUGCUUGGGUUUUGGAACCAAAGCUCUAUCCACUAGUUUAGUGGGAAAAGUUGGGCCAUCUUCAAUGACAUCCCAUACAUCUAAAUCAGUAGAUUGCAAAUACCAAGUCAUUCUAGUUUUCCAAUAGGGAUAGUCUGUUCCUGUAAAGAAUGAAGCUCUAUGUUUUGAAAAAUUUUCUGCUUGGGAUGAGCUUGAUGGAAUAGCCAUUUCCUCUUAGACGAUUAAGUCUUAAAAGAAGAGGUCUAGCUCUGAUACCAAUUGAGAAAACAAAGGCUAUGUUUAGUUAAGAAAAACACCCAAAAGAAGGAGAGGGGGAGGGGGGGUGAAUUGGGUUUUUAAAAUCUUUUUUAUCACAACAAAUUUAAACAAAAUAUAAGCAAAGUAAAGAGAUAGAGUUUAGAGAAUUCAAACUCGGGUUUAUAGUGGUUCGACACUUCCUUGCCUACGUCCACUCUCCUCAACCUCCUAACCGAGUGAGGGUUCCACUAACUUGAAGCUUCAACCAAGCUUCCAAUCUUCUUACACUUGGAUUCCGGCUCCAAUGGCCUCUUACACAACUUCUUCAAGAUUCAACCCUCUUAAAGUUUUAACACUCAGAUUGUUACAAGAUAUAAUCACUCAACCUAGCUUAAAGAUGGCUGAAAUACAAGACAAAGCUAGGAUGACAAACAAGAGUGCACUAAAGGAUAUGCAAGUGGUGAUUUAAUGCACAAUGAAAUAAAUGAGAGCUUUUUGAUCAAGAACAGGUAGGUAGGCUUUGAAUGCAAGUGUUCUCUUAUUAAUAAAUGAAGUGGAGCUCUCAAUUUAUAGGUUUCUAAGCUCGGGAGUCAAAAAAAGCAAAAGGCAACCUCGUCCGGUCGAGCUAGGGGUCGACCGGUUCACUAGCCGUUGGAGCAUUUAAUGCAUGACAGGUUACUGUUGCCUCAACCGGACCUCGACCAGUACUCGACCGAACCUCAACCGGUAAGAGAAACACCUUGACCGGGAAAAGAAGGCUACUGGGAGAGAGAGAAGAUUUUUGACCUCCCUCCACCAAUCCUCGACUGGACGACCACAAUCGGUUGACCGGUUCCUCAACCAGUUGACCGGUUGGCCAUAGCUUCGACCGGUUGAGCCUUUUUGGCCUCGAAAAACCUAUUUUUUGAUUCCUUUCUUUUCUAACAUUUAGGCAAGGUCUUUAGGAAAAUUAUUAAGCCAAUUUUGAAACAUUUUGCCUAAGGUAAAUUAGUUAAAAACUCGGGUUUUAAUGACAUCGACGUUUUAAAUAAUAAACCGAGUUUUCUAAGAUGCAUGAAACGUAUGAAAAUCCUAAGUGCACUCAUGCAUUCAUCUUACAUUGGUUUCCUAUGAUCACAAGUCUUCCAAGCGUUUUGAUCUUGUAUCUGUUUGGUCCUUUGAUGAAUUUUCAAGUUUAUACCUAAGAUUCUUAAACAUUAAACCAAUUAGUCACUUAACCAUGGUUUAUUAUCAUCAAAACCCGAUUAGGAGAACCCUUGAGCUAACAAUUAUGAGCUAAAAUGUAUCUAUUGAAUCUUUGAAAGAACAAGAUAUAUAUAUGUGUUAGUUGUUGUUGAUUGAUGACAAAGGGCAUGUGAAAAAGUAUUUUUAUAUUGAUGCAAUGUUUUAUAUAUUAGGUUUGGGGAGUGGUCUCAUUUGUAUGUGACUUGCAUUGAAUAACCUAUUUAGGAAAGUGUUGGUGCAUCCAUUGUUGCUUGCAAUUCACUUGUUUAUUCAUAAGGUUGAAAAGGAAAAUCAUUGUAUAAGGGAAGAACAAGGGAAUUGUAAGUAUUUGUGAGAUAGCAUCUCUAAUUGUUUUAAAAAACACCUAUCCACCGCCUCCAUCCCUCUAGGUGUUAUCCAUAAGUGAGAUUCAUCUUUAGAAAUCACAAACAUGGCAAUACUCAUUCAAUAAAAAUGCUAAUUUUUUUUACAAAGAUUAUUUUAUUUCGAUUAAAUGUGCUAAUUACAUGGCAUAAAUUUAGUUGAUGAGCAUACUUGGCCACAUGCUUCUUGACUGAAAUGAACUAGUCAUGACAUUAACUUUCAAUAUCCUCAGUGCUCGUUAGCACAUUUACAAGGAGAGAAGUAAAGCACUACAAACCACAAUUUUUCUUAGAGGUUUUCAAAUAAUAUUAUGAAAUUUGAAACUCAAAAUCUUCUUACUAUUUACACAACUACAUAAAACAUAUAAAAUUUCAAAAAUUCAAACAUAAAGCUACUAAAUAUGUAUAAAUGAAGAUAUGUGAUAUCAAAUUUAUAUUACCAAACAUAUAUACUUAAAAAGAUUGAUGUUAGACCUUGCAUGAAGAACAUGAAGAUAUUUAGUGUCAUUGCUUCCCACAAAUAAGAGCCACCAUAAAGUUUUACUUUAGGGAUUUUAUAAGUUUAUUUAUUUAUUUCAUUAUUCUUUUUCUUCUUUCUCUUUUUGUAAUCUAAUCAGAAUAUUUCAUAAAUACAUUUUCCCAUUCCUAAAAUGCCUAAAGAAAUAGUAAAAUCUUUUAUUAAGGUUUAUAAAAGAGCCAACUUCAUCAAGUUGAUAUAAUGUUUUAUAAAAUGACUUGAACUUCAAAAGCUAAUAUCCAUGUCCACUCUUUGUUUUGAAAUAAGUGGUUGGGAUAUCUCUAAUUGUUGAUUUGAGUUAAAACAUUAUAUCAAAGUGUGGGAAGGAAUGAAUACUAAUGCCUUAAAAUGUUGGAAAAUUAAUUAAACUUCCUAUUCACAACUUUGUUGACUUACUAAUUCAACAACCACUUUUUCUUUCUUAUUUGUCAUUAUUAAAUUUGAUUUUGGAUCAAGAUGUCUUAAUCAAUUUAUAUAAGCUGAAUUAAAAGCCAUCUUAUAUAGAAACGUUAAAUGUUUAUAAUUUAUAAAAUUGGAGAUUUUUUAGAAUUUCAAUUAACUGAAUGAUAAUGAUAUGGAAGUAUAUAGUUGGAUACAAUUGCUAGGAAGUCAUAUAAAACUAAUAAUAUGUAUGAAUUGCUUAUAAGAAGUCAAAAACUUCUUUAAUUUGUUCAAAGUUUAAUAAGAAUUUAUGUAUCUAUUCCAAUAAUUUAUUAAAAGAACUCACAAAAAGAAAAAGUUUAAUAUAAAAGUCAUAAAUAAAAAUAGUACUUAUCUUAAAAACCCUAUAUAGAAUGAGAUUUAAUUGAAUUUAAGCACUAAAAAACACAACAUUUAAAGGUUAAAUUAAAUAUAAUUUUUGUUAGUGUUUAAGACAACUAUCAAACAUAGUUCCAUACUUUUUCAUAUUGAUUUUUAUCUAUAUUAAGAAAAAGUGAAAAGAUGUAUGCCUUUCCUCAAAUGGCAUGUUGAAAACAUUUUUCAUUUUUUAUUUAAGAUUCAAUAUCAAAAUAAUCUUUACUUCUAAUAAAAAUAAUUUGAAAAUAGAUGUCAGAAUGGAAGAUUCAAGCCCAUUACUGUUGAAUGCCAAAUGUACAAGUUAAAAGUUAAAUUUGAAGGCAGGUAAAUACCUCCAUUCCUUAGUUCUCUUAGCAAAAUGCAGUACCUCAAUCUCUCGCAUGCCAAUUUGGCUGAAACUGUUCCCACUCAACUCAGAAAAUCUUUCCAACUUGCUUUCCCUUGAUCUCAGCCUCAAUGUUUUUGUUCAAUCCGGAGACCUUGCGUGGCUUUCACAUAUUUUGUCUUUAAGAUUCCUUGACUUGAGUUUGGUUGAUCUUGGUGCAGCCAUCCAAUGGUCACAAGCAAUCAAUAAACUCCAUUCUCUCGUUCACUUAAACUUAAAUGGUUGUGUCCUCCUACCCUUCACCACUGGGUCUCUUUUCCAUGCUAAUUUCUCUGCCCCUUUUGUUUUCCUUGAUCUUUCCAACAAUUAUCUGAUCAAUUCUUCAAUAUACCUAUAGCUGUUCAAAUUCAGUACCACCCUUGUUCAUCUUGAUCUCUCUAGCAAUGAUCUAAAUGGUUCGAUUCUGGAUGGUUUUGGGAACAUGAUUUCUCUUGCAUAUCUGGACCUUAGAUAUUGUGCAUUUGAAGGUGAGAUUCUGUUCGCAUUUGGGGACAUGAGAGCCCUUGAAUAUCUUGAUAUCUCUGGACAUGGGCUUCAUGGUGAGAUUCCAAACAAAUUUGGGAACAUGACUUUUCUUACAUAUAUUGCUCUCUUUUCCAAUCAACUUCAAGAAGGGAUUCUGGAUGCAAUUGGAGACCUGGCUUCUCUUACAUAUCUUGAACUCUUUGUCAAUCAACUUAAAGCUCUUCCCAAGACAUUCGGUAGAAGCCUUGUUCAAUGUUGAUAUCUCUUUCAAUCAACUUAGGGGUUCAAUUCCAAACACAUUUGGUAACAUGGUUUCUCUUGAAGAACUCUUUCUAUCUCACAAUGAACUUGAAGGUGAGAUUCCAAAAUCCUUUGGUAGAAGGCUUGUUAUUCUUGAUCUCUCAUCGAAUCGACUAUAUGGCUCAAUUCCAGAUACAGUUGGGAGCAUGGUUUCUUUUGAAAGCCUUUCUCUCUUUGAAUCAACUCCAAAGUAAGAUUCUAAAAUCCUUGAGUAAUUUAUGUAAUUUUCAAGCAUUAGAGUUGGAUAGCAACAAUCUCAUCAUUGGAAAACUUCCAAAAGAUUUGUUAGCUUGCGCAAAUGGUACAUUAUGACCUUUUUCUUCAUUUGAUUACCGAUUUAGUGGAUCAGUUCCUUAUCUCACUGGAUCUUUGUCCUUGGAAAGGUUAUAUCUUGAUUAUAAUCAACUAAAUGGAACUUUACCUAAAAGUAUUGGGUAGUUAGCUGAGCUUGUUUGGUUUGAUAUUGGUUCAAAAUUAUUGCAAGGUACCAUCUCUGAAGCUCAUCUCUUUAAUCUAUCCAACUUGGCCCAUUUAGGCUUAUCUUCCAACUCUCUCACUUUCAACAUGCGCUUGGAGUGGGUUCCUCCAUUUCAUCUGGUUUCUCUACUAUUAGCCUCCUGCAAAUUGGGACCUCCUUUUCCUAGAUGGCUUCAAACUCAAAAGCAUUUGACAGAGUUUGAUCUCUUCAAUUCUGACAUUUCAGAUAUCCUCCUAGACUGGUUUUGGAAUUUAACUUUCGAAUGUCAAUAGCUUAAAUUUUCCAACAAUCAUAUCAGAGGGGUCUUACCUAAUUUAUCAUCACAAUUUGGUUCUUUUCUAGACAUAGAUGUAAGCUCAAACUACUUUGAGGUUUCAAUACCGCAACUUCCUUCUAGUGUGACAAGGUUGGAUCUUUGCAAUGACAAGUUAUCAGGGUCCAUUUCUUUAUUGUGUACAGUUGCUAAUUCAUACCUUGUCUAUCUUGAUGUCUCAAACAACUUAUUAACAAGGGCCCUGCCCAAUUAUUGUCCACAGUGGGAAAGUUUGGUAGUCCUUAAUUUGGUAAAUAAUCAAUUUUUUGGGAGGAUUCCAAAUUCUUUAGGUCCUUUGCAAUUGAUUCAAGCAUUGCAUUUGCAUAACAAUAAUUUAAUCAGAGAAUUGCCCUUAUCUUUGAAGAAUUGCAUAAGUUUGAGGUUUAUUAAUUGGAGAAAAAAUAUGUUAUAUGAGAAAAUCCCCCCAUGGAUAGGAGGAAGCCUCCCAAAUUUAACUAUUAUAAAUCUACAAACUAAUAGAUUCAGUGGAAGUAUAUGUUCAUAGUUAUGUCAAUUGAAAAAAAUUCAAAUAUUGAACCUCUCAAGUUAUAAUAUAUCAGGUAUCAUACCAAGAUGUCUUAGUUAUUUCAUUGCCAUGACUAAAAAAAAAAAAAGAGUUUGAUUGUUGCUCAUAAUUAUUCAUUUGGGUCAUAUGCUCAUAAAGGUCCAACGAAGUACUUUAAGAAUGAGUCAUACGUUGAUGAGGCAUUGUUUAAUUGGAAAGAAAGUGAAUUUGAAUACAAGAAUAUUCUUGGACUUAUAAAGAGCAUUGAUAUUUCAAGCAACAAUCUAUUUGGGGAGAUUCCAAAAGAGAUUACUGAUCUUCUUGAAUUAGUUUCAUUAAACGUAUCAAGAAACAAUUUGACUACAUUGAUCCCUGCAAUGAUUGGUCAAUUGAAAUCCUUAGAGGUCCUUGAUUUGUUUCAAAAUCAACUUUUUGGUGAAAUUCCAACUAGCCCUUCGAAAAUAAGCAAUCUUAGUGUCUUAGAUCUCUCUAACAAUAAUUAUUUGGUAAAAUUCCACAAGGUACUCAACUUCAAAGCUUCAAUACUUCCUCUUAUAAGGGAAAUCCUACACUUUGUGGAUUACCUUUUCUGAAAAAGUGUCUAGAAGGUAAAAUAGAGUAAGAUUGUCACAUCAUAGCAUUGAAGACAAAUUUCAACAAGAUGGAAAUGAUAUGUGGUUUUAUAUUAGCAUUGCUCUUGAAUUCAUUGUUAGAUUUUGAAGUGUGGAACUUUACUACUCAACAACUCAUUGAGAUAUGCCUAUUUCUGCUUCUUGAAUAAAAUAAAAGAUUGGUUUCAUGUGACUAUAGCAAUAAAUAUUGCUAGAGUAAAGAGUCUUUGAAGCUAAAUGGUAUAACUUUCACUCAAUCUCUUACCCUUUCUCUUAUUUGUACUUGUUUCAAAGGCCAAUGGUUGUGAAAGAAAAGUAGGCCUUUACUACUAUUUUUGGGAUAAAUAAUUUUAAGGUUUAUAAACCAAGAAUAUUAUUGCUAAAGCAAAUGUUCUUUCCAUGCAACUGAGUAAAAAGAUUUUUUCAAACUAAUGGACAUUAUUUUUUACUUGGUUUUGUAGGAUCUCAAUUUCAUUUUCUUCUCAUAUUAGCAUGUUGUGGCUUAUUAUCUCAUGUGGAUAGAUGAAUGCAUGGUUGAAUGCAAAUAGCUUUAUCAUUUCAAAUUCUCAUCCUAUAAUUGAUUUUGGGAUGUAAUAGGUUUCUCACUUUAUUUUGAUGAUUUCUUGUAUGAUUAAGAUGCUUACUUUAUUUGAUCUUUUAUUUAGAAAUUUUGGGACACUACUCUUAUAUAAUGCUGCUAUUUUAUAUUUUGAUGCUUUGAGACUAAUCAAAAUAUUGUUGUGGAAAUAAAUUAAGCCAUAUUAGUGUCAAACCUUUUAAUAAAAAUUAUUACUUCUUUCUCUCCAAAAAGAAAAAAUAAUUUCAAUUGUCAAAAUUUGAACAAAAUAUAAGAUAAUGGUAGAGUCAUAAUUUUAACACUAAAAAAAAAAGUAUUUAUGAUCUACUUUUCUGUCUUCUUUUCGUUCACUCUCUUAGCACUCUUACAAAUGUAAAGAUCUUUCUAUUUUAAUCUUCAAAGCUUUCUCACAUGACACUAUCUUGUUUGCGAAAGUAAAAAUGGAUUUGUGAAAUUGAUAGUGAUAUAUCAUUUUUUUUUGUAGUGGAGUGUAGUUAACUUUUUAUAUUGGGAUGUUAGGUCAACUUCAAAAUUAAAUUUUGAGGAUGUCAAUAUUUUUCUAUGGAUCUUAAUGGUCUCUAUUUGAGCUCAUACCCUUUAGUGGCAUGUUGUUUUGAGAUAUAUUUGGGUUUUUAUUAAUAUGUAUGCAUAACGGUGUUUUGGUAAAAAAUAUAGGAUUACAUAAGAGCUUAUAAAUGGUUCUAAUUAAUUAAUUCAAGUCCAAGAGGGUAAUUAAUUAAUUAGGACUUAGGGGGCUUGUAGACCCUCAAUUUUGUCCCUCGACACUGGCAUUUAUCCUUCUGGUGUCACAUUCACCCAUCGUUCGCAUAUGGCACCACUAGGGCCCCUUUUGGGCUUGGUCGGUGUCCGAGCCUCAUGUGGGUUUGUGUGUGGUCCAUUGUGUUGCAUAUGUGGUUCAUUUCGGAGGGUCACCAUGGCCAUGUUCCUAGUCGUUCAUAUCACGCUAUAGGAAGGAAGUGGGGUCAUCCCGAUGUUUUAGCUUAGUUGGGGUUUAUAGGGGCAUGUUGAGGUUCGGAGCACUCGGGCUUGUUUUGAUCGUAUCUCCCUCAUCCAAACUCGGAAUCAAGAACCGUUUCUUUUUAUGGAUUCCUUAUUCUUCCAGGAACAUUCUGUAAAAUUUUCAAAAUUUUUUUGCAACCGAUCAGCUGGUUGGCAGCCGGUUCAGCCGGUUCAGCCGGUUCAUCGAGUCAGCCGGUGUAGAACACUGAUUUUUGGUAAUUGUUUUGAUCAUAUCUCCCUUUUCCAAACUUGGAAUCAUGCACCAUUUUUUUAAUGGAUUCCUUACUCUACUAGGAACAUUCUAUCAAAUUUUCAGAAUUUUUUUCCAUCGGUUCGACCAGUUGGCAUCCGGUUUGGCCGGUUCAGCCGGUUCAUUGAGUCAGCUGAGGUAAAACACUAAUUCUAGUAAUUUUGAGGCCCAAAUCCUACAUGGCUCAGGCCCAUAAGCUCCAGAUCGGUUUUGGGCAAUGUUGUGGGUCCAUUUUAAGCCUUGGUUUGGGUUCCUUGCAGCCCACCACAAAUCCAUAUGGAUUCUUGGUGGUGAAGCAAGCUUAAAAAACUGAAGGGAGUGAGCUGGCCUUAUAAGUCUAAGAGAAGUAAUGAGGGGUGUGGUUCCCAUUCUGAUAAAGGGAAUUUCGGUGCUGAAGGAGAAGGAACCCAGGAGGCUCAAAUGCUAAGAGGGGUAUGAGUAUAAAAGGUGAGAGGAUAGGAGAGCAAAAGACCUUUUGACAUUUUGGAGAGGGGAAAUUUUGCUGGUGAGAAAAACAAAAGGUCAGUAACAUCUUUUGAGUUGAGAGUGUGGGGGAAAGCUUCAGCACUGUGGUUUUUUUGAAGAGGAGAGUGACAGCCUCUCAGUUUUGGAAGUCAUCAUCAGCAUGCACGGAUCAUAUUUGGUGGAGAUUCUGAGGUAAGCACGCUGAAUUUUCUUUACUUACAGUUUAUCUUCCUCGUCUUCAUAUGCUUUUUCUCCUUCCUCAUCAUCUUUUCUUCCCUUUGAUAUGAAGAUUGUAUUGCUUGGGUGUGGAUAAUAAAGGCCACACAUGAUUGUUGUUGUUUGCUUCCUUGAUCACUUAGGAACUUUCUGACCGAAUUAGGGAUUUUCUACCAACCGGCUGAACCAGUUUGAAACGGUUCAACCGGUUCAGCACCAUAGCUGGCAGCCUCUAUUAGCCAUGAGGAACACUUGCCUUUCUUUGUCUGGUUCUCACUCAUCUGGGCUCAGAAGUGAGAACCGUUUCUUUUGUUUGCUUCCUUAAUCACUUAGGAACUUUCUGAUCGAAUUUGGGAUUUUUUAUCAACCGGCUGGACCGGUUGGGAACUGGUUCAACCGGUUCAGCACCAUAGCUGGCAGCCUCUGUCAGCCAUGAGGAACACUUGCCUUUCUUUGUCUGGUUCUCACUCAUCCAGGCUUGGAAUCGAGAACCGUUUAUUUUGUUUUCUUCCUUAAUUACUUAGGAACUUUCUGACCAAAAUUGGGAUUUUUUACCAACCGGCUGAACCAGUUUGGAACCGGUUCAACCGGUUCAGCACCAUAGCUGGCAGCCUCUGUCAGCCAUGAGGAACACUUACCUUUCUUUGUCUGGUUCUCACUCAUCCAGGCUUGGAAUCGAGAACCGUUUAUUUUGUUUUCUUCCUUAAUUACUUAGGAACUUUCUGACCAAAAUUGGGAUUUUUUACCAACCGGCUGAACCAGUUUGGAACCGGUUCAACCGGUUCAGCACCAUAGCUGGCAGCCUCUGUCAGCCAUGAGGAACACUUACCUUUCUUUGUCUGGUUCUCACUCAUCCGGGAUCGGAAUUGAGAACCGUUGCUUUUGUUUGCUUUCUCAAUCAUUAGGAACUUUCUGACCAAAUUUAGGAUUUUUUAUCAAUCGGCUGAACAGGUUGGGAACCAGUUCAACCGAUUCAGCACCAUAGCUGGCUGCCUCUGUCAGCCAUGAGGAACACCUGCCUUUCUUUGUCUGGUUCUCACUCAUCCGGGCUCGGGAUUGAGUGUCGUUUCUUUUGCUUGAAUCCUCACUCAUUUAGGAGUUUUCUAGAAAAAUUUGGGAAUUCUUCUCAAUAGGUUGUACCAGUUGAGAACUAGUUCAACCUGUUCUGCUGGAGGACUUUAGGUAGCCCUCGAUUUUGGCAUUUUUCGAGCCCUUAUCCAUGGGGGCUCAAACCCAUUUGCUAUAGGGCACUUAUGAGCCAUCUUGAAGGUUUAAGUCAGUGUUUGAUUUCAGUUAGUAUGGGCAAUUUUGAAGUUAUGGGUGGUGUGGUCUAGAUGAGUCUAGUUCGAUUUGUAUGACAUUUGGGGAGUCCCUUACCUCAUUUCAACCAGCUAUCUUCCUUUUUGGCACAAUCUUUGAUGCUUGAUUUUGAAUACAUGUUGCGUGACUGACUCACCCUUUACUGCAGCGGUUGGCUAGGGACCGCAGGUACGCAUCGUUGGCUUUGGUUGUUGAAUUCAUAUGCAUGCAUGGUGCUUAAUCUUGAAUGUUUGUUAUGUGUUUAUCUGUGUUUGGCUGACCUUUUAUGCAGUGCUUGGCUAGGGACCAUAGGUACACACCCAUUGCUUUGUUUGGUUGAAUUCAUAUGCAUGCCAAAUAUCAAUUAGGAUUGUGUGAUUCAUGACAUCUAUUUAGCCUAGGAUUUCAUUUGACCUUUGACCCAUAUGCUCCCACAUACCCAAUUCAUUAGUAGAGACCAAGUUUCGGGCCUAGAGGGGUGCUACCUCGCAUGAGGUACCUUCCCAACGGGUAACCUAAUCCCCGGACCCAGAAUCUAGUUUUCGUAGACCGCUUUUUCCAUACUGAGGUCAUUAAGGGUUUUUGUUCUUACUUAAUUUUCCCCAUUUAAAAAAAAAAAAUAUAAAGUAAGUGGCGACUCCAAACAACACCGUUCCUCACCGGGGGCGGGUUUUUCAAAACUGGAAAACACCAACUUUUUUUCAUUUCUUUCUUUUCUUUUAAAAGCGAGUCGCGUCGGUCCGGUGGAUCGGGUGAGGGUCCACAGGGCUAGAUUAAGUAAUUCAAGUUCAAGUUGGACUCAAGUCAUUUAAGCCCACAAGGAAGUCUAUAUAAACCUUUUUAGGGUUUAUAGUUAGAUACUUGAUUUGAUUAAUGUCCUUUAGAAAUAAAACCUUAACCUCCAUCCACUCUAAAGAGUAGUUCACCCUUCCAUUGCCAAGAUCUAAGAGAGAGUCAUUAGACAGAAGAUCUCUAAGUUUUCGAGGUUAUCUAUAGCAAUUAGAAAAAUGAUUUAGGAACAUCCAAAUCCAAAGGUAUGAGUUUCUAACACCCUAGAAGUUUUAAUGACUAAUAUUUUCUAUUGCACCUAGGAUAUUAGAUGCAUGCACCCCUUUUUGUGGUCCAAGGCUUGGAUUGGUAUUUAGAUCCAAUAAUCUACAAUAUCUAAUUUUUCUUUUACAAUUGUUCCAUCACUUGAAUUAGAAGUUCAAUUUUUUUUUAGUCCUUUAUGGUUUGGACAAUUUCUCAUGUAGUACUCUUUUUUGUUUCAAUUAAAACACUUGUUGUUUCCUUUGGACUUUGAUUUAGAUUAGGAAUGAUUUUUUCUACAAUUAUUUUUCUUUCCUGAUCUCCCUCUAGUCACCAAAACUUCACUUGAACUUUCUUCUUUACUCAUAGACACCUUUUUUUUCAACUCCUUUUGAAUUCAAGGUUGCUUUAACAUCCCUUAUGGAGAGAGUAUCUCUAUCAUACAUCAUGGUAUCAAUUAAAUGCUCAUAAGAAUUUUGUAAGGAACACAUCAAAAUUAUAAUUUGGUCUUCAUUAUCAGUUCUAACAUUAAUAUUUCUUAAAUUCAUAAUAGUUUUAUUAAACUUAUCAAGAUAGUCUUUAAUAGUCAUACUUACUUUCAUUUGAAGAGGUACAACUGCUUCUUCAUAUAUGAGUGAUUUGAUAGUAACAAGAGUGAAAUUGUUUCUUCGAUCAAACUUCUCAAUAUCAAAGUUUGCCAUCAUUUUAGAACCAAUAACUUGAACUUUGAUAACGAUUUAUUAUGAAAAAACCAUAAGAAAGACUAAUAAUAGUGAACAAAAAAUAAGAGAACAAACAUAGAAAACACAUGAAAUACAUAAUAAUUUAUAUGGUUCAGCCUAAAGCCUAUAUUCAUGAACGAAGAUAAAGAAGAAUUUGCACUAUUGUUGAAGGAGAUUACAACUCUAGAGUUGUCAAAUCCCAAAGUCCCAAUACUAAGAUUUCAUAUAAGAAACUAAUUCUAUAAUUGUCAAAGAUACUUAUUUCAAUAUUUCCUUUUUCACAAUAGGAAAAUAUAUCAUAUGGGGAAAGUAUCAAUAACUAGUCAAUUGACUCAAAUAGAAUUUGAGAGACUUCUCAACACAAGGGACAAAUUCAUGACCAUUCUAAAAAAUCUAGACUUUGAUAUUAUGUCAAGCUAUAUAUUUAAUGUAAAACUAAGCUUAAAAUUUUUUACACUAGUGACCUAAAUAUUAUAUCAUUCUCUUUCUUUAUUUUAUUCUUUUUUAUUUUUAUCUUUAUUUUAAGGCAUUUUCCAUAUCCCAACUACUGCCAACCCGUAAAUUCAUUUUGAUUUAUUUUAUUUUUUCUUGCUUUGAUUUUAAUAGUAAUGGUUGUUUUUGAAAUUUGGAUUGUUGAAUUAAUAUAAAAUUCGAGCUUUGUUAAUUAGUAUGAAAUUUGAGUUAAUUUGUUGUUGGUAAAUUAAUAUGAAAUUUAGGAUAAUUUAUUGUUGGUGAAUUAAUUUGGAAUUUGCUCAUUUAGGUUAGAAUAAUUGAUAAUUUAUAUGAUUGUGCUCAUUUGAAUUAUUUAAUUUGGAUAUGAUAUAAUAUUGUGGUAUAUUUUGGAUGUGGGUUUACAUAUUAAAUUGGGUUGAUUUUGGUUGUGGAUUUAGGUUUGUAUAUAAAUUAGGCUUGAAUUAUGAGAUAUUAAGUUUAGGUCUAAUGGAAUUUAUUUUAAUUUAUCAUGUUUUGAGUUUGAUUAAUUGAGUUUAUAUUUUAGUUAUUAAUUUGUAAAUUUUGGAUCAGGGUUUAUAACAUGUAAGAUAUUUUUGUUGGGUUAUAUUUAGUAAUUUGGGCCCAUUUUUAAUUGGUGAAAUUUGAAGUUUGAAUUUGGGUUUGAAUAAUUAUUUGGGACUCUACACAUUUCUGGAUAUUUAUAUUUGAGCUAUUUUUGUUUUUAUAUGGACUCAUUUUGCAAUCUUGUUGGCUGAGUACGAAUUUAUGACACGUGGAGCACGAAAUUUCAUGAAAGAAAGUGAGAAUCAAAAAGCUGUAGGAAGACAUUAAGCUUGUUGUAAACUUAUUUGGGUACACGUAUUAUUUCCCACUACUAUUUGGUUUUAUUUUUAUUGAUUUCUAUAAAUAUUUGUUCGUAUAUAUUUACUUGUUGUGUACAGAAUUGAAUAUCGAAUAAAUUAGAAAUUUUGUUUAAAUAAGAGGAAUAAUUCAAUAAAUAUGUUUAAUAAAAUAAUAAUUUUAAAAUAUUCUUCUUAAUAAAAGAAAUUUUUUUAUUAAUAAAAAUUCAUGAAAAUGCUUUUAGAAAAAGAGAAAAAGAUUGUUUUUAAUAGAAUUUGAAAAUUUGUUUUUAAUAACAAUUGUCCAAAGAUUUAUUUGUUUAAUAAAAAUUGUCUAAAAAUUGUUUUGUAAAUAAAAUUGUCUCAAAAAUUAAUUCUUUUAUACAAUUGUCCAAAAAAUGUUUUUUUUAAUAAAUUCUUUUUCCUUAAUUAAAAUGGGAUUAACAAAAUUUUUUUUUUCCUUUUAAUUAAAAAUUCUUUUGCAAAUAAAGUUGUUAUUUUUAUUUAUUUUUUUAAUAAUUUAUAUAAGUCACUUUUCUUAAAUGAAAACAAAUUGAAAUAUUUUUGUAAAUAAAAUUAUCAAAAUUCAUUCAUUUUUUUUUUUUUGUAAAAGCAAAUAAAAAUUUUUAUGCCCAAAUUGAAAUUUUGUAAUAAUUUCUUUUGAUACAAUAAGGGUAAAUAACUUUUUUUUGAAAAUUGAAUACAAAUGAAAUUGAGAAAAUAAAUUGACUCUUUUUUGUAAAUAAAAAAAUUAUUGAAAUCAGUAAUUCAAAAUCAUUUUUAAUAAAAUCCUUUGAAAUUUCUUGAAAACUAAUUUUUUUAAUCUCUUUGUUUAUUUAGUUCAAUAAAUCAUUUUGCAUAAUUCUCUUAUUAUUUAUUUUGUAUAUUCUUGUAAUUAGAUUUUAUCAGUAUUUUUGUUUAUAUUGAUUUUCACUAUGACUUGUACAUAUUCAUUUGCAUGAUUAUUUUUCUUGGUAUGCAUAAUUAAUUAAUUAAUUGUUACAAUUCCCUUAAUUUGUUUAGUAGAGGUUGUACGUAUACAAACUUAGAGGGGUGUUACGGCUCACCACCGUACCUUCCUAAUAGGUAACCUGACCCCCAAACCUGACUUUGGUUUUCCACAGACCUAUUUUUCCUUCAGAGUCACACUUAGAGUUUUCAUUUCUUAUUUUAUUUUUCCCUUUAAAAAUAAAACAAAAAUAAGUGGUGACUCCAAGUCUUUUUUUAAAAAAUAAAAUUUUCACCAAAUGAAUAAAAAGCGAGUUUCACCAUCAAAUGGGAAUGCAUCGAGCAAAAUGCGGGGUCCACACUAGUAUUAACAUUAUGGAUAUUCUACAUAAGAAAGAAAUAGAGAAGCAAAAUAGAAGAAUUAAAAACAAAAUAAAGGAGAAAUAACAAAUGGGUUAAGAUUUUAUGACCUUUUAUAUAUGUUUUUACAAAUUUAUUCUCAUCUUUUCUCUUCUAUGUGGUAGGGCUAAACCUGAAUAAUUAAGCUUGAUAUAUGUUAUUAGCUUAGUUCUUGAUAGUUUAAAAUUUUAGAUCAAUUUAUAGCUUAAUACAUUAUAUUAAAACGUUGUUUUGGGGUCUUUAAGAUGAGCUUAAAAGCAUAUAAUAUUUUUUGAAUAAUAUGCAUUAUAAUUAAUUAAUCUUGUUUACUAUUUUUCACAAUAAACCAAAUAUGAAAAUUUGGAUUUUUCUUUUUUCUUUCCUAACACUUAUUCUUUCCAUUACCUGAACAAUAUUCCUAGACUUUAUUUAAAUAACAGAAAGCACUAAGAAAAAGAAAAAUGUGAAAAAAGAAAUCUAAAUUUUUUUUUGUUUGAUUUAUCACAUAGUGUAUUAAGGAAAAUCAUAUGCAAUAGUAGUUAAUUGAAGAUUCAUAUUUUUAAAGUUGUCAUUCUUUGAAAAUUUUAAGAAGAAAAAAAGAAAAAUAAAUUUAAGGUUAUAAGAAAAAUGUACUAAUUAGUUUAAAUCAAAGUUUUAUUUUUCCUUUAGUUUGUUUUUUUUUUUUUUCAAAUUUUUCACAUUACAUUCUUUCUCACUAAAUUUCCCCAAAACUCUUCAAGAUCUAAAGGACAACACUAAGUGGCAAGGAAAAUCAAGUAAGAAAAAGAAGAAAUAUACAAAUAGUACUUUGAUGUGGAACAAUUUGGAAAAAGAAAAAAAAAAGGAUUCAAUUAAUUAAUGGCAAGUCAAAGGGUUUUAUUAAUUUAAUCAGAAGUCACAAGCUAUCCAUAGUAUCCACCAAAAAAACCUUAAUCAUUGAUAUACCAAUAGAAUAGUUGUACUUCGAAUAUUUGGAAUGCAAAACUUAAAUUAUUUAAGCAAUUGCAUACAAUGGCCAUGAGAAAGAAAUUGCAUACCUCGACUCUAUGAUAGAAUAAAAAUAUUUAAUAGAGAAGACCUCAUUCCUAGAAGCCAUCCAUGUCAUUCUAUCCUUCUAUUCCCUCUUCACAAACCUACUUGGUAGCCUUAAGAAGAAAGCCUCUAAAUCAUCUCUCUCUUAGUCAUUCAAGUCACACAUAAAUUCUCAUCACUGUACCACAUAACCUUUCAAAACUUCACCCUCUUCUCUUUUCCCACCUCAAAGUAUACUACUACCAACCAUGUCUCAUCCCUUUCUAAUGUUUUUCCAAACUCCAACUCCAUAUCCUUCCCUCAAUUUGUAAGAAUACCAACCCCCUUUCUCCUUACCAUACUUUCUAAAAUGACCAUUUUCCGAAAGGCUUCUCCUUCUUAGGCAUCUCCAACACUAUUUUUCCCAUGAGAGGUCUAUUAAGCGCAUAAACAAUUAGUCAUUUCAUUGGAUGCAUCAUUUUUUCUAAAGCUCUUUCUCCCCCAAAGGAAGUCUUUUUGAAUUUUCUCAAUCCUCAAUCUAACCUUUCUGGACAUGCUAAAUAAGGACAUGAAAUAAACAAGUAAACUCGAUGAUUUACUUUGAAUUAUUUAAAAUUUCAAGAGAUCAUGACCUAUCUAAACCAUAUAAUGUGUGUGCAUGUGCCUAUGACCAAAAUAGAAAUUAGCAAAACAUAGUGAAGAGUGUAUUCAUUGUACAUUAUAUACAUGAAUUAUAGUCAUCUCAUGUGAUGUAUAUUGUCUAAAAUAAAUGGACAAAAGAUUAAUUAUUCCUAUCUUAUGGCAAAGGUGAACUUGCUAUCAAAUAUGCUCUUGUGCUCUUACCUCCUUACAAUUGCCAUAAGGGUCAGGGAAUUAAAAGGAUACACAGGUAUACAGAUAUACAAAUACAAAUAAUUUAUUCUAUCUGACAAGUGUAAGUUUUCUCAUAACUAGAUUGCUACCCAAGAAUCUCCUAUGCUAUGACUACCUUGCACUUGGCAUAGGGACUGAAGGUUUAUAUGUGAACAUAUAUAGUCACCUAAAAUGCCCAGGUCACCAUUAGGGUUGAAAAAGAAUAAUUUUUUUUUUACAUUAUAACCCUCAUAUAUUCAAGGGUAAACCUGAAUAGUAUACAGAAGAUUUUGACAACAUGACCUAAGUGCUUAAUACAAUAAGGAACAAAGAUCCAUGUUGAUUACAAACUAUCAAACAUUGUAAUAUUUUCUAAUUAAUGGUCAAAGACCUCAAGCAAGUCACUACAAGAAAGUCAGAUAUGGUCAUGUAGUUUUAGGAGGAGUUGGUAAAAUCUACAACAAAAGAGUAUAUAUAGUUGCAUAACAAUUUCAGUCGCAACUAAUGAAACACAGUGUCAGUUCUAUAGUUGUGGGAAUAAUUAAGUCGUAGUGAAAGGAAUUUUCCGCCAGACCUAUGGUUGUGGGAUUAAUUAAGCCACAUGGGAAGGAAUUUCCUGCUAGACCUAUGGUUAUGAGAUUAAUUGAGCUGCAGGUAAUGGCAUGGACUAUGAUUACUGGAGUGAUUAGAAGCAACUCUAAAUUCCCCUUUUCAGGCAGGACAAAGGUGGCCACUAUUAUAUAUGGCUUAGUAGAUCCACUACCCUAACAUCACUACAUAUACUUCCCUACAUUUCUCUCCCGCUCACCGCACUGCCAAACCCAUUUCUACUUACCUCCAUUAUUAAACCCAUUUCUCCUUGCUUGCCAAACCCAUUGUGGGUGCCAAUGUGAGAUUAAGAACCCUACAUUUCUGCUUGCUUGUACUUCCCUUUUGUUUCACUCAUUGUUCUUUCAACUAGACAUCAUUUUAUUUUAUUUUAUUUUUUCUGAUUUCACUCUCUGGUUUCUUGCUUCUCGCCUACCAUAUGAUUUUCUAGGGUUUCGAGUAAAGGAUUAUGGUCUUUGGGUAUGACUUCUCCAUCAACCAAAUAUGCAAUUUGUCAUAAUUGAUCAUCCUACAAUUAUGCGUAUUGUUCAAACUUGCAUUUUUAGAUCUUUAGAACCUUGUUCAUGUAACUUUUGAUUUUUCCUGAAUUCAACCAUUUAUUUUUAUGUUGGAUCUAAGCUUUGUGUUAAUCAAACCAAAUCAAGUAUGAUAUUGUUAACUAGAAAACAAUCAGCAAUUGUUUGUCCAAUCCAUGGUGGAAUAUUUCUUGAAAAUCUAUUGCCCCUGAGACCAAGACUAUGGAUGUUGGUGCAAGUUUGCAAGGUAGUAGGAAGUUCCCCGAAAAGAUCAUUGUUGCUCAACCUUAAAAAUGUUAGGUAGGUUAGAGAACCCACAAAAGUUGGCUACUCACCAGAUAAGUUAUUGUUCAAUAGGUCUACAUGCAUCACCAGAUUAGGAACGCCAUUCCACAAUGCAGGAAUUUCUCACUAAACCAUUUAGUUUAUCAAUGGACACAGGAUAUGAGAGAGAUCUAACUUUGUCAGCAUGGGCAUUCUUUCCCUAAUAUCACUAGGAAUUGGUCUGGAAAACGAAUUAUUCUCAAAAAUAGUCUACUUACAUUUGAUGACCAAAGUGGCAGAGGACCAUUGAAAUGGUUCACAUUCAAAUAAACAGAGAAUUGAGGGGCAAACUGUAAUGAUUUUGGAAAUCUGCCACUUAAUUGAUUAUAGCCCAAGUCCGGCUAUUUGAUCAAAUUGUAUGUCUAACAUCCAAAACCAGUUUGUAUUAGAGUGUUAGGCUGAUUUUAGUAUUAGUACUAGGCCCAGUACUUGUAUUUUUUGAAAAAUGGGCAAUCAUAAAUUUUCUGAUCAACUAUCAUUAGUUGUUCUCAGUUAAAUUUCCAAUGAGAUCAAUGGUGGGGCAUCAUAUUUGUUAAUCAGAAUUGGAUUUUUUUUUAAUCUUUGAAUACAAAUGGUUGCAUUCUCUUAAUUGUUGUUUGAAAAUGGUUAUCAUAUACGAAAUGAAUCCUGUACUAUUGUACAUAAAAUGAAAAUGACAUGUUAUAAAUUUUGUUCAUAGAUAUCCCACAUAUGAUGGCAACCCAAUACUUUCUGCAUAAAUUGGUAUUGGUCCAUGCAUCAUAUUAAGGUUACUUGGUGGUGAGCUUUUGCAAGUUUUCAUCUUUCUUGUUGUCCCUUAUUUCGGGUAUAAAUAAGGUGAAAAAUGUUGGUCAGGUGUUUGUUAGGACUUAGGACCAUGUUAGGAUCGACGACUUGGAAUUUCUUUAUUUUCAGUUCACCUAUAUUUGGAAUGUCUGCUGAUCAUACUUGUUUUGGGAGUUGGAUUGACUCUCUUGUUUCCUGUGCUUUAAUGAACUAGGUUCCGGUCACGUGCGCCCCCACUCGAUCGGCGAGACUCGCUUUUUAUUGGUGAAAAAUUAAUUUUGGAAAAAAAGUCGGAGUCGCCACUUAUUUUAUUUUUAUUUUAAAAGGAAAAUAAAACAAGAAAGAAAAACCCUAAAAUGUGACUCCAUAAUUUUUGGAAAAAUCAUGUCUUUGAACAGCCCGAGUCUAGGUCUGAGGAUCAGGUUACCUAUUGGGAAGGUACCUCUAAAAGGUAGCACCCCUCUAAGCCCUAUAAAGGUCUCUACUGACUAAGUUGAGGGAAACGUGACAAUUAAAUGGAUGAUCAUGGAUACCUAAGUAAGCAAGGGGUUUUCAAAAAAAAAAAAAACUAUGUCAAGCAAGAAAGUCUGAUCAUAGGAGAGAGUCGAAGUGCGUACCUAAACGGCUUCUCAAGCGCUAUCAUGAAACAUAAAAGUUAGUAUAGAGAUACAUCACACAACAUGUGCUUUUGUCAAAGAUAAUCAAGCAAGCAUCAAAUAUAUAUCAAGGUAAUCAAACAGGAUGGCAAGCAUGGGCAUAGUACGCAAUGACAAUCAUAUUCAUAGGGUUUAGAAAGUGGGUAUUAGGGAACGUACCUGGAUAGUAUAGAUAACUCCUAAUGCGCUUCCUCAGGACAUGGGGGGGUUAAAUAAUAAAUAGUAAAAUAAGAAAUCCUAACAUGCGUAUCUAAUUGGCAUAGCAAAAAUGAUCAAAGAAUACGAAAUCAUCAAUUAUCACACACAUCUUAUAUACAAUUCCAAAAAAAUAGAUAGAUAUGAUUACGACAAAUAGCAAGGAUAGUAGCAAAAAUAAGUUUUGAAAAGAUUUUCUUAUGUAGAGGUUUCAACAAUUCCUCAAUUGAUUUACAUGAAUUUAGCCCAGAAUUAUCCCAUUUAUAUGGGACCACAAGCUUUGAUUCGUGUCUAAUUUAAAACCAAAAUUUUCGUUAAAACCCGAGAAAGAUGCAAACUGAUCAAAAAAUGGUUGCAUAUUAUUUAAAGAAAAUGGGGUUUUUGAUUCAAAGAACUCUAAAUGAACUUUUUAAAAUAGGUUUUUAUAAGGAACAUUUUGAGAAGAGUAUUUUAUUUUAAAGGGAAAGACAUUAUUCACAAACAAAUGAUUCGCAAAGAUCAAAUAUAGGCAACCCAAAAUAAAAACAAAAUCACAAAGUAAAAUUUUCUCAGUAAUCAACAAAACUAAUAAAGGUGAGGGUAGAGACCAAUCUUCAUGAUUUUCCAAUGGCCUCUAAAAAUUAAACUUCACAAAAAACUAUCAAAGCAAUAAACUAAAUGACUUUAGAUCAGAUAAGAUUAGAAGAUAUUAAUCAGGAGUUAAAAAUGGGGAAUCAAACACAUGAGAAUAAUAAAAAACUAACAUAAGACCAAUUAAGUUGAUUAACUAAAAUUUUAGAGAAACAUAUGAACUAAAUUAUGAUCAAUUCAAGAAUGAAAAUUUAUAUAUUUAAGAUAGAAAUAAUGCAACUUAAGAUCAAUUAAACAAGUUAUUUAAAGCUUUGAAAAACAUACAAACUAAAAGUGGAUCAACCAAGAAAUAAAAUUAAUAAAUUCAGAAUAUGAAAAUGACAUGGAACCAAUCAACUUAAACAACUCAAGUCCUAAAAACUCAUGUACUAAAAAGACGAAUAAAAAAUAAGAUUAAUAUUUUAAAACAUGAAUUCAAUCGCAUAGGAUCAAUUAAACUAAUAAAUUAAAAUCAACGAAUGCAUUUAAACUAAAAACGAAUUAAAAUUAAAGUAAUUGGAAUUAAAAAAAACACAAACUUUAUCUAGCGUGAUUAUUUAAACUAAAAACAAAUUAAAAUCCAACUAAUUAGGAUCACUAACACAUUCAAAUUAAAUCAUAAGCUAAAAUUAAAUUAAUCCAGAAUUAAAAAAAUAAACUUUAUCUCUCAAAUUUUUUUAACUAAUAAAUUAAGAUGGACAAAUGCGUUUAAACUAAAAACAAAUUAAAAUUGAACUAACUAGAAAUAAAAGAGAGACAUUUAAUCUAAGAAAAAUAAAAGAUUGUACGAAUCGAGAUUUAAAAGAAUUUAUCACAAACAAUUAAUUAAAUCAAUAAACUAAAAACCCAAACUAAAAAAAAGAAAUACUGUAUCAAAAACCGAAAACUAACCUGUAUUGCGUAGGAAAAAUACUCUCUUGAUGUAUCAAAAUGGCAACUCAAUUAGUGUUUGAAGUCCUCUGCUGCUCCCCAAAAAACUCUUGUGCGUGUCCUCUCUGAAAAAAAAUUCCUCUCUCUCUGCCAAAGAAAUAAAAUUCCUCGCGUGUUCUCUCUGCCAAAAAAUCCCUCCCCCCCGUGUCUGUGUUCUCUCUUACUUCUUCAUCAAUUUUCAACAGUUGAAGACCCUCGUCAAAUGCACAUAUAUUUAACAGAAUAUUCAGUCACUCUGGAGUCAUAAUUUCAUCCACUAUUCUACCAUAAUUUUUAGCUCACUUAUCAAUGCUCCUUCACCAAAUUUCCAACACAUUUCAUUGUGAAUUUUCAGCCAUGAAAAAAGCUUCCAUUCACAGUCACAAUUCUCGUGUGUCCACCACAAAAUUCAGUUUUCAAGAAUUCACCUUUUGCAUGAAACUACCAUCAAAGGAAUUCUCCAUAUGCAACCAUAUAUUCCGUGAUUCAUCCAUGGAGAUUUAUAAAUUCAAGGCCAUUAUCUCCAUUAAGCUAUUUUAAAAUUCAUCCAUGGAGAUUUAUAAAUUCAAGGCCAUUAUCUCCAUUAAGCCGUUAUAAAAGUCAUCCAUGGAGAUUUUAUAUGCAAGGCCAUUGAAACCUGAUUGGAAUCAAGAAAUUAAUAUUCACAAAGUGGCUGCCCAUUCUCCAUCAGAAUCAAAGUGAUAACACAGCUGAAAGUGAAUGAAAGCCUUUCCCUUUAACCAAGACAUCAACACGGCUGAAUGCGUAUAGAAUCUUCUUCAUUAAAUCAAGGCGUCAACACGCGUAAAGGGGAUGAAAUUCCUGCCCGCUUCGAUGGAGAUCUCCCCUCCUUCCCAGAAUAGUGCAGCUGAGUUCCAACCUCCCACCUCAAAAAUUUAAAUGUCUCCGACCUGUUGUGUGUGUAGCUCUCCCGAUCUGACCUGUGCGCGUGUUCUUAGAAAAUCAGAAUUGUGCGUGGGCUCCUUCAUGCGGUUGUGGAGACUUCCUGAAGUGGUGUGUGGCUGUUGGUGCGUGGUCCCCAUGCUUGAGAUUCAACUAAAAAACAUUAUGUCUAUGAUAGGUACACAAAAAUAAUUAAGACAUCAGUUUACACAAUUAAUCAUCAAUCUCAUGCAAUAUUCUAUCAAAUAAAUAAAUAAAAACAAAUAACUAACCAAAUAAUAAUAAAUAAACAAGUAAAUAAAUAAAUAAAAUAAAAUAGAUAAAUCAAUAAAUAAGAAAUCGAGUACAUGCAAACAUUAAAAGUGCAAAUCAUGCAAAUUAUGUAAGUCAUGUAGGAAUUACCGAAAAGGUGACAUAGGUAGGCCAGGAUGCCUAAGUGGACCUAAAGUGAGUGUGCGUAGGCUAGAAGGUGCCAAGGUGGGUCUAAGCGGGUCAAGGUGAAUCUAAGUGGGCCUAAGGUGGUGCUCAAUGGGCCAAGUGUAUCUAAAAACUAUCCUAAAAAUGAAUGAAACGCCUAAUUCUAAAUUAAGGCUGCCAAGGGUCACAAUAAGGGGUCAGAUAAUCCCUCGACCAAAGUCUCCGAGGUGGCUUAAAAAAGGUAAGUAGUAUGAGUAGCUAUGGGCCACCAAGGAACUACUGUAAAGUAUCGAAUAAGUAUCUAAUAGGACAUGUGCUAGGAGGACAAAAUUGAGGGUCUACAAAUAUGCCCCUCUUCAGUAGAGAUCACGGGUGUAAGGAAUGUGAGUAAAAAAAAAUGAAUAAUGAGUGGAAUGAAGUGAACUAUAUCGAAGAACUAAAGAAGGACCAGAGAUUUUGUCUUAGCACAUGACGAGAGUAAGGUCGGAACAUGGGCUGCAACGACAAGGAUGGAACAACUCUACGUGGGGGAAUGGUAGUAAAGAGAGAAAGGUAUGUGACGAGUAGCACAAAGAUGGAAAGAGAUGAAAAGGAUGACUCAAAGUCAUGAAUGAGGUGAAUAACUCUAUGUCAUGGACAAGAUGAAUGACUUUGGGUCAAAAAUAGGACAAACGACUCUAGAUCGGAAAUAGGAUAAACGACUCUGGGUCAUGAGCUCAGGGCUAUAAAUGCUAAGAAUGACUCUGGGUCAUAAAUGAGAAAAAUGACUCUAGGUCGUGAGCUCUGGGCUCUAAAUGGAAAAGAAAUGACUCUGGGUCAAGAACUCAAGGCUCUAAAUGGGUAGUUGAUCAGGAUGCUUUCCGGCUCAUGGUGUCGGGUCGAGGCCACUCACAAGUGGCUAUGAUGAUGAAAACGAAACAUCUCAGGGGUGUGAAGGAUGCAAAUGACUCUGGGUCAUGAGCUCAGGGCUUAGGGUGCUAUGGAUGACUCUGGGUUAUGAUGCAAUAAGUAACUCAGGGUUACGAUGAAUAACUUAGGGAUCAUCAUGACCCAGGCAAAGUUAAUCUAAGAGAUCGAUUAUUCCCAAUGAAAAGUAUAGUUGCAGGACAUGACCCUAUCCUCCUGCAUGAGUCCUCUGGCAAACCUGAUCUAGAGUUGAGUACUGAAUCCCACACCUCUUGUGCUCCCCAAAAAUAGUGUUCCUCAUGCAAAACAAAAUAAAAUGAAAUUAGAAAUUAAGAGCCAAGAGAAUAAACUAAUGAAAAUCAUUAGAUUGGUAAUAAAAUAAAAUAUGAUUUAAAAGAAAAGAAAGGGAAAAGUGAGACCAGAUUAUUCCAUCAUUCAAUCAAGGGUUAUUUGCACAUCUUGGAGUCUAAACAAUUCAAGCAAUUUCCUAUUAGAUAAGUGAACAAAUAAAAUAAAAUAGUAAUAAUAAUAAUAAUGACAAUGAUAAUAAUAAAAAAAUAAAGAGUAAAAAUGAAAAUGAAUAAACAAAAUAAAUAUAACUAUUGAAUGCCUGCAAUAAUGAUAAUAAUAAUAAUAAAAGUUAAGCCCGAUGAAGUGUUUAAACGGGCCUAAGUGGGUGCCUAAUGAACUAAGCGUCCUAAAGUGAUCGGGAUAUUGUCUAACUGACCUAAACAUGCCUAAGAACUAUCCUAAAAAGGAAUGAAGAGCUUAAGUCUAAAUCAAAACUACCAAGGGUCACAAUAAGGGGUUAGGCAAUCCCUGAACCAAAGUCUUCGAGUGGCUCAAAAAAGGUAAGUAAUAUGAGUAGCUAUGGGCCACCAAGGAACUACUGUAAAGUAUCGAAUACGUAUCGAAUAGGACAUGUGCUAGGAGGACAAAAUUAAGGGUCUAUAGGAUUCUUAAAGAUUAUAGGGUGUUCAUAUGGAAGUUCAAGGUUCUUUAGCUUCUUUGACCAAGAAGAAGAACAACAACACCAAGUAAGUAAAGUUCAAGAGAAGGAAUAAGAGAUUAAGCUCAAGGGCGAGUGAUUCCUUUGUGAACUUUUAGAACACUCAAAAAUGAAUGUCCUUUUUGCUUAAAGGAAAAAAGGAAAGUAUAUAUCAUUUUCUCAUUGUUAAGUAUUUAGUGGUGGAUUUCACCAUUUAUGGUUGAUAGAUUCUAGGCCCAUUGUCUAUAAGUCCUUAUAAGAUAUUCAACAAGUGAGAAGAUUAAAUGAUGAGAUUAUACUUACCUUAGCUUUAAAUGCAAGGUUAGUUUUGCAAGUUAAUGGAAGGUAUUAUCAUUUUCUUUUAUAAAUAUUCCAUUACCACUUUGUCAAGUGAUGAGAAUAGUCAAACCUUAGGAUUAAACCUAGCACUAAUUAAACAUUUGGUUUCUAGACCUAAGUCAUAUUAACCUAAAUAGGAUCCAAAGACUAGUAAAGUCUAGACUCUUUGAUUCUAUAAGAUCUUUCAGUCUAUGAAUCCUGUAUAAAUGGUAAAAUGACUAAGAAGAUUAAAGCCAAGGAAUGUUUGGAGUUAGUGCAUACUGACAUGUAUGGAAAUUUUAGUGUCCAUGCAUGGGAAGGGUAUGGGUAUUUCAUCGCUUUUAGUGAUGAUUACUCUAGGUUUGGUACAUACCAAGUCACUUCGAUUAGAUCAAAGUGAUAUGUCUAGUAAGUUUGAUACUUUUCAUUGGAGCACGAGAUUAUUUCCUAGUUAUGUGCACCAAGGUCUCUAUUUCAAAAUGGAGAGGUGGAAAGAAUAUGUCAAACUUGGUUGGAUAUAGUAAGAUCGUGGAUAUGUUUCACAUUUUUUCUCUGAUUCUUUUGGGGAUAUGCCUUAUAGAUAGUGUAAUACCUCUUUUUCUUAAGAGAUUUAUAAGUUUAUAGGAUAUCUAAGAGGAUUUUUGGGUUAUUACCUUUAUAGUUAGGAUCAUACUCAAAUCCAUCACAUUACUCCUAUCUAUUGCAAUGUGUCUCAUUUAUGAGAUUUAACAACAAAACAUUUUCAUUACAAAGGGCCUUGUGUGUAUGUGUAUAAGAAGGCAUAGGAAAGCGUGGUGAUGCUCUAAGAUUUUGCAGGUAGAUGACAAUCUACUCAUUGGAUAUGAUGUAGGGAUACUGCCAUCAAUCAAGAUCUAGUAGUCUACUUAAUUUUAAAUGAAAAUCUAGAGGAAGGAGUAAUAUAUUCUUAGGGUUUAGGUUCUUUAGGACUACAAGAAUAGGAAAAUUACGCCAUGUCGCCUACAUGGAUAAGCACUUGGUCAAGCACAUGAUGUGAAACUCCAAGAAGGGUUUGUUACUCUUUGGAUUUGGAGUUGUCUUGCUUAGGAACAAUGUCAUUGGACAUCUAUGGAGGGAGAUUGCAUUAAGGUGAUAUCCAAUGCCUCUACAAUGGAUAGCCUUAAGUAUGUGGUUGCUUUAUUGUAGGAAUAAUGAGUGGAUAUUAGUCUUUUUCCUUAUUAGAGCUUUGGGAGGAUGUCAAGCAUAUACUCUAGUAUCUUUGGAGAAUGAGGGAUUAUAUGUUUGUGAGUCUUUGCAAUGAUUUGGUACUCCUUUUGUAUCAGGAAAUUGAUCCAGUCUCAUAAAGACUCUUGUAGGUCUACCUUUUGGUAUGUGUACACUCUAAAUGGUUUUUUUGUUGUUCUAUAGCAACAAAGGAAGCCUUUUGGCUUACAGGUAGUUCCCUUGGCUAUAAUGUCUAAGGUCCUGUUAUGUGAUAACGGUGGGAUGGUGGCAUGGUCUAAAGAACUAAAAUGCCACUAAAAGAGGAAACACAUAAAGAGGAAGUGUUAUCUUAUUGUGAGAUAGUACAAAGAGGUGAUAUGACUAUGAAGCAGAAUCUUUCUGUAGUACCCAGUUUGCUUUUGGGGCUAAAAGCAAGACAUGAUGUAAUAGAGUUAGACUUAACUAUCCUCGUGUUGUCCAUUUGGUGUAUUGACAUUGAUUUGAGCAUUUAAUCCAUGUCUCUUACAUUGUACAUGACUUGGGUGCAUUAGGAAUUACAUAGAAGAUACAAGUCAUGGGUUCCUUGUAAGUAGAUAAGUUGUCCACAGUUGGUUCAUGGGUUUAAGCAAUCCAAUAGAGACUGUAGUGCACCACGUCCUAAUUAGAGAGAUGACUUAUCUUAGUCAUCAAGAUGGGUUUUUGCUGGUUAGUGCACUAGUGUAUGUGAUGCACAUUGGACAAGAUCUAUGGUGAAUCAUGACGCAAGGCCAUCAAUUAUCAUGAUUCACCAGGCUACUAUACUACAUGGACUCUCAACCUUGAGAGGAUAUUGAGUCUAUGCCAAAAUCAACAGGAGGCUUUGAGCUACGGGUGAGACCCUAAAGUGGUCAUGUAUCUCUAUGGAUUCGGUCACUAUUGAUAAAGGUUGGUGGCAACAAGUAUUCUCAAUAGAGGCACCAUGAUAUCUCGUGGGAUUUAGAUAGUGUGUUCUAUUAGGUGAUCCAAAGGACAUGUGAUAAUGAAAUUUGUGGUCACAGUAAUUCCUUUACUGGAAUUUGACAUAUGCUCCUUAAAGUUAGAGAGUGUUAUUUGAUCACAUAAUAAGUGGGAUCUAUACCUCAAGGAUUUGAGAGGUAAUAUUGCUAGGUGAUAACACUACCUUAUUAGAUUAUGAACACUGAUUCAUAGGGAGUUUGCAUGUAGUGGAUAGUAGGUUAUGGACCCGAGCACUUGGUGUCUCGUUGUAAUUUACAUAGGGUACUGGAGUGCAAUUGACUAUCUAUGGUGGGAUGUUGAGUCAAUUUCAGAAUUUGAUUAUGAGAGAGCUAGUGCUGCUACAGGUCCCAAUUGUCCCUGCUUUGAGCUCAUAUUCCUUGAUGGCACGGUUUAUGAGGAUUGGAUGAGUUUUUAGUUCACUUUUGUGCAUUAAGGCAUUUUGGUAAUUACGCAAGGUUGCAUAGGGAUAAGUGAGUGGUAUCUUUGGACUAUUCUAAUUGAUUAAUUAGGCUUUGUAUGGUUAAUUAAUCAAUUAGCAACCUUUUUAAGCUAAAUUAAGUGACCCAAGCCCAUGGUGGACUUAAGUCCUUUAAGCUGCAUGAGAAGCCUAUAAAUACCCCUUUAAGGGUUAGGGUUUUUAUGUCUUGCCAUUCUUCAUUUCAGUCUAGAGAGAAAACCCUAGCCUCCACCAUUAAGAUCUCUACCAUCUCAAUGUCUAGAUACAAGGAAGAGUCAUCAAGCGAAAGAUCAUGGUGUUUAUGAGAUCCAUUACGACUUUGGAGUUAUCUACAUCGUUGGAAUCUAUCCGGGAACAUCCAAAUCCAAGGUAUAUGGCUUUAUUCUCUAGAUCUAUGGUUUCUAUGGUAUUCUUAUUGUUUUUUAAUACCUAUUUAUCUGAUAUGAUAAAUUUAGAGAGCCUAGGAUAGAUUUGCAUACACCUUACACGAUCUAAGGCAUGGGAACGGAGUAAUCUAGGGUUCCCAACAUAUGCACACUUAGAUUCUAUUAAAACAUGGAAAUAUGUUUUAUGAUAUAAAAAUGAGUAAUUUGCUCACAAAUGGUAUGUAAUAACCCACUUCCAACAAAGUAGAUAUAGUCCACCUUAGGUUAUCUAGUUAGUUAAGAGAAGUUCAUACAUAUAUAACACUAGGAACAUUUUCCUCUAUCUAAUGUCAAAUAUUACAAUCACCUCCUUUCCCUUUCCUAAUAUAGAACAAACAUCCUCUUUGUAUCUCAUAGGAUUACAAGGCUAAAGAGAAAUGAAUGCCUUGCGAGGUAGAACAAAUAAAGAACACAUCAAAAUCAGAGAUUGGUUAUAAUACUAUUUGCAAUGACCCACUCCCAACCAAGUAGAUAUUGUUUUCUCUAGGUCUAAUGGGUCAUCAGGACUUUAAAGCACGUUUAUAGUUAAGAGGAGCUCAUAUAUAUAUAGUUUCAAGAACUUUUUCUCCUAUUCGACGUGGGAUAUCAUAUAAUAUGUCUAAUUAACAUUGUAGUCCUUAAAUGACAUCCUAAAUUGGUUUAAUAUUCAAGGACCAAUUCAAUAAAAGUCUUUCUCAUAUAAAAGAAUCACUUGACAAGUUUAAAUCUAUUAAAAAGUAGGUAAAAACUUCAAAAUGAUUAUUUUUGGGUUUAUUACACUUUACCCCCUAACCUAUAGCAUGUUUUGCAGAUUGCCUCUUCAAGUUUAAAAUUGAGCAAUGUACCCUCCAUACUUUAUAAUUGCAUACAAUGUACAUUUUUUUGAAUGACAGUGUUAUCUUAAUGGGAUGAAAGACGCAUGUGCUCUCCAUGUGACCUAUUUAAGUGAGGGAAAAAAUGUCAUUUCAUUUUAAAACCCUAACCGAGCCCUUCUCUGCCUCCGUUCUCUUCCUCUUCAUUCUUUUUUUCUCUCCAAAUUGCAAUCGAAGCAUAGCUAAAUCCCCAAAUUGCAACCAAAGCAUAUUAGAGAGUAAAAAUUGCAAGAAAAUGGUGAUGAUGCAAUAUUUUUCUAAACUUUAUUUUCUUUUUCUUUUUCUUCUCGCUUCACUCUUUCUCUUUCCUUCCCAUUUUUAUUGAAAAUUCGCAUGGUCGAUGCUUUGGGUUUUUUUCCAAAAGCUUGAUUUUUUUCCUUAAAUUUCCCUCAAAAUUUCUCCCAAUUUUCUGAAAUAUCAAAACGAAACCUAACCCUAAAACAAAAGUAUAACAUAAAAAUGAAACCCAUCACUAACCGUAACUCUAUGUUGUAUACAUGUGUCGUGUGAUUUGGAUGUUAUGUUAGGUUUGUUUGAUUGUUGCUAUUUUUGUGGGUUUUUGUACUUUGUUUGGUUGACGUGAAAAUCAAUAGAUUUUUUUUCCUUCAUAAAUUUUGAAUUUGAGACUAUUUGAAUUAGUUGAAGUGAUUUUUUAAUAAUGUUAGUUUUUUGAUAAAAUUUUUUGAGUUUGGUUCCAAUUACCAUAAGAUGUGUAGUCCUGUUUGCUGGAAUUCUAGUUUCUCAAGUCGGAAUUAUGGGAAAAUUACAAGCAGUAAUCGAAGGGGGAAGAAGAGAGUUGGGUUAGGGAUUUGGGUGUUUUUAAAUAAAAUGAUUGUUUUGCCCUUGAUCACGCAAAGACCACAUGUCUUUCCAUCUAAAAAAAUAAUGUCGUCUCUCAAAAAAUGCACAUUGCAUGCAAUUAUAAAGGAUGAAGGAUACAUUACUCGAUUUUGAACUUGAUGGGGUAAUGUGCAAAACACGGUAUAGAUUGAGGAGGUAAAGUGUAAUAAACCCAUUAUUUUUUUAUUUUUUGGUUUUUUGGCUUAUAAUGGGGUUCUUUGGGUAUUAAAAUGGAGUUUCACAAUCAGUUUUGAUGAAAUUGAGAUUUAUAAUUAUAUUCCAUAUUUAGAAAAAUCUAUUUCAACUAGAAGGAUGGAAAAUUUUAAUCAGCCAAACUUAUAUCCAAAGGUUACCUUAUUAAAUCCCUCAUUUACCCUUUCCACCAAAGUGCUAGUCCUAGAAUUAGAUCUUUGUCCCUUUCUAUAAUCAUACAUAAAAGCUACCUCAUCCUAAGAACACUCCAUGCCCAAGGAUGAGCUUAAGAGGGAGAUUUUGAUGAUGAGAAAUGCACAUCCACUUUCAUCAACUAAACAUAUAGACAAAGAUGAAGAAAAGACUUUACAAAGGAUCCCCACAAAGAAAUGAAUCAUUCUAUUAUGAAAAUGAGCUAAUAAAAGCUUAAAGAUUCUAUAAUGAAAAAAGUUCAUAAGAACGAGUCUCUUUUAAGACACUUGUUCUCAAAAUACAAGGAUUCUUAUCAAUUGAGUCUCCUAUUUCUAUAAAUAGGGUGUCUUUGUAUGUUUGAGGCACUUCACCCCUAUAUAGGGGUGAGGUUCCCUUUAAUUUCAUUUUUUUUUCUUUGCAUUUCUACCAUAAUGAAAAGCCCAUAAAUAUUAUAUGUUUUGCAUCAAUUAGAAAGACACUUCCUAGUAUAAUUGAUAAUUACACUUUAGUCCAUCAAUUUAUGGACAUUAGACUAACACCUCCUAUGAGAGUUUGUCUGCAUAAUGGUUAAUAGCAUUGAUAAAAUGUCUUUCUUCUAUUCCAUUAAUUGGGAUAUUCGGAACACGACUGUUUUACAUUUCUAAUUAUUCCACCUUAAAUCAACUUCUAUUUCAAUGCAAUUAUUUAAUUUCUAAUUUGAUUUUAAGAACAUCAACCAGUCUCAUUCUUCUUACUCUCUACUUCACCUUAUUCUUUUCCAUAUUUUUUUCUUUUCAUUUUCUUUUUGAAGUCAAAUUAUCUACAUCUUUUAUCAUUUUCUAAAUCUAUCAUCCUUCUUUUAUUUUUUCGUCUCUAAUAUUCAUCCCAUUAUUUCAAAAUUUUCCAACUUGAUUUCAAGAACCCUAAAUUGUUUAUCCUUCCACUUCCUAUCAUUGUUCACCCUCUUAAUUUUAAAAUUAUAUCAUUUACUUCUCAUCUUCUUCUUAAUCCAUUACUUCAAAAAUUUUUUAGAAGCCUAACUCACCUUUUUCAUUAUUAUUUUAAAAUCAAAUCAUCUUUAUACUCUCAUCUUCUUCAAAAUCUAUUGUUUUUAUUUUCAUAUAUAAUUUUAAUCCAAUUAUUUAUUUAUUUAUUUUAAUUUUAUAUAAUCUCUCUUAUCUUUGAAACCCAAUUCAAUAUUUUUGACCUAUUUGUUUCUUUUUUUAUUUUCCCCAAACUAGAAAAUCACCUCAUUUUCUUUUCUUUCCUUUUUCAAAAUUUCCACAGACCCAAAAGAAGAGAAAUCUAAUAUUGUAACUCAUUCAUCUUUUUUCCCUCAAACUUAAAAUAUUUUCAACUAUCCACAUGAAUGUUCAAUCUCAAUCUCAUUACCAUUUCACUUCAAAAACUUUCAAUCAAACAAGAGACAAAGGCAUCCAACAACAACAAGAAUUUAAGUUUUUGAGUUGUUGGUGUACAUUGGGAAGUGACUCAAAUUCCUAAAUAUAAAAAUUUUCUUAGUUUACAUAUGAUUGCAAUUAGAUUUCUCAUAGAAUAAAGAAAGGUAGUAGGAAUAUCUUUAUAAAUAUUUUAUAUCAUGAGGGAAAAAAAUUAAUGGGUUUUUGGGGACUAUAUGUGUUGGAUAGAUGAUUACUACUCAAAAAGUGCUAUUUUAUAGCUUGUAAUUAAAUCUUUUAAACACUUUUGAGUAGUAGUUAUUACCUUUUAACUCAAUUGGCAUGUUAAGGACCUUUGCAAUCAAUUCUAAUCAAAUUGUGUUAAGUUUUGGUGUUUUGAUAGCUUUUUGAUCACCAAAGCAAUCCGAGAUUGAGGAGAGUUAUUUGGAAUCCAUGGCAAAGCAAUGGAAAGCUCAAAAACAUGAAGAACCGAAGCUUUGAAGUCCUUUGCCAUAAGCAAAUCCGGAAUGCAAGGAGGGGAAGCAAAGAGAAAUCUGUCAUGAAGCAUUCUUGAUGACAGUCAUGUCAGCCACUUUUCGAGCACUUCUUGGAGUCCAAUUUAUGCAUGCUAUAUGUCAUUUCGAAGCUCAGGAAGUCAAAAAUCCAAUGCUUCAAACGGUGCCCAAUUCGGAGUUGAAAUCAAGGAGUUACAACUAUUGCAAGCCGAUCACUCCAAGCUGAAGGAAGAAUUUUGCACAGCGUUACGAAAUCACCCUUUUGCUGCGAAAUGAUUUCGCAGCCUUUUUGCACAGUGCUGUGGAAUUCCCCUUGAAGUUUCCCGACAUGUUGGAAGCCGAACACCGCAAGUUGAAAGACCGCUUUGCAGCGGUGCGAAGUCAGCCGUUUGCUGCGAAGUGAUUUCGCAACCCUUUUUGUGCAUUUGCGAAAUCUCGCAGACCUCGUUUUCACCUGCGAAAUGGUCCUUAGUGCUUCCCGAUAUUUGCGACCGACACUUUUGGAUAUUUUGCUUCAGAUUUUUGAUGUCUAAAUCUCCAUUUUCUCCUUGUAACCCACCAAUUAUAGGAUUCCUUAGUUAUUAAGUUUGGAAAAGGGGUGAAUAACCUCAGAUAUUUUGUUUUGUAAUUUUCUUUAUAUAUAGCUCUCGGGAGCCUGUUCUCAGGAGGAAGAGAAGGAGGAAGACGAACCUUUUGUAAUAGUAAGAAAUAUAUCUACAGAGCACUUGCUCUAUUUUUCAUAUAUAUUUUUGUUUUCUUGUUCUAUUUCUUUCUAGCCAACCAAACUCUGAGGAUUUUUCCUCAGAGGAUGAGAGGCUAGGCUCUUCGUCUCUUGGAGUGAGGAAAGCCGGGUAAGUUUCCGAAUGAAAAAUUGGAAGUUUUGUUGUUUUAGUUUUUAAUGAAGAGAAAGUGUGACCCGUUAAUGAUUUCUAUGUUUUUAGUUAACUUAAAACGCCUUUAAAUCACCUGGGCCAACACUUGGUAAGGCAAGUGAUUUCCGUCCAUGGAGCUUCACUAGUUUAUCUCUUGCGAGCCUUUGGGAGGUGGUUUGAAGGUAGGAUUUUCUAGAAUAGCCAACACUUGGUAAGCUUUUGGACUCCACGGAGACAUCCAUUAGUUAUCUCUUGCGAGCUUUUAACGGGUAAUCCAAGGUUAAAGAUCACCUUGAAUGGCAAGAGCUAGGUGAGAGGUAUGAGCUAUUGCAAGGUGCAUCAGUGAGAGGGAUUUAGUGUUUGAACCCAUUAAUGGGAAGCAUCUGUACAAUACCGGUUGGAGAAGGAACUAUAUGUUAAUUCUCUAAUGCGAGGAAAAGAAACAAGUGACCGGAACUCCCUUUUUGCAUGAGGAAUCUGAGCCUAGUGAUCUGAAACUCCAAGAAACACUUUUCUUUGUAAGUAAAAUUAGUUGCUAUUUUUGGUUAGUUUAAAACCAAACAUUUUUCUUUCAAACAUCUUUAUGUUUUCUUUUAAAGCUAACCUUGAAAUGAAAAGGCACCAAUUCAACUUUGAAUGAAUAUCAUUUGUGAAGUGAAAACCCAUCCCAGUGAACAAUCCUAGAGCCACUAUGCUAUAGUAGCUUUGUCUUUGCUACCCUAGUACAUGGUGUAAUAGUUUAUAAAUUUUGUUGAUUACUCCCUCAAUCAAGGAGCACCAGCUGGACAUGAAUCAGCUGAGACACCAAUUGGGCACGAAUCAAUAAAGAUGAGAAGAAAAUCAAGAGACACCUUAUUGAGCAAAAAGGCUCACUAGGGUGAAGAUGUGAAAAAAAGUGAAAAGCAUAUGGUGGAGUAAAAGGCUCAUACCUCGGGAUGGAGAUAUAAAGAGUGAGGAACAAUGAGAAAAAAUGAAGAGAGAUAGGCAAAAGGUAUAUUAAUAUUUUCUUCCAUUGAUAUGUUUGCAUUAAAUCUUCCUUAGACACAAUAAGUGGUAUCAAAUCUUCAAAUGGCACAACAUGUGGUUCGAGUCUUGGUUGAAGAUGUUUGGAGGAACCUUGGUUGAAGAUGUCUAUAAGAACUCAAUUGAAGUUGUCUAAAAGAGUCUUCGUUGAAGAUGUCUAAAAAAGCCUUGAUUGAAGAUGUCUAGAAAAGCUUUGGUUGAAGAUGUCUAGAAGAGUCUUGUUCGAAGAUUUUAGGAAGAGAAGAUGAAUGCAAAAAGGAAUUCUUGUUAAGGUGGGGUCAAUUUUUCUCUGAUCAAAAUGUGAUAUAAGAACAAGAAGAUCAUCAUGCACGAUAAGGUUGUGUUGCACGUAAGGAACUAUGACACAUGGAGAGAGCGGAGCACAUAAGGAAACUAUAUAUUAUGAAAAGAUGGAGAUUGACUUAAUAUAAUUUGAUUCAAGGUGGAGACUAUUGGAAAGUGUCUCAAAUUCAUAACUGAAAUAUAUUUCUUUUUAGAUGAAUAUCACAUAAACUAUUUCCUAAGUUUACAUGUGAUUGUAUAUUUCAUAUAAAAUAAGAAAAGCUAGUAAGAAUCUCUAUUUUAGGUCAUCAGGGAAAAAAAUUAUGAGAAAGAAAUGGGUUUGUGAGGACUAUAUGUGUGGUGGAUAGAAAUGUGAGGAACAACAAGAGACUCUAUUGGAUAAGAGGGCUCACUCUAGUGUAGAUGUGAGGAAGAGUGAGAGGCACCUAGUGAAACAAAUCAGCUUAUGGUUUAGGAUAGAGAAAAGUGGGAUGUUUUGGGACCUAACAAUUCUAUCUAUUUUUGUCCUCCGUAAUAUUUUCUAUCAUAUUCUUAUCCAUGAAGGUAAGCAUGAUUAGUUGGACCACAUUAUAACAUGUUUAUAUUGAUGCUUCCGUUUUGAUGAGGUUAAGGUUAGGACUAGGGUUUGCUAGUUAAAUUAAUAUCCUUCUUUUCCUCAAUAAAGGAAUUGUGAAAGCUUCUUCAUCAUAUUUAUUAAAAUUUUUGUUUAAUUUCAAUUCUUUGCUAUUUUUACAAGUGGUUGUGGCGUUCAUUUUGUUGGCUAUUGGUAUUAAUAAAGAAAGAAACUAUUACACUUUGAAUAACACAAAGGAAGACAAAUAGUUUAUUUGAUUUAGGAAAAAUAAAUGUAUAUAGAAGGUAAAAGCAUCAUUUAAUUGAUAUGGAAAUGGUAAUUGAAAUGGUAGUUAAACAAUGAUUAACAAUGAAAAAGGUAGGAUAAAUAUGAAACUAUUUAAUAAAAAUUUAAUUAGAAAAAAAUUCUUUGUUUUCAUUAUUUAAUAUUAUUUUAUAUGAUUAACAAUAAUUUGAGGUUAAUUAUAGCUAUUCUAUUCAAUAAAAAAUUUAAUUAAAAACUAUUUUUAUUCCAUAGUUGAAAUUUUUUAUCAUUUAAAUUUUUUAUAUUUAAUAGUAUUUGAAAAUUUUAGUUAUUGUUUGUAUGAGAUUAAUUAAUAUUAGUCCAACUAAGUUAAUAAUUUUAACUAAAAUCAAUUAGGUUUUGUAUAUAAAAAUUUAAAGAAAUUUAAUUACAAUUAAUGAGAGGAGGAUAUGAUGAUGGGAUAAAGUAAGAUAUGAUUGUAAGGGUAUUUUUAGAUAUUUUAUGUAGGAAGUAACUGAGGAAAUUUUUGGAAAAAACAAUGAUGUCUUUUAUUAGUUAACAAUUACCAUUAACAAAAGGGGAUAUGAUUGUGAUUUCAUGAAACUAAGGUACUUUUUUAUUAUUUGAUGAUAUCCUUUGUCAUAAUCUUCAUGUCUAGAAUGUUUCAAGAAUAUCCAAGAAAUGGGUGUAUUAUCAUAGAACAAGAGAUUUCAAGCAACCUAAAACGUCUGUGGGCAUUGAAUGCAAGCCACAUCAGUAGUGCCUCAGAUUAAUAGUAUGUGGAAAUUUUCAAGUAAUGCUAGUAAUGCAUUCAUAACUAUUAAAAAAUUACACUAUUCAUUUUGUUGUAAAAAUGAAGACUAUUUGAUAAGAAUCAGAGCGGAACCAAGCCUAGAAGAGAGUGCAUACAAUGAGUCAAUUUGGUUCUAGUAAAGAAAGACCCGAAGCUGCAUUUUGAAAAAAAAACUAGAAAUAUGCAUGUCUUAUUGUCAUCACUUGUUAGAGAGUAUACUAAUUUGAAACAAAGUACUAAGGCGCAACUUGGAUAGAUUGACCAAUCUGAACUUAACUUGAUGUUUGGGCAGACUUGACAAUCAAUUUUAACACCUAGGUUUGGUUUUGGUUAAGUUUAUUCAAUUUGAGCCAAUUUGAGUUAAGUUUGAGCCAACGUUGAGACAACCUAAGUCUAAUAUUUAAUGUUUUUAUAAUAUUUAUAAUGUAUAUUAUUCGAUAUGAUAAUAUCUAUUUUUUGUUUAGAUUUGUAAGAAAAAGAAAAUCAAAUUAUAUCACACUUUUUAAGUAUUUUUAUUAAAGAUAUAUAAAUUUAUUUUUACUUCUUUAUUGCUACCUUGAAAUUUGAUCUUAUUUCUUAUUGAAAUUUUUAUACAAAUAUAUAGAAAUAAACUUUAAAAAAACAUUAUAUAUGGAUUUUGUUAUCAACACAAUCAACUUGAUUAACCUGAACUCAAUCCAAGCUUAUAGAAAUGAAGUUGGAUAGGGUUUGAAUUGAGUACUUUGGGUUAAAGACGAGAUUUAAUUAAGUUUGGAUUGAUUGUUUCUUAAUUUGGAUUGGAAUUUGAUUAGUCAUCAACUUAACCAACCCACCUAAGUUGCAACCCCACAAAGUACAUAUAGCACUUACUUUGUAUAAAAUAUCACAAAUGAGAUAAGAAGAAGAUUGUAAAUACACACAAUAAAAGGAAAGCAAGUUAAUCGCACAUCAAAUGAUGGAGAAUUAUUGGCAGUGACUACUACUACUUGGCAACACUUAUCUUGAUGGAGCUUAUAGGGUAUAUAAGCACUCCAAAACUGUCUUAACAGUGUCCAUUGACAAAAACAUUUUAUUUUAAAACAUGAAUAAUUCCUUAGCUUAAAUUCCAAGAUUUGGAUUCAAUAGGCAUAUCAUGCUCUUCACACCUUUCCUCGUGUGCAAAUCAUCUUUUUUGGGUUUAUAAACAUGCAAAUGAGGAAACACGCAUGUAAAUUGCGGAGAGAUGGCUUGAACGCAUGACCUCUCAUUAAACUAAGUUCUGAUACCAUGUCAAACUAUCAAUUUUCUUAAAAGCUUAAACUUCCAAUUUUUUUAUUCAAUAAGUGUAUCAUGCUCUUAAUAAAACCAACUAAUGCUUUUCUCAAUCUAACAAUUAUGAUCAAUCGUAAAACCACAAGAUUUAUAAGGAGAGCCUUUAGAAAUAUAAGAUUAUAAAUAAAUAAAUGAAUAAAUCAUACCGUAUAGAAACCUUGCAUGGAAGCUUUUUUUUUACACUCGCUAUGGGUUGGUGCACAUUUCCAAUGGGAAUGCUUGACUAAUGGAAGUGAAUCCACCUACUGCUGCCUCUACCACCACUUUGGGACUACCAUCUACUCCAAUUCUUGAAAGAAGAUCAACCUCACAGAUCAUGGAAACAUAAAACUAAGAAUAUGUUUGGUUCCCAAAAAAUAUUAAGAAAAGAAAAGAAAUAUUAAGGAAAAUGAUUUUUUUUGUACACGUUUAGUUAUAUUAUGAAAAACAUGAAAGAAAGUUAAAUACAAUUAAAAUUAGUAAGAAAUACAUAUAUUCUAAAAUUAUUUAUUCUUUAUAUAAAUAGUUUAAAUAAGAAAAAAGAAUUUGAAAUAGUAUAUAAAAAUAAUUUAUUACUUUUAAAUUUAUUUUUUAUUUACCUUCACAUUUUAAUCUUUUGUUCCAUUUUUUAUUUUUACUUUAUUUCUCUUAUAUUUUCGUUUUAAAAUUUUCGAGAAUCAAAUAUAUAUAGCCUAAAAAGAUACUUCCAUUAGGGCACUCUGGGACCACCUAUUGGAAAAUUUUCACAUCAUAGUAUAUAUUCCUUGUAGUUUUUUUAAAACUUUCUCCAUCAGCUUUAAUAGAACCUUCAAUAGGCAUAUAUACUUGAUAAUGGAUGCUCCAAUGAACCCCUCAGUGACCAGUGCAGGAUGCAUGAAAAGUAAAAAAUAAAAAAAUAGAAAGACAAAACAACUAUUAGCUAAAAAAAAUGUGGGUAGCUCAAUAUAAAAGAAAUAAUUAACAUGUAUAUAUACAUUCACUUGGACAGAUUCCUAUAUACAUAAUGGCAAUGUAUAUAAAAUAAAAUUUUAAUGAAAUUACAAAUUUACUGGAUACUACAUACAUGACAAAAAUCAAUGUUUUUUCAUAACAGGCUCCUUGAUACAUUGUUUCCCAUCUUUUUUUUUUUUUUUCUUACCUUUUUUUCACAAUCCUUUGAAAGGAGAUAAAACCCUUUUGAUAUUGUUUCAAUCUUCUGGAAAGAAUCUAUUUUAAAUGUCAGUAUUUUUUAAUAUCAUUUUGAUAUUAUUGCAAUAUCAGUUGUAAUUCUAAAAAUUUAAUUGUACCAACAUUUAAGUGUUUUGUAGACUUCUUUUGGUUUAAGAAUAAUUUUAAAUAUCUAAAGAUACAAGAAAUUUAACUUUUUCAAUCUUUUAAAUUUUAGAAAGAGUUUCAAACAACAUAAAGAGUAAUUUUUUUUGCUUUUUCUAUAGAGUUUUUAUACUUAUAUAUAUAUAUAUAUAUAUAUAUAUAUAUAUAUAUAUAUAUAUAUAUAUAUAUAUGUUAAAGUAAAAAAUAAGAAAUUUAUCAAGCAUACACCUAACCUUUAAAAGUGGUUUGAUUAAUUUGAUCAUUAAAGUAUUAUGAAUAUGUGUAAUAAUCAAAAUAAAUGCAAGGAUGUUAAAAUUUCAAACAAUUUCUCAUACUUCAAUGUGAGAAUGACCCUUUAAUUAAAUAAAUUAUUAUAUAAUUUUAAAACUAAUGCUUGAUAUUUUUAUUUUCAUUUUCCUUUUUUUUAAAACAUAAUUCAAGUACAUGUAUAUGAAAUAACAAUAUUUUUUUUGCAUUUUUAACUUUAAAUAAAUUUGAAAUAGCAUAUAAAAAUAAUUUAUUAACUUAAAAUUUAUUUUUUCAUUUCUUCAACUUUUUAUCUCUAUUUUCUUUCCCUUUUUCUCUCUACUUUCUUUCCCGCAUAUUUUUCCCUCAAAUUUUUAGACAACCAAACAUAGCCUAUAUAUUCAUACCAAAGAAUGGGAAUUACAAAAAGGGAUUCCCCUUUUUAAGCCAUGGAAAUCAUAACACUACAUGCCUCUCAUUUUCUUUCUAUAUGAAAAAAAAAAUGUAAUUCUUUCAAAUUCAUUAUACACAAACAACAAACAAAAUCAACAGAAUCAAAAAUACCAUUUUGGUCUCACUUCCACUUCUUUCUCAGUCAAUUCCUGGUACUGGUACCACUCUCCUCCACCCUUUCCCACUGGAAUUAGAACUCGAAUGGAUAACUUCAAUUGUUUGGCAAUUUCUUCUAAAUUUGAACCAGAAGUUCUGAGUGAUCUCCCCAUUGGUUCAACAGGAAUCCAUCUUAGGCUCGAGAUGUUAAGAUAUGGCAUCACACAUAUUUAACAAUGGUACAUGACUAAGCUAUUCGCCUUUGAUAUUUAUUUUAUAUCGGUUUUCCACAGUAUGGGUCACCUUAUGUGUAGAGCCCAAAGCCAUCACGAGCCUUAGAUGAUGGGCCUAAGACUCGUGAGGCCCAAUAGCUAAAGGGUAUGGUUCCUAAGGUAGGAGGGUAUAAAUCCAUAGUGUGUGUCUAUUCAUUUUGAUGACAUCAGUUUUGGAAUAAGAACAGACACGUUCCUCUUUGGCUCCCAUCUUCUGAGAGAAUUUAGAAAGAGGUGGUGCCCUCCACAACCUUAGAAGAUCCAUACCUUGUCCAAAGGAAAAGCAACAAAAUGGAUUCAGGUUCGUUCUUUCCCUAUCUAGAGAUCAUAGCAUGCUUUUAAAAUUGAUAUAUAUAUAUAUAUAUAUAUAUAUAUUUCUGUUUGUAUUGUUGGUAAUAAUGGAGAUCAAAAAAUGUUUAUCAAUUGGUAUCAGAGCCUCCCAUUUUUCACCAAAAACUCUUAUUAAAUAAGAAACAAUAGAAUAAAUCUGGGGCAAUUUCAGGCGCCGUUAGGAUGCCGUUCAGGCAUUCAUAAUGUAUGCAGUUUUGGCGUCAUUCCGGCAUUCAAAAGGCACCAUUUGAGGCGCCAUUCAUGCGUGCGUUACAGGUGUUACAGGCACCAUUCAGGCAUCCGUUUCAGGCGUGGUUUAGGUGACACUCAGACACCAUCUCAUGCCAAUAAGGAGUGCCACUUUGGCGCUGUUGUGGGCUCCUAGCGAUGCUGCUCUUGGUGUCGUUAGGGAAUAAAGAGGGUGAUGCCGCCUGGAGGAGCUCCAUUCUGGCGCCAUUUCAGGCGAUUAGAGAAGCAUCAUUUUGGAGGCGCCGCUGAAGCACCAUUUUCAAGUGCCGUCACGGGCGGCGUUCGUAUGUCGUUCAGGCGCGAUUGGAGGCGAUGCAGGCCUUGUCUACUUUGUGCCUCUAACGCCGACUGGAGCAGCAUUAUUUCAGGCGCCGUUUUCAGGCGAUCUAGACGGCGUGUAGCGCUGUUCUUCAGGCAUUUCAGAUGCCGAUGAGAAGCGCCAGUUUUGGGCUCUGUAGGUGUCCGUUCUAGGUGCUGUUCGGGUAUCAUUCUCCCACCAUUUCGGCGCCGUGUUGGCGCCACUGAUUCCCACCGUUACGGCGUCAUUUUAACGCUGAUUUUGGUGAUCGGAGGUUGCAUUAUGGCGUCGUUUGGUGGCGUUUCGCCGGCGGCAACUUGUCGUUCGAAGAUGGUUCCGGUGUUGCUAUUGACACCACUGUCGGUUGGAUGUUAGAUGGAUCCCUUUUACAGCGUCUGAAAUUUCCAAGUUUUAUAAAUCAUGCCAUAAUGAAAGAUGGAAUAAUCAGAGUAUUAAAUGAUUAUGUCCUAUUGUGCUGUGGGAAAUUUAUAUUAUUUGUGUUGCAUGUAAAGUAAUCAGGUACCUUUUAAUGUCUUAUGAAUCAUGCAUAAAAUGGGCCACUAAAUCAUGCAUUCAUGAAUGAAGCCUUAUGAAUGGUUAUGAAUUGUUAUAAAGGAUUGUAUAUAUACAUGGGUUUGUGCAUAAAUUUUUUUUGAUUGAAUUAAUUCUUGUUGUAUUUACGUUUAAUAUUUUAAAAUAAAUGAAUUAUGUAUAUUUGUUGCCAAAGUAACUUGUAUUAUGUAAUUUUAUUUAUUUUGAAAUAUGUAAGCAUGUUAUUAUUGUAUGAAAUAAUCAACCCAAAGGAGGAUUAUUUUUUAUAUAAUAAUAAAUAAAGUAAUCAUGAAUGUGUGACAUAUAAGGUUUAUCUUGCAUUUGAUAUGUUAGUCCAAAGACAAACAUAUUGUUUUCGGUUUAUUAUUGUCAAUAUUUAUGAAUUAAUUUGUAAAAGGAUGCCAAUACAAGUUUAUAUUUCCGUCCAAAGGCUGAAUAUUGAUGUUUGUGCUAGGUAUCUUGUUGUAUGUCCACAUGCAUAUAUAUGUUUAAAUUUUUAUUUAUUCAUGUGUGUGAUGUUUAUAUGACUGAUUGUGAGCUUCAUUAUUAUUUCAGCAUCUUCUAUAUCUGCAAAUGUCAAUAACAUUCCUGUGCUUAAUGGCACAAACUUCAAGAAAUGGAAGGAGCAUGUUAUAAUUGUGCUCAGGUGCAUGGAUUUAGACUAUGCAUUAAGAGUGGAUCGCCCUUCAGAUCUUACUAGUGUUAGCACUACUGAGCAAAGGUCUGCUAUGGAAAAAUGGGAGUGAUCCAAUCGCAUGAGCCUAAUGAUUAUGAAGCACUCAAUUCUAGAAGCUAUAAGAGGUGCAAUACCUGAGGAAACCCAAGCCAAGGCAUUCUUGGACCAGAUAGCAAACCGAUUUGCUACAAACGAAAAGGUUGAGACAAGCACUAUUCUUAGUAAGCUUGUCUAUAUGCGGUAUAAAGGGAAAGAGAAUAUAAGGGAGUACAUUAUGGAAAUGUCUAAUCUUGUAACUAGACUCAAGGCACUAAAGUUAGAGUUGUCGGAAUACAUACUCGUGCACUUGGUCCUGAUCUCUCUGCCUACACAAUUCAGUCCAUUCAAAAUCAGUUACAACUCUCAAAAGGAGAAAUGGACUUUGAAUGAGCUUAUUGCUCAGUGUGCACAAGAGGAAGAGAGAUUGAAACAAGAGAAGAUAGAAAGUGCUCACUUGGCUUCCACAUCUCAGGGAUUUCGUGCCAACAAGAAAAGAAAGAGGGACAAUAAAGGAAAACAAACUGUAGUUUCUGAGACAUCAAAGCAGAAGGUGCAGAAGAAACAAGAUAAGGAGAUCACUUGUUUCUUUUGCAAAAUGGCUGGUCAUAUGAAGAAAACGUGUACUAAAUACUCUGCUUGGCGUGAAAAGAAAGGUACACUUCUCAACUUUGUUUGUUCAGAAAUUAAUUUAGCUGUAGUGCCUACUGACAUUUGGUGGAUAGAUACGGGUGCAACUACUCACAUAAGUGUCACUAUGCAGGGUUGCCUAAGGAGCCGAAUGCCAACUGAUGGUGAAAGAUACAUCUAUGUAGGAAAUGGCAACAAGGCUAAAAUCAAGGCUAUUGGUCUUUUUAGAGGACAAUUGGACUCUGGAUGUACUUUAGAUUUGGAAUAGACUUUUGUAGUACCGUUGUUUAGACGAAAUUUAAUUUCUAUUUCAUGUCUGGACAAAUUUGGAUAUUGUUGUUCAUUUGGAAAUGGAAUGGUUAGUCUUUAUCUAAAUUCAAAGGUUAUUGGUACAGGUAGUUUAACAGACAAAUUAUACAAAUUGAACAUAAAGGCCACUAAUGGAAAUGAAACCUUGCAUUCAAGUAAUUAUGGCAUUAAGCAAAAAUUAAUAAAUGAGAAUUCAUCAAUGUUAUGGCACAAGCAUUUAGGUCACAUUUCAAAUCAACAGAUUCAAAGGCUUGUGUCAGAAUGAAUUCUUUAUCCAUUUGAUUUCUCAAACUUUCAAGUCUGUAUAGAGUGCAUUAAAGGUAAACAAACAAAUAUGAGGAAAAAGGAUGCCAAUAGGUACAGUGACGUCUUGGAAUUGAUACAUACGGACAUUUGUGGUCCAUUCCCUACAGCUUCUUGGAAUAGACAACAAUAUUUUAUCACUUCCAUUGAUGAUUACUUGCGCUAUGGCUAUCUUUAUUUGAUUCAUGAGAAAUCUUAUUCAUUGGAUGUGUUCAAGAAUUUCAAAGCUAAAGUUGAGAACCAACUAAGCAAGAAAAUAAAGGUCGUCAGAUCUAACCGUGGAGGUGAAUACUAUGGUAGAUAUGACAGAUCAGGGGAAUAAUGUCCAGGGCCAUUCGCCAAAUAUUUGGAGUGUGGUAUCGUUCCUCGGUACACCAUGUCAGGGACUUCGAGCCAAAAUGGUGUAGUAGAGAGGCAAAACCGUACUCUUAAGGAUAUGGUAAGAAGUAUGAUCAGUCAUUCCACCUUACUAGAAUCACUUUGGGGGCGAAGCUAUCAAAACUGCAAUUUAUAUUUUGAAUAGAGUACCAAGAAAAGCAGUAGCCAAAGCCCCAUAUGAGUUAUGGACUAGCAAGAAACCUAGUAUUAGGCAUUUGCAUGUUUGGGGUUGUCUAGCUAAAGCUAGGCCUUACAAGCCAAAUGAAAAGAAAUUAGACUCCAGAACAGUGAGCUGCUACUUUGUAGGGUAUUCUGAAAGGUCGAGAGGUUUCAAAUUUUAUGAUCCCUCAUCUAGAUCCUUCUUUGAAGUGGGUAAUGCUAAGUUCAUUGAGGAUGUUGAGUUAAGUGGGAGAGAACCAUUAAGAAAGGUGGUCUUUGAAGAGGAAUCUGUUAGUAUUCCUAUGACUUGACAUGGUCAUAUUAUGUUUGAUGACACUAUUCAGAAUGUACAGUCGAUAACAGAAAUUCAAGACACACCUAAAGUUCCUCCUGCUCAAGUUAUCGAACUGAUUCAAGUUCAUGAAGAGGUAACUCAAGAACCUCAAGAACCUCAAGUGUAAGUGCCACUGAGGAGAUCCACUAGAGAAAGGACAAGUACAAUUUCAUAUGAUUAUGUUGUAUAUCUCCAAGAACAUGAGUUUGACAUAGGUCUGGAAGACGAUCCAAUUUCAGUUAGUCAAGUCAAACAAAGUUCUAACUCUGAAAAGUGGAUAGAAGCCAUGAAGGAAGAGAUGAAAUCAAUGAAAGACAAUGGUGUUUGGGACCUAGUAGAGUUGCCUGAAGGUAUAAAACCGAUUGGUUGUAAAUGGAUUUUUAAGACCAAACGGGAUUCAAAAGGCAACAUUGCUAGGUAUAAGGCAAGCCUAGUCGCAAAAGGUUUCACUCAAAAGGAAGGCAUUCAUUAUAAGGAGACUUUUUCACCGGUUUCGUCAAAGGGCUCCUUUAGAAUCAUCAUGGCACUUGUAGCUCAUUAUGAUUUAGAGCUACAUCAAAUGGAUGUUAAAACUGCGUUUCUUAAUGGUAACAUUGAUGAAACAAUAUACAUGGUGCAACCAGAGAACUUUGAGUCUAAUGAUUCAAAGAAACUUGUAUGCAGAUUAAAAAGGUUCAUAUAUGGUUUAAAGUAAGCAUCCUGACAAGGGUACAAAAAGUUUGAUCAGGUGAUCACUUCAUUUGGUUUUAAAGAGAACACUGUUGAUCAAUGCAUAUACCUCAAGUUCAGUGGGAGCAAAUUCAUUAUCUUGGUGUUUUAUGUUGAUGAUAUUCUACUUGCAAGUAGUGAUGUGGGACUUUUACAUGAAUCCAAGCGAUUUCUAUCUAGUAAAUUUGAUAUGAAAGAUCUUGGUGAUGCAUCUUUUGUGCUGGGUAUACAGAUCUAUAGGGAUUGUUCAAGAGGUAUACUUGGGUUAUCACAAAAGAGCUACAUUGAUAAAGUGUUGAGUAGAUUUGACAUGAGCAAUUGUAUACCAAGAGACAUGCCUAUGGCAAAAGGUGAUAAAUUUAGUUUGCACAAAUGUUCGAAAAAUGAACUUGAGAAGAAGGAUAUGGAGAGGUUUCCCUAUGCCUCGGCCAUAGGAAGUCUCAUGCAUGCACAAGUUUGUAUGCAUCCGGAUAUUGCGUACAUUAUUGGAAUGUUAGGCAGAUAUUUGAGUAACCCAGGUAUGGAUAUCUGGAAAAAGGCAAAACGGGUUAUGCGGUAUUUACAAAGAACUAAAGACUAUACGCUCACAUACCAUAGAUCCAGUCAUUUGGAGAUCGUGGGAUAUUUGGACUCCGAUUUCACGGGAUGUCUUGACAGUAGGAGAUCCACUUCAGGCUACAUCUUCAUGUUGGCUGGAGGAGCAGUUUCAUGGAAAAGUGUUAAACAAACACUUAUUGCUUCUUCCACCAUGGAGGCAGAAUUCAUAGCUUGCUACGAGACAUCAAACCAUGGGAUAUGGCUGCGGAAUUUUGUCACUCAGUUGUGAAUUAUUGAUGGGAUUGAGAAACCAUUGAGAAUCAAUUGUGAUAAUAAGGCUGUAGAAUUGUAUUCUAAGAACAAUCGAAGUUCGUCAAAGUCCAAACACAUUGACAUCAAGUUCUUGGUUGUGAAAGAAAGAGUUCAGAGUCUUCAAGUAUCAAUUGAACACAUAAGCACAAACUCCAUGAUUGUGGAUCUGCUCACUAAGGGUUUGCCACCCAAAGUAUAUCAUGAGCAUGUCACACAUAUGGGUGUUGUACACAUUGAUGAUGUGCCAGUAUAGUGGGAGUUUGUAUUUAGAUUUUGUGUUUUUUUCUUGAUGUGAUAUCAUGUUGUGUUAUCUGUACAUACCUUGAUUUAAAAAGACUAUUGUGUUUGAAUACUUUAAAUUGAAAUGAUGACUUUCAGAAGCAAUUUAGCAUCAAGUGUUGAAAGUAGAAUUUGACUAUUUUUUUAGUCAUAAAGUGGGACCAAUUGGAAAUAGACAUAUUAGAGAUCACAUUCUAUGUAAUUUCCAUGCUAUACAUCCAUACUUGAUCCAUGUUGCUAAUUUUGUUCAUAUUAUGAUCAUUGAUGGGUAUAGUUAUAAUUAUGAUUAACGAAGACUGCUUUGAUCCUACAUUAGCAUAACUAGUAAACCGAAUUGUUUAAGGAUAUUAAGAUAGAAUAGCAAGAUGAGCUCAAUAAAGUCCUAUCAUGAACAUUGCUUUGUAAUAUAUGUGGUCCAAGUGGGAGAUUGUUAAGAUAUGGACUCACACAUAUUUAACAAUGGUACAUGACUAAGCUAUUCGCCUUUGAUAUUUAUUUUAUAUCGGUUUUCCACAGUAUAGGCCACCUUAUGUGUAGAGCCCAAAGCCAUCACGGGCCUUAGAUGAUGGGCCUAAGACUCGUGAGGCCCAAUAGCCAAAGGGUAUGGUCCCUAAGGCAGGAGGGUAUAAAUCCAUAGAGUGUGUAUGUUCAUUUAGAUGACAUCGGUUUUGGAAUAAGAACAGACACGUUCCUCUUCGGCUCCCAUCGUCUAAGAGAAUUCAAAAAGAGGUGGUGUCCUCCACAGUCUUAGAAGAUCCAUACCUUGUCCAAAGGAAAAGCAACAAAAUGGAUUCAGGUUCGUGCAUUCCCUAUCUAGAGAUCAUGACAUGUUUUAAGAAUUGAUAUAUAUAUUUCUGUUUGUAUUGUUGGUGAUAAUAGAGAUUGAAAAAUGUUUAUCACGAGAUUGCCAAAUCGCAUGCAGGCUUGCACAAGCACAAACUCAGAAAUUUCUGAUCAAUGUACAUAGAAGAGCAAAAUCUAGCAAUAAUAAGCAUCAAAAAAAUUCAUACAAACCUGUCGCUAUCUUCAAAUUUUAUUAACAGUUGUCACUCUGUUUCAAGCCCUAUCCAGUCUUCCGCUCUCUGUUUUGCAGUUGGCAGUGUCAAAAGAACUCCAAGUUCUUUCUGCAUCAAUCAGGUUUAAAGCUCCCAUCACAUAGUACAUAAACAUGAUAACAAAAGUAGAGAUAAAUGGAUCUAAGAAUAAUAGAACUAGUGAGCUUUUAUGUAGGCAAAAGAAAGGAGAGUGCUACAUGAAUUUAGUUUAUUUACCAGAAUUCAGAGCCUCUCCUGCAACGCAUACAGACACAAGAAACAACAAGAAAUUGUAUAAUAUUGAUUUAUAUCUUUAGGACAUCUAAAAGCUGAUUUUAGUUUUACUUUUAUUUGGUAAACUCGUACACACAUGAAAUCAGCUUCCAAACCUAUAUUGUAUGCAUGCAACAUAUGGGACAAUUCAAUGAACCAAGCAAACACAUUUUUUGGCAGCUAGGUAAAUGAAUACUUUAAUUUAUGAAUUCUCUAAGAUCGAAUAUUCAUAAGCCAAAUAAGGGCAUUUACUUGAGAAUAACCAAGACAAUGACAACACCAGACACGUGCAUUGGCUCCUAGUAUUUUCCAAUUUCAAGGGUAGACAAGCAAAUGAUAUAGAAUAUUGAAUCAUUCCUUCUUCAUUGUAUGGAACACAUAAAACCCAAAACCUCCACCCAAUCGAACCUCCUACAAAUAUUUGGCUUCAUUGAGCUAGUAGGAUAUCAUUUUCUUGAGAAAAAUAUAUAUAUGACUCAUAAUUCAAUUUUCUGUUUUUUGAAAGGAUUUUCUCAACAACUAAACAAGGUACUCUUGAGUUCAUGUAUGCUAGCUAAACAAAUGCCAACUUUAUAUCUAAUGAAUACUUGGGAGACAACAGCACAUUACCACCACUUACAGCUAUAAAAGACCAACCAAGAGUACUUUCUAGCAUUUGUUAAAUAAUUGAUAAAUAAUUUUAUUAAAUUAUUAAAUAAUUUUAUUAAAUUAAUAUUAAUAAGUAAUUGAUAAAUAGCUAGAUGAUUUAUUUAAUUAUUGAUUAGUAUGUUUUUAAUUUUUAUAUGAAAGUAGCAUACUAUAAAAUAGCACAAUAUAUGUUUUUUCAGCACUUAAUAUUUAUACUAUAAUAUUUUAUUUGUAUUAAUUUACUUUUAGUGACAAAAUUUUAUUUUGCCCCUAACUUUUCACUGAGAAAAGUAUGUUUUCUUGUUAUUGAUAAUUUAUCAAUUUCCAAGGUUCAACUACUCUUUCAUCCACUUAUUGCAUCAUUGUUUGAAUCUAUUGUCACAUUUUUUUCCCAUGCUAAAACAUCUUAGGAAGCUUGGGAAUGAUUGACCAAAAUCUAUGCUAAUUAUUCUUUCUCAAUCUUAAUGUAUUCAAAGGAUAAACUUGCCUUUAAUACUCAUGGCACUAAGAAGGUGUUUGAUAAAUUAGCUUAGUGAUUGAAUGGCUUAAUUUAGUUAUUAAAUAUAGUAAAUAUGUUUGAUAAAGUAUCUUAAUAUUAUAGUAUAAAAUGUCUUUUGAUAAAUCAACUUAAUGACUUAAUAAGCUCAUUAUAAUAUAAUUUAAAGUCACUUUAAGUCAUUAAACAAUAAUUAUUAAGUUAUAUCAAAUGCUCUGUAAGUCAUUUUUUUAUUAGAUGUAAGUCAUCAAAGGAUAGUUGAUGAACUUGCUAUCAUUAGGGCCUAAAAAGAUAUAAUGAUCUUCCACUUUAUGAGAAACUUAUGAAGACUUCCUUAUAGGAGAAGAGUUAAUGUUUGAAUCUCAACUAAUUAUAACCAAGUUUGCAUGUGUACCUAAUCAAACUAAAAGAAUAGAAAUAAUUGCAGUAGACAUGUAAAGGAUGGUUGAAAUGGUUAGGCUAAUAGUAGAUCAAGGAUUGGUGUAGAGAGAACUAAUCCUAAAUAUCAAGGAAGUCAUAGAUUAGGUGUUGGUCGGGAAGUGAAUAUUAUGAUUUCAAAUGACUAUAGUUAGCAUAGACAAUUCACUAACCAUAGCUUCACUUGAGUAUAGGUGGUUCACCACAAAGUUACCAUACCAUUAGAUAGCAUAAAACUCAUUGUAAGUAGGGUAAAUGUGGGGGAAGGUUUGAUUGGCUCAUCUAGAAGUUGAGAGUGUGCUUAGCCAAGUGAACUAAUCAAAACGACUAGUAACGAGAUUUACUUGAGUUAUUCCUAAAGUGUAAGUGAUGAAAAAUAAGGUUUCUGGGUUACCUUCUUAAAUGCCUAGGAAUUCCGAUUGAUUGUUUCACUAACUAAUUUUCUCGCUUCAAAUCAUGAAUGGAACUACAAAUGUGAGAACCAUUCUUUUAUCACAGCACAAGAGCCUUGACCUUCAUUUUCAUAGAGAAAAACAAGAAUAACUUUAAGAGAAAAGACUUUUUGUUUCUUCAGAAGAAUUAUAUUCUUUCUUUUAUUUUCCGAGGAGAUAAUAAAAUGUAUUUCUUCACUUUUAUUUUCAGAAAGAGAGAGAGAAGAAAACAUAUUAUUUAUCUGUUUUGUAGGGAGAGAGAAUUCUUAGAGAGCGAGAGUAAAAAAAAAACUUAUUUUAAUUUUAAUAGUGGCAGUUUCUGGGUAGUUUUAAAACUACUAAAAACUUCUCCCCUUAUUUCUCCCAUUUAUUAGGUUGGGUCGGGUCAGCCUACUUGGUAACCCAAACUUAACUCUAACAUUUCCCACUUGCACAAGAUGGGUUGAAAUAGCCCAAUCACUCAUCCAACUCCAUUCUAUCCCACUUUUGAAGGUCAUUCAUACAGGCAAAUGGGUCGUGUGACCAUGCGAGCACACCUACAAUUUGGGUGGAUCAUAUGACCAUGCAAGCACACCUACAAUUUCGGAGCUAUAAUCUUAUGCACCUGUUAGGGAUACAUAGUAGCUCAAUCCCAAAAAAUUGUGAGUGAACAAUAAUAAUCUUGUCUCGUUGUACCCCAAGUUUAUUUAGUUACAUUUUAAUGUAUACACUUAAUAUCUCAAAGUUGUAUACUAUCCAACAUUAUAAAUGCAUUCAUAAUUCUAUCAAUUACAAAAGGAAUAUAACCAGUUGACCAUGAACACAUCUUUAUCAAUGUAACUCAAAUAAGUCUUCCUUAUGAGCUCAUGCCUUUUAUAUUCAAAUUAACUACUUGCCCAAUAUGUCCCAUAAGGAUAAAUUAUUUCAUUUUCGUCGGAAACAUACCAAAGUAGCAACAUUAAUUUGUCACCUCAAAACAUAGUCAAAUAGUACAAAGAGUACAAUAAUAGGCUAUUAUAAUUGUAAUAAGCUCUAAGGAUCUCACACAAUGAAUUUAAAUGAGGUAUGUUAAUGAUUGAUUGAAUAAAAUAUAAAUCAAGCUAGCUUUUUUAGUUAGUUUUUGAAUAAUUUUUUUCCAUCUUAGUUAUUAUUAUUAUUAUUACUAUUAUUACUAUUAUUAUUUAUUAUCAUUUCUAAUCUCAAGUUAAUUUUCAUAUAUAUUUGCUUUGGAUGAUUUGGGAUGACAAUUUAAAAGUUAGUUUUUUUAUUUACUAUUUGUUUUAGAUAAUUUAAUGUUAAUAAAAGUUAGAAUGUUACAAAUAGUAGUUUUGAGUUAAUUUUUAGGUUUUAGGUUUUAAGUAUUAAGUAAAAUAAUGUGUAGUUGUGUGUGAGUUAGUGUUUUAGGUUUUAGAUAUCAAAUAAAUUAGUGUAAUCAAAAUGUAAUGGUUGCUUUAUAAUGCAUGUUGAUGAUAGUGAAAAGUGAUAUAUAAUGAUUUUUUUUUAAGAUAAAAAUUCAUGUUGGAGGUUAAUUAAAGUUAGACUUUUAAAAUUUAAGUUUUAGUUAAGUUUUUUAUGUUAAUAGGAAAGUUGGUGUUUUUAAAAUAUUUAGUUUUAGAUAUUAGUUUAAUGUAGAUAAAAGUUAGAGUUUUAAAAAUUUUUAGUUCUAGUUUUUUCUUUAGUGUUAAUGAAAGAGUUGAAUUUUAUUUUUUUAGUUUUAGAUAUUUUCUUUAAUGUUAAUAAAAAUGUUAGAUUUUAAAACUUUUAGUUGUAGCUAGUUUUUAAUAUUAAUAAAAGUUAAGCAUUAAAUAUUUUAGUUUUAGUCAAAUUUUUUUAUGAUAAUGAAAAAAUUAGUCUUUAAAAUCUUUAGUUUGGUUGGUUGAUUUAAGUUACUGUUCUUUUCAUUAGAUUAGUUAGUUAUGUGGUAAAAUGCCUUUUACUUUGCUAUUUGAUUGGGUCAUUGUUGAUAAUUCUUGGCUUUAAACAUCUUAUUAUGAUUAUGCAUGUUACGUUUUACUCUCCUAAUUAAAUGUCAUCAUUUUUUGUCCUAACCUCUCUAUUUGUAUUACAAGUGUAUUUACAUUUAGAAUAUACUAUUUAGGUACACUCUCCAACUUUCACUUUCUUUUAAUGGCAUAAAAAAUGCUUUGAGUGAACUAUAUCAAUGUUUGAUAUUGACCUUGGGUGCCUAGAUAUAACGCAUGUUGAGUGAUAUAAUACCUGAACUAAAUUUGGUGUUUUGUAAUAGCAUUUAAGUUGCAGAUCUAGGUACACAUAUUGUCAAUACUUUAUGAUUAUGGUUUGAAUCCUUGUUUGACAUGCUAGAGUUAUCAAACUUUUGAAAUCACCUUAAUAUAUCUAAGUAUUCAUAAUCGAUUGAUUAAUUGUCAUAUUUCCCUCAACUUAGUUAGUAGAGACCUCGUUAGGGCUUAGAGGAGUGCUACCUCUUUGGAGGUACCUUCCUGAUAGGUAGCCUGAUCCCCGAGCCCAGAUUUAAAUUUUUCGCAAAUGGUUUCUCCAAAAGUUAGGAGUCAUUUUAGGGGUUUUGUUCUUACUUGAUUUCCCUUUAAAAAUAAAUAAAAGUAAGUGACGACUCCAGAUUUCACAAGAAUACAAUUUUUUUUAUUAAAAGAAAAUGAGUCUUGCUAAUCGAGUGGCAACUCCGACUUCAACAAAAAUAAAUUUUCACCCUAAAAAAAACGAGUCUCACCAGUUGAGUGGGAACACACGUGAAAAAUAAGGGUCCAGAAGAGAACUUCCAGAUUUAUCAUAUCCUUACAACUACUCUCAUGAAUUAGAUUAAGCAUGCUAUAACAUGAACUAGGUAGCCAAGAAAUUUAUCCAAAAAAACCAGUUUGAUUUAUGAUACCAAGAACUUUGGUUUCACAUUUUCUCUAUGGGUGUGAAUUGGGUUUAAUAUCCUUUUUCAAGUUAAAAUUAAUGAUCACCUUGAUUGAAAAUAAGCAACUAUAUCAAAAUAGUGGUUGUGAUAUAAAAUAAUGUUAUUACAAAUUUCCUUUUUGCCUAAGUGAUGAACAUUUUUUUUUACUUGUCUUGCAGGACUUCAACUCUUUCUUAUCUUAUUAUAAACAUGUUAUGGCAUAUUAUCUAAUGUGAGAUAAAUGCAUGCUUGAAUGCAAUUAGCUUUAUCCUUUCAACUUCUCAUCCUAUGAUUGAUUUUAGGAUGUAAUAGGUUUCUUGCUUUAUUUUGAUGAUCGCUUAUAUUCUUAAGGUGUUUAUUGUAUCUUUUAUUUGGAGAUUUGUGGACAUAUAAUCUCUAUUCUUUCUUAUACAAUGCUUUUGUUUGUAAUUUGAUGCUCUAUGAUUUAUCCAAACAACGCUAUAUGUAUAAUUUUUUUUAUGUUGGAAGAGUGCAAAUGUGAGCGUGUUGGAGUGCAAGUGUUUUAAGUUGCCAAUCCAACAUUAAAAGGGAUUGAAAAUUUUUGCAACUUAUUUUGUAACCCACUUUCAUAGCCUCUCGAGGUUAUGGAGAGGGAAGUGGAAGUCUUGUGUAAUCCAAUGGGAUUUCAAGUGGCCAACUCUAAGAACCUUACUACGUAGUAAGGAGCCCACUACCCCAUUGAUGCAAUGGUAAACUAUAUGAUUCCCUAUUUGUUGUAGUCUAGUCCACCAUACUAGUCAACCAUAUUCCUUGCUACUACAAUCAAGUUGACCAUAGACGACUAUAGUGAUCGCUCUUACUUGCUCGUAGUCCUUUGCCAUUGACAAUGCUAUUGUUGAAUCUACUAUAGCCACUAGUGUUGUCUACUCUAGUUGAGUCCACCAUUGCCACUGGUGUUAUCUUUGUACAAUCAUACCCAUUUCUAUAGCUUUCCUAUAGCCGCCUUUUGUCCUUACAUCUUUUAGAGGAGUUUUCCAUUGUUUGAGUUAUACUAUACCUUGUCCAAGGAGUGUACCUUAGAUAAGGAUUUUAGGCUAUUGAAUAUUGGAGUUAGGACACCAAUUCUUUAAUAUUUCAAGAUUGAUCUUAGAGAAGGGUGGAUUUAAUUUAAGAAUAAUGCUCUAUCACUCAAGCCAAACUAAUCUCAUAAGUGUCUAAGCUACUUUUUUUCCUCUUGUUUGUUGGUAUUUUGGGCUCGGUCUUGUUUAAACUCAAUUUCAACCAUCUAGUAUUUUGAACCAACAAUCUUAAAGUAGACUUAAUUUAUAAAGACUUCCCUAGUUCACAACCAUCCGGACACCUCUAAUAUUGAUCCCUUUAAUGGGACCUUCUUUAAGAAAUGGUAGGAAAUGGCCUUUUCUUCUAUUAACAUUAUGAACUUGGGACAUAUUUUGACUAACCUAAAACUUGAGGACAAUUUGCCUACAUGGGAAAUUGGAAAUAGACAAGUUAGGCGUGUUAUUCUUUGUACACUUUCUAAGGAUGUAUAUUGUCAAUAUUAGAUAGCUAAAGAUGCUUGGGAUAUCAUAUAUAAGAUAUAAGUUAUGAAAUACGCAUGAAUAUAGAAAUAUGCCAUGGGGAAUUUUACGAAAUUUUGGAUGACUAAGGAUAUAAAUGUAUCAUCUCAAAUCAAUUAUUAACACUUGUUAAUUAAUAACUUAUCUAAUGAGGAAAUAAAAUGAUUUGAACCUUCAAUGGCUAGAAAUUUGAUAGAAACUCUUCUACAUUCUUGGAAAGAUUAUAAAAACAACAAGAAGCGCGAAAGGAAACAAAUGUCCCUAGAAAAAUGUUGUAAUCCAUAUUUUAGGACUAGUCCUUAAAAAUAAUCAAGUGGUUGUCAAUCAUCCUAAUGUAUACUAUUUGAGUUAUAUUAUACCUCAUAAACAAAUGUCCCUACUAUUCGAGUUAUAUUGUACCUAAACCAAGGAGUGUACCUAUAGUUAGGAUACCAUCUCUCUGCUACAUCAAGAUUGAUAUCAAAGUAGGGCAAACCUGCUUUAAGAACAAUGAUCUAUCACUCUCCAAGCCACCCUAAUUUGAAAAGUGUCUAAACUUUUUUUUUUUUUUUUUUUUUUUUUUUGCCCACUUGUUUGUUUGUGUUUUAGGCUUAGUCUUGUUUCUACUUAGUUAGUUUCAACCCUUUAGUAUUUUGAACCAACAAUCUUAAAGUUGAGCUUAAUUUAUAAAGAUUCUUCCUUAGUUCACACCCAUCCCUAACCCUCUAAGAUUGAUCCUUUCAAUGGGACCUUCUUCAAGAGAUGGUAGGAAAGGACCUUUUUUUCCAUUAACAUUGUGAACUUGGAACAAAUUUUGAUUGGCCUAAAACUUGAGGAAAAGUAUGAAAAUUUUCCCAUGUAGGAAAUUGGAAAUAGACAAGUUAGGCAUGUUAUCCUUAGUACACUUUCUAAGGAACUAUUUGAUGUAUAUUGUCAAUAUUAAAUAGCCAAAGGUACUUAGGAUAUCACAAAUAAGAAAUAUGUUAUAAAAGAUGCAAGAAUCCGAAAAUACGUCAUGGGGAAUUUUAAGAAAUUUUGGAUUAUCAAGGAUAUAAAUGUAUCAUCUCAAAUCCAUGAUUAACACUUGCUAAUUAAUAACUUAUCUAAUGAGGACGUAAAACUAUCUGAACCUUUUAUAGCUAUAAAUUUGCUAGAAACUCUUUCAGAUUCUUUGGAAAGAUUAUAAAAACAACAUGAAACGUAAAAGGAAACAAAUGUCCCUAAAAAAAAAUGUUAUAAUCGAUAUUUUAGGACUAGUCCUUGAAAAUAAUCAAGUGGUUGUCAAUCAUUCUAAUGCCUACUAUUUGAGUUAUACCAUACCUCAUAAACAAAUGUCCCUAAUAUUUGAGAUAUAUUGUACCUCAACUAAGAAGUGUACCUAGAGGUAGGAUACCAACUCUCUGCUACAUCAAGAUUGAUAUCAAAGUAAGGCAGAUCUACCUUAAGGACAAUAUUUUAUCACUCUUCAAGCCACCCUAAUUUGAUACAUGUCUAAACUCUAUUUUUUUCCCACUUUUUUGUUUGUAUUUUAGGUUCAGUCUUGUUUCAACUUAGUUUCAACCCUCUAGUAUUUUUGAACCAACAAUCUUAAAGUAGAGCUUAAUUUAUAAAGAUUCUUCCUUAGUUCACUCCCAUCCCAAACCCUUUAAGAUUGAUCCCAUCAAUGGGACCUUCUUCAAGAGACGAUAGGAAAGGACCUAUUUUACUAUUAACAUUGUGAACUUAGAACAUAUUUUGAUUGGCCUAAAACUAGAGGAAAAUUAUGAAAAUUUGCCUAUGUAGGAAAUUGGAAAUAAAAAAGUUAGGCAUGUUAUCAUUGGUACACUUUCUAAGGAACUAUUUGAUGUAUAUUGUCAAUAUUAAAUUAAGAAUAUUUGGGAUAUCAUGAAUAAGAAAUAUGUUAUGGAAGAUGCAGGGAUCCGAAAAUAUGCCAUGGGGAAUUUUAUGAAAUUUUAGAUAAUCAAGGAUAGAAAUGUGUCAUCUCAAAUCCAUGAUGACCACUUGCUAAUUAAUGACUUAUCUAAUGAGGAUAUAAGAUUGCCUAAACCUUUUAUGGUUAGAAAAUUGAUAGAAAUUCUUCUAAAUUCCUAGAAAGAUUAUAAAGACAGCAUGAAGCACAAAAAGAAAUAAAUGUCCUUAAAAAUGUUAUAAUCCAUAUUUUAGGACCAAUCAUAAAAAAGAAUCAAGUGGUUGUUGACCAUCCCACUUAAGAACUUAUUUGGAUAUGUAGUGAUCUACAUUAUAUUUUUGUUUUGACAAUUUAAGAGGUUUGUUCUUGGUUUUCUAUUUUCUUUCCAAUUCCUUCUUAAAAGAAAUUAGAAUACUUUUAGGCUUACUUCACAUUAUGGAGUUAUAGGUAGAUUUUUUAAUUUCUUUGUCCUACCUCAAUUGUACUCCACCAAUGUAUUUGAUUAAUUGGUACCCUAUUUGAAUUUACAAGGCUAGCAUUAGCAGUGGAGAUGACUCUUGUUAAUUCAAGUUUGUGUUGAAAAUAUGCUUAAUCCAUAUUUGAACUAUUUAAUAGUUAUGUUAGAAUACCUCGAUACUUACACCACCCAUUUACUAAAUAAAUAACAUGGCAUAACAUGUUUAUAAAUAGGUUGGAUUGAAAUAUUAUUUAUGAAUUGAUACUUUUUACCCAUAACUUGAUAACAUGAUUCUAACUUGUUAAAUCAGUUAACAUGAUUACAAUCCAUUUAACCUCUUUAUGAUUUUGAAUUAAUAAAAUGUAUUUUGAAUUUUUUUUAAUUACUUUUAAGUUUUAAUUUCAAUUUUUUUCUAAAUCAUAAUUAAUUUAAUUAAUUGUAAUAUGCAAUAUGCUUAUAAGAUAAGAGAAAAAACAAACUUUAAUUUACACUUGUAUAGAGUUUUACUUUAAUUUUUCAAUUAUAAAAUAUUUUUAAUCUUUAUAAUUUUUUAAAUAUAUAAAGCUUUACUCUAUUAGUUAUUUAAUUUUUUAAUUAAUUAAAAACUAUCAUUUUUUGAAUUUUAAUAUAUAUAAAAUUUAAUAAAUAUAAUGGUUAAACGAAUUAGUAUAUAAAUAGGUUAUUUCUUGAACGUGUUAAAUUAGUCAAAAAUAAUUAUGGCAUAAACACAAGAAUGUCCUAUCCAAACCUACUAAAAUUCACAUCAUCUUUUAGUCGCAUUGUGAAAUAAUGCCAAAUUUGUUAGAAAGAAAUAACCUAGUAUUAAAGAUGUUAUUAAGAACCAUAACUUGCUAAGAAAUAACCUAGAUUAUAUCAAAGAACAAUUAGCUAGAGAAGAAAAUUUUGUUAGAAAUGAGAUAGAACAAAUAAAAUUAGAACAACAAAAUUUAAGAGAAACUUUAGAAAAAGUUAACCAAAAAGUAGAUAAACUUUUAGAACAAAGAAAUAUAGUAUCAUCAAAUGAAAAAAAAUUAAAUAACCUUUUAAAACAAUUUGAAAACUUUAGUUUAGGAGAGAAACCAGUAAUUAGAACAUAACAAAAAAUAAAUCCUUUUGAACCAAAAAGUUUAGCAAUAAAACCAUGGAAAUAGUAGAAGCAAUAAACCCCAAUGAUAAUGUAAAAGAAUUUAUUGAAGAAAAAUUAAAGAAAGUAAAGAAAGUAACACUUUACAAAAAACAAUUAAUUUAAAAUUCUAAAAUAACUAGAUUUUUAAACCAACAUACUAUAAGUUCAAUAGGAAAUAUUGUAUAUUUAGACUUAAUAUCUCCAAAAAUAAAACAUAAAUUAUUAAAAGACAAAACCGAUAAAUAUAUGCACUUAGGAAUAAUUUUAAUAGGAAUAAUAGGACUCCAUCAUAAAGAACUAAGAGCACUUAUAAAUAUUAAUUUUUUAGAUACUAGAAACAAUAUAGUAGGACGAGCUCUUUUAGCUAGCGAAGAAGUAAAAAUGAACCAAAAUUACACAGUUAUUGGCUGUAUACCACAAUUUUGUAUAGAUCUUAAGGAAUUCAUAAAAAAAUUAAAAUAACUAUAAAUACUAAAGGAUAUGAUAUGGAAUUAGGAAGCAAGAACCUUAGUAUAACAAUAGGAUUUAUAGGAAAAACUACCAAUGCUUUAAGUUUAAAAUGAAUGAUGGAAUUUGACGAUUCAGUAAAAACCUUUGGAAGUAAGGCUGUAAAUAAGAUAGAAGCAAAACUGUGAAUAUAGACUAUUUGUUAGGACGAGAGUGGGAAUUAACUCAAAUAAAUAAACUAGUAAUAAAAUAUCCAACAUCUAGUAGUUUAUAUGAAAACCAAGAUGGAAGUGUAAGUAUAACCUUUGGAAAUUAUAAAACUAUAAAUGUAGAGGUAGAGUCAGAUAGUGAGAUAGAAACUGUAAAUGUUAUACAAGAAAAUAUUUUACUAAACAUUGAAACAGUAGAAAACCUAUACAAAACUCAGAGCUAGUUCAUAUAAUGAUAAAGGAAUUUAGUAACCUAACAUUACUAGACGAACAGGUAGAUCAAGAAAAAUUUGUUGAUAUAAUGUGUAAAAACUAUACAAAUGAGCAAAUAAUAAAACAACUUUAUAAAACCAAUUUAAUAAAAAAACCUAUAGAUAUAGAAACAAUAAAUCAAUUUACUAUUCAACCAAAAGUUAAAGAAAACAUAGAAAUAGUCUUAAACGAGUCAGUAAAUAUAAUAAAUGAAGAAAAAGAAUUUGUAAAUGUAAAAAAUGAAAUAGUAAGAUAUAAUAAGUCGUACAGUAAGCCAAAAGGACCUCAAUGGAAAACUAAAACAAAACCUUCUAGUUCUUGGCAACAAAUAUAUGAAUAUGGAACAAUAUUAGAUAUAGAUAAUACAUAAGAUCUUAGGAAAACCAUAGAAAAUUGGGAACAAUCCUUAAAUUCAGUAGGUGUAGUAGUAUCCUUUGAAAACCAACAAGAAAUUUAUGAAUUUUGUAAAAAUACCCUUAGAGGAACUGUAUUGCAAUUCUUUAAAAACAUGGAACAAGAAAACAAUAGUUAUUUUCAAGAAGUUAGAAAUAAUUUUAGCAUAUCUGUAUUUAUAAAUCUAAUAAAGCUUUAUCUUUUAGGAACAACUCAAGAACAUGUAAAAGAACCCGCAAUAUACCUUCAUAAGUUAGAAUAAUUAAAAUUAUGUAACCUUUUGUAUAUAAGGGAAUAUGAACAAAAAUUUAGAAAAUAUGCAAUCCUUACUAGAGUAGAUAGAACCCUUGAAUAUUUAAAUAAAUAUAUAUUAAAAAUACAAGGAACGGUAGGACUUAGACUAUGGAAUGAAUUUACUACCUCCAAAUACAAAAACUCUCCUUAUAUGGGUGCUAGAAUAGAAUCUGUAAAAAAUUGGUUAGAAAGAGAAUGUGUAAGUAUAGGAGAAAGAAGUCAAAUAAAGAAACAAGGCAUAAAUCAACAACUUUGUAGAAAAUUACAUAUAAGAGAGAAUUUAGACAUAGGAUGUGGAGAAUAUAAGUUUAGAAAACCCAAGAAAUAUAAUAAAUUUUUAAGAAGAAAGUCAAGAACCUUUUAUAAAAAACGACCAUAUCAAAUGAUAUAUAAAAAACCUAGAAAGUUUUGGAUAAAAAGAAAAAGAACUACGGAAAGAAAAAUACAGUGUAAAUGUUAUUUGUGUGGCUAGGAAGGCCAUAUAAGACCUGAAUGUCUUGAGCUUAAAAAACCAUUAAACGAACAAAGUAGAAAAACCCAAGUAAAAAUAAACCUAAUAAAUGAGUAGCACGUAGAUAGUGAAAAAGAAGAACUCAUUAGUGAAUUAGAUUUUGAAAGUGAAAAUUCAAGUAUAUAUAGUAUAGAUGAUAGUGAAAUUGAAAAAGAAGAAAUUUGUAUGAUCAUUGAAAAAAAAGAAAAUCAACCUAAGAAAACCCCUUUAAAUUUAGAAAACCUUGUACAACCUUUAGAAACUAAAAUAAAACCUUAUAAUAUAUGGAAAGAUUUACAAAUAAUAAUUAAAACAAAAAUCUCAUAAGAAGAAGGUAGUUGUUCAAACCCUAAAGAAAUAGAAGAAUCAAUAAAAAGUCCUGAAAAAGAAAUAAAAGAACUAAUAGAUCCUAAAAAAAGAACCAUACAAACAAUAAAACAAGUAAAUACUACAAAUAAAGUUAAAUCUAUUAUUUUUCCAACAACAAUUAAAUUAAAAACCAUAGAAUUAAAGGUAGAUGCAAUGUUAGAUAUUGGAGCCAGUAAAAACAUUUUAUUUGAAACUUUAGUACCUCAGGAAGACCAACAAACAUUAGUUCAACCAGUAGAAUUAGUCCAAUAUAAUCAACAAAAACUAAUACUAACCAAGUAUAUUUCAAACGUACCAACCAUAAUUAAUAACAUAACCUUAGUAUUACCUCAAACUUAUCUUGUACCUACUAUAACUUUAUAUCCUUUUAUUUUAGGUUUAACUUUUGUACAUUCUUUACAAGGAGGGAUAACAAUACAAAAUAACCAAGUCAUUUUUCAUCCUAAAACCACAACAAUUGUUUAUACAAACAUGGAAAAUGUAUUAAAUAAAAAUCAUAAUGUAACAUCUCAUCAAAUUAACAAAGUAGAAGCACAAAAGGAUAGCAUAAUUAAUGAUUACUCAGAACAAUUAAGAAAUGCAGAUAAAUUAAAAAACCUUAUAUUAGAAGCAGAAAAAAUAGGAAUUAUAGGGAAGAUCCACAAAAACAUUGGAAUAAAAAUAAAACAACCUGUAAAAUGCUAAUUAAAAACCCGGAUUUAACAAUAAAAACAGCAAACAUAGCAUGUAACCUUAUAGAUACAAAGGAAUUUAAAAUUCAAAUAGAAGAACUGUUAUAGAAUAACCUCAUAAAACCAAGUUUCAACCCCUAUAGAUCCUCAGCUUUUUUAGUUAGAAACCAUAAUGAAGAAAAAUGAGGAAAAACUAGGAUGGUUAUUAAUUAUAAAAGAUUAAAUGAUAAUACAUAUGAUGAUGCCUAUAAAAUUCCAAAUAAAGAUUCUUUAAUUAAUUCUAUUCAAGGAUGUAAAUACUUUUCUUAGUUAGAUUGUAAAAGUGGAUUUUGGCAAAUUAGAUUAGAAGAAGAUAGUAAACCAUGGACAACGUUUUCAUGUCCUUGUGGAUUAUAUGAAUGGAAUGUAAUGCCAUUUGGACUAAAAAAUGCUCCUCAGAUAUUCCAACGAAUGAUGGAUAAUAUUUUUGGUAAAUAUUCUUUUGUUCUUGUAUAUAUUGAUGAUAUUCUUGUUUUUUCAUAUACUCUUCGGGAACACAUAAAGCAUUUAGAAUUUAUUUUUAAAAACUAAUUAGUCAUGGAUUAAUAGUAAGUAAAAAGAAAUUGAAAUUAUUAAAGAGCCAAAUAGAAUUUUUAGGAUUAGAAUUAAGAGGAUGGACAAAUAAAAUUGUAAGAUCAUAUAGUACAAAAAAUAAAUAAUUUUCCGGAUAAACUAGAAGACUUAAAAACCCUUCAAAGUUUUUUAGGAUUAUUAAAUUAUGCUGGGUCAUAUAUUAAAAAGUUUAGUAGAUUAGUUGGACCCCUUUAUAGUAAAACAAAAAACACAGGGCAAAGAUAUUUUAACCAAGAAGAUAUUAAACUUGUACAGAAAAUAAAAGAACUUGUGAAGCAUCUCCCAACCUUACAUUUACCCUUAGAAAAUGAAUAUAAAAUAGUUCAAAGUGAUGCUAGUCAAACAAGAUGGGGAGGUAUACUUUUAGCAGUAACUAAUAUAGGAAAGGAAAAACUUUGUAGAUAUUGUAGCGGAACUUUUAAGGAUUAUCAAAAGAACCUUAGUUCUACAGACUUAGAAAUUGAAGCAAUAAUAUUAGUCUUAGAAAAUUUUCAAUUAUUUUUUAACCAAGAAUAAUUUACUUUAAGAACUGAUUGUGAGAAUAUUAAAAAAUUCUUUGAAAACAAAAAUUCUUCAAAAUUGUCUACCAAAUGAUGGAUAAAGUUUCAAAAUUCUUUAAUUGGUUUCAAACCCAAAUUUGAACAAGGAAAAGAUAACAUAUUAGCAUAUUGGUUAAGUAGACAAAUAAUUAAUAAUGUUGAUAAUAUUAAUGAUUGAUUUUAUGAUUAUAAGAACAUGGCUCAAAGAAAACCCACUAAAGCUAGAACCUUUCAAUAUGGAACCAUAUGUCUGAACGAAGUGUUGAAUCCAAAUUUGAGGUUUAACUCUUUAUUUUCUCAAAACCUUUUUGAAGAACAAAAGGUUAUUGUAGAUAAAUUUUGGUCUCUAAAACUAUAGAGUUUUCCAAACCAAAAUUUAGAAUACGCUUAUGGAAAAACCAUGUCAGCUUUAGCCCAACACUUACAAAACCUUCAAAACCAACUAAUUGCUUUAGAAACCCAAAAUUUUCAAAACCUCAAAAUCCAAGAAAAUCAGGAAAAAUUGAUAGAAGAUUUGAAAACCAGUACAGUGUCAACCAAUCAAACUAGUUGUUCAAACAUUCAACCUGAAGUAAUUAGCUUAAUUAAGAAAUCAGCUCUUCUAAUCGAACAAUAUGAAAAACGUGUUGUUAAAAACCUAAUUGGAGUUGAUAACUACUCUUUAGUCAAAACCUUUUUUCUGCAAACCCAAUAUAAGAAAGUGUUUAAAAAUCAAGAACUUUUGUAUAAACAUUUUAGAAUAAAAAAUGUCAAGAUAAAAACAGGGUAUAUGGCAUAUCAUGACCCUGAAUUUUUCUUUGUUAUAUAUUUAGCUUAUGUAAAUAUGUCUGUUGUAAAUAGAGAAAUUUUUUAUUUAGUACCCCAGCUCAUGGAUUAGGGAAUUUUAAAAAAUGUUUUUAUGAACCAUGGAUUUCAAAUCCUUGAAAAUUUCCUAGAAAAAUUGAAAGAUAUUUUAAGCUAUCUUUUUAAAACCGAAAAACAGAUAGAUAUUUCUUUUGAAACCAUUCCACCUUUAUUUCAAACCGAUGGAUCAGUAGUACCAGCCUAUCACCAUGUAUAUAUAAAGCAUAAUAAAGAACCACUCAUCCCUCAACAAGAACUAGAAUGGGAAAUGACCUGUUCGAAUGAAUUUCCAGAAUUUUUUACUCGCUUUAGAGCUUUUCAGAUUUAUGAUCUUAGACCAACCCGAAACAAGUUAUUUCAUCUCAUUGGUGAAACAAAAACUAUGUCUAUAUGGAGAAACAAACCGUUAGAACACAUCAUUGUUCCAAAACCCUUUAUUACUUCUAAAGAAUUGGAUUUUAUAACCGAACUCAGUGUAGAUAUACCAUAACCCUCUUCCUACCUCAGCGAUGAUGCAUUAUUUUGGGAAAACCUGGACGAUGAAAGUUAUCAUAAUCUGCAAAAUGCAAUGGAAGGAUGAUGUCAGCAAUGACGAUAAUGAAGCAGUAAAUGCGUCUCUAACUGCAAAAAUUUAAUAUAGUAGUAGAAGUUAAAAAAGAAGGCCAUGUAUUCGGCAUGUGAUGGAAAAGAAAAGAAAAAGACAAGGAGAAAGUGGAAGAAGUAUCAGACGGAUGGUUAAAGAAAAACCAAAAGUCAAACCUCAUAAUGACUUUACCAUCCUUGUAUUUAUUAUCAACCAAACCUGUAAAUAUUUUUCCUGCCAUCCAACCACUUGAAUUAAUUUUCACUUGUCAUUUGUAAAUGCUUUGUCUAUAAAUUAGUUGUAGUAAAAGAAAGAAAAGUGUGUCUGAAGAAGUGUAGAAAAAAGUGUGUGAAAAGUGAGAGCAAAGUAGCAAGUGGAGCAAUCAUCUGUGUCUUCAUUCAUCUUGUAAAUUUAUCAACAACAAGAAAGUAAGAAUUUUCUGUUAAAUUUCUGCUUUCAUUUAGAAUUUAUUUUAUUUUGUGUAUUUUUCUUACCCUUAGGGGGUAAAAGUGGUAAAAAAGUAAAGUGGGGAAAUGAAAAUUAUUUGAAUUAUUUUCCAAUUUUCUUUACUAGUUAAUAUCUACAAUAUACAUGGAUCCUUUAUAUAUAUAUAUAUAAUGUUCCCGUCAAUAUAAAAAAAAAAUUUGGGUUAUUUAGAAAAUUUUGGGUGUAAAAUCAGGUUUUAAAACUAGAGUCUUUAGUCUUAACCCUUGACCUAUGACCCGUUUUUGCCGAAAAAAUUGGCAUGUUAGGAAGACUUUGUCUGGUCAGAAGGGGGGUAUUACCUUGACACAAAGUGAUGUUUUAAAAUUUAUAUUUUUAUUACCUGAAUUUUUUAGAUAUCCGAUUUCAAAAACUUAACUUUUAUGCAUUAAAUGGUUUCAUACUAUAAACUGGGAGCUUUAAGUUAACUAUAUAUUAAAAUAAUAAGUGUUUGAAAAUGUUUAUAUUAAAAUAAUGAGUGUUUGAAAUGUUUAUAUUAAAAUAAUAAGUAUUUUGAAAUGCUUAUAUUAAAAUAAUGAGGAUAAUAAAUGCAUUCACACUUUAAUUGAAUUUAAAACUUUCAUUUUGAACGGAGAUUUCAAAACCCCUACCACUGUGUGUCAAUAGCAAACUGUUGUUGAAAUUGAUGCUGUUGCUAAUGGGAAAAGUUUGUAUCAGAGCCCCUCUGUGUACUGCUGUAUAUUAAUUAGCAAAGGAAACUGUAGAUUCAAAUUAAUUUUCAGAGUACGGAACUUUAUCUUGCCCUAUUUAAAUAUUUGCUUGAUUUAUUCUGCAUCUUUAUUUAAUCUGUUAUGUAUUCGCUCAUUUGAUAUGAAUUAAUGUCUUCUUUUAUUCCUUAUCCUCCUGGUAUAUAUAAUAUAGAUUAUGAUCGUAUAAAAGAACUUAAUAAUAGGUUGUAUGCUCAACGUAAAGACUUUAGAGAAACUUGUGAUAAAUUGCAUAAUUUAAGAACUACUGUAAAAGAUUUAACCACAGAUAUCAAAAACCUAACUUCUCUUAAAUAUUUGAACGAAUACGAAGUAGCUAUACAAGAAGCUUUUGACGAACUUUUUGCUAUAGACCCAAGAGGUAAAACUAUAGUAUUGCAAGAAUAUAAGAAACAAAUUUAUAUGCUAGUUCAUCUCAUUAGGAAAUAUUAAAAACUAAUGAACCCUCAUCUACAAAUCCAAGAGGUAAAAAAUAGUUAAAAUUUUUAGUAGAGUCACAAUUAAAAAUAACAAACGUAGUAUUGCAAGAAUAUAAGAAACAAAUUGAGGAAGAAAACCAAAAUAAUAUAGAUUGUUUAAAAGAAAUCUAGAGAAGACAAAUAAAAUUCGUAGAAAAACUAAACACGGUCUUAGGAAUUAGAAAAGAAACUGGAAGACUUUAAAAACCAUAACUUGCUUAGUAUGAAAGUAAGAUUUUCUGUUAAAUUUCUGCUUUCAUUUAGAAUUUAUUUAUUUGUGUAUUUUUCUACCCUUAGGGGUAAAAAGGUAAANNNNNNNNNNNNNNNNNNNNNNNNNNNNNNNNNNNNNNNNNNNNNNNNNNNNNNNNNNNNNNNNNNNNNNNNNNNNNNNNNNNNNNNNNNNNNNNNNNNNNNNNNNNNNNNNNNNNNNNNNNNNNNNNNNNNNNNNNNNNNNNNNNNNNNNNNNNNNNNNNNNNNNNNNNNNNNNNNNNNNNNNNNNNNNNNNNNNNNNNNNNNNNNNNNNNNNNNNNNNNNNNNNNNNNNNNNNNNNNNNUAUUUUCUAUUGAACUUAUAGUAUGUUGGUUUAAAAAUCUAGUUAUUUUAGAAUUUUAAACUAAUUGUUUUUUGUAAGGUGUUACUUCCUUUACUACCUUCUUUAAUUUUUCUUCAAUAAAUUCUUUUACAUUAUCUUUGGGGUUUAUUGCUUCUACUAUUUCCAUGGUUUUAUUGCUAAACUUUUUGGUUUAAAAGGAUUUAUUUUUUGUUCUGUUCUAUUUAUUAGUUUUUCUCCUAAACUAAAGUUUUCAAAUUGUUUUAAAGGUUAUUUAAUUUUUGUUCGUCUGAUGAUACUAUAUUUAUUUGUUCUAAAAGUUUAUCUACUUUUUGGUUGACUUUUUCUAAAGUUUCUCUUAAAUUUUGUUGGUCUAAUUUUAUUUGUUCUAACUACAUUUGUUAUUUUUUUUUUAAAUAUUUUAUAAAGCAAUAAAAUUUAAGUAACUAUGAAAGUCUUAAAAAAAUUAUAAAACAAAAUAAAUUUAAGUAAAAGUAUAAUAUUUUAUUUUAUUUUAAAGUUUAUUUUCAAAAAAUUAACAAUCCAUUUCAAUAUUUAUUAGAUAUAAAAAAUGUAACACUUGUCUUUUUAUUUCUAUUAUUAAAACUACAAACAUAAAUAUUAAUUUUCUGAGUGAAUUAAAAUCAAUAAUAUGUUUAUUUAUAAUUUAUUGAUUUUUAAUUAUGGUAAGAUAUAUCUUUUUUCGGUAAAAAAAUUGAUGUGGUAUUUUUCUUAAAUUAUAAUUUUGGAAUCUACCCCACAUCAUUACAUUUAAAGAAAAAUAGAAGAUCUUGUAUCCUCUUAUGAAUUAGACAUGAUUUUAAUCCGAGAGUAAAAAGAAAAAUGUUCUAUCCUCUUAAGGAUUGUAUAAGAUUUUAAGGCAAAAUAUAGAAUAAAUCUAGUUGGAAUCUCUUAGGAAUUAUAAUGGGCAUUAAUGUGAAUUUGAUUUUUUUUUUUUUUUGACAAGUGAACUCCUAUCUUGCAAUUUUUUUUCCAUUUUAGAUUAUCAAAACAUACUUUUCCCAAGCUUAUACACAUUCUAUUCUUGAUCAUUUGUGUAGAUAUGUAGUGUUUUAAAUUUGUACUUCAAAAAUUCAAGAUAUUUGAUAUUGGUUUUCCAUAUCCCUUUCAAUUGCCCCUUAACAAAAAUUAAGAAUCCUUCUAGGUUUACUUUCCAUUAUGGAGUUAGGGAUAAAAUGUUUAAUUUCAUUUCAUAAUUCAAUAGAUCUAGCUAUUGUUUAAGCCUUAAUAAAUUUAUUUGCUCUGUACCCAAUUUGAAUUCAUAAGCUUAGCAUUUGUGGUAAUGGUCGAUGUUCUUGAGGUAGGUAUAUAUAUCUAUGUGCAUGAAAAUUAAUUCAAUCCAUAGAUGAACCAUUUAAUAAUCAUAUCUAAAUGAAUGAAUAACAUGAUCACAUAACUUAUUUAAUAAAUGAGUUUUUAGCAACAAUUUUUCGUCAAAAUCUGUUGCAAGAAAUGGAUAAUCCAUAAACCUAGCAAUAUCGUUGCACUCUUUAAAAUUUUAAAUUUAUAAAAUAAUAUUUCAAAAUUACUAUUUAAUUCAUUUUAAGUUUUUUAAAUAUUGAUUAAUUUAAUUAUUUAUUUUUAAUUAUAAUAUUUUUAUAUGAUAAAAGAUAAAUUAAAUUUUAAAUUCUAUUUAUAAAAGAUAAUUAUUUAAAUAUAUAUAUAUAUAUAAGUUUAUUUUAUUUGCUAUUUAAUUUUAAAUUUAUAAAAUAUUUAUACAUCUUUAAUUUAUAUAAUUUUUUAAUAUAUAAAAUUAGUAAAUUUAUAUGGUUUAAAGGAUAAAACAGUUGGUGUAUAAACAUGUCAUUUUGACAUGAAUAAGUUAAUAGGUUAACUAGAUUAAUAAAAUAGGUUUGAGUCAUCAAACCCAAACAUGAGUCAUUUAUUGAGCAUAUUAAAUUAGUUGAUACAAUUUUGAUAUAAAUAAAGUUAUGCUCUAUCCAAAACUAAUAGAAUUCAUAUCAUUUCAAAUUGUCAUGUGAUGUCAAAUUUGUUAUAUACAAAAUAGACCUAGCCAAAAGUAGAGAUGGCAACGGGACUAGUCACCUUCAUCCCAACCCCGCUUCAUUUAUUCAAAAUAAUUCUCAUCCCCGUCCUAUUAAAAAAAUUAAACGAGAUAGGGCAAGUAUGUGAAUUUCCCAUACCCGCCCUGCCCCGUUUAACUUCUUUUUUUUUUUUUGAAAAAUUUUAUUUUUUUUAAUUGCAUUAAAAUAAAUAUAUUUUAUAAAUAAUUAAAAUAUUAUAAUUUUAUAUAACUUAUUUUAUCGAAAAGUAUUAUUAUUAUUAUUAUUAUUAUUAUUUUAAAAUUAAUUUUUAUAUAUAAUUGAUGUAGGACAAGACAGGACAAGGCAUAUUUGAACCCACCCUCUUGAGUAUAAAAAAAAUCUUAAACUCCACUCCUAACCCAUUUACUUAAAUUUCAAACCUAUCCUUUUAGGGUGGAUAGGUACCCAAAAAAACCGCCGCUAUUACCAUCCCUAACAAAAACUAAUGAGUCAACCUUGUCAAAAGUCUUCAAAAAUUUAAGGAAAAGAGAAAAAAAGAGAUUAGUGGGGCCUUACUAGUUAUGAUUUUAGAACCAAUAGUGUGAGAAGGGACAAGCUUAAUGUUUGGAUUGGACAUAGAACCAUUCAGCUGAACAAAGUUGCUAAAAUGGUUUCAUAAAUUAAUAUAUAUAAAAGUGGAGAUAUUAAUUUGUCGAGAGCAUGUAGAUAAAUUAAACAUAUCCAAAUAUAUUAUAUAAAAUGUCAAGUCAAUAUAUAUGUGAUUUUUUCAUGAGUUUCCUUUUUAAUCAAAUUCUGGUAAAAGAAAUAUUAAUAUUUGGGUAUGGUUUAAAGAUAUUGCUUUAAAGUAUAAAGAAUUUUUGAUAAUUUACCUUCAGUAUUUAAAGCACCAAUAUAUGUUGGCUUACGAGAACCUUUAUUGGAGCUGGAUUCACUUGGUACUUUCAACGUGAGAGAAGUUUCUAGGAAAUUUUUUACAGUAUAAGAGAAAAAAAAUGUACAAUUUUCCACAGAAGACCAUGAAAUUGAAUGAGUUUGCAUAGACUAUUUAACAAGAAAAUGUACUAACAAAAUUUUCCACACGAUGAACAGAUAACGAUGAACUUGAAUGAGUUUCCAUGGACUAUUUAACAAGAAAUGAACAGAUAUUUUCCAUUGACUUGGAUGUUUUAUAAGACUUCCAUGUGGAAUUUUCAAGUGCCACGUGGUUUCGGGAGGAAUGAAUGGAAAUUUUUGACGAGUUAACAUUGUUGUAUUUAACGUGGGCCUUCCUACACAUAUGAUCUUCCAUUGACUUGGAUGUUAUAUAAGACUUCCAUGUGGAAUUUUCUAGUGUCGCAUGGUUUCGAGAAGAAUGAAUGGAAAUUUUUGAUGAGUUAACACUGUCGUAUUUAACGUGAGCCUUCCUACACUCAUGAUAUUUAGAGUUAUAACAUCAUCGAUCGUGCAAAACAAUCCAGUAAAAGUUAUAAUAAUGAUAUCAGACAUAAUUAAAAGGGUGGGACAAGCGUGAGAAAUAGAGCGGUUGGCUUAGUAGAGAGAGAGAGAUAGAAAUUGCUUGGUCCUUUCUGCAUGUUCAGUCGUUCAAUCUAUCGACCUUCUAAUUCCAAAGUGUCAAAUGGUGAGAGAUUGUCUGCACAACAAAACUAGCUCUCACAUAUUGAAACACAAAGAAAUUAAGAAGGCAUUAGGCUUUUGUGUGUUGUUACCACAUGAUUUGGUAUUACUGGUAAUUUAUUAGAAAUAUUUUAUUUCAUUUUGCUUUAUUUGCAUCAACAUAAUAACAAACUUAUAUUUAUAAUAAACAAAUCAUCGUUGUAUAUGACUCUAAUAUUUUUCAAACUCCUAAAAUACUUUGAAUUUGAAGUAAGAUACCUAUGACCUGUGGGUUAUGAUGAUUAUACUUGAGUGGUAACCUUGUAAGUUAUGAUGAUUAAAUUUAAUAAUAUAAUGAUCAAAUAUGGUAUGCAAAAAUAAAAAAAUAAAAAUAGGAGUCUUUGAUGUUACCAAGUGAUAAAUAGUGAUUAAAUAAAAAUGAAUAAAUAUAAAAAUAGGAGAAACACAACAAGAAAAGUUGAACAAAAAGUGAUAUACAAGUCUUGCUCUUUCAGAAAAGUAAAGUUGAAUUGUGGAUGUCUCAAUCCACUAAAUUGGCUUCAAAAGCGAAGAUGCAAGGGUGCUUUAUGCCCUUGAGAUCAUGAGAUAAUUUAAUUUAUUACUUAUGAAUUAAAAAAUUAGGUAGACUUACAAGAAGGUAAAAGACUAAUAUGGUUAUAUGACUAUUAUAAAAAUAAAAAAUAAAAAUAAAUAUUGUAACAUCUCUUUCUUAUUCUUUGCUCGGGGGACAUGUCCUAGUUGUUUCACUUGACUUUGAAUCAUUAUACAAUCAACUUUCAUAAGUUAGUUGGAAACUAAAGUAAUGAUGCAAUCAACUUCUUUAUUUUUUUCCCUAGUUUGUGAAGAUAUCUUGAUUAAUGUGUUUUUCUUUGUAAUGGAGUUUCAAUAGGUUGAUAUAACUUAAAAUAAGAGAUUAAAGAUUUGUAAUUAUUUUUGGUAAGUAGAAAACUAAAAUAAGAAAAUCUUUCUUCCUCAUUUGUCAUUAAUUAUUAAUUAAAUUUGAUUUUGGAUCUGUUGUAAACUGUAGACAUAAUGCAAUUCACUCACAAUAUGAGAAUGAGUCUUAUUCAAUUCAAAACAAGCUAUAGGCUUAUAUAAGCCUUACAAAAGAAAUUAAAAAGGAAACAAACAGCCCACGUAAGAACGUGGUAAAUGGCUAAGGAAAUAGUCAAAUCCUACCAACAUGUCCCAAAAAAUAGGAAUUAUUAACAGAAUGAAAUUCUAACAACUUUGACUACUUUAACUGAACAUCCCAACAGGAUCAAGAUAUGUUAAUGAAUUUACAUAAGUUGAGCUUAAGGAAUCAUAUCAAACAUUGGAUAUUUGUCAUUAACUAUUAAUUAACAAAAUUAGAGAUUUGCUAGAAUUUCAAUUAACUUAAACAAAAGUGAUUUGAAAAAACAGUUUUUAUAAGAAUUUAUAACAUUUAAAAGAAAAAACAGUUUAAUUCAAAAACUUUUAGGUAACUUUUAAAAGUUUACGUGUCCCAACCUUGCCCUAAUUAUUUAAAUCAAUUUCCAGUCCCAAUAAAUAAAGAAAAAAGAAAAAAAAUGAAAAAAACCUUAAUGGAUAAGGUGAAUAUAGACAUUUCUUUUGUAGAAAUGGAAUUAAAGCUAAGUGUGGGCAUGUCUUGUAUUUUGUAGACAUGUCUUAGUGAAUUGACUUGACUUAUUGAAUGAAGGUUUUCCUAUUACCAUAUUUGUUAGAAAAUUAAUAAAUUUAUGUAUAUUUUAAUAAAAAGUAGAUUUGAAAAUUUACUUUAUAUGUUUAAAAAGGGAAAAUGAAAAUAACUAAAGUAAAUAAUAUUUUAUUUGAUUUUAUAUGGAAUCUAGGUAUGGUAGGGCAGUAUAAACUUUCAUUGUAUCUUACAUUUUGAAAAAUAAAAUCUCAAAUGAUGACAACAAGGUGGGUUUGGAGUCGAUCAACCCUAUCCCAACCUUACCCUGAUUGUUUAAAUCAAUUUCCAUUGCCAAUAAAAAAGGAAAAAAGAAAAAAAAAGAAAUAAACCGUAAUGGAUAAGGUGAAUAGAGAAAUUUCUUUUGUAGAAAUGGAAUUAAAGCUAAGGGUGGGUAUGUCUUGUAUUAUGUAGACACGUCUUAGUGAAUUGACUUGACUCAUUGAAUGAGGUUUUACUAUUACCAUAUUUGUUACAAAAUUAAAGCUAAAGAUAGUGUAAUCUGUCUUUCUUAUCUUCUAUUUUCUAGACACAUCUUAGUGGAUUCACUUAACUCAUUGAAUUAACAGCACCAGCAUAAUGCAUAAAAACCUAACAUGAUUAAACUUUUAAACAUAUGAAAACGUAUUUUUAGGGAUGUCAACAAAAUGGUCAUCCAUUCUUGACCUACCUUAUUUUUCAAACACAUUCUCAUCACUUUUCCAACCGCAGAAUGAGGUAGAACGAAGUAGAAAAGUGAAUUCCCAUACAUGCUUGGAUUAAAAAUUCUCUAUUGCAUUAUUUUAAAUUUUCAAUUAUACUAAAAAAAAUAUAAUUUAUAAAUAAAAACAUUAUGUUUUUAACAAAUUUUUUUGUAUAUUUUAAUAAAAAGUAGCUUUGAAUAUUUACUUUAAAUGUUUAAAAAGGGAAAAUGAAAAUAACUAAAGUAAAUCAACUUUUAUUUUAUUUUAUAUAGAAUCUAGGUAUGGUACGGUAGUAUAAAUUUUCAUUGUAUCUUACAUUUUGAAAAAUAAAAUCUCAAAUUAGGGAUGACAACAAGGUGGUUUUGAAGUCGAUCAACCCUAUCCCAACCUUGCCCAGAUUAUUUAAAUCAAUUUCCAUUCCCAAUAAAAAAGGAAAAAAGAAAAAAAAAAAGAAAUAAACCUUAAUGGAUAAGGUGAAUAGAGACAUUUCUUUUGUAGAAAUGGAAUUAAAGCUAAGGGUGGGUAUGUCUUGUAUUAUGUAGACACGUCUUAGUGAAUUGACUUGACUCAUUGAAUGAAGGUUUUACUAUUCCCAUAUUUGUUAGAAAAUUAAAGCUAAAAAUAGCGUAAUCUCUCUUUCUUAACUUCUAUUUUCUAGACACAUCUUGGUGGAUUGACUUAACCCAUUGAAUUAACAGCACUUGCAUAAUGCAUAAAAACCAAACUUGAUUAAAGUUUUAAACGUAUCAAAACGUAUUUUUAGGGAUGACAACAGACUGGUCACCCACUCUUGACCUACCUUAUAUUCCAAAUAAAUUCUCAUCAUUUUUCCAACCAUAGAAUGCGGUAGAACGAUGUAGAAAAGUGAAUUCCCAUACAUGCUUGGAUUAAAAAUUCCCAUACAUGUAGAAAAGGGAUGUUUCUAACAAAAAAUUUUAUGUAUAUUUUAAUAAAAAGUGUAUUUCAAUAUUUACUUUAUAUGUUUAAAAAGGGAAAAUGAAAAUAACUAAAGUAAAUCAAAUUUUAUUUUAUUUUAUAUAGAAUCUAGGUAUGGUAGGGUAGUAUAAUUGUUUAUUGUAUCUUACAUUUUGAAAAUUAAAAUCUCAAAUUAGGGAUGACAACAAGGUGGGUUUGGAGUCAAUCAACCCUAUCCCAACCUUGCCCUGAUCAUUUAAAUCAAUUUCCAUUCCAUAUAAAAAGAAAUGAAAAAUGAAAAAAAAAAAGAAAUAAACCUUAAUGGAUAAGGUGAAUAGAGAAAUUUCUUCUGUAGAAAUGGAAUUAAAGCUAAGUGUGGGUAUGUCUUGUAUUUUGUAGACACGUCUUAGUGAAUUGACUUGACUCAUUGAAUGAUGGUUUUACUAUUACCAUAUUUGUUAGAAAAUUAAAGCUAAAGAUAGUGUAAUCUCUCUUUCUUAUCUUCUAUUUUCUAGACACAUCUUAGUGGAUUGACUUAACGCAUUGAAUUAUCAGCACUUGCAUAACUCAUACAAACCUAACUUGAUUAAAGUUUUAAACAUAUGAAAACGUAUAUUUAGGGAUGUCAACAAAGUGGCCAUCCACUAUUGACCUACCUUAUUUUUCAAACACAUUCUCAUCACUUUUCCAACCGCAAAAUGAGGUAGAACGAUGUAGAAAAGUGAAUUCCCAUACAUGCUUGGAUUAAAAAUUCUCUAUUGCAUUAUUUUAAAUUUUCAAUUAUACUAAAAAAACAUAAUUUAUAAGUAAAAACAUUAUGUUUUUAACAAAAUUUUUUGUAUAUUUUAAUAAAAAGUAGAUUUGAAUAUUUACUUUCAAUGUUUAAAAAGGGAAAAUGAACAUAACUAAAGUAAAUCAACUUUUAUUUGAUUUUAUAUAAAAUCUAGGUAUGGUAGGGUAGUAUAGAUUUUCAUUGUAUCUUACAUUUUGAAAAAUAAAAUCUCAAAUUAGGGAUGACAACAAGGUGGGUUUGAAAUCGAUCAACCCUAUCCCAACCUUGCCCGGAUUAUUUAAAUCAAUUUCCAUUCCCAAUAAAAAAAGAAAAAAGAAAAAAAAAAGAAAUAAACCUUAAUGGAUAAGGUGAAUAGAGACAUUUCUUUUGUAGAAAUGGAAUAAAAGCUAAGGGUGGGUAUNNNNNNNNNNNNNNNNNNNNNNNNNNNNNNNNNNNNNNNNNNNNNNNNNNNNNNNNNNNNNNNNNNNNNNNNNNNNNNNNNNNNNNNNNNNNNNNNNNNNUUUUCAAAUACAUUCUCAUCAUUUUUCCAACUAGAGAAGGAGGUAGAACGAUGUAGAAAAGUAAAUUCCCUUACAUGCUUGGAUUAAAAAUUUUGAAUUGAAUUAUUUUAAAUUUUCAAUUAUACUAAAAAAAAUAUAAUUUAUAAAUAAAAACAUUUUGUUUUUAACAAGAAAUUUUAUGUAUAUUUUAAUAAAAAGUAGAUUUGAAUAUUUACUUUAUAUGUUUAAAGAGGGAAAAUGAAAAUAACUAAAGUAAAUUAAAUUUUAUUUGAUUUUAUAUAGAAUCUAGGUAUGGUAGGGUAGUAUAAUUUUUUUAUUGUCUCUUACAUUUUGAAAAAUAAAAUCUCAAAUUCGGGAUGACAACAAGGUGGGUUUGGAGUCGAUCAACCCUAUCACAACCUUGCCCUGAUUAUUUAAAUCAAUUUCCAUUCCAUAUAAAUAAAAAAGAAAAAAGAAAAAAAAAGAAAUAAACCCUAAUGGAUAAGGUGAAUAGAUAAAUUUCUUUUGUAGAAAUGGAAUAAAAGCUAAGGGUGGUUAUGUCUUGUAUUAUGUAGACACGUCUUAGUGAAUUGACUUGACUCAUUGAAUGAAGGUUUUACUAUUACCGUAUUUGUUAGAAAAUUAAAGCUAAAGAUAGUGUAAUCUCUCUUUCUUAUCUUCUAUUUUCUAGACACAUCUUAGUGGAUUGACUUAACUCAUUGAAUUAGCAGCACUUGCAUAAUGCAUAAAGACCUAACUUGAUUAAAGUUUUAAACAUAUGAAAACAUAUUUUUAGGGAUGUCAACAAAGUGGCCAUCCACUCUUGACCUACCUUAUUUUCCACAGACAUUCUCAUCACUUUUCCAACCGCAGAAUGAGGUAGAACGAUAUAGAAAAGUGAAUUCUCAUACAUGCUUGAAUUAAAAAUUCUCAAUAGCAUUAUUUUAAAUUUUCAAUUAUACUAAAAAAUAUAUAAUUUGUAAAUAAAAACAUUAUGUUUUUAACAAAAAAAUUUAUGUAUAUUUUAAUAAAAAGUAGAUUUGAAUAUUUACUUUAUAUGUUUAAAAAGGGAAAAUGAAAAUAACUAAAGUAAAUCAACUUUUAUUUGAUUUUAUAUAGAAUCUAGGUAUGGUAGGGUCGUAUAAAUUUUCAUUCUAUCUUACAUUUUGAAAAAUAAAAUCUCAAAUUAGGGAUGACAACAAGGUGGGUUUGAAGCCGAUCAACCCUAUCCCAACCUUGCCCGGAUUAUUUAAAUCAAUUUCCAUUCCCAAUAAUAAAGGAAAAAAGAAAAAAAAAAGAAAUAAACCUUAAUGGAUAAGGUGAAUAGAGACAUUUAUUUUGUAGAUAUGGAAUUAAAGCUAAGGGUGGGUAUGUCUUGUAUUAUGUAGACACGUCUUAGUCAAUUGACUUGACUCAUUGAAUGAAGGUUUUACUAUUACCAUAUUUGUUAAAAAAUUAAAGCUAAAAAUAGCGUAAUCUCUCUUUCUUAACUUCUAUUUUCUAGACACAUGUUAUUGGAUUGACUUAACCCAUUGAAUUAACAGCACCUGCAUAAUGCAUAAAAACCAAACUUGAUUAAAGUUUUAAACAUAUCAAAUCGUAUUCUUAGGGAUGUCAACAAAGUGCUCAUCCACUCUUGACCUACCUUAUAUUCCAAAUACAUUCUCAUCAUUUUUCCAACCAUACAAUGCGGUAGAACGAUGUAGAAAAGUGAAUUCCCAUACAUGCUUGGAUUAAAAAUUCUCUAUUGCAUUAUUUUAAAUUUUCAAUUAUACUAAAAAAAAUAUAAUUUAUAAAUAAAAACAUUAUUGUGUUCACAAAAUUUUUUUGUAUAUUUGAAUAAAAAGUAGAUUUGAAUAUUUACUUUAAAUGAUUAAAAAGGGAAAAUGAAAAUAACUAAAGUAAAUCAAAUUUUAUUUGAUUUUAUAUAGAAUCUACGUAUGGUAGGGUAGUAUAAUCUUUUAUUGUAUCUUAAAUUUUGAAAAAUAAAAUCUCAAAUUAGGGAUGACAACAAGGUGGGUUUGGAGUCGAUCAACCCUAUCCAAACCUUGCCCUGAUUAUUUAAAUCAAUUUCCAUUCCCAGUAAGAAAAGAAAAAAGAAAAAAAAGAUAUAAACCUUAAUGGAUUAUGUGAAUAGAGAAAUUUCUUUUGUAGAAAUGGAAUUAAAGCUAGGUGUGGGUAUGUCUUGUAUUUUGUAGACACGUGUUAUUGAAUUGACUUGACUCAUUGAAUGAAGGUUUUACUAUUACUAUAUUUGAUAGAAAAUUAAAGCUAAAGAUAGUGUAAUCUCUCUUUCUUAUCUUCUAUUUUCUAGACACAUCUUAGUGGAUUGACUUAACUAAUUGAAUUAGCAGCACUUGCAUAAUGCAUAAAGACCUAACUUGAUUAAAGUUUUAAACAUAUGAAAACAUAUUUAUAGGGAUGUCAACAAAGUGGUCAUCCACCCUUGACCUACCUUAUUUUCCACAGACAUUCUCAUCACUUUUCCAACCGCAGAAUGAGGUAGAACGAUAUAGAAAAGUGAACUCUCGUACAUGCUUGGAUUAAAAAUUGUCAAUUGCAUUAUUUUAAAUUUUCAAUUAUACUAAAAAAAAUAUAAUUUAUAAAUAAAAACAUUAUGUAUUUAACAAAAAAAUUUAUGUAUAUUUUAAUAAAAAGUAUAUUUGAAUAUUUACUUUAUAUGUUUAAAAAGGGAAAAUGAAAAUAACUAAAGUAAAUCAACUUUUAUUUGAUUUUAUAUAGAAUCUAGGUAUGGUAGGGUAGUAUAAAUUUUCAUUCUAUCUUACAUUUUGAAAAAUAAAAUCUCAAAUUACGGAUGACAACAAGGUUGUUUGAAGUCGAUCAACCGUAUCCCAACCUUACCCGGAUUAUUUAAAUCAAUUUCCAUUCCCAAUAAAAAAGGAAAAAGAAAAUAAAGCAGGAAUAAACCUUAAUGGAUAAGAUGAAUAGAGACAUUUCUUUUGUAGAAAUGGAAUUAAAGCUAAGGGUUGGUAUGUCUUGUAUUAUGUAGACACACCUUAGUGAAUUGACUUGACUCAUUGAAUGAAGGUUUUACUCUUAUCAUAUUUGUUAGAAAAUUAAAGCUAAAGAUAGUGUAAUCUCUCUUUCUUAUCUUCUAUUUUCUAGACACAUCUUAGUGGAUUGACUUAACUCACUAAAUUAACUGCACUUCCAUAAUGCAUAAAAACCUAACUUGAUUAAACUUUUAAACAUAUGAAAACGUAUUUUUAGGGAUGUCAACAAAGUGGUCAUCCACUCUUGACCUACUUUAUUUUCCAAAUACAUUCUCAUCACUUUUCCAACUGUAGAAUGAGGUAGAACGGUGUAGAAAGGUAAAUUCCCAUACAUACUUGGAUUAAAAAUUCACUAUUGCAUUAUUUUAAAUUUUCAAUUACACUAAAAAAAUAUAAUUUAAAAAUAAAAACAUUAUGUUUUUAACAAAAAAUUUUAUGUAUAUUUUAAUAAAAAGUAUAUUUGAAUAUUUACUUUAUAUGUUUAAAAAGGGAAAGUGAAAAUAACUAAAGUAAAUCAAAUUUUAUUUGAUUUUAUAUAGAAUCUAGGUAUGGUAGGGUAGUAUAAUUUUUUAUUGUAUCUUAAAUUUUGAAAAAUAAAAUCUCAAAUUAGGGAUGACAACAAGGUGGGUUUGGAGUGGAUCAACCCUAUCCCAACCUUGCUCUAAUUAUUUAAAUCAAUGUCCAUUCUCAAUAAGAAAAGAAAAAAGAAAAAAAAGAUAUAAACCUUAAUGGAUAAGGUGAAUAGAGAAAUUUCUUUUGUAGAAAUGGAAUAAAAGCUAAGGGUGGUUAUGUCUUGUAUUAUGUAGACACGUCUUACUGAAUUGACUUGGCUCAUUGAAUGAAGGUUUUACUAUUACCAUAUUUGUUAGAAAAUUAAAGCUAAAGAUAACGUAAUCUCUCUUUCUUAUCUUCUAUUUUCUAGACACAUCUUAGUGGAUUGACUUAACACAUCGAAUUAAUAGCACUUGCAUAAUGCAUAAAAACCUAACUUGAUUAAAGUUUUAAACAUAUCAAAACGUAUUUUUAGGGAUGUCAACAAAGUGGUCAUCCACUCUUGACCUACCUUAUUUUCCAAAUACAUUCUCAUCAUUUUUCCAACCACAGAAUGAGGUAGAACGAUGUAGAAAAGUGAAUUCCCAUACAUGCUUGGAUUAAAAAUUCUCUAUUGCAUUAUUUUAAAUUUUAAAUUAUACCAAAAAAAUAUAAUUUAGAAAUAAAAACAUUAUGUUUUUAACAAAAAAUUUUAUGUAUAUUUUAAUAAAAAUUAUAUUUGAAUAUUUACUUUAUAUGUUUAAAAAGGGAAAGUGAUAAUAACUAAAGUAAAUCAAAUUUUAUUUGAUUUUAUAUAGAAUCUAGGUAUGGUAGGGUAGUAUAAUUUUUUAUUGUAUCUUAAAUUUUGAAAAAUAAAAUCUCAAAUUAGGGAUGACAACAAGGUGGGUUUGGAGUUAAUCAACCCUAUCCCAACCUUGCUCUAAUUAUUUAAAUCAAUGUCCAUUCUCAAUAAGAAAAGAAAAAAGAAAAAAAAGAUAUAAACCUUAAUGGAUAAGGUGAAUAGAGAAAUUUCUUUUGUAGAAAUGGAAUAAAAGCUAAGGGUGGUUAUGUCUUGUAUUAUGUAGACACGUCUUACUGAAUUGACUUGGCUCAUUGAAUGAAGGUUUUACUAUUACCAUAUUUGUUAGAAAAUUAAAGCUAAAGAUAACGUAAUCUCUCUUUCUUAUCUUCUAUUUUCUAGACACAUCUUAGUGGAUUGACUUAACACAUCGAAUUAAUAGCACUUGCAUAAUGCAUAAAAACCUAACUUGAUUAAAGUUUUAAACAUAUCAAAACGUAUUUUUAGGGAUGUCAACAAAGUGGUCAUCCACUCUUGACCUACCUUAUUUUCCAAAUACAUUCUCAUCAUUUUUCCAACCACAGAAUGAGGUAGAACGAUGUAGAAAAGUGAAUUCCCAUACAUGCUUGGAUUAAAAAUUCUCUAUUGCAUUAUUUUAAAUUUUAAAUUAUACUAAAAAAAUAUAAUUUAGAAAUAAAAACAUUAUGUUUUUAACAAAAAAUUUUAUGUAUAUUUUAAUAAAAAGUAUAUUUGAAUAUUUACUUUAUAUGUUUAAAAAGGGAAUGUGAUAAUAACUAAAGUAAAUCAAAUUUUAUUUGAUUUUAUAUAGAAUCUAGGUAUGGUAGGGUAGUAUAAUUUUUUAUUGUAUCUUAAAUUUUGAAAAAUAAAAUCUCAAAUUAGGGAUGACAACAAGGUGGGUUUGGAGUUGAUCAACCCUAUCCCAACCUUGCUCUAAUUAUUUAAAUCAAUGUCCAUUCUCAAUAAGAAAAGAAAAAAGAAAAAAAAGAUAUAAACCUUAAUGGAUAAGGUGAAUAGAGAAAUUUCUUUUGUAGAAAUGGAGUAAAAGCUAAGGGUGGUUAUGUCUUGUAUUAUGUAGACACGUCUUAGUGAAUUGACUUGACUCAUUGAAUGAAGGUUUUACUAUUACCAAAUUUGUUAGAAAAUUAAAGCUAAAGAUAGUGUAAUCUCUCUUUCUUAUCUUCUAUUUUCUAGACACAUCUUAGUGGAUUGACUUAACUCAUUGAAUUAACUGCACUUGCAUAAUGCAAUAAAACCGAACUUGAUUAAUGUUUUAAACAUAUGAAAAGGUAUUUUUAGGGAUGUCAACAAAGUGAUCAUCCACUCUUGACCUACUUUAUUUUCCAAAUAUAUUCUCAUCACUUUUCCAACCGUAGAAUGAGGUAGAACAGUGUAGAAUGGUGAAUUCCCAUACAUGCUUGGAUUAAAAAUUCUCAAUUGCAUUAUUUCAAAUUUUCAAUUCUACGAAAAAAAAUAUAAUCUAUAAAUAAAAACAUUAUGUUUUUAACAAAUAAAUUUAUGUAUAUUUUAAUAAAAAUUAUAUUUGAAUAUUUACUUUAUAUGUUAAAAAAGGGAAAAUGAAAAUAACUAAAGUAAAUCAACUUUUAUUUGAUCUUAUAUAGAAUCUAGGUAUUGUAGGGUAGUACAAAUUUUUUAUUGUAUCUUAAAUUUUGAAAAAUAAAAUCUCAAAUUAGGGAUGACAACAAGGUGGGUUUGGAGUCGAUCAACCCUAUCACAACCUUGCCCUGAUUAGUUAAAUCAAUUUCCAUUCCCAAUAAGAAAAGAAAAAAGAAAAAAUAGACAUAAACCUUAAUGGAUAAGGUGAAUGGAGAAAUUUCUUUUCAAGAAAUGGAAUUAAAGCUAAGUGUGCGUAUGUCUUGUAUUUUGUAGACACGUCUUAGUGAAUUGACUUCACUCAAUGAAUGAAGUUUUUACGAUUACCGUAUUUGUUAGAAAAUUAAAGCUAAAGAUAGUGUAGUCUCUCUUUCUUAUCUUCUAUUUUCUAGACACAUCUUAGUGGAUUGACUUAACUCACUGAAUUAACAGCACCUGCAUAAUGCAUAAAAACCUAACUUGAUUAAGGUUUUAAACAUAUGAAAACGUAUUUUUAGGGAUGUCAACAAAGUGGUCAUCCACUCUUGACCUACCAUAUUUUCCACAGACAUUCUCAUCACUUUUCCAAUCGUAGAAUGACGUAGAACGAUAUAGAAAAGUGAAUUCUCAUACAUGCUUGGAUUAAAAACUCUCAAUUGUAUUAUUUUAAAUUUUCAAUUAUACUAAAAAAAUAUAAUUUAUAAAUAAAAACAUUAUGUUUUUAACAAAAAAAUUUUGUAUAUUUUAAUAAAAAGUAGAUUUGAAUAUUUACUUUAAAUGUUUAAAAAGGGAAAAUGAAAAUAACUACAGUAAUCAAAAUUUUAUUUUAUUUUUCAUAGAAUCUAGGUAUGGUAGGGUAGUAUAAUUUUUUAUUGUAUCUUAAAUUUUGAAAAAUAAAAUCUCAAAUUAGGGAUGACAACAAGGUGGGUUUGGAGUCGAUCAACCCUAACCCAACCUUGCCCAGAUUAUUUCAAUCAAUUUCCAUUCCCAAUAAAAAAAAGAAAAAAGAAAAAAAAGAAAUAAACCUUAAUAGAUAAGGUAAAUAGAGAAAUUUCUUUUGUAGAAAUGGAAUUAAUUAAAGCUAAGCAUGGGUAUGUCUUGUAUUUUGUAGACACAUCUUAGUGAAUUGACUUGACUCAUUGAAUGAAGGUUUUAAUAUUACCAAAUUUGUUAGAAAAUUAAACCUAAAGAUAGUGUAAUCUCUCUUUCUUAUCUUCUAUUUUCUAGACACAUCUUAGUGGAUUGACUUAACUCAUCAAAUUAAUUGCACUUGAAUAAUGCAUAAAAACCUAACUUGAUUAAAGUUUUAAACAUAUUAAAACGUAUUUUUAGGGAUGUCAACAAAGUGGUCAUCCACUCUUGACCUACUUUAUUUUCCAAAUACAUUCUCAUCACUUUUCCAACCGUAAAAUGAGGUAGAACGGUGUAGAAAGGUGAAUUCCCAUACAUGCUCGGAUUAAAAAUUCUCAAUUGCAUUAUUUCAAAUUUUCAAUUCUACGAAAAAAAUAUAAUUUAUAAAUAUAAACAUUAUGUUUUUAACAAAUAAAUUUAUGUAUAUUUUAAUAAAAAGUAUAUUUGAAUAUUUACUUUAUAUGUUAAAAAAGGGAAAAUGAACAUAACUAAAGUAAAUAAAAUUUUAUUUGAUUUUAUAUAGAAUCUAGGUAACGUAGGGUAGUAUAAAUUUUCAUUGUAUCUUACAUUUUGAAAAAUAAAAUCUCAAAUUAGGGAUGACAACAAGGUGGGUUUGGAGUCGAUCAACCCUAUCCCAACCUUGCCCGGAUUAUUUAAAUCAAUUUCCAUUCCAAAUAAAAAAAGAAAAAAGGAAAAAAAAAUAGAAAUAAACCUUGAUGGAUAAGGUGAAUAGAGAAAUUUCUUUUGUAGAAAUGGAAUUAAAGCGAAGUGUGGGUAUGUCUUGUAUUUUGUAGACACAUCUUAGUGAAUUGACUUGACUCAUUGAAUGAAGGUUUUACUAUUACCAAAUUUGUUAGAAAAUUAAACCUAAAGAUAGUGUAAUCUCUCUUUCUUAUGUUCUAUUUUCAAGACACAUCUUAGUGGAUUGACUUAACUCAUUGAAUUAACAGCACAUGCAUAAUGCAUAAAAACCUAACUUGAUUAAAGUUUUAAACAUAUGCAAACGUAUUUUUAGGGAUGUCAACAAAGUGGUCAUCCACUCUUGACCUACUUUAUUUUCCAAAUACAUUCUUACCACUUUUCCAACCGCAAAAUGAGGUAGAACGAUGUAGAAUGGUGAAUUCCCAUACAUGCUUGGAUUAAAAAUUCUCUAUUGCAUUAUUUUAAAUUUUAAAUUAUACUAAAAAAAAAUAAUUUAGAAAUAAAAACAUUAUGUUUUUAACAAGAAAUUUUAUGUAUAUUUUAAUAAAAAGUAUAUUUGAAUAUUUACUUUAUAUGUUUAAAAAGGGAAAGUGAUAAUAACUAAAGUAAAUCAAAAUUUAUUUGAUUUUUUAUAGAAUCUAGGUAUGGUAGGGUAGUAUAAUUUUUUAUUGUAUCUUAAAUUUUGAAAAAUAAAAUCUCAAAUUAGGGAUGACAACAAGGUGGGUUUGGAGUUGAUCAACCCUAUCCCAACCUUGCUCUAAUUAUUUAAAUCAAUGUCCAUUCUCAAAAAGAAAAGAAAAAAGAAAAAAAAGAUAUAAACCUUAAUGGAUAAGGUGAAUAGAGAAAUUUCUUUUGUAGAAAUGGAAUAAAAGCUAAGGGUGGUUAUGUCUUGUAUUAUGUAGACACGUCUUAGUGAAUUGACUUGACUCAUUGAAUGAAGGUUUUACUAUUACCAAAUUUGUUAGAAAAUUAAACCUAAGGAUAGUGUAAUCUCUCUUUCUUAUCUUCUAUUUUCUAGACACAUCUUAGUGGAUUGACUUAACUCAUUGAAUUAACUGCACUUGCAUAAUGCAAUAAAACCGAACUUGAUUAAAGUUUUAAACAUAUGAAAAGGUAUUUUUAGGGAUGUCAACAAAGUGGUCAUCCACUCUUGACCUACUUUAUUUUCCAAAUACAUUCUCAUCACUUUUCCAACCGUAAAAUGAGGUAGAACGGUGUAGAAAGGUGAAUUCCCAUACAUGCUCGGAUUAAAAAUUCUCAAUUGCAUUAUUUUAAAUUUUCAAUUCUACGAAAAAAAUAUAAUUUAUAAAUAUAAACAUUAUGUUUUUAACAAAUAAAUUUAUGUAUAUUUUAAUAAAAAGUAUAUUUGAAUAUUUGCUUUAUAUGUUAAAAAAGGGAAAAUGAACAUAACUAAAGUAAAUCAAAUUUUAUUUGAUUUUAUAUAGAAUCUAGGUAACGUAGGGUAGUAUAAAUUUUCAUUGUAUCUUACAUUUUGAAAAAUAAAAUCUCAAUAUUAGGGAUGACAACAAGGUGGGUUUGGAGUCGAUCAACCCUAUCCCAACCUUGCCCGGAUUAUUUAAAUCAAUUUCCAUUCCAAAUAAAAAAAGACAAAAGAAAAAAAAAUAGACAUAAACCUUGAUGGAUAAGGUGAAUAGAGAAAUUUCUUUUGUAGAAAUGGAAUUAAAGCUAAGGGUGGAUAUGUCUUGUAUUUUGUACACAAGUCUUAGUGAAUUGACUUGACUCAUUGAAUGAAGGUUUUACUAUUACCACAUUUGUUAGAAAAUUAAGGCAAAAGAUAGUGUAAUCUCUCUUUCUUAUCUUCUAUUUUCUAGACACAUCUUAGUGGAUUGACUUAACUCAUUGAAUUAACAGCACCUGCAUAAUGCAUAAAAACCUAACUUGAUUAAAGUUUUAUACAUAUGAAAACGUAUUUUUAGGGAUGUCAACAAAGUGGUCAUCCACUCUUGACCUACCUUAUUUUUCAAACACAUUCUCAUCACUUUUCCAACCGCAAAUUGAGGUAGAACGAUGUAGAAUGGUGAAUUCCCAUACAUGCUUGGAUUAAAAAUUCUCUAUUGCAUUAUUUUAAAUUUUAAAUUAUACUAAAAAAAUAUAACUUAGAAAUAAAAACAUUAUGUUUUUAACAAAAAAUUUUAUGUAUAUUUUAAUAAAAAGUAUAUUUGAAUAUUUACUUUAUAUGUUUAAAAAGGGAAAGUGACAAUAACUAAAGUAAAUCAAAUUUUAUUUGAUUUUAUAUAGAAUCUAGGUAUGGUAGGGUAGUAUAAUUUUUUUUUGUAUCUUAAAUUAUGAAAAAUAAAAUCUCAAAUUAGGGAUGACAACAAGGUGGGUUUGGAGUUGAUCAACCCUAUCCCAACCUUGCUCUAAUUAUUUAAAUCAAUGUCCAUUCUCAAUAAGAAAAGAAAAAAGAAAAAAAAGAUAUAAACCUUAAUGGAUAAGGUGAAUAGAGAAAUUUCUUUUGUUGAAAUGGAAUAAAAGCUAAGGGUGGUUAUGUCUUGUAUUAUGUAGACACGUCUUAGUGAAUUGACUUGGCUCAUUGAAUGAAGGUUUUACUAUUACCAUAUUUGUUAGAAAAUUAAAGCUAAAGAUAACGUAAUCUCUCUUUCUUAUCUUCUAUUUUCUAGACACUUCUUAGUGGAUUGACUUAACACAUUGAAUUAAUAGCACUUGCAUAAUGCAUAAAAACCUAACUUGAUUAAAGUUUUAAACAUAUCAAAACGUAUUUUUAGGGAUGUCAACAAAGUGGUCAUCCACUCUUGACCUACCUUAUUUUCCAAAUACAUUCUCAUCAUUUUUCCAACCACAGAAUGAGGUAGAACGAUGUAGAAAAGUGAAUUCCCAUACAUGCUUGGAUUAAAAAUUCUCUAUUGCAUUAUUUUAAAUUUUAAAUUAUACUAAAAAAAUAUAAUUUAGAAAUAAAAACAUUAUGUUUUUAACAAAAAAUUUUAUGUAUAUUUUAAUAAAAAGUAUAUUUGAAUAUUUACUUUAUAUGUUUAAAAAGGGAAAGUGAUAAUAACUAAAGUAAAUCAAAUUUUAUUUGAUUUUAUAUAGAAUCUAGGUAUGGUAGGGUAGUAUAAUUUUUUAUUGUAUCUUAAAUUUUGAAAAAUAAAAUCUCAAAUUAGGGAUGACAACAAGGUGGGUUUGGAGUCGAUCAACCCUAUCCCAACCUUGCCCUGAUUAUUUAAAUCAAUUUCCUUUCCAUAUAAAAAAAAAAAGCAAAAAAAGAAAAAAAAGAAAUAAACGUUAAUGGAUAAGGUGAAUAGAGAAAUUUCUUUUGUAGAAAUAGAAUUAAAGCUAAGUGUGGGUAUGUCUUGUAUUUUGUAGACAUGUCUUAGUGAAUUGACUUGACUCAUUGAAUGAAGGUUUUACUAUUACCGUAUUUGUUAGAAAAUUAAAGCUAAAGAUAGUGUAAUCUCUCUUUCUUAUCUUCUAUUUUCUAGACACAUCUUAGUGGAUUGACUUAACUCACUGAAUUAACAGCACCUGCAUAAUGCAUAAAAACCUAACUUGAUUAAAGUUUUAAACAUAUGAAAACGAAUUUUUAGGGAUGUCAACAAAGUGGUUGUCCACUCUUUACCUACCUUAUUUUCCACAGACAUUGUCAUCACUUUUCCAAUCGUAGAAUGAGGUAGAACGAUUUAGAAAAGUGAAUUCUCAUACAUGCUUGGAUUAAAAAUUCUCAAUUGCAUUAUUUUAAAUUUUCAAUUAUACUAAAAAAAAUAUAAUUUAUAAAUAAAAACAUUAUGUUUUUAACAAAACAUUUUAUGUAUAUUUUAAUAAAAAGUAGAUUUGAAUAUUUACUUUAUAUGUUUAAAAAAGGAAAAUGAAAAUAACUAAAGUAAAUCAAAUUUUAUUUGAUUUUAUAUAGAAUCUACGUAUGGUAGGGUAGUAUAAAUUUUCAUUGUAUCUUACAUUUUGAAAAAUAAAAUCUCAAAUUAGGGAUGACAACAAGGUGGGUUUGGAGUCGAUCAGCCCUAUCCCAACCUUGCCCGGAUUAUUUAAAUCAAUUUCCAUUCCCAAUAAUAAAGGAAAAAAGAAAUAAACCUUAAUGGAUAAGGUGAAUAGAGACAUUUCUUUUGUAGAAAUGGAAUUAAAGCUAAGGGUGGGUAUGUCUUGUAUUAGGUAGACACGUCUUAGUGAAUUGACUUGACUCAUUGAAUGAAGGUUUUACUAUUACCAUAUUUGUUAGAAAAUUAAAGCUAAAGAUAGUGUAAUCUCUCUUUCUUAUCUUCUAUUUGCUAGACACAUCUUAGUGGAUUGACUUAACUCAUUGAAUUAACAGCACUUGCAUAAUGCAUAAAAACAUAACUUGAUUAAAGUUUUAAACAUAUGAAAACGUAUUUUUAGGGAUAUCAACAAAGUGGUCAUCUACUCUUGACCUACCUUAUUUUCCAAAUACUUUCUCAUCACUUUUCCAACCGCAGAAUGUGGUAGAAUGAAUGUAGAAAAGUUAAUUCCCAUACAUGUUUGGAUUAAAAAUUCUCAAUUGCAUUAUUUUAAAUUUUCAAUUAUGCUAAAAAAAUAUUAUUUAUAAAUAAAAACAUUAUGUUUUUAACAAAAAAAUUUAUGUAUAUUUUAAUAAAAAGUAGAUUUGAAUAUUUACUUUAUAUGUUUCAAAAGGGAAAAUGAAAAUAACUAAAGUAAAUCAAAUUUUAUUUGAUUUUAUAUAGAAUCUAGGUAUGGUAGGGUAGUAUAAUUUUUUUUUAUUGUAUCUUACAUUUUGAAAAAUAGAAUCUCAAUUUAGGGAUGACAACAAGGUGGGUUUGGAGUCGAUCAACCCUAUCCCAACCUUGCCCUGAUUAUUUAAAUCAAUUUCCAUUCCCAAUAAAAAAAAAAGAAAAAAAGAAAAAAAAGAAAGAAAGAAACCUUAAAUGGAUAAGAUGAAUAGGGAAAUUUCUUAUACAUGUAUUCCACUUUAUUUAGUUUAUAUUUUAUUUUUUAUUUCAAAACAAUUAAAGUUUAUAAGUGAAUAAAUGUUAUAAUUUUAUAAAUUAUUCUUAUGGGAUUUUUUUUUAAUUAUUUUAGAUGUAUUGAAAUGGAUAGCAAAAAAAAUUGAAUUAUUAUUUAGUUAAUUAUAUGUAUAAUUGGGGUAGAGCAAGAUAAGAGAAGGCAAUACCCAAACCCAUUCUAAAUCAAACCUAGGUUUUUUUCUUUUUACAAAAUAAAUAAAAAUCUAUGCUCAUCCCUAUCUUGUUUGUGUUUCUUUCAAACUCAUCCCAUAAGGGACAAGGCAAGGAGCAAGAAAAAUUUGUCCCAUUGCCAUCUCUAUCUCAAAUCCUCUAAGAUACAAUUAUGCCUUCUUCAAGGCUAUCUUUCCUCUUUGUACACCAGCCUCAUUUGAAAAGAAACAAAGAAAAGUAGGUGUAAAGGGAAGAAAUGUGGGUACAAUUAUAAUUGUCUUUAUGGUAAACAUAAAUAUUUGCUCACAAUUUCUAAACACGUUGAAUCAAUCAGUUCCUUUUCAUUCCAUUUCUUCGAAAUCUUGUAAACAUUUUAAUAGAAUUUAUUGUUCUCAACUUUUAUUCAUUUUAUCUCAUUUCUUUUCUAUUUUAAUUUUUUCCUUCAAUUUCCUAUAAAAAAAAUAUUAAUAAUCAUGUCAUAAUUAAGUUUGUUUGAAAUUAAAGUAAUGAUGCAAUCAAUUUUUUUCCCCCUAGUUUAUGAAGAUGUCUCAAUUAAUGUGUUUUUCCUUGUAAAGAAGUUUGAACCAUAACUUAAAAUAAGAGAUCAAAGAUUUGUAAUUAUUUUUAGUCAAUAAAAGUGGAAAGCUAAAAAGCCCUCAUUCACACACCUUUAAUGACUUGUCAAUUCAUAAAACAUCUUUCUUCCUUAUUUGUCAUUAAUUAUUAAUUAAAUUUGAUUUUGGAUCAAGAUGUGUUAAUGAAUUUACAUAAGCUGAGCUUAAAGCCAUCAUGCAUAAGAAAAUGAAACAUUUGUAAUUAAUAAAAUUGGAGAUUUUCUACAAUUUCAAUUAACUUAACAAAAGUGAUUUGAAAAUAUAGUUGUACAGAAUUGCUAGCAAAUCCUUCAACACUAUUAAUAUAAGAAGCCAAAUCCUUCAAUACUCAUUAUGCCAUUGAGAUGGAUGUCAUUUAAACACAAUGAUGUUAUUAUUUAACACUUUUAUGGGGGUAGUAUGUUAAACAUUUAUAUUUCAUUUCAUUUCAUUUUUGUUCUGACAAGGGUGAUACUAAUUGUACCCAUCUUUUCUAUUUGUAUGCUCAACCUCAUUUGAAAAGAAACAAAGAAAAGUAGGUGGGUACAAUUAUUAUUUUCUUUAUGGUAAACAUAAAUACUUGUAGAAUAGUGGCCUUCGAGGUAAUGAGGGAAAAGUCCUUACUUGCGGACUUUGAGGAGUGAUGGAAAAGUCCUCCCUCUAUUCCUUGCGGAAUAGCAGACUUUUUGAGGUGUAAGGAGAGUUUGAAGAAGUUAAGGCCUUACUCUAUUCUUACCCUUCAGUAAGGAAUAAUGACCUUAAUUUUUUUGUUUUUUUUUUUUGGGUCAAAGCCUGACUCUAUUCUUGCCCUUUAGUUAGGAAUAGCAGACUUUGGUUAUUAGGGAGAGGCCUUACUUUAUUCCCUUCAGGAAUAGCAACCUUCAAGGAAGAGAAGUUGUAGUUCACAAUUUCUUACCACAUUGAAUGAAUCGAUUCUUUUUCAUUCCAUUUCCUCAUAAUCUUGUAAAUAUUUUAAUAUAAUUUUUUGUUCUCAUUUUUUAUUCAUUCUAUCCCAUUUCUUUUCUAUUUUAAUUUAUUCUUUCAUUUCCUAUUAAAAAAAAAUUAAUAAUCAGGUCAUAAGUUAGUUAGAAACUAAAGUAAUGAUAUAAUCAACUUCUUUUUUUUCCCUAGUUUGUGGAGAUGUCUUGAUUAAUUUAUUCUUUAUUGACUUGUCAAUUCAUAGAACAUUUUUCUUCCUCAUUUGUCAUUAAUUAUUAAUUAAAUUUGAUUUUGGAUCAAGAUAUGUUAAUGAAUUUACAUAAGUUGAGAUUAAGGAAUCAUAUCAAAGAUUGGAGAAAUUUUCAUUAAUUAUUAAUUAAUAAAAUUAGAGAUUUGCUAGAAUUUCAAUUAACUUAAACAAAAGUGAUUUGAAAAAACAGUUUUUAUAAGAACUUAUAACAUUUAAAAGAAAAAACAGUUUAAUUCAAGAACUUUUAUGUAACUUUUAAUAGUGCUGAAAAGAACUCCCGAAUAUUCAAAAUUUGGGUUCUAAAGAAAUCAAGGGUAGUGAAAACUGAAAAGCUACUAUCUCAGCUGUUGGAGGCCUUCCAACUGUGCAAAACCCAAAGGUAAAAACGACGUCAUUUUCUCAAACUGGGACGACACCGUUUUGGGUUAGGACGCAGUGAAAUAAGAUUGAAUUCACAGUCGUUUCUCAGUCUUUCAUUAUUUGCCGCUUUUUCCAGUUGCCGGAAACCACAAAGCUUCACGGACUGAGUGAUAUAAGAAUUUCAAUUAACUUAAACAAAAGUGAUUUCAAAAAACAGUUUUUAAUACAAAAAUUAUGAAUUUCACUCUUCAAUAAAUAAAAGUGGAAGGAAUCUUGGUAUUGCGUUCAUAUGGUAGACUCAAACAGAUACUAUAUAUAUGUGAGUGCUUGGUCUCCUCAGAAUUCAUAAGAAAAAAACAGCAGUUGCAAAGCCUCUCUUCUAUUACUUGCAGACCAUGGCAGGACGGUCCUUUCAACACCUUCUUAGCUUUCUUAUGCUUUUGCUGCUAUGUGCCAAACCUGGCCUGGGGAAUGUUACUGGGUGCAUAGAGAGGGAGAGACAAGCUCUCCUUCACUUCAAACGUGGCCUUGUCGAUGAAUUUGGCCUUCUUUCCUCUUGGGGAGACGACAACAGAGAUUGUUGCCAAUGGAGAGGAGUCCAGUGUAGUAACCAGUCUGGUCACAUCAUCAUGCUUCAUCUUCCUGCCCCGCCAAAUGAAGAAUAUGGUGAAUUUGUUAUUUACCAAUCUCUUAGAGGCGAUAUAAGUCCUUCGCUGCUUGAAUUGGAGCACUUGACUCAUUUGGAUCUCAGCUGUAAUGAUUUUGAAGAGAGGCACAUACCUCCAUUCCUUGGUUCCCUCAGCAGAAUGCAGUACCUCAAUCUCUCUCAUGCAUAUUUCGCUCAAACUGUUCCCACUCAACUGGGAAAUCUUUCCAACUUGCUUUCCCUUGAUCUCAGCAAUAAUUAUUUGAAGUUUGGGAACCUUGAGUGGCUUUCUCGUCUUUCUUCUUUAAGACACCUUGACCUAAGUUCUGUCGACCUUAGUAAAGCCAUCCACUGGUCCCAAGCAAUUAAUAAACUCCCUUCUCUCAAUUCACUUGGAUUUACAAAGUUGUGGUCUCCCUCCCAUCCCUCCACUCACCAUUCCGUCUCUUUCCCAUGGGAAUUCCUCUGUCCCUCUUGUUUUCCUUGAUCUCUCUUUUAACCAUCUCACUUCUUCAAUAUACCCAUGGCUGCUCAACUUUAGUACCACCCUCCUUCAUCUUGAUCUCUCUUUGACUGAUUUAAAUGGUUCGAUUCCGGAAUAUGCUUUUGGGAACAUGAGUUCCCUUGAAUAUCUUGAUCUCUCUUCGAAUCAACUGCAGGGCUCAAUUCCAGAUACAGUUGGGAAGAUGGUUUUACUUUCCCAUCUUGAUCUCUCUUUCAAUCAACUGCAGGGCUCAAUUCCAGAUACAGUUAGGAAGAUGGUUUUACUUUCACAUCUUGAUCUCUCUGUCAAUCAACUGCAGGGCUCAAUUCCAGAUACAGUUGGGAAGAUGGUUUUACUUUCACAUCUUGAUCUCGUUGUCAAUCAACUGCAGGGCUCAAUUCCAGAUACAGUUGGGAAAAUGGUUUUACUUUCACAUCUUUUUCUAUCUUACAAUCAACUGCAGGGCUCAAUUCCAGAUACAGUUGGGAAUAUGGUUUUACUUUCACAUCUUGAUCUCUCUAGCAAUCAACUGCGGGGCUCAAUUCCAGAUACAGUUGGGAAUAUGGUUUUACUUUCACAUCUUGAUCUCUCUCGCAAUCAAUUGCAGGGCUCCAUUCCAUAUACAGUUGGGAACAUGGUUUCUCUUGAAAACCUUUAUCUCUCUCAGAAUCAUCUUCAAGGUGAGAUUCCAAAAUCCUUGAGUAAUUUAUGUAACUUACAAGCAUUAAAGUUGGAUAGAAACAAUCUCUCUGGACAGCUUGCACCAGACUUUGUGGCCUGUGCAAAUGACACAUUAAAGACUCUGUCUUUAUCAGAUAACCAGUUCAAUGGAUCAGUUCCUGCUCUUAUUGGAUUUUCAUCCUUAUGAGAGUUACAUCUUGAUUUUAAUCAACUAAAUGGAACUUUACCUGAAAGUGUUGGACAGCUGGCCAAACUUGAAUCCUUGGAUAUUGCCUCAAAUUCAUUGCAAGGCACUAUCUCUGAAGCCCAUCUCUUUAAUCUAUCCCAGUUGUCCUAUUUAAACUUAUCUCCCAACUCUCUCACUUUCAACAUGAGCUUGGAGUGGGUUCCUCCAUUUCAACUGUUUGAUCUACUAUCAGCCUCCUGCAAAUUGGGACCUCAUUUUCCUAGUUGGCUUCGUACUCAAAACCGGUUGAGUGAGCUUGAUAUCUCCAAUUCUGAAAUUUCAGAUGUCCUCCCAGACUGGUUUUGGAAUGUAACCUCAACUGUCAAUACCUUGAGUAUUUCCAACAAUCGGAUCAAAGGAACCUUACCCAAUUUAUCAUCAACAUUUGAACGUUUUUCUAACAUAGAUAUGAGCUCAAACUGUUUUGAGGGUUCAAUACCACAACUUCCUUAUGAUGUGCAAUGGUUGGAUCUCUCCAAUAACAAGUUAUCGAGGUCCAUUUCUUUAUUAUGUACAGUUGGUACUGAGUUACUUCUACUUGACCUCUCAAACAACUCGUUGUCGGGAGGGCUGCCCAAUUGUUGGGCGCAGUGGAAAAGCUUGGCAGUCCUUAAUUUGGAAAAUAACAGAUUUUCUGGGCAAAUUCCAAAUUCAUUUGGCUCCUUGCGAUCAAUUCGAACACUACAUUUGCGCAACAACAAUUUAACUGGAGAAUUGCCUUUGUCUUUUAAGAAUUGUACAAGUUUGAGGUUCAUUGAUUUGGCAAAAAAUAGGUUAUCAGGAAAAAUACCAGAAUGGAUUGGAGGAAGCCUCCCAAAUCUGAUUGUUCUAAACCUAGGAUCUAAUAGAUUCAGUGGAGGUAUAUCUCCAAAGCUAUGCCAAUUGAAAAAUAUUCAAAUAUUGGACCUCUCUAGCAACAAUAUGUUAGGUGUUGUACCGAGAUGUGUUGGUAGUUUCAUUGCCAUGACUAAGAAAGGGAGCUUGGUCAUUGCUCAUAAUUAUUCAUUUACAGACUAUGAUAAUUGUAGUUAUUUCAAUUGCAUGCCUACAAAUGCCUCUUAUGUUGAUAGGGCAUUGGUUAAAUGGAAAGCAAGAGAAUUUGAUUUUAAAAGUACCCUUGGGCUUGUAAAGAGUAUUGACCUUUCAAGCAACAAACUAUCGGGGGAAAUUCCAGAAGAAGUAAUUGAUCUUGUAGAAUUAGUUUCAUUAAACUUAUCAAGGAACAAUUUGACUAGACUGAUUCCUGCAAGAAUUGGUCAAUUGAAAUCAUUGGAGGUUCUUGAUUUGUCUCGAAAUCAACUCUUUGGUGAAAUUCCAGCUAGCCUUGUUGAAAUAAGUGAUCUAAGUGUCUUAGAUCUCUCUGACAACAACUUGUCCGGUAAAAUUCCACAAGGUACUCAACUUUAAAGCUUCAAUAUUGAUUCCUACAAGGGAAAUCUUGCACUCUGUGGAUUGCCUCUUCUGAAAAAGUGUUCUGAAGUUAAAAUAAAGCAGGAUUCUCCCACUCAUAACAUUGAAGACAAAAUUCAGCAAGAUGGAAAUGACAUGUGGUUUUAUGUUAGCGUUGCUCUUGGAUUCAUUGUUGGAUUUUGGGGAGUGUGUGGAACUUUACUACUCAACAACUCCUGGAGAUAUGCCUAUUUCCAAUUCUUGAAUAAAAUAAAAGAUUGGCUCUACGUGAUUAUAGCAAUAAAUAUGGCUAGAUUACAAAGGAGUCUCCAAAGCUAAAUGGUACAAUUCUCUCCCUCUUUCCCUCUUUUUCAUUUGUACUUGUUUUUGAAGGCUAACAAUUGUCAAAGAAAAGUAGGCCUUUACAUAUCCUUGGGAUAUACUUUAUAAAUCAUGAAUGCUAAUGCAAAUUUUCUUUGCAUGCAACUAAUUGAAGGGAUUUUUUCAAAUUGAUGAACACUGAUUUUUACUUUGUGUUAAUUAUAGGACUGCAACUCUUGUUCUUGCCAUAUUAGCAUGGUUGAAUGCAAAUCGUUGUGUCCUUCCUUCUGUGAUUGAUCUUGGGAUGUAAUAGGUUUCUUGUUUUAUUUUAAGGAUUUCUUAUGUUCUUUAAAUGCAUAUUUUAUAUUAUAUUCAGAAAUUUCUGUGACAUAUUAUCUCUUUUCUUCCUUACAUAAUGCUUUUAUUUGGUAUUUUGGAUACUUUAUGAUUCAUCCAAACAAUAUUAUAGAAGGAUAUCAAAGGUAUAUUAGAGUCCAGCUUUCUAAUUUUAAAAAUAUUUCUUUAGCUCUAAAACUAAUUUGUAUUCAUUAAAAUUAAAACAAAAAUAAAGGAUAAUGCCAUUUGGUUAUGUAUGACAUAAGUUUUCAACCAAUUAUUAAUAAUCAAAUCAUAAUUUCAACACUAAAGAAAAAAGAAUUUUUUUUUCACAAGUUAUUAAUGAUCUGUUUCUCUCUUUCUAAAAAAAACUAAAUUACUCUAAUAAAUGGGAAACUCUUUCUUUCUUGUCAUCAAAGCUUUUUCACUUGAAGUUGUCUCACAUGCAGAUAAUUUUUGUGAAAUAUUUUGUUUUCAUCAAUUUUAUAGAAUAUUAAGUCUAACUUCUUUUCUUAAUAAAAGGUUUUUUUUAAGCAAUUAAAAAAAUCUCGUGUUAUUUUCUCUAUUUUAACAUAUUUCAACUCUAGGAUGACUAAAAUAUGAUUGAAAAAUAUAAAAUAAGAGAGAAUAAUUAUAUUCUAUAAAAGCCAUUAAGAAUCAAGUCCUAUCAAGUUUUUAAAGUGGUAAAAAUGAAAACUUUUAUAUUACCAUUCUUUUAUAAGUUUUUGUAUUUAUUAGUUUUUAUUUAUUUCUCUAUGAUAAAAUCUUUUAUCUAAAAUAUUUUUCAAUAAUUCUUUAUUAUGAUUUUUUAAAUUUAAAAAUAGAAAAGACUCUAAUUCUUAUUAAAAAUAUUAUUUAUAUUAAUAUUUUCUUCUAAGCUCUUUCUAUUGGAACAAGUAGUGACUAUGUAGACCCCUCAUUUUGGUUCUAGAGGAGACUUAAUUCUUUCUGGUUACCUUUCGUUCUGUUUUCGCCUUUUGGAAGGUGAGUUGUAAAAGACAGGUGGCAAAAGAGGAUAUUCUGGUGGCAGACUGUGAGGGUAAGACAUGUGGCAGUGAGGUUUUGGUUUUUCUGCUAGUCAUUUUAGAGUGAGUAGUGGAGUGUCUUGGUAGUAGGAAGAGCCGGGGGGUUGUUAGAGGGUAGUAGAAAAUGUCCUUUGCAGGGAUGACACGUAUUAGAGGGGAUAUAUUUUGGGUUAUUUGGUUAAAGGUGCCAAAACAAGCUGGUAUUUGGAAAAAUGACCUCUACCUUUUUAAAACCUGAAGAAUGACCCCUUUUGGACUAAAUUACCCCUGAAAAAAAUUAAAGAGAAACCUUUGAAAUUCAAAAGUGCAGAAAGAAAGAUAGAGAACUAACUAAGGGUUCUCUUUUGAAUGGUAGACUGCAACACACUCUUUGGUCUUCUAAUAUUUUUUUUUGUUUUUUUGUUUUUUUGCAAAUUUUCGUAUUACUGCUGAUUAUUUGUCUAAAAGGAUUCUAAAAGGUUAUUCAUUUGAUUAAAGUGUGAAUUUUUUUUUUCUCCAGUUUUUGAAAAAAUGCGGGAAAGGAAGAGAACGAAAUGAAGUGGAAGAGAACCAAAAAGGAUCUUGAAAAGUAAGUUUAUUACUUUGAAAUAGUUUUUUUUUUUAGAUUUUUCUCUUGUUGAUUUCACAUAUUCGCUUGAGGUGUGUAUUUUCUUUCUGCAUUGUUUCAGAAAAAAUAUGGGAGAAAGUAAUGGUUUAUACGUUCACUUUUUGUUAAGCAUAAAUAUAAGGGUUUUUCUUAAAUUUGUUAGCUUAUUCCUCUUUGAUCUUGAACUCUUAAAACACAUUGGUCUACCAAAGAAGAUAUCUAGUUGAAUUGAAAAAAAAAGUCUUUAAUUAGAUUUCUUAGCUAUUUUAUUUUGAUGUUUUGCUCUAGUUGUUAAGAUUUUGAAGCAUGGUGUUGUGACAAAUGCUUUGUUUCUAUAGUGUAGAAAAGUGACAAAUGUGUUUACCAAUUUGGUCUUCUAAAGAGUUGAAUCAUAAUAAGAGAAAUAGAAUUUGCCCCCAUUUUGAUAUCUCCUCCCUAGUGAUUAGAAGAAACAUUUCAUUUGUCCCAUAGGAAAAUGAAUUUGUUUCCUUAAACCCCCAAGUGGAGACAUUGAAGGUGUUGCUAAAGUCUUUUUUCAUAAGCAGUGUUGGAAGAAUGGUUUCGAUUUCUUUUCCAAAAUUCAAAACCCUUCUUUUAGAGUAGUUUUGGCCUUUAUCAUAAAGUGAAAACAACACUUCUUCUAUGAUUCAUGUCAAUUAUUCUCCUUUUGUGUUGCUUAACUUUUAAGUAAUGGAACCAAUAUGAUAUACAUGAAUAGUGUGAAACCAAGGUUUGGUUAAUCUUGAUUUUGAUGAUAACAAAACAAGGUUUAGAACUAAUGAUCAUAUUUCAAGUGUGAUUAGGCAAGACAACUUCCAAAGUGGUAAUCCAAAGACAAAUCAAGCCAAGGAGAAAUCAUGAAGAAGAAGACCACCUCAAAGAGAAGAGUUUUUCAAGACCAAAGCUUCUUAAGAUCUCUUUGUAAGGUUGUUGGUGCACUAGGACUUUCAUGUAUUUCAUUCUUUAUUUAUGCACCAAAAUCAUCCAAGAGUAAUAUUGUUUUAAAUAUCUUAAGAAUUGGAUGAUUUCAUGUUUUUUUAACUAAAACCUUGUGUUAAAUGAUUUUCAAACUUGUGUUAAAAGGUUUUAAGUUGAAAAAGGUUGAGUGUUGAGCCAAAAAAAAUGGCUCAACCGGUUCAACCGGUUGUGCUCGUCCGGUCGAGGACCGGUUGUGCUUCUCCGGUCGAGGACCGGUUGAGGGAGGCGAAAAAGUUUCUCUCUCUCUCAGUGGCCUUCUCUUCCCAGUCAAGGUUGAACCUUAACCGCUUGAGGUCCGGUCGAGGUCCGGUUGAGGCCUAACGGUCACUUUUCCUAACGGCUAGUCAACCGGUCAAACCCCCAACAGCUAGUUUGGCUUUUUUCUUCUAUAAAAAGACUCCAAUCUUCAUUGUUUCAUAAGCUUAACCUUCCCAAUUCAUUCUUGAUUAUAUUUGAGCCUUGGAAGAGUGUUUUUUGAGUGCACCAUUGUUUCAUAACUUGCAUAUCUUUAGUGCACCAUUAAAUCCUAGUUUUUUUUGUAUCUUUGAGCCUAAAGUUCUAUUACUAGGAUUUUGAGAGAUCAUUAUUUGUAUGUCUUUGUGAGGAAUUUUCUCAAGUGCGAGGUAUCACUUGAGGGGUUGUUCAAGAGUGGGAUAUCUCUUGAGAAGUGUAAAGGGUGCUUGGAGCCAAAAGUCCAAGAGGGUGAAUUGGAACCAUAAUCCAAUUGUAAAGAGAUUAGAAGCUUGGUUGAAGCUUCAAGAUAGUGGAACCCUCACUCGGUUAGGAGGUUGAGGAGAGUGGAUGUAGGCAAAGAAGUGCCGAACCACUAUAAACUCUCGUGUUUGCACUCUCUCUUCCCUAACUCUUUUAAAUUAUAUGCAAUUGUAUUUAUUUUGUUUAUUAUAUACUUGCAUAUAAUUGUUUCUUAUUUUUGCAUAGUUUAAAUUUGUGAAAAAGAGACCAUCACCCUAUUUACCCCCCCUCUAGGGUGAUUACCAUAGUUUGGAGUAGCCCUAUUUUUCUAACAAAUAGUCAUUCUUUUCUAUUAAUGACAAAAUUGGAGAUCAUUGUAGUCUUUGCCAAUUGGGUGUCUAGUUUUUUAGAAAUUUAGGGGAAAAAUUUGUGCCUAUUUGUAGUUCUUUUCCCAAGGGAUAGAAAGGUGGUUUAACUGAAAAUCUCAAUUUUCAUCAAACUAUUUGCAUCCCUUGCCUAUCUAUAGUCUCGAUUUCACUUGUAUAUAUUGAGAAGAAAAUCACUACUCUCCCUUAGAGGUAAACCAACAUUAAGAAGCACCCCAUCAAGGUCUAAACCCAGUUUGCUUUUACUAGAUCAUAAGUGACAUUUGCUAAAUUUGGGACCCAGUUGGUCCUACAAUGCAAACCACAACAUUGAAAUAGUAAUCUCUAACAAAAGUCAUGACAAAGAACAAUCCCAACUGAGGGCUGAAAUAUUACUCACAACUAAAAUAUUGAGUGAGAUGAUGCAUAUGCAUAGCUAGAAUACUUCUGCCAUAUGCUUUCUAUAAGUAAGGAUAGUCCUUUAGAACUUCACUUAUAUCUAGAUAUAGAUGCAAGGAAAAGCAAUAUGACAUGGAGUCAUGAUUAGUUCUUAAAAUUUAGGCAUGAAUAACCAAAGUGUUUGAACUCUUUAGAAAAUCAUGUGCAUUAUGCAAUCUCUUUAAUCAAUAAAAGAUUUAAAAGAAUUGAAUGAAAAAUGUAGUGUAAGUUUUAUCAAAAUGCAAAUUUCUAAAACUUGUUUCUAAGGUGAUGUAAAAUAAUGUUAUACAAUGGUCUUUAUUUUUUCUCUCUUUUAUAUAAAUAUACAUAUAUACUUAGUAUAAACUUAUGGAUUUUAAUAAGUAAAUUCAUGAUUUUAAUAAGUGGUCUAAGUGUCUUAGAUCUCUUUGACAACAACUUGUUCAAUAAAAUUCCACAAGGUACUCAACUUCAAAGCUUCAAUAUUGAUUCCUACAAGGGAAAUCCUGCACUCUAUGGAUUACCUCUUUCGAAAAAGUGUUCUGAAGAUAAAAUAAAGCAAGAUUCUCCCACUCAUAACAUUGAAGAAAAAAUUCAGCAAUAUGGAAAUGACACGUGGUUUUAUGUUAGCGUUGCUCUUGGAUUCAUUGUUGGAUUUGGGGAGUGUGUGGAACUUUACUACUCAACAACUCAUGGAGAUAUGCCUAUUUCCAAUUCUUGAAUAAAAUAAAAGAUUGGCUCUACGUGAUUAUAGCAAUAAAUAUGGCUAGAUUACAAAGGAGUCUUCAAAGCUAAAUGGUACAAUUCUCUCCCUCUCUCCCUCCCUUUCAUUUGUACUUGUUUUUGAAGGCUAACAAUUGUCAAAGAAAAGUAGGCCUUUACAUAUCCUUGGGAUAUACUUUGUAAAUCAUGAAUGCUAAUGCAAAUUUUCUUUCCAUGCAACUUACUAAAGAGAUUUUUUCAAAUUGAUGAACACUGAUUUUUACUUUGUGUUAAUUGCAGGACUUCAACUCUUGUUCUUGCCAUAUUAGCAUGGUUGAAUGCAAAUCGCCGUGUCCUUCAUUCUAUGAUUGAUUUUGGGAUGUAAUAGGUUUCUUGUUUUAUUUUGAUGAUUAUCUAUGUUCUUUAUAUGUCUAUUUUGUCCUUUAUUCAGAAAUUUGUGUAACGUAUUAUCUCUUUUCUUCCUUACACAAUGCUUUUAUUUGGUAUUUGGAUACUUUAUGAUUCAUCCAAACAAUAUUAUAGAAGUAUAUCAAAGGUAUAUUAGAGUCCGACUUUCUAAUUUUAAAAAUAUUUCUUUAGUUUAUUCAUUAAUUUUUUUUUUAAAAAGGAUAAUUGGUUAUGUAUGACAUAAGUUUUCAACCAAUUAUUAAUAAUCAAAUCACAAUUUCAACACUUAAGAAAAAAGAAAUUUUAAUCGCAAGUUAUUAAUGAUCUGUUUCUCUCUUUCUAAAAAAAUUAAAUUACUUUAAUAAAUGGGAAACUCUUACUUUCUUGUUGUCAAAGCUUUUUCACUUGAAGUUGUCUCACAUGCAGAUAAUUUUUGUGGAAUAUUUUGUUUUCAUCCAUUUUUUGCUUGUCUCAAGUUAACUUCGUUUUCUUCUUAGUGGUUGAUUUUAUGGAUCCAUCACUAAAUCUGAUUAUUAAAGAUCAUGCCCCAACUUUCUUUUGAUUCCACCCUAGUGUAGCUCAUUGACAAUCCAUGAAAUAGGGCUAAGAUUCAUUGAUGUUUCGUUUAUUUGUUCGUUUGUGCUUUGCCCCUGUUUUGUUCUUCCCUAUAUUCCUCUAUUUCUGGUGUCUCUGGGUGAGGAUACAAUAACUUUGGUCAGACAGUCUUUGAGAAGUAUACAGAUUCCUGGUAUCAUCACCAUUUUGUUGGCGUGUUGGAGAAGUAUUGCAUUGGACCAGGAUGAGAAGGUAAGAAACUUCCAGCUUCGGAGCAAUACCUUUGCUUUCUUACUGAUUUCCAAAGCUGGGACUGGAAAUCUGAUCACUAAAAAGAAUAGUGAGCAUUUCGGGUUGAAUGAGGGUCCUUCGAGAGUCUACGGAUGAUGGCCACUUGAUUUUGGAGUUGGGGAACGAAUUUUCUCACUACCGAUGAUAUGAGUGUCAUACUAGUUGCAAAACUGAAGAGAAGAUUGGGAUGUGAAAUGUGGGCAAAAUUACAUUUGACUGGCAUGCAUGUUGACUAGGGUAUCAAGUUCCACUGGAGAUCAGGUAGAGGCAAUGGCCUUUCUAGGGGGUUUUAGACAUAAAAUGUGCUUUAAUGGCAUGAGAAUUUCUGGGUCCCUUUCAUCUAGUACUGUUCAUUUGUUAAUUUGGAGACCCAUUUUUGGUUUUGUUGAGGGUUCUGAGUUGAAGCUGGCCUGUGUUCAUGUGCAAAGCUAUCUUAUAUUUGUUUUGUUGAUAGAAUGUUAAAAUCAUUAAGAGUGAUAGUUUACGCCGAGCCACAUUGUUCAGAAAGGAGAAGUGGUUUUGAAGGAAUCAAUCCCAUGAAGUAGUUGCCUCCAACAAAGAUUUGGGCAUUUUGCAUGAAUAUAGAGUGGUGAUAAUUGAAGGAGUCUGGGGCUCUGAGCAUUGACACUUGAAGAAUGGCUUCAACAGGGCCACCAGACUUUAAAGAGAUUGAAUUCCUCGUUAACAAGAGAGGGAAUCCAGCUGAUUAUCACCCAUCUUGGUACUGGAAAUGAAAUGGGCUGUUCCUGUGCCUACACGUCUUAUAAAGGGAAAACCAUAUUGUUUGACUCUGGAAUUCUUCCCACAUACACAGGCACGGUUGCUUUGCCAUACUUUGACGAGAUUGAUCUUUCAACCAUUGAUGUCCUUUUGGUGAUACCCUUUCACUUGGAUCAUGCUGCAUCCCUUCCAUAUUACCUGGGAGAAGACAUUUCUGUGCAUUCAGACAGUAACAUGAAAGCUCGGUUCCUGAAACAGCACUUGCAGCUGCAAUCAAUCAAGCUCUUUCCCACCCAAGCCCUUGGUGCAUGUGACUUCUUCUGCAUGGCCAACCAAAGUUUCUACAAAGCCCUCCAUCAAAAUCCUUCCUCUAUCCAAUCCAAAUCCCAAGCCAAACAACUCCGUGCCUAAAACCUGAAGACAAACUCACUAUCUCCCCAAUCUUCAUACCCACCAAAUUCAUCAUGACAUACCCACCACCAUCAGUUUGUUUCCCAUCACAAUACUCAACACAAUCACUCCUCACACCCUCUACCUUCAACUUCAAACCCAUCAUACUCUCUCCAUGAUCCUCACUUUCCUUUCUCUCCCUAACAUGCUCUUCAGACGGUAACCAUAAAUCAACCAGAAGCAGCUCCUGGGUGGGCCCUAGUGGGCUAACCUCUCUCAUCCGGUUUCUCAUCAUUGCCCAAGACGACCUUGACAUACCAGUAGCCACAGUUCAGCUAGUAGAUGCGUCCAUGUGUGACGUUACUUCCACUCAGCAUGAAGAGAAGUCCUAUAGUUUAUUGCAUCCAGUCAUCACAAUUCUUGAUGGAAAAGAACGAGAUAUUGCUUGUCUUGUUACUAAAGUCGAGGAUUUAAUAUUGGAAGAUAACAAUAUGAAGUUUAGGCUAAAAUGGAUGAUUCUAUACUGGUUUUCGUACCCGUUUAUUCAUCCAAAGACGAUAAGCUACAUGUGUGAAGACAUUGGAAUCAUCUCAAGAUCCCAAAAUAGUCUCCAUGCUAAUGGCAGUAGCAGAGCCAGUGGAGCCAUGGAACCUCAAGCCUCUAGGAGCAUAGGACUGUCGGAGGAAAAUUCGAUGAGAAGAAGCACAAGGUUGGAUGCCGCCUUCAACUGAGCAUGUAAUGCUAUUUAGUUCUUCUCAUUCUCAGCACCCAAAAAGCUAGAAGGACGAUUUGAGGUGACUCAAGUUCAACAAGCUGUGAGCCUAGGAAUGGCCCCACGUGCAUGAAGUUUCGCACCACCCAAGAGCACGUGGCCCUUUUGAAUCCGACAGUGUUCUUGUUUAUAAUAGUGAAAUAUUUGGAGGAAUUCAUGUUGGCAGCAACUAUAGAUGCUCAGAACUCAAUCUGGACACAACUAUAUUACUCAUAAACCUAUUGCUAAGAAAGUAAUAAUGGAAUACUGAAAAUGGCUUGCCAACCUCUGAUAAGCAACUUCUGGUAAUCAUAAAGAAGACGAGAUACGGAAUGGAAAUCAAAUCAUGGUGCCCGAGCCUUUGGGAAACUCCUCAUUACCAAAGGAGAGAGAACCUGUUAUUGAUGCCGAUAAGCUUUCUGUCACCAAUAUAUCACCAUCGGGAUGCUUGGCAAACCUCCUUGAAGACCACUCUGGUAGAAUUGAUGCUCUCAUAGUUAAACUUCCAAAGUGGGUUGCUACAUCUGCACUCAAUCAGUUCAUGUUGUUAAAGGCUGAUAAGCUUGACAAGGCAGAAGCUCCUCAAUUGCCUAUAUGGCCCCAUCAUGCAUUCCCACAAGUUGACACAAAUCCAUGGUGGUGCUUAAGGAUCAGAAUCAGACAUAGCUUAGGCACGCUGAAGAUUGCUAGAUGAGAAGCAGUAUCCAAGCAUGGUGAUUGGUUUAGAGGCCCAUCUACCAAAAAUCUGAAGACUAAAUGUUUGGGAAGGAUUAAGUUGAGGUAGGCCUACAGUCAAAAAGCUGAAAAGCAACAGAAAACAGGUUGUGAUUGCUUCGGGGAGUGAUUGGGGCAUUUAAGCAAAGAUUCCCUACUAUCCUGAUGAGAAUCAGUAAGGCUGGAAAGACCAUGCUGAUGAAUGUUCUAGAAGAAAGACAAGCUAGAGGUCAUAUUGAAAGGAAACAUUAGAAUAUCUGGGUUCUCCAAGCAGCAUUAAACUUUUGCAAGAAUUUCCAAUUGAGCAGAAUGAUAUCCACUCUCCUCCAGUUACUGUUAUUGAAUCUUUGAUCUACUCAUUUCUUUCCUGGAGCUCAUCUUUUAACUCUUUUAUCUUUGUAAGGAUUUACAUGCUGCCUUAAAUUGAGUUUUCAAAACUUUUCCAUUAAAAUAAUUCCUCUUUUCUAAUUUCAUCCUUAGGAGUUUCUAGGUAAUAAAUUUUAGCUUUCAUAAAAGCUUGCUGCCGUAUUUCACUCCGACAGGCACUUCUUAUCAUCUCCCUUGUCUUUUUUAACAAUUUUCUUGAUUUUUAAUAAGCACGAUUAAAUUCUCUAAUUCUAGAAAAUGGAACUUAUAGAAUUAAUUCCUGCAAAAAUAAUUCGGGUAGUGGUGGGGCUCAACAUACAUGUUAUUCUCUUUUGUGGAUUAAUUCUAAUUGAUAUGCUCAUUGAAUAUUGACUGACUUUGUGUGACAUACAUGUGAUUAAUUCCAUGAUAGCACAUUAUUGAUUCGCUGCUCAGGUACACAUCCUAUCUUUUCCCAUCUGUUUGAUCACUAUCCAUUGAGUACUUUGACUAUAGUAUGUCUUUGAUCACUAUUUGGUAUCCACGAUUAAUCGGUUAAUUGUCGUACAUGCCUCAACUUAAUUAGUAGAGACCCAUUUUUAGGGGCUUAGAGGGUUGUUACAACUUAUCACCAUACCUUCUAGAUAGGUAACCUAACCCUCGGACCUAACCCGGUUUUUCCAAAAACUAUUAUUUCUUUUAAGAGUCACACUUAGGGUUUUUCUUUCUUAUUUUGUUUUUCCCUUAAAAAAUUAAACAAAAAUAAAUAACAACUCUUUAAAUAAUUUUCAAAAAAAUCAAAUUUUCAAAUAAAAAAUGAGUCUCGCCAUUCGUGUGGGGAUGCAUGAGAAAAAGGCCGGUCCACAGACUGACUUUCUUGUGAAGGCAAAUUGAAAGUGAGGACCAUAGUUUCAAUGGUGCUAACCUCAAUAAAAACCAACCUCAUUAAACCUCGUUGGUAUAGCCACAUAGAGUUACUUUCUAAUUUUCUCAUUUUUUUGGGCUCAAAACUAAUCAACUAACAACUAUUAUCAUAUAAUUAUUUGUUUAUUUAUAAAUAUAUUCUAAUAAUAAAAUAAAAUAUUUGAUUAACAUGUUUGAGAAUACCUAUAAAUAUUUAAAUAGUACCAAUGAUAAUAUCCAUUAAGGAUUAUUAUCUUAAGUUGCUUACUUUAUUUUUGUUAUACACUUAUAAUGACCCACUUGCCAUAAACAAAGCUAUUAAGUUCAAGGUACAUAUAGGUUAUGUUUGGUUCUUAGAAAAUUUGAAAGAAAAUAUAAGGGAAAAAAAAUAGGAGGGAAACGUAAAAGAAAAGAACAAUUGAAGAAAAAAAAAGAAUUUAAAGACAACAAAUUAUUUUUAUAUGACAUUUCAAACUUAUUUAACUUAUUUUAACUCUUCGAUAUAAAGAUAAAAUAAUUUGAAAAUAUAUAAGUUUUUAAUUAAUUUUAAUUAUAUUUGAUUUUUUAGAGGACAACCAAACAUAAGAAAAUCAUUUUUCUAAACAUUUUUUUCUUUUCUUUCCUUAAUACUUCUCAAAAAUCAAACAAAACCAUAACAUAUUUUUUUUAUAAUAAAUCUUUAUUCUUUAUUCAUGCAAAAUUCCUUUACUGACUUGAGCAUAGGAGUUAUAUAUAUAUAUAUAUAUAUAUUAUUAUGAAAAAUACUUGUAAAACAUUAUUAUCAAUUUCCUUGUUAGAAAAGCCAAUAUUUUAUCAUAUUUUAGUUUUCAUUUUAAUAUUUCAUUAUCACAAAAAUAAAAAUAAAAAUUAAAACUACAACUGUUUUACACUUUACCUUUAAAUUAUAGUUUUAAAGUUGAAUUUACUUAUCUAUUUUUAAUUUAAUUGUCUAAGCCUUUAAUAUAAUUGUUUUUAGGUUGUUCUAGGUCCUUCAAGUUUCAACUGCAACUAGGAACUAAUCGUCCCAAGGCUGGAGCCACAAACCAUUGAAUUGGGCUCGAAUCCCAUAUCUUGGGCCUAUUAAUGAGAGGCCUACCCUUUUUCCUUUACAAAAGACUAAGUUUGCCACCAAGCCCAUAUUCUUUUAUUGUUUAGAUUUGGAUCCUAACAUGCUACCCUUCUUUAAGUCCCAACAUUUUCAAGCCCAAAGUCUCAACCUUGUUAAAUGUCAUAAGUUCUCUAAGUUGAGGUUGCCUCUAGAAUGCAAUUAAUAAUAUUAAAAUGUUAUGAUUAAAAGAUAAUUAAUGAUAACAAAUAUAGGUUAUGAAAUUUUAAUAUCUCUAUUCUAAGAACCUAUAAAUAGAAUAACAACUUGACUAAUAUUAAAAUAUAUCAUUUGUAUAGAAAUGUAUCAUAUUUAUAGCUUGUUGAAUUUUGAAUAUCUUUGUUAUAGUAACAUAUAAAUAAAAUAAUAAAUUUUCCGAUAUUAAAAAUGUAUAUUUAUUUAGAAAGUAUGUAUAAGGAAAAUGAUAAAUUGACUAAUCAUCUUAAAAAUAUAUUUAUUUAGAAAACAUGUGACAUUUUUCUCAUCAUAUUCUUCAUAUUUGUAAGAAAGAUAUCAAAAGCAUCCUAAAAAUUAAAUCUAUUAUUCACUAUACUUUGAGAAGUAUCCUAAAAAAUUUCAAUGCUAGUUUACAUGCAUUCUAUAUCAACUUCUUGUUAGAUUGCUAGUGCACCUCAUGUUCUGCAUCUAGCAUCCUAAAAGUUUUCAUAAUGAACUUCAAAAUGAAUUUUCAUGUUAUUUCCAUUUCCAAGUCAAGGCCAAAUACAUAUUAAAAUCAAACACACAUAUAUAACUAAAACUAAAAGGUUUAAAAGGCUUAUUUAUGCAAAACAUCCAAAUAUCUCGAAACAUCUUCUUUUCUUUUCGUUUGUUAAAUGUUUCAUAGAGAGAAAGUAGAACACCUCAACCUGUGACAUGGGUCCUUCAAAAUGAACAAUGUUAGUGGAAACUAUAAGUGUAUUUUGUGUAUUGGAAAUUUCGAGUCAAUCAUAGCUCAUAUUUUUCAAAUCCUCUCUUGGACACUUGCCUUUUGCAAAUUAUUCAUGUUUGAAGAUGGCUAAAGGAAUUGGUAAGUGCAUUUGAGGUGAUGGAUGAUGGUAAAAAAUGAUCAAUCAUAUUUUAAUUUUAUAUCCUUUUAUUGAAAAAUGAAAUUGAAGCUUAAAAGUGUAAAACAUUGUGUUUAAAAAAUUUGGAUCGAUUUUUGUUAAUCGAACUAAAGAGUAAUAGUUUAUCCUGAACCCAUAUUUUUCAGUCUUGUCCGAUCGAUCAUAUUUCGAUCACACUUGUGAAUUUUUAUAAUUUUUCAAACAAAUCUCAAUCAAUUGAUGAGUUUCAAAACCCUAAUACUUAACAUCUCUUUCCAGACGUGGAGAGAUGACUGUGAGGGUAAAAACCCUGGUUUUUGAGCUUCAAGAUUCUCUUACUAUAUUGGGGAGUGUUUGCCUUAUGAGAUAAUUUAUGAGUUUCAAUUGAAAAUCAGUUUUUGAGUAAAAAAUCUUUAGUUCCAAAUGGGUUAAUUCAUUGUCUUCUUCAUCCUAUCUCUCAUAUUGCUCUCAUAUCCAACUUAUUGGGGUAAAACCUAAGAUUCUUCCUUUGUGGACUUAAGAAAAGGCUGAGAUCAAAGCUUUGAGUGAAUUUCAAGUAUUUUCUUGAAGAAGAAUGAUGGUAGCUAAAGCUCAAAGGUUCUAGGCAAGUGGUCUGAGAAAGAAUGAAAGACUUAGGCUAGGUAAAACCUUGUACUCAACUAUUUUUUCUUCAUAGUGGAUUAUUUGAUUGCUUGAGGCCCAUGGUUUUUUUUAUCUCUUUAGAGGUUUUCCAUGUUAAAAAAAAAUUGGUGCCAUUUCCUUUCCUUUCUAUUUUAUCUUCUAAUUAGCAUUUCAUAAGCUUAUGAUAUUUUUCAUUGUGUUAUGGCAAUUGAGUUAAUUAGAGCAUGAGCUAAAAUGCAUCUAUUGAAUCUUUGAAAGAACAAGAUAUAUGUUAGUUUUUGUUGAUUGAUGACAAGGGGCAUGUGAACAAAAGUUUUUAUGUUGAUGCAAUGUUUAAUAUAUUAGGUUUAGGGAGUGUUGUCUCAUUUGCAUGUGACUUGCAUUGAAUAACUUGUUUAGGAGAGUGUUGGUGCAUCCAUUGUUGCUUGUGAUUCGCUUGUUUGUUCAUAAAGUUGAAAAAAAAAAUCAUUGUAUAACGGAAAAACAGGGAAAUUGUGAGCAUUUAUGAGAUACCUAUCUUAUUGUUUUAAAAAACACCUAUUCGCCCCCUUCUAGGUGUUAUCCAUAAGUGAGAUUCAUCUUCAAUUGGUAUCAGAGCGAGUUUCAAAGCAAAAAUCAUUAUCGAUCCGUGAAUCUCAAAUAUGGAACCUCAUAAAGAGGGUGAUUCAAUUGGGAGACCCCUCUUUUUAAUUGGCGAAAAUUAUUCUCAUUGGAAAGUGAGAUUACAAUAUUUUCUCAAAAUGCAAAGUGAAAAAGUAUGAAAUACCGUUGAAUUUGGUUUGCCUCCACCAAAUGUGUUGGAUAGAGAAGGUAGACUAACAAAUGUGAUCAAGCCUAAAUUGGAAUGGGAUAGAGGUGAAAAUGAAGCUAGUGAGAACAAUGCUAGGGCCAUGGAUUCCAUCUUCAAUGCCAUUAGCACAGAUGAAUUCCAUAGGAUUACUACUUGUACCUCAGCUAAGGAAGCUUGGGACAUCCUCCAAGUGACUCAUGAAGGAACCAAUGUUGUUAAAGUUUCUAAACUUCAAAUGUUGACUUCUAGGUUUGAGACAAUUAGGAUGGAAGCUCAUGAGAAUUUUGGAGAGUUUCAUGCAAAAUUGACGGACAUUGUGAAUUCUAGUUUUAAUCUAGGUGAACCCAUCCCUAAUUCCAAAGUGGUUAGAAAUAUUAUAAUAUAUCUUUCAGAGAGAUUUAGAGCAAAAGUCACCACCAUUAAAGAGUCUAAAGCUGUGGAUUCCUUGAAAAUUGAUGAACUUGUAGGUUCCCUCCAAACCUUUGAAAUGAUUCUUGUAUUACCUGGGAAAGUUAAGGGAAUUGCUUUAAAAGCCAUUAAAAAAGAGUCUCUAAGUUUCGAAAGUGAGGAUGAUGAGAAAAUGUUAGAAGAUGAGCUUACUAAGUUUGCUAAAAAAUUCAAGAAAUACAUGAAAUUCAGAAAAUCCAAGAAUGAAUCAAAUGAUGCUAAAAAAAAAUGGAGGAACUCAAUUAGAAAAAAGAAAAAAUUGGAAAAAGAUGUGAAAAAAGAGUUGGAAAUUGAGUGUUUUAAAUGUGGGGGAAAGGGUCACCAUGCAUUUGAAUGUCCUUAAAAGAAAAAGAAUAAUAAAGCCAUGCAAGUUACUUGGAGUGACUCCGAGUCUAAUCGAACAAGUGAAAAUGAAUCAAAUGAAUAAGAUGAAUGCACUAACUUCAUAGCCUUUACUGCAACUAUCAAAGAGGAACCUCUAUUAAAAGAAGCCUCAAGUGAGUUAAAGUGAGUCAAGUGAAAGAAUCCAAUGAUGAUGACAUGUGUUUUGACACAACAUAUGAGAUUUUUUAUAAGGAGUGCUUAAGCCUUAAAUAAGACAAGUCAAGUAGACGACUUCUAAGAGGAUUUUAACCAAUGAGAUUGAUGUUUUAAAGAGAGAAAAAAAGACUUUGCUUGAUAAAAUUACAUUUCAUAAAAAUGAACAUUUGGAAGUGAAGAAAAAGUGUGAUGUGUUGAAGAAUGAAAGUCAAAUGUUCAAGGAUGAGUUAAGCCUUAGGAAGGAAGAGUAGUAUCCUAGCUUUAAGAGACUUAAUGAGUUGAUCAAUUCAGGGAGAAAAUCUUUUGAUAGAAGAGGUCUAGGAUUCGUUGAUGAAAAUGUUACUCUAAGUAACGAUAAGAUAGUUUUUGUUAAGCCUUGUGAAGAAAAAUUUCCUAAGAAAACUCUUUCUCAUAUCAAGUUUCAUUGCACUCAUUGUGGAAAAGUGGGGCACACUUUUGAUAGAUGUUAUACAAGAUUGUUUGAUAAUUUUCAAAGGAAAUUGACCAACCUAAUGAAUGAAUGUCAUGCAUUGAAGGAUAGGUUGUUGAAUGUGAACAAGAGAGUGUCUAUGAAGUCUUCAAAUAUCCCUUAUAAUGGUAUCUUGAUAGUGGAUGUUCACUCCAUGUGACUGGAAAUAAAUCUUUUUUCAGAUCACUGAUUUUGAUGGAGGAAAUGUUACAUUUGAGGAUGGUAAUGUGGCUAGAGUGAAAGGAAAAGGCUUUAUAUGUGCUUCAGGUAUUCCUAAGCUUGAAGAGGUCUUAUAUGUGGAAGGUUUAAAGGCCAACUUAAUAAGCAUAAGCCAAUUAUGUGAGAAUAAUCUUAAUGUCCAAUUUUCAUAAAAUGUGUGCAGUGUGUUUGACUUGAAUGGUGAUUGUGUGAUGAUUGACUUGAAAACUUGUAAUAAUUGCUAUGUUGUUAGUCAAAAAGCUCUUUCCUCUUCUUCUCUUGUGUUUGAAAGUUCUAAAAUUGAUUUUGUUGAUCACUUGUGGCAUAAUAGAUUGGUUCAAAAUGAAAAAAGGUGUGUCAUUCUAAAGAUUAGGAGUGAUAAGGGAGAAAAAUGGAUGAUGUUGGUGUCAUUCAUAGAUCAAAGAAUCAUCUUCAUCAUUUUAGAGGCAAACUCACUGCUGACACUAGACAUUGCUUCAAUAAAGACUUGGUAGAAGACAAACUUGUUUCCUUCAAAUAUGUUCCUACCGAGUGUCAAAUAAUUGAUAUCCUCACUAAGCCUUUGGAUGUUUCUAGGUUUGAGUCACUUAGGAACUCCAUAGUCUUAUGUUUUCUAAGUUGAUUGUCUUUAAGGCCUCUCUAUGACAUCCCUUCUUUGUAAAUUCUUUCUUCUUAGAGGUUUCAUAGGCUUAUUGAGUCCUUGUGUUGCCUUGUUUUUCUUUUCUCAUGGUUCUCAUUCUUGUUUUUUUUUUUUGUUUUGGUAUCUCCUUAAACCCUUUUUCCUCUCUAGUUUAAACAUAGAUGUUUGUUUUUAUGAGGACUUGACAUUGUUUUCUUUUUAGCAAAUGGUUAUUUCGUGUCAUAAUGAUCCAAAAGUAUUCCAAGAUAUGAAAAUCCUUCUUGUGUUGGUGUGAGAUGGAGCAUAACGUGCUUAUUGUUUAGCUUUGCUUGGAUAAGCUACAACAUACUUAUUUCAUAACCAUUGAGUAAUUAACAACUUGUGGAGUGAUUUAUGAUUUCAUAAAAACUGAUAAAUGAUUUGUAAAGUUCAAUUGUGGGUCUAUAUCAUUCAAUGUGCCUUAAAGUAUGAGUAAAGCCACAUGAAUCUUCUUGAGAAUUUGAAUUUGUGUAUCUUGAUUGUUUACACUCUCCAAAAAAAAAAAUUAUUCAUUUCUCGGAAUGGUUAAAGCACCAUGGCAAUGUUUCAAGUGUAAAAAGUCUCCAUUAAAAAAGUGGGGCAUCCCUUUAUGUUUGUAAUGACAUAUUUGUAAUGGCCACCUUAGUGAUCUUAAAUUCAACAAUCUAUCCUAAGUGUGUUUUCAACAUGUUAUCAAAACAAAUUAAAAAAAAAAACAACAAGAUGUGAUGUUUGUUUGCAUUUCAAGGGAUGUAUAUUUAGUCAAAGAAUGUAUUUUUUACUAUGUUAAAUAGAAAUCUGGUCAAGGGAGAUGUAAAUUGACUUUAAGAGAAAUAAAUUUGAGUUUCUUUAGGGAUGGAUAUGAUUUUGAAAUUUUUUUUUUUUUUGGUUCAUGGAUAUCUAUAGCCUUAUAAGUUGAGAUUAUUUAUCAUUUUUAGUUUGUUAUGGUCUUAUGAGUGUACUCUUUAAGCCAAAAAUCGUUUGAUGGAGUGUUAAUAAUUUCUUGUUUUAUUUAUCCUUGUCAUAUGAGAAAUUGAUGAGUUUCUGUAUAUUUCAUGCUUUGUCAUUCAAUUCAAAAGUCUCUCGUUGACAUUUUUUUUAUUAUUAUUAUGCAUUUUAAUGACCAAAUGCUAAAUGCUUUUCACUUUGAGCUCUAAUGAAUUUGUUUCUAAUGUCUUUUUUCAUUUUUCUUAAGAUUGUACAACUUUUUUUACUCAUUUUUUGUUGAUUUUUUUGUCAUAUCUUGAUCAUUGGUCAUUUCAAUCAAUUGUUUUUUCAAGAAAAACCGAGUAUUGUGAAGCGUGAUUGAACUGUGAACGAUCAACUUUUGAUCAACUAUGUUUUUCUAACCUUGGCUGAGAACUAUAUUAUGUGAUUGAAAUGUAAUUGAUCGACUUUCGAUCAACCAUGUUUUGUCUAACCUUGGUUGAAAACUAUAUUAUGUGAUUGAACUUGGAUCGAUCCAUCUUCGAUCAACUAUGUUUUUGUUGGCUUGACUAACAAUUGUAUUGUGUGAUCAAAUUUAUUCUCUAGUGCUUUAAAUAAAAAAAAAAUCAAAAGCAAUAGAUAAAAUACAUGUUUAAAUGGAAAGGAAAAAAGUGUUUUUCCAUUUCAAAACCAAAUCCCUAAAUUUCUUCAAAUCCUAGCUCCUUCCAACCCACUUUUCUCUCAAAACACUUUUUGCUCGUCACUUUCUCUUCACCAAAGCAUUCAAAGUUUUCCAUUGCUCUUCUCCAUGGGUGGCUUCUAACUUCUAAAUCCUUCUCACAUCUCUCCAAGAAAGCGUGUUUUAUUGUGGAUUGUGGUGUCGAUGGCUAGUUGUUCUCCAUUGCUAGAUAAGUUUGGUUUUUCUUUAAAUCUAAGGUUUGAUUAGGGAAGAUUUCUCAGGAUCUCUCAAAUUCUUAUUUGUAUGGUUCGUAAGUUGAGUACUUAUUCACCGAGUAUAUUCCAAUGGAGUGGUGGAAUUAUCGAAUUCCAAUGGCAAAGACAGCUUCAAAGUCAAUGGAUAUCGUCUCAAGCCAUUCAUGGAGCCAUUCAAACUAGAAAAGGAGGCAAUCAACCUCCUUGAACGUCAAAAAGCCUAAGUGAAAAAGGGUUUGCUGAACGUGGUUUUACCAUAGUUCAGUUUGUAAAUUUUGUAAAAUUUCAAGUUUUUUUCUGUACAUUUGAUCUUAGUUUUUGAUCUUAAAUCAUGUUUCUAGGUGUGUUUUAAUUGUUUUGAAUGAUCCCAGGUGGAAGAAAUUUCAAGGGAAUUGAAAGAAAAAAAAAUCGGGUCGAAAUCGGAGCAGAAACAGAGCAAAAACAGAGGAAAAGCAAAGCUCUGCGAAAUUUCGCAGAAUGAAGAAAACCUCUGCGAAAUGAGCAUUUUGUUGCCAAAUCAUUCCGCAACACUUUAGGAUUCUCUGCGAAAAUUUUCGCAAUUGCGAAAGUGGAAAUGGCACACGAGUGCCACUUCGCAGCACAGGAGCAUCAGUUUUGCAGCUGCGAAACGCAUUGCGAAGUGGAAAAACGUGAUUUCGCACCAAAAGUCCCAUUCCGCAGCGUAAUUCGCAAUUGCGAAAACGAUUUUGGCACACGUGUGCAACUCCGCAGCACAGUAACAUCAAUUUCGCAGCUGCGAAACGCACUGCGAAAUUGCUGCGAAAAUGGCAUUUUGCUGCGAAAUUGGCGUUUUAUUGCGAAACUCAAACUGACCCUUAGGCUUCCGUUUUUCCUAUUUAUACCGGUCAGUUGAGCUGCGAAAAGGGUUUCAAAAAUCAAAGCACCAUUUUCGCAGCCUGUUCGUCUUCUUCAGUGAGCCUCGCCGUCCAACUUCCGGUCAUCCUCUCCGUUCAUCAACGCCGGCCAAAGUUCGGUAGCCCAAAAUGGCGCGAACGCGAGGAGCUAAGUCUUCAUCUCCUUCGAACCGCAAAAAGACGCUGCGAAAGGAGCCACUUCUAGAUUCUGCUCCAGAGCCUUCGUCGUCAAAACCAAUUCCACCUCCGGCGAAGCCCGCGCCACCAAAGCCACCGGCAAGACGAUAUUUAACCAGGUCAGGAGGUCGACCAUUACAAAAGAAGCCAAGGGUUGAGAGCUCAGAACCCAUCGAUUUGACUGAACAAUCCCUUGAGCAAUCCCCAGAGCAGUCACCGGUUCAAACUCCGGUAUCCUCACCAAAUCCUUCUUCAGUUGCAACCCCAGUUCCCUCGCCAGUUCAGUCGCCGGUACCAUCUCCGGCGCCGCAAAAAAAAUUGAAGAAGUCUCAAGCGCCACUUCCAGAGCCCCAAAUUCAAUCUGAAGUAGCUCCGGAAGAAGUGAUCAGAAGGCCAAUGCUAACUCAGCCCCCAAUAGAGGGAAAUUUGGAUUGUCGAUCUUGGCCAUUCCAUUCCGACUUGUGUUUCGAUAUAGCAGCAUUCCAAGUGAGGCCGGAGCUAGCCCAAUCAUUCCAGCUGCUGAGGAGGUACCAUAUGGAGCAUCUGCUAGCUCCAAGAGAUUUUUUUCUACCCCCGGAUAGCAAUGGAUUUCUACCAAUCCAUGACAACCAAAGAGGUUAGAAAUCCAACUUUGAUUCAUUUUACUAUUGAAGGAAGACAUGGUGUAUUGGGAGCACGCCACAUUGCUGAAGCCCUGCAAAUUCCUUUUGAGCCAACCCAAUUCGAUAAUUUUAGAGCUUGGGCCAAUCCUACUGAACUGGAGAUGGUGCGCACCCUUUCCAGAGGAGCUGCAAAUCGAUCACAUCUGCUGAGAGGGGAGCUUCCUCCAGUUAUGUUUUUGAUUGAUGCCUUUUUGAGGCAUAAUAUCUAUCCAUUGCAGCAUUGGACCCAAAGAAGGGGAAUCCUCUUGGAAGCUCUUUACAAGAUGUUAGAAGGAUUUUUCUUUGGGCCUCAUCAUCUGAUCCUGACAGCCCUUCUCUAUUUCGAAGAGAAGGUUCACAAAAAGAAGCUUCAAAGAGCUGAUUGCAUUCCUCUCCUAUUUCCAAGGCUGCUAUGCCAAAUUCUAGAGCACUUGGGAUACCCUGCUGAGCCUCAGCUGGAGAGAAAGCAAAUUUUCCGUGAGCCAUUCACCCUAGAUAAAUGGAAUAACAUGACGGCCUACAAAGUUGAUCAGCCUUCAGAGUCUCAUCCUCCAGAGCCUGAAACCCCAGCUGAUGCACCUACUGAAGAGGCAGCAGAUCCAUCUGCCUAGUUCUAGCCCCAGCACCACUCAUCAGACUACUAUCUAUCUAAUAUUUCUAUGUAUUUUGUUUUUUUUUAGUUGAAAAGAAAUCCCAGUAUUUUGGUACUAUAUUUGGGAUUCCUUGUGAUUACUUGUCUUUUGCACUGUACUUGAAUCAACUGAAAGUAAUACAAGCUGAAUAUUUCUUAUUAAAAGUUAGCAUUAAAUUUUCCUUAUUUCCUUUUCUCACAUAUUCUAUUCUUUUUGAAACAUGUGGUUUUCCCCAAUCAAUAUUCGAAUUUGAUAUCAACCAGGAGGUACCACUUCCUCCCUUUAAUUACAGUCACUCAAAUCACAUUGAGGACAAUGCUCAGUUCGGUUGGGGGGUAUGAGGAAGGAAGUAUGCUAAAUCUUUUUGGUAUUGCAAUCAUAUUGGUUAAGUAGUUGUAGUUUUACUUUUUACUUUUGUUACUCUAUUCUCUAUGAAUUUUGAGGAAAAAUUUUCAAAUUAAACCAAGAGAAAUUGAACUAUUGUUUUUCACUUGACUUAGAGUAUGGAUUAUGCUUACUAAAGUGGUUCAAUUGUUGAAACUUCUACUGAAAUUGAAUUUAGUUCUUCCACUUUAAGCUAUUCACACACUGUGCACAUUAGAUUCCGAUUAUAAGAUGAAAAGCUAUUUCCCUCUUGACUUAGGAUAGUUUUGGGACUUGGUAUAUUUGACCUCAUUUGAUAAAAAUUGAAACACCUUGCAAAAGGCCAAUGAGCCUUUGAAAUAAAGAAAGUUGUUUGCUUGCCUUGAAACCCGAGCAAGGUCUGAGGGGUAUAUGGUGAAAAUCUUUAAAGCCUGGUGCCCUAAGCCUUAAAUGGUUGGGAGACACCAACCUCAAUGCUCGUUAUAAGGGUGAAUAGGUAGAGUUAGCAUAUGGUAGAUGUUUGGGUAUUAGAAAUUCAUUCUUAAAAGUCCGGGGAAAAAUCCGAGGAGUUAGUGGUUGAAAGAUCCUUAAAGCUUGGUGCCCUAAACCUUAAGUGGUUGGGAGUCAUCGAUGGACCCCCAUUACAUGGACAAGUCAGAAAGAGUACCCCAUAAAGCUGCCUUCUAAAAAAAAAAUAAAAAAAAAAAAAAAGUUGUGUUCUUUUCUUAUUGAUUUUGGUCAGAUUACUAAAGUUUUGAAAAGAAAUAGGUUGGGGGGUGAGAUUAGUUUAGCAUAUUAUUUUCGGAACCUAAGGAACCAAUACACAUAGAUUUUUGUGGAAGAUUAAAGUUUGAUUCUUAGAAAGUGGAAAUGAUUUUAAAACUUCAGUUUGUAUAAUGCACUCCCUUGAUUGACAGUGUUUAGCAUAGUUGUUAUGACUCUUGUUGAGAUUUGGGUUUGUAUUUAUUUAAUACUUCAUGUGAGAAUUAGAUCAUCAUGCCACUUGAGAAUUAUUUUCUUUUAGCAUGAUGUUGUAAAUUUUAGAUUAGUUUGUUAUGUAUUUUUCAUUUUUCUCUCCUAUAUUGCUAAGGGACUAGCAAUAUGUCGGUUGGGGGGAGUGAUUACUACUCAAAAAGUGCUAUUUGAUAGCCUAUAAUCAAUCCUUUUAACCACUUUUGAGUAGUAGUUUAGGCCUUUUAACUCAAUUGGCAUGUUAAGGGUCCUUGAAAGCAAUUUUAAUCAUUUUGUGUAAGUUUUGGUGUUUUUGUUAGUAUUUUGAUCAAAAAAGCAAGUCAAGACUGAGGAGAGCUAUGAGGAAUCUUGGUCAAAGCUUAGAAGUCAUUUGCCAAGAGUGAAUCCGGAUUGCAAGGAGAAAAAGCAAAGAGAAUCUGCCAUUAAGCAUAUUCUUGAUGAUAGUCGUAGCAGCCACUUUUGGAGCACUUUUUGAAGUCCAAAUGAUGCAUGCUAUAUACCAUUUCAAAGCUCAGGAAGUCAACAAUCCAAUGCUUCAAACGGUGUGCAAUUCGGAGUUGAAACGAAGAAGUUGCAGUCGUUACAAUCCAAUCACUCCGAGCUGAAGGAAGCAUUUUGCAAAGUGCUGCGAAAUCACCCUUUUGUUGCGAAGUGAUUUCGCAGCAUUUUUGAACAGUGUGAUGUUUCUCCUUUUGACGAUGCCCGAUUUAUGCCGCGAGAAGGAAGCUUGGAACCUCAAGGUGGAAGCCAACUUCGCAGCCCUUCAGAGAUAGCUUGGUGUUGCGAAAAAAUUUCGCAGCCCUCUUGAGUGUCUGCGAAAUUUCGCAGACACCAUUUUCCUCCUGCGAAAUGGUUCCUGAAGCCUCCCGAUAUUUGCUACCGACAUUGGGAGAUAUUUUCCAUUAGAUUUUUGUUAUCUAAAUCCCAAAAUACUCCUUGUAAACCUCCAAUUAUAAGAUUCCUUAGCUUUUAAGUUAAUAAAAAGACCAAAUAUCUUUGUAACAAUUAGUUAUAUAUUAUGUUCAUAUAUAUACCUCUCGGGAGCCUGUUCUCGGAGAGGAGUUCCUUCUGUAAAAGUUUGGAAAGCAAGUAAAGUUCAUUUUCCUUCUACUGCCUUACCUUCUCACUUUGUAUUUUUUUAGUUAAUACUAAGUUAUGAACUCUCUGAGGAGUUUUCCCCAGAGAAUGAGUAACUAAACCUCUAAUUCCUUGGAGCUAAGGUUGCCGGGGAAGGUUCCAAGUGCAAGAAUGCAAAGCUCUGUGGUUUUAGCUAGUAAUGAAGAGGAAGUGAAAUCCUUUAGUGAUUUCAAUGUUUUUAGUUAACUUAAAACACCUUGGAGUCACCUGGGCCAACACUUGGUAAGGCAAGUGAUUUCCAACCAUGGAAAUGCACUAGUUUACCCCUUGCGAGCCUCUGGGAGGUGACUUCAGGGUAGGAUUUUCUAGAAUAGCCAACACUUGAUAAGCUUUUGGACUCCUAGGAGACAUCCAUUAGUUAUCUCUUGCGAGCUUUUGACGGGUAAUCCAAAGUUAAGGAUCACCUUGAAUGGUUAAGGCUUAGUGAGAGGCUUAAACCAUUUCAAGUUGCAUCAGUGAGAGAAUUAAAGUGAAAUCUAAUUGAAGGAUGAAUCUGUACAUCACCGGUUAGGGAAUUGACUAUAUGUUGAAUCUCUAACGCGAGGAUAUGAACCUUCUGACCGGAGCUAUGUCUUUUGCAUGAGGAACCACCCCAGUGAACCUAACUCUUCAAGGAAUGUUUUUCUUCCUAAGUUAUUCCAAACUUCUGUUAUGUUAGUUAGUUUAAGUCUAAACCUUCACCAACCAAAGUUUGUUUUUUUACCUCUUAAGCUAACCAUGAAAUGAAACAAGACCAAUUCACUUGGAAUUGGUAUCAUUGAUAUCUUGUCAACCUUUCCCAGUGGACGAUCCUAGAGCCACUAUACUAUAGUAGCUUUUUAUUUGCUACCCUAGUGUAUGGUGUUAUAGGUAUAAAUUUUGUUGAUUACUCCCUCAUUCAAGGAGCACCAGCUGAACACGAAUCAGCUGAGACACCAAUUGGGCAUGAAUCACCUUGUAUGGUUAAUUAAUCAAUUAGCAACCUUUUUGGGCUACAGUAAGUGACCCAAGUUCAAGUUGGGCUUAAGUCACUUAAGCCCAGUAGGAAGCUUAUAAAUAUCCCUUUAGGGGUUAGGGUCUCCAUGUCUUAUCAUUCUCCUUUUCAGUCUAAAGAGAAAACCCUAGCCUCCACCUUUGAGAUCUCCACCAUGUCAAUGCUUAGACAUAAGAAAGAGUCAUUGGGCAGAAAAUCAUGGUGUUUACGAGAUUCAUUAUGACUUUAAAGUUAUCUACAUCGAUUGGAAUUGAUCUAGGAACAUAAAGAUCAAAGGUAUGUGACUUUAUUCUCUAUAUCUAUAGUUUCUAUGCUAUUCUUAUUAUUUUUAAUACCUGUUUAUCCAUUGCGAUAGAUUUAGAGACCUUAUGACAGAUUUGUAUGCACCCUAUGCAAUUUGGAGCAUGGGAACAGAGUAAUUCGGGGUUCCCAACAACUGGUAUCAGAGCCCUAGGGUAGGUUAUAGCAUGUUAAAGUUGUUCUAAGGUAUGCUAACUCUAUUUUGCAAGGUUGUUUUAUUCAUCCUAUGGCCCUAAGGGAUGAAUGAAUGAAAUUAUUCAUUCAUUUUAACGUAUAAAUAUAUUUGGAUUGAUUGAUUGUUAUUGAUUCAUUUGAAUGAAUGAAUAUUAAUGGAUGUUUUCUUUGCCUUUUGUUCUCUAGAUUGGGUUGAACGCCCCAUAAGGGGUAUUAGAUUUUUAUUUGGUUGUAAAAAUCUUUUCUUUUCAAUAGAUGAGUUGUAAGCUCCAUUAUAGGAGCAUAGAAAUUUUUAUUGUUGCAAAAAUUUCAGUUUUUUUAUAUCCAUCUAUGGUUACCCAAGUGAAAUGAAGGAAUCUUGAAAGUUCUUUUUGAGAUUCUAUGGUGGUUAAAGAGGAAAAAAGGAUUCUUGGAAGUUCUUAUUUAGAAAUCCAUAGUUAUACAGUGAUGUUAAAUUAAACUCAAAAUCAGGAUUAUCUCCUAGUGGCUUCUUAGGGGAAGUAACAUAUGAAUUUGAAGUUUAGGAAGUCACAAAUCCAAUGGUUCAAGCGGAUUUCAAUUUAGAGAUGAAAUGAGCUACAUAUGGCUAAUUGAAGCAAGGCUGCACAAAGUGCAUGAUUGCAUAGUGAUGUCAGCUUUGAGCCAAAAUUGCAGCUACUUUUAGUAAGUUUCUUUGAACAAAUCACAUAUGGUUUUAAAGCUCAGGAAGUCAUAAAUCCAAUGCUUUAAACGGAUAACAAUUCGGAGUUGAAACGAGAGAGAUAUGACCAAUCAAAGCAACGUUGUGCAAAAAGCAUACUAUUACAGGAUUGCACACGGGUCCAAUUCAUUUAGUUGUUUGGGCUAAAUUUUGGGCCUCUUCUUGGGCUUAAUUGUUUGUGGCAAUUGGGCCUUUUGGGUUUUAUAUUUUCACUAACCCUAUUUUUGGUUGCAGCUUUAUUUUUGGUAAUUUAGAUUUUAUCCAAAUUUUAAUUACUAAAUAUGCAACAAGAUCCCUAAAGGUCAUUGGAAGUUUUAUAUUUAAUUAUUCUCUUGUUUUUAUUGUAUGCUUUUGAUUAAUUGCAUAUGUGGCCUCAAGAUAUUUUGAUACUCUUAAUUAGAAAUAAAUUUUCAUGUUUUAUUUUUAAUUGGAAAACUUAUUUAAAUAGGGAUGUGAAUGGUUGGGAUUUUUUAUUUUUUUUAAGGAAAGAUAGGUUGGAUAAAAGAUUAAGAGCUUUCUUACCUUUCGCCUACUAAAAUAAGGGGAAGUAAAUGAUGAAGACUAAAAAAACGAUUUAAGGUGGCAUUGUCCAUAGAGAAACCACCCCAAAUCCAAGUCACUAUGGUAUCUCUUACUACAGCUAUGGCGCUAGCUAAGCUAGUAAUUACUAUAGCUCCCCAAAAGCUCAUCUGACCUCAAGGUGGUACGUAUCUUGUAAAAGUUGUCACAAUCAUUAAUAGGAAGAUUACAACUCCGAGACACCAAGCAAAUUCCCUAGGACUGCUAUAACUCGCAUGAUAUAGCCCAUGAAAAAUAUGAAGGUGAACCACAAUAAGAAACAUACUUGCCCCAUUAGCAUGCAUAUAACGGAGAAACCAGCCCCCUUCAACAUCUCUCAUAACAUAUUCUACACUGUUGAAAGCUAACUCCACUUGAGGUGUGUGAUGCAUAGCAGAAAAAAGGCCAGUAACUAUCUGAAUGACUAAACAAAUACCAGCUAACGAACCGAACCCCCACCAAUAACUAAGGUUGCUUGGGGUUGGAUAGUCUAUCAAAUGUUGAUUCAGUGUGGAGGAUAUAGGUUGUUUAAGAAGAGAGAAUCAUUGGUUCCUUAUAGUCAUUUCUCUUUUCUAUUGUGAAAACUCUUGUUCCCCCACCUUUUUAGCGUUCUGGGACCCUACUUACUAAAUUAUAUAUAGAGAUAUAUAGAUAUAUAUAAUUAUAUAGAUAACAUAAUUUUAUAUCUAAGAGUACCCCUUAUUCCACCUCUGAAGGAUGGAGGGGGUAUACAGCGAAAGAAACGUCAGAGGGUUCAUCUUGGGUUACUAAAGAGUUGUCUGACUGCUCAGUGACCGAAUCAAAGAGGUUUUUACCACUUUCUCUUCUCUCCAGCACUCUCGAACUGAUCAUCUUGCUGUAACAAAGCAAUCUUAGGAAUGAAUCUAAUGGAAAUUUAUUAGUUCUCUAUCCGCUUGGAAGAUUCUUCUUUCCUCUUCGGUGAAAGAGGGUAAAUGUGUGAGGGAGAAAGAAUGAAAAAAUGAGAGAAUCUUUCAUCCACCAAGCGGGAUAGAGUGCAACCCCUAAGUAAUGUUCAAUUCUCACUCAGGGGUCAAUAUCAUUUGAAAACUUUUCCUGUUCCAUUAGUAUAGCUAAAUUUGAAUAAAAUGACUCAGCGUCAGGAAAAGCCCUUGCCUUGAUUUAAUUUUGCUUCACUAGGUCCUUGAAUCAAUCAAAAAUCUUAUUGAUUUGAUUCAUCCUAUUUCAUUUGGGCAAAAGGGAGGUUGUGAGUCACCUGGGCUACGAAUUUGUCGAUUGGUUGAUUCUCGAAAUCACCUCUUGAGAAAAUAAAAAAGGCCAUCCGAUCCUAACCCACAAAUGAAUAGGAAGCGGGGCGAGGGUCUUUCAUUAAAGAGGGGAAAAAAAGGUGGGGCUUUGUUCGAGGGAAAGGGAGGGGGGGGGGGGACCACCUUGCGUAGCUUUAGAAAGAAGAGAAUUUCAUAAAGUCACCAUCUCCCACUAUCUUUAGAAAUAGGGCGAGAUAAAGUAAAUAUGAUAUUUGCGUUGGGUUUUCCAAUGAAACUAAGCAUUUUUUAUCUUUCUCAUUUAGAAGGCUCAGUCCCAUAAUGAUGGGAACAACCUUUACACUCUGGCGCUCCAAUGAACAACACUUAUCCAUCUUACUAUAUUUAGAAAAAUGGUCGAUCCCUCGAGAGUUACAUUCGUAACUUAAUGUUAUGUUCACGUGGUGAUAUUCUAUCUUUCCAAGAGUACUACCUUGUAAUUGUACCUAGUCUAUGUUUGGGGAGCAUACUUGAAAGGAGAUAGAAACAGGCAGUAGAGAGGUCCCCCACUUCGAUUCCCGCCCCGUUAGUAUCUUCGAUCCGCGAUAAAGGAUUACUCUAUUAGGUCUUUUCUAUUCGAAGCCAGUCAGUUAUGGACUUACUUACCUUGCUUGUAGACCAGCUGCAGAGCUAACCCUUGUUCUAUUGGUUUGGUGGUUUCUACCAAGACAAUUUCUUUAUGCCCAUCAAAGGACCUCAAGAUGCUAAUCCAUGAAAAAUGAUACGAGAAAUUCGAAAGAACUCAUAUACGGAACAAGGGUGACUUGUGGAAAUACAUCGGUUUCUUACUCGUGCAAAGGAACUAUUUCUUGGAAACUUGGACAACUUAUAACGAUGUUUGUCCCACAUAUCACUAGGAAGAUCGGGAUCUUUACAAAAGGACUUAUAAAACUUUCGUCUCAAUUCAUAUUUAGCUGUGAGCAAUCUACGUUUGUGAUCUCGUAUAUUUAGCUUCUUUAACCUCUUAUUGACCCUCAUCUUUUUUAAAAAAGCCACGCCACGGUGGUAAAGUCUCAUCUUGUGUGUUAGCCGAAGUAACAAUAGUCACAUUGAACCCUCCAAUAUGUUUGAAGAUCUCGAAAAGAUCUUCCAGUUCUGGGGAGAAUUUGCAAAACUCUGUUUGCAUCAAGAAUUGAAUGGAGUUUUCCCAUAUUUCGACCGGAGAAUCUAAUAGAGACAUUACUAUCAAGAUUUUGACCAAAAAAUUAGACAUUCCAUGCCCUUGGAGAGUGCUUUGUCAUGCUAGGUCACUAACAUAUCCUUUGUCUUUAUUUGACCCUAAGAAUUUAUUGGAUCAAAAUGACUUUCCUGUCGAACCCCUUUGUGUCUGUAUAAAUCUUUGACCGCAUGGAAUCUCCAUAGCCAACUUUCCAUUUUGGAUUAUGAAAGAUGAGGGUCUUUUUGGUAUUAAUCUUGUUUCACACAAUCCAGGAACUUCCAUAACAUUAGCGUGAUUUGGUUUGAGCAAUAGAUCAUGACAUGAUACAUCUUCUUAAUGAAAAUGGAGUGGAAACAUGAGUUAGCUUUUCCAGUAUAUAUAGAAUGAGCACUGUGAACUAUCGGCUUCAAAAAGAUAAUUGGUUGAAUGAAAAUCAACACUUUAACUCGAUCGAAAUACGAAUGAGAAAAAAAAAACAGUUGCUUACUUGCGAAGAAGAGGGCAAAGGAUGCAAUAGCUUCGAUUUGAGCAAAGGCCAUAUUCCUUUCUUGAUAAACCUCUUUUCUUUGAACCACUGCUUGUCAUGGUCGGUUGUUCCAGUUAUCAUCUUUAUUUGAGGCGCAGGUUUCAUAUCCUUAAUUCAUGUGGUUAAGAAAGUCUUUGUUUUCUAGAUGUUGAAAAAAUUUAGAAUUGGCUUUUCGAUGAUAAGAGAAUAGAUAAGACUUCCAUGGGAGGUCGAAUUCCAAACUUCUCUCUCAAGUAUACUCAUUACCAAAAAAUGGACGUCACUUUAGGACACAUGCGGAUAGCCGCCCCGCGUGGCUAAAAGUAAGCCAAAAGAGCUCAAACUCUUUUUUUUUAGUUCCGCUGAGAAACUCGAGUCUUAUAAAAGACGCCACUCUAUGAGGGAAGUCCUUGGGUCGAGUCUUUGCAAGUUCAUCCGAAAUGGAACCUCCUCAUGGUCGGGAAGAUGCAAAUAAAACGCCAAUAGCCGGUUCUAUGGCAUAAGCUUAAAAGAAGAGAGCUAUCAACGAAGAAUAAACAUUUCAUAAGAAAAUCCAAUUUAUUUUUUUGAAACUCGACUUCUUUCAAUUCUAAGAAAGAAAAAUAUCAAAAAAUUCAUCAAUAAAUGAUGAACUUCAUUAUACAAAUGAUAGGACAGGGCUAAGGUAGUGAUCCUGAUGGAGAUUAGGAUGAGCUUGGAUGAAAAAAAAAAAAAAAGAAUAGGUAGAAAUUCUCAUAGGUGAAGCAAAUCAACCCUAUUUUCAGACAAAGAAGAUAAAAAAAAAAACAAAACUAAAGUGGCUUGGAAAGCCUCGGAUAUUCUAUGAUAAAUUGGAAACGUCAAAGUGAGUUGUGGCUUAUAAAUAGGAAGAUGAGGGGAUAACGGGCGAAGGAUAUUUUUUCUAUUAUUAAUUAGAUUACCACGUCUAAUUAGACCAUUACAUACGAAAUCCGAUAAUGUUAUUAAAAAUAUUUCUUUUCUUCAUUUUUUGUCUCAUUGAAAAAUAUUUUAAUGUUAUUAAAAACUUUUAUUAUUUAUUUAUUAUCUAACUGUUGAUUAUCCGUAACCUUCAAUUUCAUUUGCUUUCUUCUUUGACUGCUCUGCUCCCCAACACAAAUGAGGAAAGACUUGUCGAAAAUGGUUGGUUAGUUGGUUGUUGACCAACGGAAAAGCAUAGGAAAAAGAAAGAACACUAACGAAGAUGAUUCUGGAUUGGUCACCUGGAGAAAGUUGACAUCAACGGCUUACUCUUUUGCUGAGCAAAAAGAGAAAGAAUUUAUAUGAAGAGAGAUUUUCAAAGAAGCAAGCGGAGGCUCAAAAGUCAGAGCUUUUCGUUUUCUCUAUUGGCUCUCGGAAAAUAGAUUGACUUAGAAACGUACUCUUCUUCCGCUUUAGCAAAAAAGGCUUUCUUUUUACUUACUAAAUUUAGAGUCUAGUUCUAUAUUUUUCCUAUUUUCUUUUAUGUCUCUUGUCCUUUCUUUCUCGAGUUGGAAGCCAGUGAGGAGAGAUUUCUUUUGAUUAGUAUAGGAUAGGACUAACUCUUUUUCUUCCCAUUCUGUAUACAGAAAUGUUUCCAUGUGAGUCUUUACUUCUUACUUCUAUUUUCGACAUAGGUUUCUCUCAAUGGUGGGCCAGCCUAGAGAAUCUCCCUAGCUCUAGUUGGAGUUUCCUUUGCUGUUGGUGCAGCCGAGAAAAUAGGAUCCACGUAAGUUUCUUUUGAUAUCGCUAGGAGUUCCAGCCAAUAAGCCAAUUUAAGUAAGGCUAGGGUAAAGGUAUACACCUAGGCAAUCUCUUUCUUUCUCUAGGAAGGCAAUAGUUCUCUGGUUUUGGUAGGUCUAUAAAUAGAUAGUUGGAGGGCUAGCUAACAUAGAGAGAUUUCCUUUUUGUUUUUUUUUUUCCCCCCUUUAUUUGUGAAGAUAUUUCCUACAAGUGGGAGUUCUCAUUCUCUGUAAUCCCACCCAGGGAUCACUACUAAGUAAGCAAGCUACCUAUUGCCUCAAAUGGAAUGGAUCGCCAUGAAAGGAAAGCACUUAGGAGAAGGCAUUACGGCUGAAGACCGUAGCACUCUCAUGAGAUAGUAGAAAGAAUGGACCUCAAACUCUUCCCACAUGUAAGGAAUUAGUUAGGAAAGUCUUAGAAAUGUAAAUGGCUCGCUGGAAUCCCCAUCGAAGAUAAUAGGAUUGCCUAAAAAAAGGAAUAUCUUAGUACUACAAUUGGGUUUGUUGCUUACCUUCAUACUCCAAUUGGAAGACUUGAAAGUCAAGUGACUGCGUUUUCCCUUUAUUAAAAAUAUGAUAUUUAUUGAACUGGUUUCAAACCUGAUCUACGACCACCCUCCUUGAACCCCAACCUACCUACAGAUUUUUUUUCCCGUAGCUCGUCAUCCGUUCUAGGACCGUCUUCUCGUGCAACCUCCAUGUAAAGCAAAACUUACCAUAGAAGUUAGUCUACGAUCAGCCGACAUGAGCAUUCGGUUAAACCAAACCAUUUCAAGCGCUCCCAUAUAGAAUCGGAGUAAUGGUAGUUGACUGUCUGUCUAUAAAAUUAGGGCUCAAGGCACCCACCCAACCGAUCUUUAGGAUGGUUACAAAAAUUUCCUCAAUUCAGUAGACCAAAAAAAUAAAAACUAUAGUGCGAUAGAAGGUGGCAUAUAGUCAAGAUAUAUGCCCUCCUAUGUUGGUCCUAAGAAAUCCUGACUUCAUGGGAAUAAGGAAAACAUUUCUUUCGCAUGCCCAUAUGUAAAAAACCAUCACAUCUUAAGGUUAGUUCAAGGUAGUAUAGUUCUUAAUUAGUGGUUCAUUCGCUCCAAAUUCCACCCUACUAUGGUAUAGUAAGACUUUCCAUAGUCUGUUAUGAAGAUAGUUAGUGAUAGGCUUCCUAGUGGGUACGACCUAUUUCUUAUUUUAUUUUAUUUAAUAGAUAGUAUAAUUGAAAAUAGACUCUUUUUUUUUAUAUCUAUCUAUAAAAAUAUAUGAAUUCCCUAAGGAUUGCAUUGAUUCAAACUCUUUUCUAGUCGGGUCGGGAGAAAUUCAAACUAGAUAAUGAUGCAAUUGACCGAUAAAUGGAAACAAUGUGGCCUUCUUCAAAAUUAGAAAUGAAAAUCAGUCUUUACAAACCGAAUCUUGUUCACGUACAUUGUUGAAUUAGGUUGACCCCCAUAUUGGUAUAUAUGUCUUGGAUGCAUUUUGAUUGCAGAGGUAUAUCACUUCAUAUUUUCAUAUUGUCAGUGCCAUUAAUACCACAUGAUUUUCUACACAUGGAAUCUAAAAACUAUGUAAGAUAUAUAUAAAAAAAAAAAAAAAGGUAUUAUAUGAACAUAAACUCUCGAAUUUCACUUAAACAUGUCGUCUUACCUUAGAAGUUAUAUUUUACCGGAUUGGAGAAGCGAAGACAAGGCUAAAGUGCUUUAUAUAGGGCUAAACGCGCCUCCCUAACUUUAAGGGAAAAGGCCUUAGAUUCGCCUUAUGUUGAAUUAAGAAAUAUAACAAAUUUACACAACUUGAACAUGGAAGGUAAGAAAUAAUAAAAAUUUACACUACUUAUAUUCCAAAGAUUGUGUUAGAAUAAUGUAACAAUUACAUGACCCAUUUGUAGAAAAUAACUUACCUACGGUUGGGUCAAGUCAUUAGAUGACUAGGUAGAGGAAAAACAACAAACUAACAAACAUGAAUCUUAGACUAUUAUUUUUUUCUCUUUCACACAUGAUAGUGGUCUUAGUCCAUAAUUUUUUUUGUCCAUUAGCAAAGGUAGGGAAUCUUCAUUUUUAUCUCUUGUGUUGUCAUCUUUCCUCUUUAAUAUCUCACAUGCUAAAUUGUUCCACCUUUAACUUGUAAUAUGGUGAAAAGCUUAUUUAUCAUAUCUUAUAAGGCAAGUAUUUGAAAAUUUUGAAAUUCUUUUUAGAAAGACUAUCAAGUCUUGGUGUGGAGCUACAUUUUUCACGUGCAUCCUCACUUGAUGACAAGACUUGCUUUUUAUUGUAACAAACUGAUUUUUAAAAAAGUUGGAUUCAUUCUCUCAUAAAAAAUCUCUACAAAAUUUAAAUAAUUUUUUUUAAUAUAUAAAAAUUUGAACAAAUGCAAUAUUUUGAAUACACACAACACAAUUUUUUAUAAAUUUUUUUAUUGGACAAAGAUUUUUCAUAUAAUUUUAAUAAUGUUGGAUCAAUUUGUUAAAGUUUUAUUAAAUCCUUUUUUAUACACUUCAAUAAAAGAAAUUUGAAUUUUCAUCCUAGUACCUACAUGAUCCACUCUUAAUAAUUUGUGUAAAUAUGUAGUAAUUUAAAUUUGUAGAAAAUAACUUACCUAUGGUUAAUCAUCCUAGUGCCUACACAAUCUAUUCUUAAUAAUUGGUGUAGAUAUGUAGAGAUUUAAAUUAGUAUUUUGAAAAUUGAAUUAAAUGGUUUCCUUUUAGUUUUCCACACUCUUUCCAAUUGCUCCAUAAAACAAAUUAGAGGCUUUAGGUUCGUGUUACAAUAUGAAGUUAUAAAUAAACUUUUUUUUUAUUUUUUUUAAGAAUCUUUUUCCUAUGUUAACUACAACUAAUAUUUAAGUUUGAAGUACUCCCAAAAUGCAUUUGACUAGUAACUAAUUUGAAAUUACAAGUUUAGCAUUAAGACUGAUAAUUUGUUGUGACAUAUUGGAUUCGCCUUAUGUUGAGUUAUGAAAUAUAACAAAUUUACACAACUUGAAUAUGGAAGGUAAGAAAUAAUAAAAAUUUACACUACUCAAAUACCAAAGAUUGUGUUAGUACAUGACCCAUUUAUUUCACAAAUAAUACUAUAGACACCAUCUAGUUAACUUAUUUAAUAAAUAGGUUAAGUUGAAUUGUGUAUGAAUUGAUAGAUAAUUUUUUUAAGUUAUUAAUUAUUUAAUUAUGUAUUUUUAACUACAAUAUAUUUAUAAGGUAAGAUUAAAGUUUUAAUUUUACAAUUGUUUAUAUUUUAUUUAAUUUUCCAUUAUAAACUAUUUUUAAUCUUUAUAUUUUUUAAAUAUAUAAAAUUUUACUUUGUUAGUUAUUUAAUUUUUUUAUUAUAUGAUAUUAUUAUUUAAAAACUAUUUUAAUUUUUAUAAUUUUUAAUAUGCAUAAUUAAUAAAUUUAUAUGAUUAAAAUGUGACCUAAAUAGGUUAUUUUAAUAUUGUUAAGUAAAUGAAUUAAACUGGUUGACAAUUAAAUUCAAGUAUAACCUAUUUAUUAAACAAAUUGACAUGAUUUUGAAUAAAUAUAAUCAUGUUUAAACCAAACCUCUAAACUUUAUGUCAUUUUUGAGUCAUAUUGCCAAUUCAUGUCAUAUUUGCUACCCUUAGCAUAUAACCAAGAGUCAUUAGUCAAUCUACCCAAAAUUCUUUAAAAUUUUAUGAAAGAAAAGUGUAAUGGGUAUGAUGAUUAGAACUAAUACCAUUUGAGAAGAGAAAAACUUAGGCUAUGUUUGAUUCCAGAAAAUUUGAGGGAAAAUGUGAUGGAAAGAGAAUAGAUAGAAAAAGUGGAAGGAUAGAAAAAACGAAGGAAAAUAAAAAGUAGAUCCAAAGUCAAUAAAUCAUUUUUAUAUCAUUCUUUAAAUUCAUUUCACUUAUUAUCUCCCAUUAUAUCAAUAAUAAGUAAUUUUAAAAUGCAUAAAUUUUUAACAAAAUUUGAUUAUAUUUUAUUUUCUUCCAUAUCUUCUAUAAUGAAACCAAAUAUAAAAAAAAAAUAUUUUGCUCAAACAUUUUUUUCUUUCAUUCUUGAUACUUUCUAAGAACCAAACAUAGUCUUAAUGUUUUAAUAGCAUAUUUUCUUCAUUCUUAGGGAAUAAAAUGAAAAGGAAUUACUCCUUUCUUGUUAAUUCCAAGGGUUUACUUCACUAUUGAAAUUGGUAAAAGCAUGUUGGAUCAAAUUUUGAGAAAACUAAUUUCUCCAGCCCUCGAGGCCAUUUAAAAAUCCAUUUCUUUUCCUCCGUGAAUGCAAGGUGACCAAAACAACCCCUCCUAACUUGUUGUAACUAUUUCAAUUAACAUAAUGAAAUAUUUAGUUAUUGUAAUCCUACACAUUAAUAAACAUGAUGACAUGUUAAAAUAUUUAGUUGUUUGAGGGUUCAAUACCACAAGUUCCUCAUCUCGUGUAAUUGUUGGAUAUCUCCAAUAACAAGUUAUUGGGGUCCAUUUCUCUAUUAUGUUCAGUUGUUAAUCCGUCACUUAUCCUACUUGACCUCUCAAACAACUCAUUGACAGGGGAGGGCUACCCAAUUGUUGGGCACAAUGGGAAAGCUUGGUAGUUGUUAAUUUGGAAAAUAACAGAUUUUCUAGGAAAAUUCCAAAUUCAUUUUGCUCCUUGCAAUCAAUUCAAAGUCUACAUUUGCGCAACAACAAUUUAACUAGAGAAUUGCCUUUAUCUUUUAAGAAUUGUACAAGUUUGAAGCUUAUUGAUUUUCAAAAAAUAGGUUGACAAGAAAAAAGCCAGAAUGGAUUGGAGGAAACCUCCCAAAUCUAUUUGUUCUAAAACUAGGAUCUAAUGGAUUCAGUGGAGGUAUAUCUCCAGAGCUAUGCCAAUUGAAAAAAUAUUCAAAUAUUGGACCUCUUUAGUAACAAUAUGUCAGGUGUUAUACCAAGAUGUCUUGGUAGUUUCACUGCCAUGACUAAGAAAGAGAGCUUGGUCAUUGCUCAUAAUUAUUCAUUUGGACCUUUUGGUGGUGUUCAAUACCAUAUAGGUGGGAAGACACCUGAGAAUGCCUCUUAUGUUGAUGGGGCGUUGGUUAAAUGGAAAAGAAGAGAAUUUGAGUAUAAAAAUACUCUUAGACUUGUAAAGAGUAUUGAUCUUUCAAGUAAUAAGCUAUCAAGGGAAUUUCCAAGAGAAGUAAUUGAUCUUCUAGGAUUAGUUUCAUUAAAGUUAUCAAGGAACAAUUUGACUAGAUUGAUCCUUGCAAGAAUUGGUCAAUUGAAAUCAUUGGAGACUCUUUGGUGAAAUUCCAGCUAGCCUUGUUGAAAUAAGUGGUCUAAGUGUCUUAGAUCUCUCCAACAACUUUUUCUCUGGUUAAAUUCCAUAAGGUACUCAACUUCAAAGCUUCAAUAUUGAUUCCUACAAGGGAAAUCCUGCCCUUUGUGGACUGCCUCUUCUGAAAAAGUGUCAUGAAGAUAAAAUAAAGCAAGAUUCUCUCACUCAUAUCAUUGAAGACAAAAUUUAGCAAGAUAGAAAUUACAUGUGGUUUUAUGUUAGCAUUGCUCUUGGAUUCAUUGUUGGAUUUUGGGGAGUGUGUGGAACUUUACUACUCAACAACUCAUGGAGAUAUGCUUAUUUUCAGUUCUUGAAUAAAAUAAAAGAUUGGCUCUAUGUGAUUAUAGCAAUAAAUAUGGCUAGAUAACAGAGGAGUCUUCAAAGAUAAAUGGUACAAUUCUCCUCCUCUCUUUCAUUUGUACUUGUUUUUGAUGGCCAACAACUCUCAAAGAAAGAUAGGCUUUUGCAUAUUCUUGGGAUAUACUUUAUAAAUUUUCUUUCCAUGCAACUAACUAGAGAGAUUUUUUCAAAUUGAUGAACACUAAUUUUACUUUGUGCUAAUUACAGAACUUCAACUCCUGUUCUUGCCAUAUUAGCAUGAUUGAAUGCAAAUAGUUAUGUAUGUCCUUCAUUUUAUGGUAGAUUUUGGGAUGCAAGAAGUUUUUUUAUUUUAUUUUUAUGAUUACUUAUGUUCUUUAGAUGCUUAUUUUAUCUUUUAUUAAGAAAUUUGUGGACAUUUUAUCUCUUUUGUUCCUUAUAUAAUGCUUUUAUUUGGUAUUUGGAUACUUUAUGGUUCAUCCAAACAAUAUUAUAGAAGGAUAUCAAAGGUAUAUUGUUGUCCGACUUUUAAUUUUAAAAAUAUUUCUUUCAUUCUAAAACCAUUUUUUAUUCAUUAAAAUUAGAACAAAAUAAAAAUUAAUGUUAUUAAUUUGGUUAUGAAUAAUAUAAGUUUUUGUCAAAUUAUUAAUAAUCAAAUCAUAAUUUCAACAUUUAAGAAAAAAUAAUUUUCUUCACAAGUUAUUAAUGAUUUGUUUCUCUCUUUCUAGAAAACUAGAUUACUCUUAUAAAUGCAAACCUCUUUUUUUCUUGUCUUCAAGCUUUCUCACUUGAAGUUGUCUCGCAUGUAGAUUAUUUUUGUGGAAUCUCUAGUUUUCAUCCAUUUUCUGCUCCCUUUUCUUCUUAGUGAUUGAUUUUAUAGAAUAUUAAGUCUAACUUCUUUUCUUAAUAAAAGGUUUUUUUUUUCUAAGUAAAUAAAAAAAAAAAAAAAAAACUCUUGUUCUUUUCUCUAUUUUAACAUAAUCCAACUAUAGGAUAACUAAAAUAUGAUUGAAAAAUAUAAAAUAAGUGAGAAUAAUUAUAUUCUAAUUAUACUCUAUAAAUAAUAUCAAAUAUUUGAUUCACAUAUUAGAAAAUAGUACCAAUCUCCAUCAUCAUGAGAUUAAUAUCCCAAUAAUUAAUCUUUUUUUAUUUGUUGAAAUUUCUUAUCUUUCGUGGUGCAUUACAAAACUCCUUAAACACUUUACACAAUGGUCUCUUGUUGUUUUGUUUUUGGUGUUUAUUUUAUUUUAUUUUAUUUUUUAUCAUUUCCCUGUCUUUUUUAGGUCUUCCAUUGCUUGGAUUAUUCUAUGCAGGAAUUUGAUCAAAAAGCCAUUAAUAAUCUAGUCCAAUCAAGUUUGUGAAAUGGUAAAAAUGAGAACUUUUAUACUAUCAUUAUUUCAUAAGUUUUUGUGUUUAUUAAUUUUUAUUUAUUUCUUUAUGAUAAAAUCUUUUAUCAAAAAUAUUUUUAAUGAAACGAUAAUUCUUUACUAUGAUUUUUUUUUAAAUUUUAAACUAUAAAGGAUUUCAAUUCUUAUUAUAUAUAUAUAUAUAUAUAUUCUCUCUUUUAAGCUAUUAGAACAAGUAGCGACUGGCUUUCUUGUGAAGGCAAAUUGAAAGCAAAGACCAUAGUUUCAAUUAUGCUAACCUUAAUAAGAACCAACCUCAUCGCAAAGAGUGGCUCUUAACUCAUUGAUAUAGCUAGAGAGAAUUACUUUCUAAUUUUCUCAUUUUUUGAGCUCAAAACUAAUCAAGUAACAACUAUUAUCAUAAAAUUAAUUACUUCUUUAUUUAUAAUUAUAUUCUAAUUAUAAAAUUAAAUAUUUGAUUAAUAUAUUUGAUAAUACUUAUAAAUAUUUAAAAUAGUUCCAAUAUAAUAUCCAUUAGGGGAUUAUUAUCCUGACUGACUUGCUUUAUUUGUUAUGUAUUGAUAAUGACCCACUCACCAUAAAUAAAGCUAUUAAGUUCAAGGUACAUAUAGGUUACGUUUGGUUCAUAGAAAAAUUGUGGGAAAAUAUAAGGGAAAGAACAUAGGAAGGAAAAGUAAAAGGAAAGAAAAAUAAAGAAAAAAAAAUGGAUUUAAAGCCAACAAAUUAUUUUUAUACAACACUUCAAACUUAUUUCACUUUUAAUUCUUCAAUAUAAAGAUAAAAUAAUUUGAAAAUAUAUAAGUUUCUAAUUAAUUUUAAUUAUAUUUUAUUUUCUUUGGUACUUUUCAUAUGACAAUCAACUAUAAGAAAAUCAUUUUCCUUAACAUUUUUUUCCAUAUUACUUUUCAAAAACUAAACAAAACCAUGGAUAUUUGUUAUAAUAGGGAACUCUUUAUUCAUGCAAACUCCCUUUCAGACUUGAGCAUGGGAGUGUUUUUCUUUUUCUUUUUUCUUUUUUUCUUUUUUUUGGCUUGUACUUCUCCAUAGGCCAAAUUACAUUGAAUGGAUCCCAAAGGAACAAAAAAUAAAUAUAAAUGUCAUUUGGGCCAAUACUAAUACGAUGAUUGUAUUAUCUAUCAUUAGGGCUGAUACAUUUCCAAGAAGUGUGUGUCAAAGAUUAUGUAUCUUAAGCCAAACCCAUUACUAAUCCAAUCAAAUUGAGCAAAAUUCAGCAAACCCCAUAGCAAAGAAAGUGGGAUAUACAAGCAAAGAUGGCCUCGCACAAUAGGAAUGAAAAUUUUUACAUUAUUAAUGGAAUGAGAACCAUAUAUGUUUGAUAAACACUUGACUAAAGCAAUAGAAAAACCAAUAUACUCCCCAAGAAAAUAAUGAAAAAUAAAAUAUAAAUUAAAUAAAAAAAACUGUAUUAAUGAGUAUAACAAUGUGAGUUAUACAUGUGCAUUCUAUCCUAGUAAGUAAAAAAAUAAAAUAAAAUAAUAAUAAUAAUAAUAGGAGCUAUGUGGUGUAAAGUAUGAAUAGUGAGAGAGAAGUACUAAAAGAUAUGAAAAAUAUGAGAUAACAAAAUUUUAAGAAUUUUAUUUAGUUCUAUUAAAUUAUUUUAUAGACAAAAAAAAAAAAAAAAAAGCCAAUCAUUUAAUUAACUUACUAAAUCAAAAUUUUGGAAUUUGUAAAAGAACAAAUAUAUAAUUGAAACACCUAUAAUUGAACUUGGGUCUCAUUUGAAUCUCACAAUUUUAUCGUUUGAUAGGGGUGGAGAGGGCUUGAGUUAAAGUUGAAACCAGGGCUCAUCAAUUUAAAAAUAAUUAUAUUAAAGGCAACACAUUUAAACAUAGAUUUCAGUUGGUGAUUCUAUAAUAAUGAUGAUGAUGAUGACGACGAAAGAGAAGAGGACAAAGUAUGAAGUGACGGACAAAAAGACACCAAAAAUUCUAAGAGUCAUCUACUAUGAUUAUUUUAUUAUUAAUUGCACUCAUCAAAUCACCUUUUUAAUAUAUUGAUGAUUUUAUUUGAAAAAAAAAAUUCAAAGUUAUAAAUUACACAAGAUUGAAAAGAAUUCAAAUAAAAUUGUGUUUAUUAUUAUUAUUAUUGUUAUUGAAAACAUCAUUCUUAGUUUCCUCAUUAAAAAAGCCAAUAUUUUUAUCAUAUUUUAGUUUCAUUAUCACAAAAAUAUUAUUAAAAUUAUAGCAGUUUGACACUUUACCUUUAAAUUAUAAUUUUAAAGUUGAAUUUAUUUGUCUACUUUUAAUUUAACUGCCUAAGCCUUUAAUAUAAUUAUUUUUGGGUUGUUCUAGGUCCUUCGAGUUUCAACCGCAGCUAGUAACUAAUCGUCCUAAGGCUGAAGCCACAAGCCACUGAACUGGGCUCAAAUCCCAUAUUUUGGGCAUGUUAUUGACAGGCCUACCCUUUUUUCUUUUUUUCUUUUUCUUUUAAACAAAAGACUAAGUUCGCCACCAAGCUAGCCCGUAUGCUUUUAUUGUUUAGAUUUGGCUCCCAACAUGCUACCCUUAUUUUAAGUCCCAAUAUUUUUAAGCCCAGAGUCUCGACCCUUGUUAAAUGUUGAUAUAAGUUUUCUAAGUUGAGGUUGCCUCUAGAAUGUAAUUAAUAAUAUUAUAAGAUAAUUAAUGAUAAUAAAUAUAGUUUACGAAAUUUGAAUAUUUUUAUUCUAACAACCUAUAACAACUUGACUAAUAUUCAAAUAUAUUAUUUGUUUAAAAAUGUAUCAUAUUUUUAUAUAUAGCUUGUUGGAAUUUGAAUAUCUUUGUUAUAGUAACAUAUAAAUAAAAUAAUAAUUAAAUUUGUUGAUAUUAAAAAUGUAUAUUUAUUUAAAAAAUGUGUAUAAGGAAAGUGACAAAUUGACUAAUCAUAUUAAAAAUAUGUUUAUUUAGAAAACAUAUGAUGAUUUUUCUCAUUAUAUUCUUCAUAUUUGUAAGAAGGAUGCCAAAAUAAAGAGAAAAAAACAAGGAAAAAUUGAAUCUUUUAUUUCACUCUACUUUGAGAAGUAAAUCCCAGGUUGUGCAAACAUGGGAUUACGUAGAGCUAACCACCAUGAGGUGAGGUUGAGUACAUGAUGAGAUGAAAUGAGAUGUAUGGGAAUAUAUGCUUCUACAUACCCAUUACAAAUGCUACAAUUUUCAAUGUUAGUUUAGAUGCAUUCUAUAUCAACUUCUUGUUAAAUUGCUAGUGCAUCUCAUGUCCCUCAUAUUGCAUUCUAAAAAUUUUCAUAAUGAACUUCAAAAUGAAUUUUCAUGCUAUUUCCAUUUCCAAGUCAAGACCAAAUACAUAUUAAAAUCACACAUACAUAUAUAGCUAAAAUUAAAAGGGUGAAGGGGCUUAUUUAUGCAGAACAUCGAAAUAUCUGAAAACAUCUUUUCUUUUCGUUUGCUAAAUGUUUCAUGGAGAUAAACCAGAGCACCUCAAACCUUAAUGGGGGUUCUUUAAAAUGAACCAUGUCAGUGAAACCAAAAACAUGGCAAUACUCAUUCAAUAACAAUGCUGAUUUUUUUACAAAGAUUAUUUUAUUUCAAUUAAAUGUGUCAAACACAUGGCGUGAAAUUAGCUAAUCACCAUACUUGGCCACAUGCUUCUUGAGUGCAAUGAACCAAUCAUGACAUCAGUUGGCAACAUCCUUAGUACUCAUCAGGGCAUUUACAAGUGGAGAAGCAAAGCACUACAAACCACAAAUUUUCUCAUAAGUGCUUCAAAUAAUGUUUUGAAAUUUGAAACUCAAAAUCUUCCUAGUGUUUACACAACUACAUAAAACAUACAAAAUUUAAAACAGUCAAACAUAUAAACUACAAACUAUAUAUAAAUGAAAACCCUUCUUACAUGGAAAUUUGCUCUAUGUCAAGCCAUUUAUACUAACAAGCUUUUGAUCAAGUGCAUGAUGUUGGAUUUGACGAAAAGUUUGCUAUCCUUUAGACAUGGAGUUCCUUUUUCUAAAGAUUGGUGUCAUAAGACAUUUAAGGAGAAAGAUCCCAUGAAAACAGUAUCAAUCUCAUGAAAGCAAUAUCUUAUACCUUUAUAGUGAGUAGUCUUAUGUUUGUGAUGUUAUGUGCUAGACCAAAUAUUUGUUUUGUUGUACGGGGUGGUAAAUAGAUAUUUAUUCAAUCCAAGACCAAAGCAUUUGGCAAAUUUCAAAGGAUAUUCUCAAGUAUAUUAGGCAAACAAUGGGAUAUAUGCUUGUAUCUCUUUGUAAUUAGUUGGCACUCCUUGGAUGCAUGGAUUCAAACUUUCAAUCUGACAAAGAUUCUUGUAAGUUUGCCUCUAGAUAUGUGUACAUUCUAAGUGAUUUUUAUUGUUGCUUUUGACCAUAAACAAUUAACAUAUAAUAAUAUAACUUUUGAUUAUAUAAGAUUUUAGAAAUUAUAGUUUAUGGCUAGAAAAUAUCAAUGUUCACAAGCUUUUUUCUUGACCAUUCAUAGUUUGUGAGUAGGAAUAAUUUUUAAGUAUAGCUUCUAGCUAUAUAAAAUUAAGAUAUCAACGAUUAUAAGUUUUUAACUUGAUUUGAAAGGUCUUAAUAUAGCUUAUAGCUAUAAAUUUAUUAAUUUGGUAUUCUAUUUUAUAUUAUUACUAGUUAUAAGAAAAUACAACAUAUUUCAAAUGUUAUAUACGAGAUGGCGAAAAUUAAUUGUGUAAGUUAUUAAGAAACUUUGUAAUGUACUUUUGAAUUUCGUAUUCAAAAACAAAGAAAUUGCUUUGAAUUGAAGAUGUUUUCUCUUUCUCAACCCCAAAAGUUGUAUUCAUAACAUGUUAUAAUUAAAAAUAUAAAGGCUAAGGAAAAAUAAAGAGAAGAGAGAAUAAGAGGAGAGAAUGCAUUAAUUUUUUUUUAAUCUCUUUAUUAACUCAAAAACCCUUAUUUAUAGGAUAAGAAUAAUAUCAAUAUGAUAAUAAUACAAACAUGGCAAUGAUGUUUUCAUCUACAAACUAUCAUGGAUAUUUGUAACAGUUUUCUAGUUUUAACCAUAAUAUAAAGAAUUGUAUUAUUAAAUAAAAAUUGAAAUGCUUUACUUAAACAAUAUACAUUUUUAUACUCACAAGUAUUAAGAUUUUUUUAAUACUUAAUUUCCAGUUUGAUAGAUUAGGCAAUUUUAUAAAAAAUAAUUAAUAGGUGAUAUCAGAUUUAUAUUACCAAACAUAUAUACUUAAAAAGAUUGAUGUUAGACCUCUUAUGAAGAACAUGAAGAUAUUUAGUGUAAUGGCUUCCUGAAAUAAGAGCCACCAUAAAGUUUUACUUUAGGGAUUUUUAUAGGUUGAUUUAUUUAUUUCUUUCUUGUCUUUUUCUUUUGGUAACCUAAUUGGAAUCUUUCAUAAAUACUUUCAAUUCCUAAAAUGCCUAAAGAAAUAGUGAAAUCUUUUAUUAAGAUAAACAAUAUUGAUCUGACCACCAACUUUAUCGUGUUGAUAUAAUGUUUUAUAAAAUGAUAGUUAGAAUAUCAAUUCUCUUCUAAGUAUUUAAGGUUUGUUUUGGUCAGCCCUUAGCUUCUAGUGUAUAAGAAAGAGGCAAGGUCUAGCUUGUCUUACAAGUUUAUAAUGAUUAAAUUGAUUAAAGUAAAAAUAUUGUAAAUGGUAGGGCCUUGUGAUAAGAUGCUACAAUGAGUCAACUUUGUUGGUGCACCAAGUGUAAUCCGACUAGCUAGCAAGAUGCUGAUGACAGUUCGGCCAGCACAAAGAAAUGCCUGGACAAGUUAAAAGUAAUAAAGGAUGAUAGAUUAAAAGUAAUAAAAUUAAGCCUAUCUCACCCAGGUUCCUUUACACUCACGAGCUUUAAAAGGGAUAGCUUCAAGCUCUAGAACUUUGCCUUCUCGUUCACUAAUAGAUGAAGAUGAAGAUGGAGAAAUGGUUGAUUCAACAUAUGAGGAAGAUGGAGAAGGCUAUAAAUGUGAUGAUGGAAAUGAUGAUGUUGAUUUUGUUGAUUUAGAGGAGGAGUGAGGAUUGAUUGUUGUGGACAAAUUUGUUAUUUAAGUGUUUUUUAAUGAUGUUUUUGAAUUGUGGAUAAAUUUCAUGUUUUGGUUUGGAAACUUUGGAUUUGGAUAUGUAUUAGACUAUUAACAAUCAUGAUGCUUUGUUUUUAUGCUUGGAGUUCUUUGUUUUUUUGUUUUUUGUUGAUUAAAUUGAAGUUUUGGAUGAUAUUUGAUGAUUUAUGUGUUUAGGACAAAUAAAUGAUUAUUAAAUUUGAUUAUGUUUUAUAUAAAAAUAUAUAUGUAAAUUAUGGUGCACCUCACUUUACUAAACCCCGUGUCUUAGGUGCGCCUUGUGCCUCAAGCUCCAGGACUACUUUGCGCCUUGGUGCGCCUUGACCCUUUUAAAACUAUGCAAGGUAUUUUGGUACAUUAUUUGUGAACAUAAUGGCUCUACCUACUAGAAGGUGGUGAUUCUUUCUUUCAGCAAUGCCAUUUUAUUGUGGGGUUGUUGUGUAGAAACUUUGAUGAAUAAUGCCUUUCUUAGAGAGAAAACCUUCUAAAAUAAUUUAAAAUAUCCUUUUUCGUUGUCUAUUAUAAGAAUUGUAAUGUUAGCAUUGUAUUAGGUGUUAAUCAUGGCAUAAAAAAUUUUAAACACUUGCUUUGCUUUUUAUUUUUCUUUCAAAAGAUAUACCCAACAAACCCGAGUGUGAUCAUCAAUAAAUGUGAUGAACCUUUGUUUUUCGUUAAAUGUUUAACUCGUGAAGAACCCCAAAUAUUACUAUGGAAUAAUAAAAAGAUGAUGACGCUUUGUAUUUUUAAGGAGGAUAAGUGGAACAAACAUGCUUGGCUAAGUGACAAAUUCCACAUUGAAAAAAAUCUCCAUUAUGAAAUAGUGAUGGAAACAAAGUUCGCACAUAUGGAAAACUUGGGGCCUAGUCUACAAUGUCACAAUAUUAUUUCUUGUUCUCUAGAAAUAGACUUACAACUUGCAAUUUAGGUUUGUUUAUUCAAUUCACUUCUCAAAAUAAUAUAACCCCUCAUGUUCUCUGGCAUUGCCAAUCUUCUUCUCCUAAGUUAGGUCUUGAAACACAUAAGAAGAUUCAAAGAAAUGAGCAUCACACAUUAAGUCUCUAGUCAACUUACUAAUAGAGGGAAGAUUGCAAGAAAAAAAUUAGAAUAUGUAAAACAAAAUGUAGUUCAAUAUUAGGGCUAAUUCUAAUAUUUCUAGUUCUUGCCACUGUUGAAAGAGAUCCAUAUGCUACUUUAACCUUGAAACUUCCUAAACUAAGAUUGUAUGAUGAGAAUAAUUUUUCGCAGCCCAUCGUAUGAUUUGUGGCUCUAGAUUCAAUCAUCGUGGUUCUAGAUUAUUUCUAUAACUACAAUGAGGUGAGGAAAAAAUUACUUCUCUGUGCUAAUAAUGAAUUAUUAGUGUCUUUUGAUGGUUUUGUCAUCAAUAUGGAGAAAAAACCAACAUUCAUCAAAUUCUUAUUAAAAAUAAAUUAAAGGUACAAGCUGUAAUUUAUACAAAGCAAAACGUGAAACAGACCUUAAUUCUAGGAAUAAUAAAAUCAUAUCUCCUAAGAUUUUAUUGCUAUUAAUCAGCAAUAUUUAUUCAAAAUGAAAAAAUUCAAAUGAUGUUCAAAUAAUAGUUGAUUAUUUGGCUACUAGUUUAAAACAAAAUCUGCCCAUAAUUAGAAUGAUUUGAUUUUAUUUGAAUUAUCUUCCAACACUCCCCCUCAAGUUGGGUGGUACAAAUUGAACAUGCCCAGCUUGUCUACUAGUUACUUGAAUGAUCUUCUUGAUAGUAAUUUGGUGGGUACAUUUGCUAGUUGUUUAUUUUGUUGGUACAUAAGCCAUGCAAAUUGUACUAUCUUCAACCUUUUCCUUUAUAAAGUGUCUAUCAACUUCCAUGUGUUUAGUUAAGUCAUGAUGAACUAGGUUGUGUGAUAUAUGUUGAUGGUCACCUUAUUGUCACAAUACAUCUUCAUUGGCAUCUUCUCCUCCACAUUAAUUUCUCGUAGAAGUUGUUUAAGCCAUAGUAGUUCGCACAUAUCAUGAGCAAUAACACAAAAUUCCGCCUCUGCACUACUUCUAGCUACUACUGUUUGCUUCUUACUCCUCCAAGUCGCUAAGUUGCCCCACACAAAGAUGCAAUAGCUUGAAGUUGAUCUUUGAUCAUCUAUGGAACUUGCCCAGUUAGCAUCCGUGAACCCUUUAAUGCUUCUUGUUUCAUUUUUUCUAAAGAAUAAUCCUUUCCUUAGAGAUACUUUAAGAUACUUUAUAAUUCUAUACACGACUUCCAUAUGUUCUUUGCAAGGAGAAUGCAUGUAUUGACUCACAAUUCUUAUUGCAAAAGCGAUGUCUAAUCUAGUGUGGGAAAGAUAAAUUAGCAUCCCUACUAGACGUUGAUAUCUUUCGAUGUUGAUAGGUGUGCUCUCUUUUUGUUCUUCAAUCUUUUUUACGGGAUCCAUUACAACAUCCAAAGGUUUACAUCCUAGCAUCUUAGUUUCCUUCAAGAGAUCUAGAAUAUAUUUUCUUUAGGAAAUUGUUAUUUCACUAUUUUUCCUUGCCAUUUCCAUCCCUAGAAAGUAACGUUGAGGUCCUAGAUCUUUGGUUUCAAACUUAGCAACCAACUUCCCUUUUAAUUGUUCCAUCUCCAUUGGAUCAUUUCCCAAUCACUAUAAUGUCAUCCACAUAGACCAUGAGAAUAGUGACCUUACCAUCAUUGUGAUGUUAAAAUAAGGUAUGAUCAGAUUGAUCCUAUGUAUAUCCAUGCGUUAUGAUGGCCUUGGUAAAUCUCUUGAACCAUGCAUGAGGAGACUGUUUCAGCCCAUAGAGAGAUUUUCUAAGCUUGUAGACUUUUCUACCUUCCUUCCUUGAUCGAAUCCAAGAGGCAAUUCCAUCUACAGUUUUUCUAGGUCUCCAUUCAUAAAAACAUUUUUGAUGUCUAGUUAUUGAAGUCACCAAUCCAGACUUGUAGCAAGAGAUAAAAGAACUGUUACGGUAUUAAGUUUGGCAAUUGGGGUAAAUGUACAUUUCUUGAUAGUCAAUACCAUAAGUUUAUGCAAAUCCCUUAGCUACCAACCUUGCCUUGUAUUUUUCAAUGAACCCAUUUGACUUUUAUUUUCCAGCAAACACCCAUUUGCAUCCAACAAGCAUAUUUGCUUGGGCUUGUCCACUAAAUCCCAAGUUCGGUUUUUUUUUUUUCUAGAGCUUUCAUUUUCUCCAUCAAAGCUUCUUUCCAUUGAGGAUCUUGUAAAGCCCCAUGAAUAAGUUCCAAAACUUCUUCUCCUAAAAGUUUUGAAAUAAAAGCUUGAAAUCAAGGUGAGAGGGUGUUGAAUACAUGGUCAAACACCUUUUCUCAUGGCUAUAGGAAAAUUAAGGUUACUUAUGACUCAUGCCCAAUUGGUGUCUCAGCUGAUUUGUGUUCAGCUGGUGCUCCUUGAUUGAGGAAGUGAUCAACAAAAUUUAUACCUAUAACACCAUACACUAGGGUAGCAAAUACAAAGCUACUAUAGUAUAGUGGCUCUAAGGAUCGUUCACUGGGAAUGAUUUGCAAGCAAUCAAGGAUACCAAUUCCAAGUGAAUUGGUUUUGUUUCAUUUCACGGUUAGCUUAAGGAAUAAAACACAAACUUUGAUUGGUACAGGUUUAGACUUAAACUAACUAACUUAACAGAAGUUUGGAAUAAUUUAGGAAGAAAAGCAUUCCUUGGAGAUUUAGGUUCACUGGGGCGGUUCCUCAUACAAAAGACACGGCUCUGGUCAGAUGGUUCAUUUCCUCGCAUUAGAGAUUCAACUUAGAGUCAAUUCUCUAACCGGUGAUGUACAGAGACUCCUUCAAUUAGAUUUCACUUUAAUUCUCUCACUGAUGCAACUUGCAAUGGUUCAUGCCUCUCACGAGCACUUACCAUUCAAGGUGAUCUUUAACCUUGGACUUCCCUUCACAAACUCGCAAGAGAUAACUAAUGGAUGUCUCCUAGGAGUCCAAAAGCUUACCAAGUGUUGGUAAUUCCAGAAAAUCCUACCUUGAAGUCACCUACCAAAGGCUCGCAAGGGGUAAACUAGUGCAUUUCCACGGUUGGAAAUCACUUGCCUUACCAAGUGUUGGCCCAGGUGACUCCAAGGUGUUUUAAGUUAACUAAAAACAUUGAAAUCACUAAAGGAUUUCACUUCCUUUUCAUUACUAGCUAAAACCACAGAGCUUUGCAUUCUUGCACUUGGAACCUUCCCCGACAACCUUAGCUCCAAGGAAUUGGAGGUUUAGUUACUCAUUCUCUGGGGAAAACUCCUCAGAGAAUUCAUAACUUAGAAAUAAAAUGAAAAUACAAAGUGAGAAGGUAAGGCAGUAGAAAGAAAAUACUUUACUUGCUUACCAAAUGGUUACAGAAGGAACUCUCCUCCGAGAACAGGCUCCCGAGAGGUAUUUAUAUCAAAACAAUAUAAAACUAAUUAUUACAUAGAUAUUUGGUCUUUUUACUAACUUAAAAACUAAGAAAUCAUGUAAUUGGUGGUUUACAAGGAGUAUUUUGGGAUUUAGACAACAAAAAUCUAAUGGAAAAUAUCUCCCAAUGUCGGUAGCAAGCUUCGGGAGGCUUCAAGAGCCAUUUCGCAGGAGAAAAGUGAGGUCUGCGAAAUUUCGCAGACACCCAAGAGGGCUGCGAAAUUAUUUUGCAAGACCGAGCUAUCUUCACCUGGCUGCAAAGUUGGCUUCCACCUUGAAGUUUCCAGCUCCCUUCUCGCGGCAUGGUUCGUGCAUCGUCAGAAGGAGAAACACCUUACUGUACAAAAGUGCUGCGAAAUUCUCGCAACAAAAGGCUGAUUCCGCAACACUUUAGAGUGACUGGCUUGUAAUGGCUGCAACUUCUUCGUUUCAACUCCGAAUCGUGCACCGUUUGAAGCAUUGGAUUGUUGACUUUCUGAGCUUUGAAAUGGUAUAUAGCUUGCAUCAUUUGGACUUCAGAAAGUUCUCCAAAAGUGGCUGCUACGACUGUCAUCAAGAAUAGGCUUCAUGGCAGAUUCUCUUUGCUUUUUCUCCUUGCAUUCCGGAUUCACUCUUGGCAAUUGAAUUCUAGCUUUGCCCAAGAUUCCUCAUAGCUCUCCUCAUUCUUGACUUGCUUUGGUGAUCAAAAUACUAACAAAAACACCAAAACUUGCACAAAGUGAUCAAAAUUGCUUUAAAGGAUCCUUAACAUGCCAAUUGAGUUAAAAGGCCUAAACUACUACUCAAAAGUGUUAAAAAGGAUUAAUUAAAGGCUAUCAAAUAGCACUUUUUGAGUAGUAAUCAACUUACCUCAGGAACGACAGUUUUUCUGAUUCUUGACAGCACUAUUGGUUCAUUUUGGUCUCUAUUAUUCUUGAGUUACUCCUCUUUGUAUAGACAUGAAGUUUUGGUUGUUGUAGUGAAUCUUCCCUGACCUUGAAUCUAUUUUUGUUGUUGACACCACAAGUCUGACUGGCUUCGAUUGUUCUUGUUUGUCAGUUUCAAACACUAGCUGGUUAAGGAGGUGUUCUGGUUGUUCAGGUGGGUAAGAAGGCUAGUUUAAUAGUUGUUUUGGUGAUAUAGUUGGGUUAGACAAGUUUGGUGGUUGUUCUGGUAGUAGGCUUAGCAAUGAUAGUUCCCAAAAAUUCUCUUUAUCUACAUUCUGCCCUUGAAGUGAAUUUUUGGAGAAAAAGGUUGGUUCUAAAAAAAAUGUAACAUCCAAAGUGACAAAGUAUUUUUGUUUUUUAGGAGAGCAACAGCGAUACCCCUUUGUGUGGUUGAAUGACCAAGGAAGACAUAGGCUAAUGCUGUAGGAUCCAGUUUGGUUCGAUUUUGGUCGAGGACAUGAACAAAGGCUUUACAAUUGAAAACCUUAAGGGGGAGUUGGUUAAAGGACUGAGUUUGUGGAUAGAAUUGAAGGAAUCUUUUUAAUGGUGUUUGGUAAUUGAAAACUCGGGUAGGCAUAUGAUUUACAAGAUAAUAAGUUGAAAGAAUGGAAUCUUCCCAAAAUUGUUUUGGUACAUUUGUGGUAAGCAUAAUGGAUCGAGCUACUUCCAAUAAAUGCCUAUUAUUUCACUCGGCCACUUCAUUUUGUCGAGGUAUAUCUACACACGAACUUUCCCAUUAUCCAUUUAUAAGACUUGGAUUUUAGUAUUAGAUUGGUUUUGAAUCAUUUGAUAAAAAAUUUUGAAUGCUGGUUUUGCCUCAUUUUUUUCUUUCAAGAGAUAUAGUCAUGUAGUUCAGGUGAUCAUCAAUAAACGUGAUAAACCACCUUCCCAAUUAGAUUUUGUAAACGUGAGGGACCCCAUAUGUAGUGUGUAUCAUUGCAUAAGGUCUGGAUGCUUUGUAGGGUUGAGAAGGAUAAUUGGACCAUUGAUGUUCAGCAAAUUGAUAAAUAUCACACUAAAAAACAUCUUUAUUAUUGAAAAAAGAAGGAAACAAAUGCUUCAAAUAUUGAAAAUUAGGAUGGCCUAAGCUAAAGUGCCACAACACUACUUCUUGUUGCUUAGUCCUCUAGGAAGAUUCACAACCAGCUGAUAGUACUUGUCCAUCCUUGGUAUUAUCUUCCUUGAAGUAGUAGAGCCCUCCAUAUUCCUCAGCACUGUCAAUGCUCUUCCUUAGACAACAAAUUACAUGAUAAUUUGGGACAUUGAGAACAUUGAAAAGGGUUAUAUGAGGCCCUAAAAUUUUAGUACCAGUCCCUGCAACAGUAGCCAGAGAUCCAUCUGCAAUUUUGACUGAUGUGUCCAGAACCUGGAGUAUAAGUAGAAAGUAGACUUGCACAACCUGUCAUAUGGUCUGUUGCCCCUAAAUCUAUUAUCCUAGGGUUGAAUUUUUCUGUUGUUCCACUCAAAGCAAUCCCAAAUGUACCUUUUGGGAUAGGAAGGAUGAGUUAAUGUGGUUUUGGGAUGUAUUAGUGCCUGAUUCUGCUGGUACCAAGGCUGAGGAUGGUGUUAACAAUUUGUAGAGCUGCUCUAACUGCUCCUUGUUUAAGGAAAUAUUGACAGAGCUCUCUCCUCUCUGCUAUUCAGUAUCUGAAGUGGUCUGAUAUCCCUUGGGUUCCCUCUUAGUGCCUUGGUUAUCUCUGAAAUUAGGUGGUCUGCCAUUCAGCUUCCAGCAGUUUUCAUGGCUGUGAUUGGAUCUCUGACAGUGAUCACACCAAAGGUUGUCAUUUCUUCUGUUGCAAGUAUCUCCACAGGAACUGUCAUCUUUACAGGCUAUCAGGUCUGAGUUAUCAGCAGUAGUAUUGCCAGGAACAGUAGGAGUUUUUACCCCACCAACCAUCACACGUUUGCAUGUUUGUAAUUUCUGAUAUUUUAAUCCUUGUUCACAUGAUGACUGUUAUAUUAAUUUUAUUGCUGAUUCAGAUAAUACAGUCAUAACAUUUGCUGGAAUUUUGCAAAAUCAGACUCAGCCUUUUGAGACUUUGAAAACUUUGACACCAUAUUUAGUCAAUCUAGAUUGAAGAAAAGACCUUAUUCUAGAAACUUAUGAACUAAAAACAGAGUUUUCUCUACUUAGAAUAUUCAUUAUUCAUUACUGGUUUUGUUCAUGAAAGUUUCUUUCCUUCUAUGCUUUGUUGCUCUAUACUUCUACUUGCAUAUUCAAAUGGAUCUGCAAAUAAUUUGAUUUUGUUGAUAGGUUGAUGCUGCUCUUGAUUUAAGUCACGCUCAAAACAUUGGAAGAAUGAUUAAAUCCCAUUUCCCACAUUCCCCGGUUAGUAAAUAUAUAUUUUAUUUUAUUUGUUCUCAUCAGCAUGUUGAUUCACUUUUCUUUUUAUCCUCCUAAACUUUAGAUCUUUUUGCCAAUUGAAUUUUAGCUCUAGUAAUAGACACGGGGCCUUUAGUUAUAAUUAAGUCAUAAUAAAAAAAGAAAUUUUCUAUGGUACAAAAAAGGUAUCAUGAUUCAUGGCUCCAAAAGUCAACUAAUGAGAUUGAGAGUUUGUUUCUUGAUAUAUGAAACUACCUAGAGGAGAAGCGAAUAGGUAGUCCAAAAUUUUAUUUUCCAAUUUAAAAUUUAUUCAAAUUUUAUGAGAGGUAGAUUCAAACAAUGUAUAUAUAGAAAUCAAUCACACAUACAAGGACAUCAAUUAUAGGUGGAAAUAACACUUACAAAGUACUUGAGAAAUUUUGUAGAUGAAAAACCUACAGGUUGAACGAUCGGGAAUAGAGCCAUGAAAUACAUAAAAGAUUGUAUGUAGAUUACCUAAUCUAGAAUAUCCAACUCCCAAAGGGUCUUAUACCGGUAAGCACCUACCCAACUUUUCAUGUCCUUAUCGCAACACUCUUUGUUCCUUACUGAAUACCUUAAUCCCAUGCUAAGGCUAUGAAAGAACAUACCUUCAAUGAAAACACUUUCAAGAUUGUGCUUUAAAGGUUUGAGAGAUGGAGAUCUAGGGUAGAGAGAAUAGUCACAUUCUUAUGCAUGUCUUCAAUUUAUAAAAACUUAGUAUUUAUACCAAAAUAUUAGGAGACAAUUUUGGAGAUAUUUUUUCCAAAAAGUUAGCAAAAUAUCCUUUAAAAAAUUGGAAAAUGGCUAGAAAUAUGCAAGAAUAUGGCCCAAUGUUUGAAAGUCUGUAGAUGGUGUUUGAGAGAGAUGUUUGAAUGUCUCCUAUGUGACAUUUGGAUUUCCAACCUGCAUUUUGCCCACUCGGUUGAGUUUUUCAAUCUCUUCUCCAAAAUUUCACUUAGUACUCGUGAUAACCAUUUCUCAUGGCCUAAUAUCACCUAAUGUAUAUGUACUUCAAAUGUGAAUCAACUCUAAAGUAACUAAUGAUUGAUUUAAAUUGGUAAGACCCUCAAGAGGUAAGCUACAUUGGACUCAAUACAAUAAUGGAACAAAAUUUAUCAACCUAAUCUAAUACAUCAAUUGAGAUACCUAAAGGCAAUGACAUAUUAAAUAGUAAAAUGUUAAUUUUUAUUAGUUAUAUAUAUUUUAGUGGAUAAUACCUUCAAAUGCAUUCAGGUGCGUAUAAAGAGUAGCAUGUAUGACAUGAACAAUGCUUGUUUCUAGAAGAGUCUGCUACCUAGUUGACAUUAAACAACAGAAGUGGUUCUUAACUCGAGAAACCAACAAAAAGAGGAGUCAACACUUUUAUCUUAGAUGUAAACUCUACUCUGUAUUUCUAUAAUUAGAUUUGUUCAUAUGGCCAACUGGAAGAAUAAACUAUUCAUUACUAAGAGCAAAAUGAAGCUUUCUAGAAGUUAAUAAAGCGAUCAUAAGAUCAAUUAUUGUAGUUGUGCUUUUGCUACACACAGUCAAAUUAAUAGUCAAGAAAAAUCCUGAAAAUUUUUAAGAACUAAAUUAGAUCUUGUGUUUGGUCUUAAGAACUAAAAAAAGUGGCAGCUCAAAACUAACCAUUAGGUAUGGUUUGGGGUUGAUUUAACAUUCUCUAAAGGCUCAAAUAAUACUCAAGAACGAUUUAAAAUUCUUCCACAAUCAAUAUAAGAGGUUAAUUUGAAGCCUUUAAAUAGGAGUUGGAAGCUCAAAACUAAUCGGCAGGUAUGAUUUGGGGUUGAUUGGUCAAAUUGGUUAUUACCCAUUGGGCAUCAAAAAGUACAAGUGACCAUUAGGUUAUAAAAGGUUAGCUAGAUGGGUUUCCACCUCAACCAGUUAAAAUAAGCUUUUGUCGACCUUAAUCAGUCCAAUUGAUGAAUAAACCAAUUCAACCGGUUGAUUGAGUGAAUAGAAAUGGUUGAGCCGCUUUGGUCAAAGUCUGAGGUCAAACAUACAACUUUAGCAUAUUGCAUCUUUAGCAUAAGAUCAUUAGGAAAACUUGACUAGAUAAACCCUUCAUCAUUUUAAAAACCUUUUUAACCAUUAAAAACACUAAUUAAAGAUGAUUUUCAUUUAAAACAAUUCUUCAUCCAAUUUAUAAAAGAAUAAAAAAUCAAGAGAAGAAUUUAGAGAAAUAAAGGAAGAAGAAAGUCAAAGGAAAAUAAUUUUGAAGUUAUCUAUUUCCAAUACCUUACCAUAUUUAUAGGUUCCAAUCAUAAUGACUAUAAUAUAUAUAUAUAUAUAUAUAUAUAUAUAUAUAUAUAUAUAUAUAUAUAUAUAUAUAUAUAUUAACAAUUAUGAAUGUUACAUGAAUAUUUGCAAAGUUUAAUAUUAGGAAAUGACGUCCACAAAUUUUUAUACCUAUUUAUAGAACUCCCCUUUUGAUGUUAAAUCAUUUUAAAAAUAUGUCUUAUUAAAACCUGACUAAGAAAAAUCCAAGUGAAGGAAAAAAAGUAUAAUAAUCUUUUAAUGCAUUUGGACUACUGUGACUACCUCAUUAAAAAAUUUGUCUGUAAAACCUAGUAGGACAAAACCUGGACAAAAGGAAAAAGAAUACAAUGUAGUGACAUCCUUAUUAAUUUGCUCCCCCGUGAACAUAAUCACGUUUUCUUGACUACUUCAAUUUGAAGCUUCUUGAAUCUUCCCAUUUCAAUAUUAUAUAUGAGUUUUUGGAAUAUUGCUCUUAGUAAUGCUUUUAUGAAUAGAUUUGCAAAAUUGCCACCUAAUCUUACUGGUUGAAUAUUAAUAUUAUGCUUAAGCUUGCUCUAGCUCUAGUAUCAAACCUGGCCUCCUCAGCUCCAACAACAUCACCCUAUGUCAAAUUAUCAUCAUCAAAUACAAAAUCAUAUUGUGCACCUCCAUGAGAAUCCUCAUUUUCCAUUCUUCCUAUCAACCCUUCAUUGUUGUCAUCUAUAUCUUUUAAGGAAAUUGGGCCAAUGGUGUUACGUUCAUUGUAUCUUCUCUUUAAGGCAUUAUAUUUAAUGUGUACCAAAUCAUUCAAGCGUUGAUGAUCUAACCUAUUUCUCCUCUUGCUAUGAAUCUACAAAAAUUUAUAAACUCAUAAAUAUAUUUCAAAGUUUUAACUUUUUACUUUUAAGUUACAUUCAAGACUCUAUUAGACUAUUACUUGUAAUUAUUUUGGUCACUUACAUUUUCAAAGAUGCUUCAAUUCCAUUCACAACCCAAUGCACUACAUGUUAGGUUGAGGACUUUCAUUGCAAACCUUUGCAAAUUUGGAGCUUCAGCUCCAUAUGUAGCCCACCAUUCAGCUAUAGUAUAGAUAUUAACAAUUUAGUGAAAUAAUUCAUCUAUUUCAGCAAAAAUACAAUCUAAUCAUUUAAAUAAAUAAAAAUAAAUAACUAACUUGGUGUUCUAGUCUUCAUUGUCCUUACAACUAACUCAUUCUCGAUUAGUCUUUGGGCAUUUGAGUACAAACUCACUUUAGUCACAACUUUUUCUUACUUAGUGGGGUUUUUUGUCAGCCUUAAGAUGCAUUUAUACAAAUCACUCACAAUCUUUGCAUCAUGCUCUAUUUCUAGUUUAUCAUAGAAAAAUUACCGGUUCAAAAAGUACCAUGUUGCAUGCAAAGGCCGAUGAAGUUGAAUUUCCCAUCUCUUAUAAAUGAUUUUGAAGAUUUCUUUAUACUUCUCUUCAUUUCCAUUAAAACUUCUCAUAAUUGUAUCCUUAGCUCUAUUCAUGACCUCAUAAAUUUAUUCCAUAGGAGCUUUUUUUUUUCACCUUUAACCAAACAAAGCACAUGAACAAGGGGCCCAAAACCUUUAAGCAAAACACAAUAGUGUUCCAAAAUGAAGGCAUUAGAACUAUGUUGGCUAUAGUUUUCUCCUUCUCUUUUGCCCAUUUACUAUUUGACCAAUCUGAACUUGUAAACAUCUUCCUCAAGUUGCUUUUUUGUUCAUGUAAUCGCAAUAAUGUGAUGAAAGCAAUUGCAAAUCGAGUCUUAGUAAGCCUAAGCAAUUCUUUUUGUCUAAUAAUCUGCCUCAUCAUAUUGAGUGGCCUUGGGCAAUUAUAAAUAUACCCAUUUAGUGAUAUAGCCCUCUCCAAUGUCCCUUGAUGUUUGGUAGCUUUCCAAUAUCUUCCAAUAUCAAGUCAAGGCAAUGUGCAGCACAUGGUGUCCAAUACAAAUGCAAGAAAGCUUUAAUUCUAGCAACCUCCCUAUGUGACAUUGUAGAUAAUAAAUUUACAUAAGUUCUCAAGAUAAAUAAUUCAAAUUUUAAAAUUAAAAUUAUUAAAUAAAAAUUCAAGAAAUAGUAUUUAUUACCUGCCAUCACAUAACUUGAGUGAUUAUCUGUUAUAACUUGAAUAACAUUCUCCUCACCAACUUGCUCUACCCAUUUUUCAAGUAACUCAAACAUCUUUUCUCUAGUCUCAAUCAUCGAAAAAGCAUAAAUGGAUUGCAUAAACAUGGUUCCCUUUGAAUAAUUAACCAAAAAUUUCACCAAAGUUCUCUCUUUCCUAUCGGUCCAUCCAUCUAACAUAAUUGAACAUCCAUUUUUUUUUCCAUUCCACCAUAUAAUCCUUCAUCAAAUCUUUUGUAAGAGCUAAUUCUUUCUUGAGGUUUGUAAAUCUUGCCUCAUGAAGAGUUGGUCCCUUCAUACCCACACCAUAUUAGCCAAUAGCCUCAAUUAUUGGUUGGAAACUCGGAUAUAUGAUUGCAUUAAAUGGAAUAACAGCCUCAUACAUCCACCUUGUGAUAAACAUACAAGCUCUUUCUCUUGCUUCCUUUUUAUAGGCAUCAUUGAUAGUAGUUUGAUUCAUCUUCCCACUCUUUUGACUUUGAACAACCAUUUCUACAUUAUGAGUGAAAAAAUGAUCCAUGGGACCUUUUUGUCUUGGUUUUUUUGAAGAAAACAUCCUACCACCACUUCCUCCUUAGUUACUACCUCCAUUAGAAAUGUUGGUGACAUUCAUUCUACUUUUAAUCUCCUCACCAAAAUCUUCAUCUUCCAAACCAAACAAAUUUUCAUUAACAUCUUCACUCCCCAUAUUCAUUUGCUUUUUUGACUUUUUUUGGAACUCAUAUACUCUUCCAUUUCUUCUCUAACAUGUUCUAGACAUUUUCUACACUUUUUAGCAUUUUUAUAUCCACCAACAAGAUGUUGUUUGUGUCUAUAUAUGCCUUUUUUGAUUACUUUAUCACAAAAAAUGCAUAUAGUGGUGUUCAAAUCUUUUUCAUUAGGCAAACGAGCAUACUUUCGUCUGAGAUCUCUUCUUCUACUUGCACUAGAGUCCACUUGAGUUUCACUCUCAUUUUCCAUCUUGCAAACAAAUUAUCCAUACUACAAUAAAAUAAUUAUAUUAAAUUAAGAAAAUAAAAAAUUGAAAAAAAAUGCAUAUCAUAUUAACAAAAAAUAUGUACAUGAGAGUGUUUUUUAUUUGUUUAUUUUUAUUUAGUAAAAUUUUCAUGUCAAAAUACAAUAUUUAUUUUAAAAAAAUGCCAAUGAGAGUUAUGAGACAAGAAUGGAAAAAAAAUGCAGAAAAGAGAAACAUACCAAGGUCCUAGAAAGGUACGUCUAUUUUUCCUCUAUUUUUCCUCAUUUUCUUUGCUUCUCCACUGCACAGCUGAGGUUAGGGCAAAAUUUGGGAGGGUUGUCGAGUUGAAAACAACCAGAAAAUGGAACUAGAAAGGAAAAUAGGACCAAAAUGACAUUGUUUUGGCCUGUUUUUUAUUUUAAAAGAACAAGCUCCAAAACAACAUUAUUUUGGCUGGUUAUUUUUUAAAAUAAAAAUGGUCAAAACAACGUCAUUUUGGUCUCAAUUUUUUUCAUAAAAAACAAAAUUAGGGUUCUCUCUACCCUUUGCAACCCGUCUUCAAAAAAAAAAAAAAAAAAAAAAGAAGAAGAAGAAGAAGAAGGAGAUAGGGGAUCAAGGCGCACCUAUGGACUACGUCGUGCCUUACCGAAGGUGGGCUCCUUGCGCGCUUAAGUGGCGCCUUCGUGAAGGGGCAUCGCCUACCUUUAAGCAAGGCACCGGAGGGUUGCAUCGCACCACCUGGAGCCUAGGCGCACCUUUCACAACUAUGAUACCUUGUUAUCUAAUAAAUAGAAUGUUAACCUAAAUUCUUAAUUAUGAAGCACCAAUAACUUGUUUUCUCAAAGCCUAUCAUCGUAGCCAAUCUAUCUCUUCACUUCCAUUAUGAGUCUUUGGUUGUACUUCCUUCGUACACAUCUGCGAUAAUAAUAGGAAUAAACUUAACCCUAAAGCUCGAAAAUGUAUUUUCUUAGGAUACUUUGAUAUGUAAAAAAGAUAAAAAUGUUACAUACCAAACACACAAAUAUUACACUUCUAUGGGUUUGACAUUCUUUGAAAACCAACCUUUUUUCACCAAAAAUUUCUCUCAAGGGGAAAACGUUAGUGAGGACGAAAAUAUUAAAGUUGCCAUUGCUCCUAUAUUUGCACUACUACUUGAGUUUGAACAACCACAAACACUACUACAUGAACUUGAAUAGUCAUAAAACACCCUUUGGUGAACCUGCUAUGACCAUGAACAAGGGUUCAAUGAUGGAGGGACUUGUAACUCCAGUCUCCCAAGCCACUUGUUUAUUCAAGACAAAAUAGUACUCAAAAGGUGGAACACCUAACAACCUCUUGCAAAACCAUGAAUUUGAACCAAUAUCAAUUACUCAAACUUCUAACCCACGUGUUACUUUUGGAGGUGAUGAUCUUAAAUGUUCCUAUAGCUCUCAAGAAAGGAACCCGAUCUUGUACUCAACACCCAAUCUCCAAGUUUGCAGCCUAUAAUCACUUGUCAUCGUCUGCUCAAGCACUUAUAACUAAUCUAGCAAGAGUGGAAAUUCUGAAAACCACACAGGAAGCUUUAUCAAUACUAGAAUGUAGAAACGCGAUAAGAGAAGAAAUGUUAGCUCUAGAAAAAAAUAGAACUUGGGAUGUUGUGGAGAUGUUGAGGGAAAAAAAAUCCCCUAUUGACUACAAAUGGGUUUUCUCAGACAUAUGGAGUUGACUAUCAAGAGACAUUUACACUAGUGGCAAAGCUAAAUACUAUUCGAGUACUUUUAUCCUUGGCAACAAAUUUGGAUUGGAAACUCCAACUUGAUGUCAAAAAUGCAUUCUUGAAUCGUGAGUUGGAAGAAGAAGUCUAUAUAGAUCUGCCAAUAGGAUUUGAUGAGGCUAGAAUUAAUGAAAAGGUUUACAAGCUCAAAAAAUCUCUUUAUGGAGUGAAACGGUCUCCACAGGCUUGGUUUGGUAGAUUUACAAAGGCUAUUCAUUAGCAAAGGUACCAAUAAGCUCCAUUGGAUCACACUUUGUUUUAUAGACAUAAAGGGGAUAAGACUAUGAUUCUCAUAAUCUAUGUUGAUGAUAUAAUCUUGACUAGUGAUGAUAUUGUAAAGAUGGAAAGGCUAAAAAAUCUCUUGCAAUAGAUUUGAGAUUAAAGAUCUAAGCCCAUUGAGAUAUUUUCUUGGUAUGGAAGUAACAAGAAAUAGAAGUGAUAUUUCAAUUUGUCAAAGGAAGUACAUCCUAGAUCUCUUGGAAGAGAUGGGGAUGUUAAGGUGUAAGCUUGCAGAUACACCCAUAAAUUAUAAUUUGAAACUAGGUAAAUAAUCUGAAAGUACACCAGUUGAUAAAAGUCAAUACCAACAUUUAGUAGGAAAGCUUAUCUAUCAUUCCCAGACUAGAUUGAUAUUGUCUUCGCAGUAGAAUUUGAGAUUAAAGAUCUAAGCCCAUUGAGAUAUUUUCUUGGUAUGGAAGUAACAAGAAAUAGAAGCGAUAUUUCAAUUUCUCAAAGUACAUCAUAGAUCUCUUAGAGGAGAUGAGGAUGUUAGGGUGUAAGCUUGUAGAUACACCCAUAAAUUAUAACUUGAAACUAGGUAAACAAUAUGAAAGUACACGAGUUGAUAAAAGUCAAUACCAACAUCUAGUAGGAAAGCUUAUCUAUCGUUCCCAUACUAGACUGAUAUUGUCUUCGCAGUUAGUGUCGUAAGCCAAUAUAUGCAUUCUCCUUAUGAAGAACACAUGGAAUUCAUGUGUUAGAUUUUGAGAUACCUCAAAUGGACUUUAGGAUGACGACCUAUUCUUUAAGAAAAGUGAAGAGAGGAGAGUUGAGGCUUUUAUAUAUGCAGAUUGGGUAAGACCAGUGAAACACAGGAGGUUAACAACUGUAUAUUGGACUUUUGUGUAGGGUAAUUUAGUGACUUGGAGGAGCAAGAAAUAGACAGUGGUGGCUAGAAGUAGUGUUAAGGCAGAACUUAAAACUUUAGCACAUGGGAUUUAUGAGUUACUAUGAUUGAAAAUAUUGUUAGAUGAUUUGAAAUUUAUGAGAAAUGAGUCUAUGAAGAAUUAUAGUGAAAACAAGGUUGCCAUCACCAUCUCCCAUAACCUUGUUCAUCACAAUAGAACAAAACAUGUAGAGGUAGACCGCCAUUUUAUCAAGGUAAGGAUCGAAGAGGGGAGCAUUUGUGUCGUGCAUAUACCUUCAUCACAAUAUGUUGCAAAUUUGCUAACUAAGGGAUCAUUCAAGCCGAUGUUUAAGAUUGGUUGACAAGUUGGGUCUAUUCAAUGUGUUUAGUCCAGAUUAGUCCAGCUUGAGGCGGAGUGUAGAGAAUCUUGGAUAAUUCUUAUUCUUUGAAUAAGGAUAAAAUCCAAGAAGAGGUUUAUUUUCUAAAUACGGGAGAUUGUGAUUGUGUUCCUUGUUUCUAUUUCUAAUUGCUAGCUAUAAUAUUACAGCUAGCUUGAAUCUCUUAAAAUACAACUGAUUUGAAUCUCCUAAAAUUAAGGGUUGUGGUUACAAAGUCUAGCCCAUAAAUCUACUUGUAUUGAAGAAAUAAAAAAUAACAAUAACAACCUCCACUUUAUGGUUUGCUCUUCUUUCCUGUAGUGUUUUUCUUUUAUCAUUUUUUUUUUGUUUCCUGCCCAGUUUCAGAUACUUAAAAUAUCUAGAGGGAUAAAUAUUCAUAGCUUGUAAAAUUUUGAAAAAAUCAAUUAUAAUAUACAAUAUUAAUAGCUUUGAAAAUUUUUGAAAGAUGAGAGAAAAAAAUCCCUUGGUUUAAUGUGCUUCGCAAGAAGACCCUCAGACUAAACCCUCAUAAAAGUAAGUUGCACCAUUUGAAAAACUAAAGAAAAGUUGAACUUAGUACCAUGAACAUAGAUGCAUAAAGUAAAUCCAGCUAUAACAAUUAUCAGAAGCAUCCUUGUAAACUCUUCCUCAAAGAAAAGCCAUUUAAUAAGUUUGGUAAAGCAAUCUAUAUUAUAAGUUUCAAAUGCUAAAGAUAUGGAAAAAAUAUUUCAAAACUAUGCCAAAUUAUAAAUGAAAAAAAAAAACCGUACAGCACCUCAUCCAGAAUAUAAAGUGGAACUAGUUUGAAGAGGAGCAAUGCCAAUAUUAGAGAGAUUGCAAGCAGUGAACGUUGUCCUCCACUCAAUUCUGACAAGGACUACUUCCAAACACUUCCAAAUGUAACACGAACCUCAAGACCAUCCAAGAAACUGCAUCCUUCAGGAGAUUCCAGCUUUUCCAUUGUGCUUGGUAAUAGAGUAGAAAAGACGGAUCCAAAGUCCCUGAAAAGAAGCUACAAAAUUAUGAAUAGUGAGCUUCAUCAAGUUCUAUAAAAUCAAAGAUCAAUAACCACAUAAAUGAUUAAUUUUAGUAUCAAUUAAAAUAACCAUCUAAUAUAGCAUGAUGCAAUAGACUCAAUUGUUAACUUUAGUCCAAGAACUUUUAAUGUUUCCUUCUUCUUUUCAUCCAGCUCUUCAAUCACCAUCUUGAUUUUUGACUUGUCAUUCUGUUAAAGGCAUAUUAUGCUUUUCUUGGAUAUUAAUUCAUAGUACUCAUCUUCUGCUUUCUCAAACAUUGCCAUCACUUUCUCCAGGCUACAUUAGUGAAAAUAAGAAAAAACAACCAAUAAAAAAUUGUUCUUUGCUACCUCUUCAUUUCAAAAAAGAUAAUGAUAGCACAGUACUAUGUUUGAGUAUGAGAAUGUUUGGAAAAAUCACUCAGCGCUUGAAACCAAACCAAUACAAACAAUAAUGAAAAGAGAUAAGGAAAAAGAAAAAAGGUUUCUCAGCUACAUACCCUGAUUGUUCAGCUUGCACUUUGUUAAGUUCAGCCCUGGCUUUACUAGGAUCAUGACACACAAAAUCAUAAUCAGUUCCACUUCUUCCGAAAAGUUGCUUUUCUAAUGCAAUCCAGGCAUGCUUCUCAAUUAACUUUUCUACCUUCGAAGAAAUCUUUUUGUUCCAUCUCCAUUCGUUUUACCUAAAAAAACGGAAAGUAGAUUAUUUAGUGUAUCAAGUCACAAAGAACAAAUAUAAUGCAAUUAGAAUUUACCUCAUUUUCCAGUUUCUUCCUUCCAAUAUUCAUCUCACUAAGUUUGUGUUGAAGCUUCUCCUGCUCCUUGAGAAUGUAACUAAUUUGAGAAUCACAUUCCUUCAUCUUCAAACGGAUCAAAUUGAGCUCACAUUGAGCCUGAUCAUGAUUGUUCUUUAUUGAAGCAACCUAAGAGAGAGGCUAGAAGGUUAAACUUCACAUUACAUAACUUUCCAUUGUGCUUUGAGAAUCACAAUUUGUCCUCUCAAACAUGCUAGUUGACUCUCCAAAGAUGCACGUUCCUCUAUGGCUGCUUCCAUUUCCAUAAUAAGCCUCUCUUUUCAUUCUCAUGCCCCUAAUAGCAAGAAAAAUCAUACCAUAAGAAAUUAAAGUGCUAUUGAGCACUCUAACACUUCAUCUACUAGAAAAAUCAAAAUGUGGAUGAAAUAUAAUUACCAAGCAAAGUUUAACAAAAUGGUGAAUGAAACGAUUUAAUGAGAUGCAAAAUCAAAAUGAAUAAUGUCAAAUACAACAUAUUUAAACUUCAUACCAAGCUAAUUAGCUAAAGCUUUUUAGAGAGAAUAGUAGAACAUAUUUCAUGUUGUGAAAUGUCUUGCAUUCUUGGAUUACUUGACUUCUAGGCGGUCUCAAAUUCUCUUUGUAAACAUAUUUCAUUAAGCAUUAUAAUGGAAAACUAAGCUAAGGAUUAUAGGGAAAAUUAGGAAUUAAUGGAAGAGGACAAAAUACAAGAGGAUGAGAACAGGAAAAUUUUGUUUAACCAUGGAAAUCCAAGAAAAAAUAACCACAAAAAAAAUGAAAGAAAAAAAAACUUAGGGAAUUGAUUGCAGCUCUGAGUUGAAGCUUCAAUAUAAAAAUUUUUAAAGUGCACCUUAGUUGUUCUUUGCUAUCAAACAAAUGAACUUAGGCAAUCACAUCAAUUUUGAAGUUUCAAGCUACAAAAUCUCACUUGAGCAUUCAUUAACCGUAAAAGAGAUUCUAACAAUCCCUUCUAUAAACGUGUAAGCCUAAUAUGAUAAAUUCUAGCACUUGAAUAGAAGAAUUCCAACCAUCAAUUAAAAGUCAAGUAAAAAGAUACUCAAAAUGCUAGAAAACCCCUUGCUAAUUGAUGCUGUUAAUGUCUUUAUGUGUUGGCCAAUUCUGGAUCAAAAAGAAUUUCCAUUGUAUUCUACCAUUCCAAGUCCUCAAAUUCUCUCUUGGACACUCAUCAUUUCAAAAAUACUCAUAAAUAUAGGUAGAGGAAAUGGUAAGUGUUUUUAGGUGGUGGAUGGGUUCACAAAUUGAUCAACCAAGUUUAAAGUUCUCAUACUUUUUAUCAAAAAUAGGGUUGGAAACUUGGGAGGAGUCAAAACUUUGGUUUUAAACCAAUUGGCUCUAGUUUUGAUUGCUCAUGCUGAAAGGCAAUUAUUCAAUUGUUGUAUAGAAUGUUUCAAUCUUACAUUGGAUCAAUCAUUGUUUCAAUCAUAACUUAAAUUUUCAUUUUUUUUCCAAGCCGAUUUGAGUCGUUGAAUUAAACUUAAAAUCCUACCAUUUAAACUCAUUUCUAAAUUAGGGAUUUAUAGUAGAGAGAGAUGAGUGUCUCCUUAAGCUUCAAAUCUGUUCCAUAUUAGGGAGUGUUUUCUAGAAAUUUUUUAGGUAUUUGAGUUGAAAUUAAAUUUGAUUGAGAAAUUUUCCAACAAAAUAUGUUGAUUCAUUUUUUUGUUUUCAUGUCUAGUUUUGUUCUUCAUCCAUUGGGAUAAAAGCAAAUACCUUCUUGUGUAAAUAUAAAAAAAAAACUAAAAUCUUGUUUGAAGGUAAUUCAAAAGGGAUUCGAUAUGAAGAUGGUGGGAAGUUAAGUUUCCUAAGGUAAUAAACAAGCAAUCCGGGAGAGGAUUGACAGUCUUGGGUUAGGUAAAACCUUGUACUAAUUAUUUUCUUCAUAGCAAUGUUAUUAAAGAUGAUUGCCCGGGUCGCCUAGGCUAUCAGGCCAAGUGGGAUAGAUGAAAGUCGCCUCUUAAAGACCAGGCAAAGCAACUUCACAGAAGCAAUGCCUAGGUGAUUGCCUUGGGAUAAGGCGCAAGGCAUUGAGGUGAUCGCCUUUGACCAUGAGUUAAGAUUAAACAUACUUAGAUUAUUUUCAUUCAAUCUAAUAUUAGAUUAACAUGAAAUAUUAUAUUAUCAAUCAUAGAGAUAAUGAGAUGGAGGGCCAUCAAUCUAGUCUUGAUGAAACAAUGAAAAUUUUAAUUUUAAUGAUGAUUAUGAUGAUGAUGCCUAAAACUUUUUUAAGAUGUUCAUUCUCUUUUUUUGUUUUUUAUUAUGACUUUUAGAUGUCUGAAAAAUUAGAAUAUUCAUUUAGACAAGAUGAAUAUCUCUAGUAUGAUGUUUCUUAUGAUGUGGGGUAUAAUAUUUAACACUUUGAAUAAUUAUUACUAUUUUUUCAAUUUUAUAAGACAUCAUAAGUGAUGAAAAAUAAAUAAUAUUGAUUGUUGAAGACAACACUUAUAUUGUUUAAGUAUCAAAUAGGUAAAUACACGUAUAUUUUUUUAUUGUUUUAUUAUAAUUAGGCUAUUGAAUUGUUUUUUACCUUUCGUCUUAGGCUAAAAGGAGUCUUAUCGUUUUUUGCUUUUGACAACACUGCUUCAUAGUGGAUGUUAUUGACACAAAAUAUGGGAUGAAAAAUAAUAAAUUCUGUCUAUUAGAUUGACUAUACACAGAGUUUAUAUAGGAGAUUACAAGAGAAGAAAUAGGAAACAAGAGACAUAAUAGGAAACUAACUUAUUCCUAAAUCAUAAAACUAUCUAUUUACAAAAAUAAGAAACUAACAUAAUAGGAAAAUAAUUCUCCUAUUCUAUUUACAACUCAGCACUGCCCCUCAUACUGAAGAAUAGAUGUCUUCCAUUCCUAGCUUGAAUACAAGAUCGUGAAACAUUGAAUUGUUCAACCCUUUUGUUAUGAUAUCAGCUAAUUGAUGUUCUGAUGGAACAUAAGACAUACACACUACUCCUUCGUCCAAUUUUUCUUUGAUGAAAUGCUUAUCAAUCUCAAUAUGUUUUGUCCUAUCGUGUUGUAUAGGGUUAUGAGCAAUAUUGAUAGUUGACUUGUUGUCACAAUAAAGCUUCAUAGGACCAUCCCACUUGAUUCUCAAAUCAUAUAGAAUAAUCUUCAACCAAAGUAGUUCACACAACCCUUGAGCAAUGGCCCUAAACUCUGAUUCUGCAGGCGACCUUGCUACCACAUUCUGCUUUUUACUUCUCCAUGUUACCAGAUUAUCUCUAAGAAAAGUACAAUACCCUGUAGUUGAUCUUCGAUCUACUAAGAAACCUGCAUAGUCAACGUCGGUGUAUGCUUUUAGAGCAAGAGUAUUGUUCUUCUUGAACAAAAUUCCUUUCCUGGGGUUGCCUUUCAAGUAAUGCAACACCCUGUAAGCAGCUUGAAGAUGAGGUUCUCUUGGAUCAUGCAUCAAUUGACUGAUCACGCUCACCGAGUAGGCGAUGUCUGGCCAAGUGUGAUCAAGGUAUAUGAGCCUACCAACUAGCCUCUGGUACAUUCUUUUUUGCACCACUGGUUCCUCUUUAGCUUCUCUCAACUUGUGGUUUGGAUCCAUUAGGGUAGAGACUCUUUUACACCCAAUUUUCCUUGUUUCUUCCAAUAAAUCAGUCACAUACUUUUGUUGAGAGAUGAAGAUCCCUUGUGUGGAAUAUGCCACCUCAAUACCGAGGAAGUACUUCAGUUUCCCUAGUUCCUUUAUCUCAAACUCUAUUGUUAAUCUCUACGUCACAUUAUGCUUUUCUCUCUCAUUUCCAAUCACUAUGAUGUCGUCAACAUAGACUAGAAGAACAGUUACUCCUCCUGCAGUCGAGUGCUUAAUGAAGAGAGUUUGGUCACCUUGGCUUUAUUUGUACCCAAACUCUUUCAUGACUUUUGCAAAUCUCCCAAACCAAGCCUUAGGAGAUUGUUUUAUCCCAUAAAGGGCCUUUUGCAGCUUGCACACCUUGUUACCUGUGUUUACCUCAAACACCGAUGGGAUGUUCAUGUAAAUCUCUUCAUCUAAAUCACCAUGAAGAAAUGCAUUAUUGACAUCAUACUGUAGGAGUUGCCAAUUGUAGUGGGCAGCCAGUGACAGUAGGAUUCUUACAGUAUUCAUUUUUGCAGCUGGAACAAAAGUCUCCUGAUAAUCAACUCCAUAAGUUUGAGUGUACCCUUUGGCUACCAAUCUUGCUUUACAUCUCUCAAGAGAUCCAUCAGCCUUAUAUUUCAGUGUGAAAAUCCACUUGCAAUCAACAAUGUUUUUCCCUUUCAGUCUUUCAACAAUCUCCCAUGUUUUAUUCUUUUCUAAUGCACUCAUCUCCUCUCUCAUAACAUCCUUCCAUUCCUUUUUUGUCAAUGCCUCAAAAACAAUGUUAGGGAUGAUAGUGGUGUUUAGACUCACAAUAAAAUUCUUGUGGGCUAGUGAUAGGUGCUUAAGAGACACAUAGUGUGAUAGUGGAUAGAGUGGUCGAUUAGUGCAUUCUCUGGUGCCUUUUCUGAUAGCAAUGGGAAGGUCUAGGUCUAGGUUGUCUGUUGAGUUGGUGGAAGUUUCACCAGGUUGUGUAUGUAAAGGUGGGUCUUAUAUUUCCAUGAUUUCAUUCCCAGGGUCUGAGUUGGAUUCUUGGACCUGCUUUUGUUCUGGAAUGGCCUUUUCCCUUGAAUACACCUUAGGAAACUGUGGAAAAUUGCGAGUGACACUGGCUGGAACAGGAGAUGACACGGGUUCAAUGGUAAAAUUGGGUGACUCAGGUGUGAUUGACUCGGAUGACUUAGGUUCUUCAUCACCAUGGGUUGAGACAUGAGGAAAAUCAAGAGGUUCAAAGGACUCACAAGAACUAUCUUCCAUCAUUGAAAUCUCCCCCUGAAGAGAGGACUUGGGGAAAAAAUGUUUAUUUUAUGUGAAUGUGACAUCUGCAGAGAUGUAAAAUUUUCUGGCUGAAGGAUUGUAACACUUGUAUCCUUUUUUAGUGGAUGAGUAACCAAGGAAGACACAUUUUAUGGCUCAAGGGGUCUAGCUUGUCUCUAUGUUGGCUGUGGAUAUGAACAAAUGCAGUGCACCCAAAUACCUUAAGAGUGAGCCCAUUUGAGGUUUUGAAGUGUGGAUAGAAACUCUUAAGUAUCUCUACGGGGCUUUUGUCGUCUAACACUCAUGAGGGAAUUCUGUUUAUCAUGUAUGUGGCACUAAGAACAGCUUCCCCCCAAUAGGACUUAGGAACAUUCCCUUGAAAGAGUAAGGCUCGGGUUGUGUUGAGUAAAUGCCCAUUUUUCCUCUCGACUACCCCAUUUUGUUAGGAUGUGUUAACACAUGAUGAGUCAUGGAGACAAAAUCUGGUUGAAGUAAUCUCUAGCAUUGUUUGUCCUAAAGCUUUUUAUUUUAACCUUAAAUUGGUUUUGAACCAUUGAAUGGAAAUUAGAUAUAACAAUGAUAACAUCAGAUUUUUGUUUAAGAAGAAAGAUCCAUGAAACCCGAGUGCAUUCAUCAAUUAAGGAUACAAACCAACGAGCCCCAGAAACAUUAGGUAUUGUCGAAAGACCCCAUAUGUCACUAUGGAUCAAAUGAAAAUGAUGAAAACUUCUUUUAUUGCUAAUAGGAAAAUAUACACGAGUAUGUUUUGCCAAUUCACAAGUUUCACAAUGAAACUCGAAAAUAUCUAAUCCUUGGAACAAAUGAGGAAACAUGACCUUUAAAACCCUAAAAGAUGGAUGACCUAGACGUAGGUGAUACAACAAAAUGGUAUCUUUAUUUAAGGAAUUGAGAAAAGACAACGACAAAUUAUUACUAGCUUUCUGAGAUGAUUCAAGGUGGUAAAGACCUUUCCUUUCCUUAUCAAGUCCAAUCCUCCUCCCCGAGCCUUGUUCCUAAAAAACACAAUAAGAAAGGAAAAAAAUAGCAUAACAUUUAAGAUCAUGGGUAAGCUUUUGAAUGAAAACAAGGUUGGCCGACAAUUUUGGUACAUGGAGGACAUUUUUAAGAAUAAGGGUAGGUGUGAUGUAUGUCUCCAAAACCUACAAUGGUAGCUAAAGAGUCAUUGGCCACUGCAAUUUUCUUGUUACUUGGGUUUAGGGUAUACGUAUGGAAAAGUUGAGAUUUGGAGGUCAUAUGGUCCGUGGCACUGGAGUCUAUUAUCCAAGAGUCAUCAUAAACCCUGUGUGAGGCAUUUAUGCAAAAAUAGAGUGAAAGUGUAGCUGAAAGAGCCAAAGAAUAAGUUCCAAUAGGUUUGUAAAGAACACGUGAAUAAAAAAAAAUCCAGCUAUGAAAGCCAGAAAAAUGGCGAUGAAGGCCAAAAUGAUGCCCAGGUCUUAAAAACCUAUAGCUCUGAUACCAUGACACGAAAUAUGGGAUGAAAAAUAAUAAGUUAUGUCUAUUAGAUUGACUAUACACAUAGUUUAUAUAGGAGAUUACAAGAAAAGAAAUAGAAAACAAGAGACAUAAUAGGAAACUAACUUAUUCCUAAAUCAUAAAACUAUCUAUCUACAGAAAUAGGAAACUAACAUAAUAGGAAAAUAAUUCUCCUAUUCUAUUUACAGCUCAACAGUUACAUUUAUGAUUAACCCAUGUUUUUUUUCCUCUUUGGAAAUUUUCCAUGUUAUAUCACUAUGUCUUUAUUUCUUUUUUAUUUUCUAAAUUUAUGUUUUGAUUCAAUUUAUAGCAUGAAUUUUAGAUUUGUGGACCAUGUUUUAAAAGGUAUUGAGGGUUAUGCAUCGAGGCUCACCUCAAGGUAAUUGAGGUGAUUGAGGCUUAAGCCUUAGUUAAGGUAAUUGAGGCUUAAGCCUCACCCUAUCAAGGCUUAUAGCUUUGAGGAUAUAGCCUCAAGGCUGUUGAGACCUAAUCCUCAAAUAUCCAAAGGGUUUUUGGUCUUUAUGGGCUUUUGGUAUAUAUUUUGUAAAAGGCUUAAGUCUCUAUUCAAUAAGUGUUAAUAUGAUCUACUUCAGCAAUUACAAAAUACCUUGAGGUCCUGGGAAUCUGAUAUCAUUUGAGACUUUAAAGCCUUUUCAUUUUUCUCUAAAUCUUUAAGCCUACCAUCCCCAUUAUUAGCAUGCUCUUUGAUUGACUUCUCAAGCAGUGACACGGUAUUUACACAGUUUUCAAGCAGAAAUUGCUUUUCUUUAGCAGUUGACUUUGAUUCCCAAGCUCCUGCUCAAUCCUUUUAACCAAUUCACUGAGCUACAUUGCAAGCAAAAAUAAAAAACAUAAAGAAUGAAAAUUAGAAAGAAUAGAAUCAUAUUACAUGAGAAGAGGCAACCUGAGGGUAAAAAUAUAUGGCUUCAUAUGGCAUAGCACUAAAGCUUCCUCCUAGACAUUUUAUGUGAGAAAGGAAAGGUCAUAAACCUUAUGAUGCUCAUUUUGCUUAACCCUGAUCUAAAAUAAUGAAAGGUCAUAUGACUUAAGUUCCAACUGCGCUUUAAGGUCCAUGAACCUUUAGGCAUGAGGUCGGAGAUCUGCAAUGUCAACCAAGAAAUAGACAAAAACAUAAAAUUAGUAUUGGAGAAGGCUGAUUUUAUUCAAAUCUCAAUGAAUACAUCUAAAGAGAAAACAUACACUUGCAAUAAUAAAAACCAUUUAUCUUCAAAUGUUGACAAAAAAUUAAAAGAUAGAUGUCAAGUUUGUUCUCAAAGUUCCAAAUAUGUACUGAAUAAGUAAAAAUAAUAUGAAUAUGACACGCUAUUUUUGUCCAUCAUUGAAUAAAAUCUCCAAAGCUGAUAAUAGUCAUGCAACCACAAUACAAUCAACUUUCAAUAAGAAACUUUAUAUAACAUUGGACUUGAUCAUAACCUACUAGAGACAAACAAUAGGGAACAGUGCCCCUAACUGUUUAUGAACUUCAGAAGUUGGCAACCCUAUCAGAUAACUUGAAUGUUUAUUUAUCAGUAACCAUAAAAUACAAAAAUAAAAUAAGGUUCAUAUAAAGAUAGCAUUUUUAAAAGAAAACAGAAAACAUCUUCCCAUUGUCAUGUUGAAUGGAGAUAAAAAUCAAAACUUUGCAAAAUAAUCAUCAUUUUACUAAAAGUUUUUUUCACUUCAUGAACACAAACACAAUUGUUGAAGAAAACUUAUAAGAUAUUAAUAUUUUGAAAACAUUUGUAUGGUGGACAAUGUUAAAGUCAUAAAUCAUGUGAAGGACUAUUGGGUUAACUCAAAUAAAUACUUCUUAUUAAAAGAAGACACAUACAUACACUAUUAACAUAUUGAAAAGAAGUUUUAUUUAAAUAAAUGCAUGAAGAUUUUUACUUUCUAUUUUUUUUAAUCCUAAAUACUUCAUUCUUCAGGAAAUAGAGUAGGUUGUUCAAAGUUGACCUUUGCUUCAAUUUAUGGUAACUUCUGCUGAUGAAUUGAAAGUUUUGAUUCAGCCUCUGCCAAAGCAUGAAGUUGCCUUAAUAGAUCACCACCACCUCUGGAACAAUAAAUUGUUAAUUUAAAAGGUUAUCUUACUAAAGUUGAUUUGAACCUUGAGAGCAUCUUCUAAUGUAGGUAUGAUAGUACAAAUGGCCUUUUUCCAACAUACUUGAAACAUAUGUAUGCAUAAAAAAUGAAAUAAAAAAAAAUAUAACCAAAAGAACUAAAAAAUUACUCAAAAUUUUGUAUUUAUAUGUGCUUACAAACAAUAAGCAAUUGAAAUGAUAGGCAACUACACCUUUGUAAAGAAUGUUAACUAGAUAGAAAAUAAGCAAGCAGGUGGUUUACUUGUGACUACCACCAGUCAGAAGACCACUUGGUUGAAAUAUAUCACCAUCAAGAGUAACACUUGGAGUGGAGAUACCCCUAUUAAAAAUAACCUGUUGACCAUUCAUUUCAAUACAAAUUAGCUUUGGCUAAAUCAAAAAUAAAAUUUACCACAUAAUUCACACUAUGACCAGUUUGCAUUUAAAUAAAAAGCAAUAAGAAAGCAAUGAAUGUAUUAGAGCUGAAAAUAAUAUCCUGGACUUGAGACCACCUUAUUCGAUUAAGUUUACCUCCAUCCCUUGAGUAAAACAGGUUAACUACUUAUAGACAUGUCUGAUUACAGGUUAGGCUCUAACACCAGAUAAAUUCAUCCCCAAGAUGAAGUUCUUCGACUAGGUUAUAAACAGGACAAGCUUUGGUUGGAUAAUGUUAGAGAACAUGCAAGUAUGGGGCUGCACAUCCAUGAAUGAGAGGGGGUGUAAGAGAGCAUGUUUAUUUCCCCAAUUUAUUGAGCUCAAAGGAGGUUGUUUGCAAUUUGUUUGCCUAUGGACUCGUCUAUUUCUCCAUGUAUAGGAAUAGAGCCACACAUGGAAGAGGAUGCUAGAACACAUACAGGUAUGGGGCCUCUCAUGUGGCCUACAGGCCUAUUCAUCUCUCCAUGUGUGGCUAUGAGGCUACACAUGAGGGAAGGUAUUGGAGAACAUAGUGGAAUGGGACUACAUGACCCCCAUGGUUUGUCUAUCUCUCGUCAUACAAAUAUGAGGUCACACAUGAGGAAAGGUCUUAGAAAGCAUAUACUUAUAGGGCCACACACACCCACAACUAUUAGGAAAAUUGGUUGUCCAAAUAAGUAGUUUUAGAGCACUACUCUAUCAAUUACCAACUCUAGAUAUACAUUCAAAUCAUUAUACGUUUUUUACAUAUCAAACACUUGAAAAUCACUGUAGAAAACAAACAAAAUGAAUUGAAAAUGAUAUUCCCAAUUCUUAUUUCAUUCAAACAGUAAUUUAGUAAAUCAUUGAUGAUACAAAUAAACCAACAAUACUAAUUUGACGAUACAAAAACAUAAUAUCUUUGACCAAUGAUUUUGAAGACUAUACACUAAAGGAAAUGUGUAAUAGAAGUUUAGCUUUCAAAAAACUAAAAUUUUCCAAAUUCUAUGAAGCACAUUGGUAUAGAAAACCCAAAGAGUUAGGAAUUAACUUUAAUUGGCAUAAUCAUCAAUUUUCUUAAGAAAAAAGCAACUGAACUUGGUUUCCAUGCAGAUAUUUAGAGUUUGGUUUAUCCGAUUACUAUUAAAGAGCAAUUCCAUUGCAAGUAUCUAUUUGGAUCAUUAAUGGUUUUGAUUGACACUACCAUCAUGGUCCUAGCUUUUCUCUAAGGGGUCAUUUAGAUGAGAGGUGCAAAAGAAGGGAUUUCAAGAUAAAUAGAAUUUGGCAUUAUCUUCUUCCAAAUCCAUAGAUCUCAGUAUUUAAGACAAAGAUAUAGAGCCAUAGACAAUUACCCCAUCCACCAUUUUUUCUAAACCAUCACUAUAGCCACCAACACUCCUAUCACUAUGCCAUCUUCACCACUACUUAUGUAACCACCACCACUAACACAUUAGCUCUAUUACCAAAUCACACCACCCCAUUGUGUCAUUUUUAUUUUUUCUUAUAAUUGAGGAACCGUCCAUGGCCAAGCCCUUAGGACUCUCCAUGGGGACCCAUUGUGUCAUUGCCAUGACAAUAAAUCAAUAAUAACACUACCAGGAAAAUGCUUUUCAUACCAUAUUUAUUAUCAUCUUUAUUACAACCUACUCGUGUGGUAAGGGAUUGUUGGAUGUGAAAAGAAAAAAACCAAAUAAAAAGACAUUUUUACUUAUUUUAUUCAUUAGCAUCUUUUCUACAUAUCCAAUAACCACCUGCUACAUUCGGCAAUGGUAAAAGAAGUGUUAUAGAAAAUGUUAAUGAUAGCAUCAUCCCCAUUGCUACUACCAUUUCAUCACCAGUACAACCACAACUACAACAACUCUCAUUGUUUUUAAUAAGUAAAGGCAAUUGUAUUAAAGGAAAAAAUAUACAAAGAAACCAAGGUGCAAGUACACAAAACGACUCUCAUUGUUACAAUGCCACCAUCACCAUCCUAUCAACCUACAAAUUUAUUAACAUCAAACAUAUAGCAGAAUCUUCAAAAGAUCAUUGGCAUUCCAUUCAUUCAAAUACUUGAUCACAGAAUCCUUAAUGUUAAAUCAAAAUCAUCAUUCAAACAACGAUUAAAAGAAAAGCAUUGAUCAGAAUGAAACUUCUAUUUGUUGGCUUAGUUUAAAAUUGUCUUAUUACAUUAAUACAUAAUAAGUAUAUUAGUCAUUUCAUUUCAAACCCAUUUCUAUCAUGAUAUAUUGCAAUGUAUGAAAUGGGUUUGGCUCACUUCAAUUUCCAUAAUCUUUAAAAAAAAAAUCAUUAAAAUCAUUUGGCAUGAGCAAAAAACAAUCAAAAUCUACAAUAUAAUAGGUCCCACAUACACUACCCCCAAUGUACAAAGACCAAUUUAACCACAUGAUUUUAACCAUACAAUUUUUCACAUACUAUUUUCUUUCUAAAUAUCAUUAACAUUUUCCAUCUGUUCAAAUUUUUUUAUAUAAAUCAAUGAAAAUCCAAGGGACAAAAUGAUCAAAUCAAGGUAUCUCAUACAUAGGGUACUAAAUCGUGCUCAUUAGAUCGUGAUUUCAAUUUUUUAUUGUUGAUGACAUUGCUCGAGUAUAAAAGUUGAGGAAACUUCAGAAUAGCUCAUAAGGUGCUGGGCAGUAUGGCAAUCCCAAAUUUGGUUAUGAAGCUAUAUUUAUAGUCAUUUUAAAUUUGGAGGAUGGAACCAAUUGAUUGAUACAAUCUAUCUAAUUCUAUUUAAUCUAUAUGUCACCAGUAGGACUAAUCGUCCUCAAAAGAGAAUUAAUAGAAAAUAUCUACUAAACAAAGAAGAAUCUCUUGGAGGCAACUAACAUAGAAACCUCAAAACAAAAUGAAAAACAAAAGAUGUUGAAGCCUCAAACACAUUUCCAUAAAAAAUUGCCUACAAGACAAGGAAAUUUUUUUAACGAGAUUGUCCUUUCAGAUGAGGCGCACACUUGAAAUCUUAAAAUGGUAUUGUCCUUGUUUCCUAAAUAUUCUACUUAAAUGACUGGAUAGACGAGGAAUAGGAAAAAUCAAAGAAUAGAAUAUUCUCAAAGUAGAUCAAAUAAUAGGUAACAUACACACUAAAUAUUCAACUUAAAUGACUGGAUGGACAAGGAAUAGGAAAAAUCAAAGGAUAGAAUAUUAAAUGAUUAGAUCAAAUAAUAUGUAACACACACACACACAUAUAUAUGUAUAUAUGUAUAUCACAUGUUUCAUCAUUUCAUUUUUUAUAGAAUUAUUCAGGGUGAUGCAACAAAAAUAUAUGAAACUUAGUGCUUUGAAGUAAAUUCCAAAAUAGCAGAAAUAUACUUCUGCUUUUCUGCUGCAUUUCAGGUAAAAUCAUUGUGUGCUUCAUAGUUUCAUUUUUUUGCAGAAUUAUUCAGUGCAAUGGAGCAAAAAUAUGUCAAACUUUGUGCUUUGAUGUAAAUUCGAAGAAAAUAUUUUUUCCAGAAAUGGAGUAGAAAAACAAGUAUCUGAAAUAUGGCAUCAACAAAACAUUCAAAUAGAAUCAUACUGCUCAAAUAACUGCACAGAUAACUGCUUUGCCAAAAUGAGUUUACCUCCUUUGCAGCAUCAAUACUUUUACAAACAAAGGUUCAACCAAACACAUAUUCCAUUGCACUCUGCGACAUUUAUACCAACUUUUGGUAAAGCUAUUAUCCAACAGAAUUUGGUUAAAAGUGCAAGAGAGGUCAAUGCUCAAUUCCCACUACAUAUGCUAUGCAAUAAGAUAAAUAAGGCUUGCCCAUUUUCACAACAAAUAUGUGAUGGAAUCAUAGUUGUGAAAGGCACGCCUAAGGCGCGCCUAGGCUCGGGGCUGUGUGACGCCACCCUCUGGCGCCUAGCCUGAAGGGAGGCGCCGCUUCGGCGCGCAAGGCACGACGCGGUCGCCCGAGUCGCCUCCGAUGAUCCAACCAAGUACGCACUCCUUCUCCUUCUCCUUCUGCUUCUUCUUAUUUCUUCUACCGUCGAGUUGCAGAGAGCCCUAAAUUUUUUUUAAAUUUGGUAGGUCCAAAACGACGUCGUUUUAGAGCCUGUUCCUUUUAAAAAAAAAACAGGCCAAAACGACGCCGUUUUGGCCUGUUCCUCCCUUCCAGCCCCUUUUUCUGUUCUUUCUCAACCCAAGACCACUCCCAUUCGUGCCCUAGCCUCUUCCGUGCUGGAGAAGUGAAGAAGAAGAAGAAGAAGAAAAAUAGGGGGGAAAUAAGAGAAAAAUAAAGGGAAAAUAGUCACGUACCUUCCGCACCUCGGUAUUUUUCUUUUUUCUUCACUUUUCUGCAUUUUUUUCCAUUCUUAUCUCAUAACUCUCAUUGGUAAUUUUUUUUUUAAAUAUAAAUAUUAUAUUUUGAGUUUUUGACAUGAAAAUUUUACAAAAUAAAAAUAAAUAAACAAAAAACACUCAUAUGCAUGUUUGUUGUUAAUGUGAUAACGUGAUAUGCAUUUUUUUUUUUAAUUUUUUUCUUAAUUUAAUUAUAAUUAUUUUAUUGUAGAGUAUAGAUAAUUUGUUUUCAAGAUGGAUAAUGAGAGUGAAACUCAAGUGGACUCUAGUGCAAGUGGACUCUAGUGCAAGUGGAAGAAGAGAUCCCGGGUGGAAAUAUGUUCGUUUGGUUAAUGAAAAAGAUUUGAACACCAUCAUAUGCAUUUUUUGUGAUGAAGUAACCAAAGGAGGCAUAUAUAGACACAAACAACAUCUUGUUGGUGGAUAUAGAAAUGCUAAAAAGUGUAGAAAAUGUCUGGAACAUGUUAGACAAGAAAUGGAAGAGUAUAUGAGUUCCAAGAAAAAUCAAAAAGAGCAAAUGAAUAUGAGGAGCGAAGAUGUUAAUGAAGAUUUGUUUGGUUUGAAAGAUGAAGAUUUUGGUAAGGAGAUUAAUGGUAGAACGAAUGUCACCAACAUUUCUAGUGGAGGUAGUAACCGAGGAGGAAGUGGUGGUAGGACGUUUUCUUCAAAAAAACCAAGACAAAAAGGUCCUAUGGAUCAUUUUUUCACUCCUAAUGCAGAGAUGGUUGUUCAAAAUCGAAUGAGUGGAAAGAUGAAUCAAACUACCAUCAAUGAUGCCUACAAAAAGGAAGCAAGAGAAAGAACUUGUAUGCUUAUCACAAGAUGGAUGUAUGAGGCUGCUAUUCCAUUUAAUGUCGUCACAAAUCCGAGUUUCCAACCAAUAAUUGAGGCUAUUGGCCAAUAUGGUGUGGGUAUGAAGGGACCAACUUUUCAUGAGGUAAGAGUUACUAACCUUAAGAAAGAAUUGGCUCUCACAAAAGAUUUGAUGAAAGAUCACAUGAUGGAAUGGGGGAAAAAUGGAUGUUCAAUUAUGUCAGAUGGAUGGACCGAUAGGAAAGAGAGAACUUUGGUGAACUUUUUGGUUAAUUGUUCAAAGGGAACCAUGUUCAUGCAAUCCAUUGAUGCUUCUUCAAUGAUUAAGACGGGAGAAAAGAUGUUUGAGUUACUUGACAAAUGGGUAGAGCAAGUUGGUGAGGAGAAUGUUAUUCAAGUUAUAACAGAUAAUCACUCAAGUUAUGUGAUGGUAGGUAAUAAAUACUAUUUCUUGAAUUUUUAUUUACUUUUAAAAUUUGAAUUAUUUAUCUUGAGAACUUAUAUAAAUUUAUUAUCUACAAUGUCAUAUAGGGAGGUUGUUAGAAUUAAAGCGCCCACAUUUGUAUUGGACACCAUGUGCUGCACAUUGCCUUGACUUGAUGUUGGAAGAUAUUGGAAAGCUACCAAACAUCAAGAGGACAUUGGAGAGGGUUAUAUCACUAAAUGGGUAUAUUUAUAAUCGCUCAGGACUAUUCAACAUGAUGAGGCGGUUUAUUGGACAAAGGAAACUGCUUAGGCCUGCUAAGACUCGGUUUGCAACUGCUUUCAUCACAUUAUUGCGAUUGCAUGAACAAAAAAACAAUUUGAGGAAGAUGUUUACAAGCUCGGAUUGGUCAAAUAGUAAAUGGGCAAAAGAGCGGAAGGGGAAAACUAUAGCCAACAUAGUUCUAAUGCCUUCAUUUUGGAACACUAUUGUGUUUUGCUUAAAGGUUUUGGGUCCCCUAGUUCAUGUGCUUCGUUUGGUUGAUGGUGAAAAAAAAAAUCCUAUGGGAUACAUCUAUGAGGCCAUGAAUAGAGCUAAGGAUACAAUUGUGAGAAGUUUUAAUGGAAAUAAAGAGAAGUACAAAGAAAUCUUCAACAUCAUUGAUAAGAGGUGGGAGAUUCAGCUUCAUCGGCCUUUGCAUGCGGCAGGGUACUUUUUGAACCCGGAAUUCUUCUAUGAUAAACCAGAAAUAGAGCAUGAUGCCGAGAUUAUGAGUGAUUUGUAUAAAUGCAUCUUAAGGCUAACAAGAGACCCUGCUAAGCAAGAAAAAGUUGUGGCCGAAGUGAGUUUGUUCACAAAUGCCCAAGGACUAUUCAGGAAUGAGUUAGCUGUUAGGAUAAGAAAGACUAGAGCACCAGGUUAGUUAUUUAGUUUUGUUUAUUUAAAUGAUUAGAUUGUAUUUUUGCUAAAAUAGGUGAAUUGUCUCACUAAAUUGUUAAUAUCUAUACUACAGCUGAAUGGUGGGUUGCAUAUGGAGCUUCAGCUCCAAAUUUGCAAAAGUUUGCAAUGAAAGUCCUCAACUUAACAUGCAGUGCAUCAGGUUGUGAACGAAAUUGGAGCAUCUUUGAAAAUGUAAGUGACCAAAUCCAAAAUAAUUACAAAUAAUAGUCUAAUAGAGUCUUGAAUGUAACUUAAAAGUUAAAACUUUAAAAUAUAUUUAUGAGCUUAUGAAUUUUUGCAGAUUCAUAGCAAGAGGAGAAAUAGGUUAGAUCAUCAACGCUUGAAUGAUUUGGUGUACAUUAAGUAUAAUCGAGCCUUGAAGAGAAGAUACAAUGAACGUAACACCAUUGACCCAAUUUCCUUGAAAGAUUUAGAUGAUAGCAAUGAAUGGUUGAUAGGAAGAAUGGAAGAUGAGGAUUCUCAUGGAGGUGCACAAGAUGAUUUUGUAUUUGAUGAUGAUAAUUUGACAUGGGGUGAUGUUGCUAGAGCUACUGAGCUGAGGCAACCAGAUUUGAUACUAGAGCUAGAGCUAGAGCAAGCUCAAGCAUAAUACCACCAACAGGGGGAAUAGCUUCAAGUUCUAGAACUUUGCCUUCUCAUUCACUAAUAGAUGAAGAUGAAGAUGGAGAUAUGGUUGAUUCAGCAGAUGAAGAAGAUGGGGAAGGCUACAAAUGUGGUGAUGGAAAUGAUGAUGAUGAUGAUUUUGUUGAUUUAGAGGAGUGAUGAUUGCUUGUUGUGGACAAAUUUGUUAUUUAAGUGUUUUUUAAUGAUGUUUUUGAAUUGUGGACAAAUUUCAUGUUUUGGACCUUUAGGUUUGAAAACUUUGGAUUUGGAUAUGUAUUAGGCUAUUAGCAAUAUGGAUUUGGAUUUGUUUUUAUGCUUGGAGUUCUUUAUUUUUAUGUUUUUUGUUUAUUAAAUUGAAGUUUUGGAUGAUAUUUGAUGAUUUAUGUGUUUAGGACAAAUAAAUGAUUGUUAAAUUUGAUUAUAUUAUAUAAAAAUAUAUAUGUAAAUUAGGGUGCGCCUCACUUCACUCAAACCCACGCCUUAGAUGCGCUUUGCGUCUUGGUGCGCCUUGAGCCUUUUAAAACUAUGGAUGAAAUUAUGUCCAAGCACUAAAAUUUCUAGUAACAUGGCAAUAUACAAACAUUUCAUAAUGCGCAACAUUCAAUGAUGAGGUUCAACAUCAUGCAUACCUUCAGUUCCUCAUCAUAUCCAACCAAAGAAAGAGCCAGUUCUGUAUUCUCCUUACCAACCUGAAGAUGCCAAAUAAUAAUAUUUGAACCAUGGCUGACAGACUGAAACCAUUAAAUUAUGGAGAAAACUAAGUGCAUUGACUAACCAAUCUGGAAGCUGCAUUGACUAAGAAACUUCUGCACCACGUCCAGCUUAAGAGCACAUUCCUAAAAAGCAUUAUGCAAUCUAAAAAGUAAAAGUGUGAUCAAAUUAGGAUUCAUAUAUCAUUUAUGUAGUGUUGGCAGCCAUUUGGGGAAGAGCACACUAACCUUUUGUAAAGCUUCCAUCUGACCUUUGUAUGUAAGAGAUUCCAAUGCCAUUUUGAUAUUUUCCACAUCCUUUCUCCUCACAUUAAGCUCAUUCUCAACAGAAACAGCUUCUUCACGCUUAGAUAUUGACUCAUUUGUUUUCUCUUUCAGCUCUUUCUCACGAUGAGUUAUUUUUGUGUUGAGCUGUUUCAAUUCUGUUUCUGCUCUCCCAACUGCUACUUUUGCAUCAGCUAGUUGAUCUUCAAGGCAUUUUUCCUCACUUCCACUGCUCUUACCGGCUAGAACACCCUAUCAUGGUAUGUACAACAUCUCUUCUAUAUUCAGCUCAGCUUGCCUAUAAAUGAGAGCAAUAACAAAGCCCAUCAAGUUCAAUAGCAGAAUGAGAUAUAUUAGAACUUUUUUUACCUGGUACUCUUUUUCACACUCUUCCAAAUUCUUAGAAAGUCCCUCAACUCUUUGUUUUAGAUCAACUGCCCCAUCUUCAGCCCUUUUGACAACAGAGGCCCUCUCUUCACAGACUGUUUUAAAUCUUCAAUACCUGUAACAAUCUAGUAACAUCAACACAACUAAAUGUGAUAUUCCAUACAACUCACAAUAACAGCAGAAAAAUAUUAGUACAAAACACAAAAAGCAAACUUUCAAAAAACAAAAGCUAGUGGAAAGCAUGCAAUGCUUGCAACCAAGAGAAAACAUAUCUUUAUUUUUUUGGUGCCAGGCUCUAGUUACCUUUUCAGCAUUCUCUUUUUCACUCCUGAGAGUGUCUUCUUGAUUUUUCAGUACUGAUGCUUGCUUCACAAGCUCACGAGAAAGAGCAUCUAUGUUCUCUGAUAAAACUUUUACCUCUCCGCCCAGACUUGCCUUCUUUUCAGCAGUCAAGUUUGACACUUGUGUCUCCAUUUCCUGUAUUUCCACCUGCAUCCUUUUGUGACUCUCUUCGAUAUCAGCAGUCUUUGUCUUUACUUGUUCAACCCCAGAGACUGCACUGUCCCUAAUCUUCUCUGCCUGAACAAAUUCAUAGGCAAUGCAGAACCUUUUAAGUCAAUCUAAUUCUGCAAUGCCAUUAGCCCAUUGCAUAUACUGCAUAUGUUCUUUCCUCAACUUCUCCAAAGCAAGCAAUAUCUCCUAGUCAAGAAGAUUAUCAAUCUCAUCAACUUUGCUCUACUUCUUCUCAAGUGUUUUCAGAGCAGCCUCUUCUUUUUUUCAUACAUUCUUGUCCCAGCAGCCUCUUCAAGCAUAGAUAAAAUCCCUGGAGGUUUCAUGUUUAAGACCUUCGUGAUGCGCCCUUGCAUUAUGAGAAAAUGUGGGUUGUUAACAUUGAGCUGUACAGAGUGGAAAGGGUUUUGAACUCAACUAGGCUGGGCAAGGUGUCUAUUUAUUAGGUAUUUGUUCCUUCCACCAACCACAAUCUACCAAGUAAGCAAACAAUUCUAGACUAAGUUGGAAUAAAAGCAAUGCAUUGACGGUCCAAAAGGACAUUAGCAUAGCACUAGUUGGAGCAAACCGAUUAUAAGGUGUAUUACAUAUGCUACCACAUAAAAGUGACAAUUAACUUUUGGAAAAAUAUGUGACAUGACUUAAUGCUGAUUAAUUUUGGUAAUAUGUGACAUGACUUAAUGCUGAUUAAUUUUGGUACCAAUUUGCCUUGGAAAAUAAAGUCAUGAUCCAAACAGUAAUAGAAUAGAAUUCUUGUUAUUUAGUAAAUCCUGAAAUUAUUAUUUUGUCUUCUUUUUUUCCAAUUUUUAUGUUUUUUACCAUCUAGAAUGAAGCCAUCCACAGAAGAAGCAAAAUAGUUUUAAAAAGUCAUAAGAAUUUGAUCAGUUUUUAACACCCUUAAAGAACAAUGUUUAUACCAGAGUGAAGAGAAAAAACUAGACUAAGUUCUUAUGUUAUUAAAAAAAAUAAAAAUAAAAAGGAAAAAAUAAAAAGGAAAAAAUAAAAAAGAUAAGAUUUGUCCUCCAUUUAGUUGCUGAGAAAGGUAGGAAAACAAAACAUCGGAUAAAAUUUUGAAUCUUCAUGUUCCAUUACUAAGGACCGUGGAUCUGCAAACCUCACCCAACUCAAUGUACCACAACUGUUCAGCUUACUUAGGAUAUUUUUCAGUUGCAGACACAAACACCACAUAAACAGGAUAUUUGCCUCUCGUCUCAGCAAGCAAACAGGAAGUUCUUGAAAUUACCAAAAACUAAAAAGAAAAAUGAGAUAAUUUCAUUUGUUGCGAGUUUAAGCACCACAAAAAAAAAUUGGCUGUGCCCGAAAGAUUGGCCUGUUUCACAUCAUGGGUAACCAAAGAAGAAAGAAAGAAAGAAAGAAAUCCAAAAAGUAAAAAACUAAUUACACUGAAAACAGGCUUAAAUCAUAUCCAAAGGAUCAUGCAAUUUCUAAAUACAAGCAAACAUGCUUCAUAAUUUCACCCAUAUUAAGCUUUCUUCUUUCAAAUUUGAACAAUCUAAAACAUACAUACCAAAAAAAUAACAUAACAUUACAUAAUAGUAUAACAAUACUUCUCAACAGUUCCCCAGCAACCAAACAGGACAUCUUUCUUUUUCAUUUUAAUGCAGUUGUCAAAAUGGCUAUAAAAUACACUAAAAAACUAAAAAUCAGUGCGAACCCCACACACCUGCCGUAUUUUCGUAAUUUCUGGACAAUCCUGGUAGCCGAGCGGACUCCGACUCCUAUCAGAAUUAUCAAACACCACCGACACGGUGGCCUUGGUAAUCCCAGCUUGGCCUUGCUUAUAGACCAGCUUCUGGAGAUUGGAAGCCAGAACCUGCCGCAAAUUGGUAAUGCCCAACACAAAGCAGAUGGAGUCAAGAAUGUUGGACUUGCAGGAACCAUUAAGGCCGGUGAUGGCAUUGAAGUAGGGAUCGAAGCCAGGGACGACCGUGCGAGUGGCGUAGGAUUUGAAGCCCUCCAAGCAGAUGUCCUUUAUGUACAUUAUUGGGAUGAAAUUGAAACCCUAAGGGGGAGAGCUGAAGAGAGUGGUUUCGGAGAUGGAUACCCUAGAGUUCGAGAGAGGGAGUGGGGAUUUUGGAGGGCUUUUGAAAUGAAUGUCUCUUUAUUUCAAAGGCGGGAAAUGACUGGAUUUUUAUUUUUAAUUAAAAUAUUAUAUAAACAAAGUAUAACUGUUAACACGUCAGCGGGGAUAGGUCAGUUGGGAGAGCGUCUUACAUUAUUUAUCCUUUUACUUCUCUAUUUUCUAUGAGGCCCAUCAUUAAAUUCCUUUUUUCCUUUUCUUUUUUUUAUCACACUUGAUAAUAUUUAGGAUUUUUUUUUCAAAUUUGAGUUUUUAAAUAAAAUUUUGUUCUCAAAAAUUAAGUAGGAAUUUUUAAAAAUAAAAUUUUUCUACAACUAUUUUCAAGAAAAUUGUUAAACUACAUGCUCAUUUGAUCAUGUCUUAUGAUGUUUGUUUUUAAAAAUUAUUAAUUUUUAUAUUACAAGUCAGCACUGGUACGUAAUAGUCACAUUGAAUGUUUAUAUAAUAAAAUGUUUCUCUAUUGUCAUUUCGAGUGACAAAAUUCCACAAAUUGAAACAUUCAAUAUACAAAAUAACUACCCGUGCAUAUAGUUAGUUCUCUUAUUUAUUUUUUCAUAAAAUAUAAAAAUAAAAUAAAAUAAAAUGAAAAUUAUUUAAAGUGUCUCCAAUAAUAAAUAGCAAUGUAGUGUUAUUUUUAACAUUGAUAAUUGUUUUUCAUAACAAAUGCCAAAUUUUGAUGGAUACUUCAAUAACAAAUGUUAAAAAGAAUGUUUUGUUUUAGUGUUAAUACCAUAAUUUUUAAAGCUUAAAAAAAACAAAUGAUUGAGUUUGAAUUUAAUUUUCAUUUUCUUUUUGUUCUCAUUUCCCUCUUUAUUGCGUCUCUACUUUUUUUUCUCUAUACUUUCCCUUCUAUUUUUUAUAAUUCAAAGAAAACUUGGAUGUGAUUUUUCUUUUAUAAAAUAAAAGAUGAUUUAUGCUCUAGCGCCAAAAAACAAUCUAAAAGUCUAUUUGAUAUAUAUAUACAUUGCAAUUGAACUUUUAAAUUAAUUUACUACCAUUUAUUACAAAUUUCUCAAGUGCUACUACUUGUAGAAUAAUAUAAAAGUCCAUUAGACCUUGUGAUUUAAUAACAGUUUUCUAUUUUUAAAAAUAAAAAAUUAUUUUUUAAAAUUUAUAAUACGAUUUGACCGUUGUUAUCUGAAAACAAUUUUUAAAAACAAAGUAAAAUAUAGAAUUAUUUUUAAAGAAUAAGUAGGAGUUGUUUUCAUUGGUUUAAAAAAAAAACAUGAGCCCAUUUUGUCAUAUUUUUCAAACUUAUUUUUAAAAAUUGUUUUUAAGUUAUAAAAUAAAAAAUAAAUUUUAAAAAUAAGUUUUAGAAAAUAUAAUUAAAUUUUUAGCCAAAUUCCACUCAAUAUAAAUAUGAGCUUUUCUCAAAAUAAUUAAUUACAAUUCCCGACCCAAGGUGGGCUCAAAGCAUAAGCCAAGUUGGGCUUAGGAUUAAACUUGAUCUAAAAAUUAAAUUUCUAAUUGGAUAUAUGACUUGUUGGGCCUUGUUACGGCCAACUGAGCCCAAGCCAAGGCAAUCACUUAAGGUUGAAGAUGGGACAUUAUAUUAGCCCAUUCCACAUCAGAACUCAUAAGCUGAAGUCCAAGGUUGGUUCAAAAAAUUGGGGCUUGAGAUUGGGUGUUGCAACAUCUUGGACAUGGGCAUCUAUCCCCACCUGGAAAUUAUUGCUCACCAUAUUUAUGUUAUAAAAGUCUAUAAUGGUUUUGGAAAUUCUAUCCUUAUUCCUCCAUUUUUUUUACUAGCAAAUAAAAUAAAAAUUAUAUUUACAUUCGUGUAAGGAUUUAAUAAUAUCAGCAAAUAUACAUGUCGAUUUGAUAGGGUGGUGGGUCAUUGAAUCAAGUUAAGUCAAAUCGGAUUUAGCUAGUCAACAAGUUAUAAUUACAUUUUACAUCAAUUUAAUGAGGAAUUUUGUAUAAAAAUAAAAUCACAUUAAAUCAACUUACUAUCUCUUGUAGUUGAUAUACAUUUAAUAAGGAAUUGAUUGUCAAAUUUAUAAAAGUCAUAUUUUAAUGGGCUAAUAUUUGAAAUUAUAAUAAUUUCAUUAAACAUAUCAACUUUUAAUGUAAGAGAAAAAGGCCUCCAUUAGAAAUAGUAUCAUUAUUCUUGCUCAUACAUAUGAAAACUCUUACUAAGAUUAAAGAGGAGCUUUUAGUUUCAAAGAAGAAAAUCCAAAAUAACAUUUGGCUCUCCUUAGUCUUAUGGAAAAUUUUAUUUCAUAGGAGGAAAAGGAGUUACUAUGUUUUAAAAUUUGGAAAAAAAAAAUUAAAAAGUUACGAUUUAUAAGUUUUAGAGUAUUUUGAAAAGUUAACUUUUCUAACAUAGUAUAUUAGCCGAGUAGUGCCCAAUACUUCUAUUUUCAAAUUAUUUCUUAUCACUCAACACACAAAGUCAACAAACUUCAUUUUCCUACAAAUGAAAUGAACAUCAAAAUUAGAAAAGAAAAGAAAAAACCAGCAUAUUGGUUUUAUAAAAUAAUAAGUGGAAACAAUCUUGCUUUAUUUUUGACAAAAUAAUAACUUGAAUAUUUGAUUUGGUUGUUUUGAUGUAGAUCCAAGAAGUUAAGGAUAUGCCUUUAAAAUGGAGUGAUUAAGGGUUAUAGGUAGUCAUGCUUGAUUCUUCCUCAAAGUUGUUAAACCACCUCUGAAGUUGUGAUGAUUUUGGUCUAACAAGUUAAAAAUUAGCACUUACGAUUAUGUUUGGUUUUGUCAUAUUACUCAAUACAAGUUUAACAUGUGUCAUAUCCUUCAUCAAACUCAUUGAAGAACAUUUUAAGUUGUCUUAGAUUUUGGAGUUUUUUUAGGUCUCUUGUUGUAUUUCCCUGAAGAGACCAAUAUUUAUGGGUGGAGUUUGGAUACCUUAUUUGGCAUCCUAAGAUUUGAUUUUAUUGAUUCUAAAAAUUUAAUUCAUUGAUUGCAUUACUUUGUCUUUUCUUAGAUGACAUUUUACUACUGCCAACAAGAGAAUAAAUCCUCUUAAUUUCCUAUAAUUUGAUUUGAUUUUCUUUUGCAAGGUAAUUUUCUUCCAUGAGGCAUUUUUAUGUAUGGUUUCACAAAAUGAUAUGAAAGUGCUUCUAUAGUCUAGUGAUAGUUAUUGAUUUUAUGGUUUAACAAAAUGAUGAAUAUUGAAAAUUAUGGAUAGCCAAGUGGUAUUCCACCUUAUAAUGUCAAUCUCUUAAUUAUUGUAUGAAUACUUUUGCUUUAGGAUAGUAUUUCAUAAAUUUAAAGAGCUUUUGAUAUAGUAUUGAAGAAAAAUUGCAUUAACAUGGAACACAAUCAUAUAAGGUGAAUUAAAGGGGUUUAAAAGUAAAAUAUGGAAUUCUUUUAUUUAUUAACUUAUUAAAUUUUUAUCUUUUACUAAGAAAGAGAAUAAAUUGGAGAAUGGUUAAGAACAAACGGAGUUCAAAUUUUACUUUUUAUUUUCUAUUUUCUUUUACCUUCUAAAAUUUUCUUUUAUUUUUUAUUUUAAUUUUUUAGUCCAUUCAAUUUGAGAUAGCUAGAUAAAUAUAGUAUCAUCAUAAUCAUAUAUGUAUAUUUAGGUUGUUUGUUAUUGGGACUUUUACUAAAUUUGUAUACUUUACAUUAAGAUCUAGCAUUUCUUUACAAUGGUCUUAUAUAUUAGGUAAAAAAAAUUAUUUUAUAUAAAUAUUUUUCAAAAAGUAUUUGCAAAAUGUCUUACGUGAAAAAAACUCCAAGAACUCAAUACUCUUGUUAAAAGAAUUUAUAAAUACACAAUCUUGUAACUUUAUAGGUUAUAAUAAGACCUAGCAUUUCAUGAGGAGGGAGAAUUUUAAAAAAUUGUCGGUGGUUGGGCAAAAGAACUUAAAAACUUUAUGACUAAUAAGCUUUGUAAAAGUUAAACAAAAAGCAAGUCUUAGUUGAUUGACUUGACUCUAAAUCAUUUAAAAUCUAAUGAUUUUGCCAAAAAAAAAAAAAAGAGAGAAAAAAGAAAAAAGAAAAAAAUGUGACCUUAAAAGCAAAUACAACUAUAGUUCUAAAAUUUUAUUUCCAAAAUAUAUCUUCUUGUGAGGAUACAAAAUUGACUCUAAAGAAUUAAUAUAGUUUCAUAUUAAGUGUAUCUAUGUCCAAGAUUUUUUUUUUUUUUUUUUUUCUAAAUAAUGCAUUGUUUUUUAUAUUAAAAAGAAAAAAAAAACCUUUUAAUGUCAAUCUCUUAUUUUAUAAAUAAUUUUACUUUACAACAUAAUACUAUAAAUUUUAAAAACCUCUAAUUUAAUAUUGAAGAAAAAUUGCAUUUGCAUGUACACAAUCAUAUAAUAUAAAUCAAGAGGGUACAUAAGAAGUAAAUACCAAACACACGAGCAUAAGAAAAGGUGAAGAAGUAUAUAAAUUAAUAAAAUGUUUAAUGAUUAUUAUUAUGUAAUUGUGUCCUUUAAACAUUAUUAAUUUUUUAAUGGAAUCAUACAAAUUUUCUUUUUUGUAUAAAGGUAAACACAAACAUUGAAUUUUGAAAAAAAAAAAAAAAUUCAAGAAGCAUUUGCAAACAUUUUUGCAUGUAAAAAAAAAUCCUAGAUGUUGCAACUUAUAUUAAUUAGAUAAUUACCACGUUGUAUGUUAGACUUGACAAUUUAAGUAAUGAAAAUUUGAUGAAAACUUUAUGCUUGAUAAUACAUUCCCUAACAUUAUUAGUGGUGGUAAUCUUGUAACAUACGAUAAUUAGACUUGAUAAUGCAAAUUAACACCAAGUACCAUGAGAAAAUAAAGGAAAAAUGAGUGUCUCUCGUGUUUGUAGGUGAUAAAAAGUUAUUAAAUGAAGAACAAUAUUUAUAUUUUUUUAAUUUUCAUAAAUUUUCUUUUCAUUAUAGUAGAAUGCAUACCAUCCUACAAGAUAAAAUAAAUGUAAAAUUAGGGAAAGAUUAACAAGCAAAGUUGAAUGGAAGUAAUAUAUAAGUCUUGCUUUACUUGUAGUGGUCUUCUUUUUAAUAUAUUUUGUGCUUUAUAUGCCAUUGACUUCAUGAGAUGUUUCAAUUAAUUAUUUAUGAAUUAAAGUGUGUGGGAAGAGAAAGGCUAAUAUGCUUAUUGAAAACAUAGACUUUGGACAAUUAUCUUAUUUUUUUCUCUCUUUCACACAUGGUAGUGGUGUUUACUCAUAAAUUUUUUGAUGUUCUUUAGUAGGUAGAGAUAUUGUCAAGUCAAGUCAAUUGAUAUUGAAAACAUAGACCUUGGUUAAUUAUCCAUUUUAUUCUCUUUCACACAAGGUAAAGGUGUACAUUGAUAUUUCUGUCUUUUGCAAAGGAUACAUUACCUUUUUCUUUUGUGAGUUUUUUCGAGUCAAGUCAAUAGAUCCAUGGGUGGAGGAGAAAAAACAAACUAACAAACAUGGACCUUAGACCAUUACUUUUUUCUCUUUCACACGUGAUAGUGGUCUUAGUUCACAAUUUUUUCUAUGUCCUUUGAUAAGGGUAGGGACUCUUCAUUAUUAUCUCUCAUGUUGUUAGUUUCCAUCUUUAAUAUCUUACAUGCUAUCUUAUUCCAUCUUUAACUUGUAGUUUGGUGGCAAGUCUAUUUAUUGUGACUUGUAAGUCAAGUAUUUGGAAAAUUUGAGAUUCUUUUUAGCAAGACUAUUAAGUCUUGAAUUUAUUCUUUCAUAAAAAUUCUCUAUAGAAUUUAAGUAAAAAAUUUAUGUAAAAUAUAAAAAAAAAUUUAAAGAAAUGAAAUAUUUUGAAUACACAUAACAACAUAUUUGUGGGAAAAAGGAAAAGAGUGAUAAAUAGUGAUUAAAUGAAAAUAAAUAAAUAUAAAAAUGGGGGGAAAAACAAUAAGAAAAGUUGAACAAAAAGUAAUAUACAAGUCUUGCUUUUUUAGAAAAGUAAAGUUGAAUUGUGGAUGUCCCAAUUCACUAGCUUGACUUCAAAAGCUAAGAUGCAAUGAUGCUUUAUGCCCUUGAGAUCAUGAGAUGUUUUAAUUCAUUACUUAUGAAUUAAAGAAUUAGGUAGACCUAGAAGAAGGUAAAGACUAAUAUGGUUAUAUGGUUGUUAAAAAGUUAAAAAAAAAAAAAAAAAAAACCUUUGCUUUGGGGACAUUUCCUAGUUGAUUGACUUGACUUUGAACUAUUAUACAAAAGAACUUCAAAAAUAAAAAUAAAAAUAUAGCAAAAUAAGAAAUGUAGUUGUAUAAUUAAAUACAACUAUAGUUCUAAAAUUUUAUUUCCAAAAUAUAUCUUCUUGUGAGGAUACAAAAUUGACUCUUAAGAAUCAACGGAGUUUCAUGUAAAGCAUAUCUAUGUCGAGGAAUUUUUUUUUUCUCAAAUGAUGCAUUGUUUUUUAUAUCAAAAAAAAAAAAAAAAACCUUUUAAUGUCAAUUUCUUAUUUUAUAAAUAUUUUUUCUAUACAACAUAACACUAUAAAUUUAAAAAGCCUCUAAUUUAAUAUUGAAGAAAAAUUGCAUUUGCAUGUACCCAAUCAUAUAAUAUAAAUUAAGAGGGUAUAUAAGAAGUAAAUACUAAAGACAUGAGCUCAAGAGAAGGUGAAUAUGUACAUAAAUUAACAAAAAAUUUAAUGAAUAUAAUUAUAUGAUUGUGUCAUUUAAACUUUAUUGAUUUUUUUAAUGGAAUCACACAAAUUUUCUUUUCUUGUAAAAAAGUAAACAUUGGAUUUUUAUAACAAGAAAUAUUUGCAAAUAUUUUUGCAUGUAAAAAAAAUCCUAGAAGUUUACACUUUUACCAAAGAAUCUACAAAUACAUCAUCUUGCAACAUAUUAAUUAGAUAAAAUUAUUACUUUGUAUGUUAGACUUUAUACUUUAUACUUGAUAAUACAUGCUUUAACAAUUUGGUAAAUUUUUUUAUUAAUGGUAGUCUUGUAAGAUAUGAUAAUUAGACUUCAUAAUGCAAAUUAACACCAAGUACCAUGAGAAAAUAAAGGAAAAAUGAGUGUCUCUCGUGUUUCUAGGUGAUAAAUGGUGAUUAAAUAAAUAACAAUAUUUAUUUAUUUUUUAAUUUUCAUAAAUUUUGUUUUCAUUAUAGUGGCAUGCAUACCAUCCUAGGAGAUAAAAUAAAUGUAAAAUUGGGGAAAGAUUAACAAGAAAAGUUGAAACAAAGUAAUAUAUAAGUCUUGCUUUACAUGUAAUGGUCUUCUCUUUAAUAUAAUUUAUGCUUUAUAUGUCAUUGAGUUCUUGAGAUGUUUCAAUUAAUUAUUUAUGAAUUAAAGUGUGUGGGAAGAGAAAGACUAAUAUGCUUAUUGGAAACAUAGACUUUAGACAAUUAUCCUAUUUUUUUUUCCUCUUUCACACAUGGUAGUGGUAAACACUCGUAAAUUUUUCCAUGUCGUUCUUUAGUAGGUAGAGAUAUUGUCAAGUCAAGUCAAUUGAUAUUGAAAACAUAGACCUUGGUCAAUUAUCCCUUUUCUUCUCUUUCACACAAGGCAAAGGCAUACAUUGAUAUUUUUUAGUAGGUAGAGAUAUUGUUAAGUCAAGUCAAUUGAUAUUGAAAACAUAGACUUUGGUCAAUUAUCCAUUUUCUUCUCUUUCACACAAGGUAAAGGCAUGAAUUGAUAUUUCUAUGUCUUUUGCAAAGGAUACAUUACCUUUUUCUUUUUUUUGAGUUUUUUCGGGUCAAGUCAAUAGAUCCAUGGGUGGAGGAGAAAAAACAAACAAACAUGGACCUUAGACCAUUACUUUUUUCUCUUUCACACAUGAUAGUGGUCUUAGUUUAUAAAUUUUUCUAUGUCCUUUAGUAAGGGUAGGGACUCUUCAUUAUUAUCUCUCAUGUUGUUAGUUUCCAUCUUUAAUAUCUUACAUGCUAUCUUAUUCCCUCUUUAACUUGUAGUUCGGUGGCAAGUCUAUUUAUUGUGACUUGUAAGUCAAGUAUUUGGAAAUUUUGAGAUUCUUUUUAGCAAGACUAUUAAGUCUUGAAUUUAUUCUUUCAUAAAAAUUCUCUACAAAAUUUAAGUAAAAAAUUUAUGUAACAUAUAACAAAAAUUUAAAGAGAUGAAAUAUUUUGAAUACAUAUAACAACAUAUUUGUGGGAAAAAGGAAAAGCGAGAUAUUCUAAUCUUACUUUCUUAUCCCUUAUUUUUAAGAAUGUUCCAAUUAAUUGCUUUAGAUAAAACAUGUUUUCAAAGCAGAUGGACGUAGAAAAAUUAAAGUUCUGUGAAAUCAUGAAAAAUAGGAAGGAAAGUACAAAGGAAAAAAAAGAAGGAAAAAUAAGGAAGGGAAAAGAAAGAAAAACAAAGAAAGAGUUGAACAAUUUUUUCUCACACACUUUCAAAUUUAUGUUUGUACUUUUCUUUUUAUACAACUAAUAAAGAUUUGAAGAUGCUUAAAUAUUUAUAUAAUUUUUAUUAUAUUUAUUUCUCUUUCUAUCAUACAUCCAACUAGAGAAUUUAGACUUUUUUAACUUUAUUUUUAUUUUUUUAUAAUAGUUUCCAGGAUCUGAGUGGUAUCUAAAAUAUCUUAAUAUUGCACAUACUUCAAAAAAUUGUUUUAAUUUUUUCCCAUCUUCUUUGCUUGUUGAGCACUAACAAAACAUACUGUUGAACACAUGUUGUCCCAAUCUUAGGGUGUAAUUAUUUGAAAGAUGGUAUUCAGGUCCACAAGAAUAGUAGCCACUUUAAAGAUGCAUUGAGGUCCACUAAAAUGAUAGCCACUUUAAAGAUUUAUUUUAGGGGUCUUCAUAAGUCUCUUUUUUAUUGUCAUUUUUCUUUUGGUGAUCUUAGUAGAGUUUUAAAUAAAUAUGUUUUUCCGAACCUAAAGAAAUAGUAAAAUCUUAUAUUAAGAUAAAUAACAAGGAUCCGACCAAAUUUUAUUGAAGUGACAUGUUAUUUUAUUACAUAAUAGUUGGAAUGCCUUAUAAUUGGUAUUCUUAUAAAAUUUUAUAUUUUAUAUUUAAAAUCUUCUAUUUCUUCAAUUUUUUUUAUAUAUUAGACUAAAAAUUUUAAGUACUUACUGAAAAUUUCAUAUGAAAAAAAAAUCUUAAAUGUCUACAAUGUUGCUAAAAUAGUUUCAUAAAAAUCUUAAAUGUUAAGGCCUUGUGUGUUGGAAUCAAAUGAUUUGGUAUUAAUAGUAAUUUACUAGAAAUAUUUUAUUUCAUUCACUACAACAAAAAUAAUUUAUGGUGUCACUUUUAAAAUAAUGACACCAUAUGACUUAAAAUUCAUAAAGGUGACACAUCAUAUAAAAAUUUUUAAUUAGGAUAGGUGAUAUUAAUUUUAAGUUUAGUGUCAGUUUUAAAAAAGUGACACCAUAUAAAAUAAAAUUUUUAAAAUAUUAUAACUAAAUGGGCCCACUUUGAGAAUAAUGAUUGUAUAUAAAAAAAACUCAUUGUUUCCACAUUCCCACAAUCCAAAAAAAUCUCAUUCCAUAACCCAUAACCAUAACUUUCUUCUACCUCUCUUCUCACACCCAUAGUUCACACACAACUGCUCUUCUCUACUUCAUGAACUCUCAGGUAACCCAAAAUCUCUUAGAUCUAUCAUUUUCUUUUUUUUUUCUUUUUUUUUAUUAAUACCAAAAUCUUCAUUAGCACAACUGAUUUACAUUCAUUGAUUUGGUAUAUUUGUAAUGUAGAUUGUGUAAAUAGUGUUUUUUUUAUUGAGUUGUAGGAAAGUAAAAAUUAGGCUUAACAUUCCACUAUAUCUUUUGUUUCAUUGUUAAAUCCAUAAACCCCAAAACGAAUGAAAAUAAGAUAAAUGAAUGAUUUUUUAAUAUCUUUCAUACUCAAAAUGAGGGAUAAACAUUUUACAGUAUGAAAUUUUCUUUUGAUCUUACAAGAAAUUUCUUUUGAUGAGAUUUUAUGUUUGUUUUCUAGGAAUAUUAUAGUAUAUUGUGAUGAGGAUAUGUAUCGGUGAUAUUUGACAAAUAAUUUUUUAGAAAAUUAUUCUCAAUAUUGUCAUCUCCCACAAAAGGAAAAAUGAAAUAGUUUCCAUAUCAUGUUGGAGUUGGUUUAGAAUGUUGGAAUUAACAAUGAGAAAUUAAUUUUAUUUUCUAUUUAUUAAUGUAAAUGAAUUGUUCUUUAAAAUUUAAAUAGGAAUGAAAAUUUUUAUAAUUAUAAAAAUGAUCAAAUCUCAUAUUUUGAUUUUUUUUUUUUAAUUCUUUUACAUGGUAUUAUGGUUAAUAUCUCAUCUUGUUCUAUUCAUUUAUUUUUUUAAUCCUUAAAAUAUUUUUUUGUUUUUUAUUUUUACCUUCUUUUCUUAUUGUUUUUAUAUGUGUUCACCAAAAUUUAGAGUAAUUUGAGAUUGAUGAUGAAAUUUCUCUUUCAAGGUUAAAAAAUUUCUAUAAAAUCCUUUUAUUACAUAAAUUUUCCUUCCAUAAUUUUUGAGAAAAUUAUUCUCAAUAUUGUCAUCUCCCUCAAAAGGAUUCUAAAAAUUUGUUUUUUUUUUGUCUUCUUUUCUUAUUGUUUUUAUAUGCAUUGACCAAAUUUUGGAGUAAUUUGAAAUUGAUGAUGAAAUUUUCCUUUCAAGGUUAGGAAAUUUCUAUAAAAUCCUUUUAUUACAAAAAUUUUUCCAAUCCCUUCCAUAAAACUCUUCAUUUUCUUCAUUUUUCUUUUUUCUAAAAAGAUAUUUGAUAAUUUAUUGAUCUAAAGAUUAUCAAAAUUAAAAUCUAAAAUAUUGAAUAUCUUUUCCUUUGAUGUUUUUAAUCUUUUAUUAUUUUUAUUUGAACAUAUUUUUCAUAUCCAGAUUUUUUAUUAAUUAUUUUAAUUAGAAAAAAUAAAUAUUAAUUGGAGUUAUGACUGAAAAAUUAAUAAUUUUUAUGAAAGGUUCUUUAAUUCUUUCUCAUACUAAUUUUUUUCUUAAUAUUUUUUAAUAAUGAAUUAGGUUUUUUGUCUUAUAUACACAAUCUUCAAGCUUGUUAUAAUAUCAUGUCCUCUCAUAUUAAUAGUUGAAAACAUUUUUAUAUUUUGUUACUAAAAUUUUAUUUUAUAUAAUUGAGAUGAAAUUUAAUGGACAUUGUUAUUUCACAAAAUGAACAUUAAAAAAAUAUUGAAAUUAAAAAAAAUCCUUCCAAGAAAUAAAAAAAUAUAUAAAAAGAAUUAAAUGUUAAAAAUGAUUUUUAAAAGCACAAUGAAUUAUAAAAAAUAAAUUUAAAAAGUGCAGAUUUUAAGUGGAAGAUUACUAUUUUCUAAAAUUUUAGAUUUAUUUUGUGAUUUUCUAGUUUUUCUUUAUUUUUUAUUUUCUUGAAUUGUUUUUAUUUGAGUUCAAAUGUGACUGCUUUGUUAUGAGAUUCAUUAAAGAGAUAAUUGUUGAUUCUACAAUUAUUGUAUUAAAUGUUUUACUCAUUUAAUGAAUUGUACUUAGUUUCAUACUUCCAAUUAUUAUAAUAUUAAUGUUAUUCUCAUUUUAUUUCAGUUUUAUGAUAAAAAAAAAAAAACCAUAUUCUCAGGUAGAAUUUGAUGAAAUUAGAGGAGAAUUAACUUCUUUUGUGUUAUAACUAAUCAUGAAUCAUAUUGAUAAAUCAUGAUCAUGCAUGGUGAGUCCCUUAGUUGUUAUAUGAAUUUUCCAUUGGUAUUGUAUAACAUUACUUAUUCUUUACAAAUUAUUUUUAUAUCAAAAUGGGAAAAAGAAAAAAGAAAACAUUAGUACUUAGAUUUGUUUAUUUUUUAUAACAUCAAUUAAUUUUUAUUUUCAAUAAAACUCAAAAUCUCAUUAAACUAUGAAAUGCAGGUAUACACUCUUGGGAAGACAUUAUGAAGAAUAAAAAGAAAGGAGAAAGAAACAACAACAUUUUGGGUUUUUAGAUAUGACUCUUAUGUCAUAUAUUAUAGGACAUCAAUGUUACUUUAUUUGGUAUUGAGAAUUUUGGGUUUUUGGAUGCAACUCUUGUGUCAUUUUAUGAUUAGCCGGUUUUAUGCAUAUGAAAUGCAGGUAUACAUGAAUGUUGGAAUGCUUAACAUUUCUAAAUCAUAUUUUAAUAUGUAUUCACUUUUCUUUUUUAGUUUCGGUGGGUUUGAUGUACUAUCAUUUUGUAAACAUUUGAUAUACAAAUAUCACUGCAUGAUGUAAUGUAUUACAGGUUAAUCCAUAAGCAUUACGAAAAUAUAAGUUAAAUAUGAUAUGAUUAUUAUAUUUAUGGACAAAAUAUACAUAAGUUGAUCUUAUUUGUUAAUAAACAUUACAAAAAUCAAUAGGCUAAUUAAUAAAAAAUAACCACAUCUUCCAUAAUCAUUUACAAUGAUGUAACACCAUAACUCAAAGGUGAUGCAUUUAAUGUGACACCAUAACUAAAAGGUGAUGCAUUUAAUAUGACACCUUAUAUAUCUCAUGCAACUCUAUAUCAAAUUAAGUAUAACUAAAAAUAUAUGGUGUCGCUUCUGAAUCCUUUUAUGGUUAGAAAAUUGAUUGAAACUCUUCUAAAUUCCUAGAAAGAUUAUUAAGACAACAUGAAGCACAAAAAGAAAUAAAUGUCCUUGAAAAAUGUUAUUAUCCAUAUUUUAGGACCGAUCAUAAAAAAGAAUCAAGUGGUUGUUGAUCAUCCCACUUAAGAACUUGUUUGGAUAUGUAGUGAUCUACAUUAUAUUUUUGUUUUGACAAUUUAAGAGGUUUGUUCUUGGUUUUCUAUUUUCUUUCCAAUUCCUUCUUAAAAGAAAUUAGAAUCCUUUUAGGCUUACUUCACAUUAUGGAGUUAUAGGUAGAUUUUUUAAUUUCUUUGUCCUACCUCAAUUGUACUCCAAUAAUGUAUGUGAUUAAUUGGUACCCUAUUUGAAUUUGCAAGGCUAGCAUUAGCGGCUGGGAUGACUCUUGUUAAUUCAGGUUUGUGUUGAAAAUAUGCUUAAUCCAUCUAUGAACUAUUUAAUAGUUAUAGUAGAAUACCUUGAUACUUACACCACCCAUUUACUAAAUAAAUAACAAGACAUAACAUGUUUAAUAAAUAGGUUGGAUUGAAAUAUUAAUUAUGAAUUGAUACUUUUUACCCAUAACUUGAUAGCAUGAUUCUAAGUCGUUAAAUCGGUUAACAUGAUUACAAUCCAUUUAACCUCUUUAUGAUUUUGAAUUAAUAAAAUGUAUUUUUCAAAUAUUUUUCAAUUACUUUCAAGUUUUAAUUUCAAAAUUUUUCUAAAUCAUAAUUAAUUUAAUUAAUUGUAAUAUGCAAUAUGCUUAUAAGAUAAGAGAAAAAUCAAACUUUAAUUUUCACUUGUAUAGAGUUUUAUUUUAAUUUUUCAAUUAUAAAAUAUUUUUAAUCUUUAUAAUUUUUUAAAUAUAUAAAGUUUUACUCUAUUAGUUAUUUAAUUUGUUAAUUAAUUAAAAACUAUCAUUUUUUGAAUUUUAAUAUAUAUAAAAAUUAAUAAAUUUAAUGGUUAAACGAAUUAGUAUAUAAACAGGUUAUUUCUUGAACGUGUGAAAUUAGUCAAAAAUAAUUAUGGCACAAACACAAGAAUAUCCUAUCCAAACCUACUAAAAUUAACAUCAUCUUUUAGUUGCAUUGUGAAAUAAUGCCAAAAUUUUCACCCCCCAUUUUGCAUCUAACCAAGAUUCAAGAAUCAAUCUUGCUGAAAUCUUUUAAAAAUUUAUGAAAGAAAAGAGUAGUUGGUCUUACUUAACCAAUAUAUCCAACCCAAACCAACUAAAACUCCUAUAGUUUAUUAAUUCUCAUCCUCGUCCCAUUAAAAAAAUUAAAUAAGACGGGGCGAGACAGAACAAGUAUGUGAAUUUCCUAUACUUGUCCCACCCCGUUUAACUUUUUUAUUUUUAUUUUUUUUUUGAAAAAUUUUAAUUUUUUUAAAAAAUUAAUUUUGAUUUUUUAAUUACAUUAAAAUAAAUGUAUUUUAUAAAUAAUUAAAAUAUUAUAAUUUUGUAUAACUUAUUUUAUUGAAAAUAUUUGUUGUGGGUAGGUAUCGGAAAAACUAGCCCAAUUAUCAUUCCUAAUCAAAACCGAUGAGUCAACCUUGUCAAAAGUCUUCAAAAAUUUAAGGAAAAAAAAAAUAGUGGGGCCUUACUAGUUAUGAUUUUAGAACCAAUACUGUGUGAGAAGGGCUAAGCUUAAUGUUUGGAUUGGACAUAGCACUACGAAGUCAAUAAAAGUCGACAGUUGUCACAUCCUUAUUCACAACUUUGAUGACUUAUCGAUUCAACAAACCAUUUUUUCUUUCUCAUUUGUCAUUACUAAAUUUGAUUUGUCUUUAUCAAUGUACUAUGCAAGUUGAAUUAAAAGCCAUCUUAUGUAGAAAUGUCAAAUGUUUAUAAUUCAUAAAAUUGGAAAUUUGCUAGAAUUUCAAAUAUAAAUAUUUGAAAAUUUUAAGUUCUAUUUUCCAUCAAAACCUGAGAUAAAGUAGAAGGAAACUACGAGAAAAUUUCUAAGACAAAAUGCAUUCAAAUGGUGGGGUUAGAAAAAAAAACGACGGCUCAAGAAAUUUGAAUCAGUCAAACCUACCAUUCAGCUGAACCAAGUUGCUAAAAUGGUUUCAUAAAUUAAAAUAUAUAUAUGUGUAUAUAAUUGGAGAAAUUAAUUUGUGGAGAGCAUGUGGAUAAAUUAAACAUAUCCAAAUAUAUUAUAUAAAAUCUCAAGUCGAUAUAUAUGUAAUUUUUUUCAUGAGUUUCCUUUUUAAUCAAAUUCUGGUAAAAGAAAUAUUAAUAUUGCUUUGAAGUAUAAAAAAUUUUUGAUAAUUUACCUUCAGUAUUUAAAGCACCAAUAUAUGUUGGCUUACGAGAACAUUUAUUGGAGUUGGAUUCACUUGGCACUUUCAACGUGAGAGAAGUUUCUAGGAAAUUUGCUACAGUAUAAGAGAAAAAAAAACUGUACAAUUUUCCACAGAAGACCAUGAAAUUGAAUGAGUUUCCAUAGACUAUUUAACAAGAAAAUGUACUAACAAAAUUUUCCACACGAUGAAUAGAUAACAAUGAACUUGAAUGAGUUUCCAUGGACUAUUUAACAAUAAAUGAACAGAUAUUUUCCAUUGACUUGGAUGUUAUAUAAGACUUCCAUGUGGAAUUUUCAAGUGCCGUGUGAUUUCGGGAGGAAUGAAUGGAAAUUUUUUGACGAGUUAACAUUGUCUUAUUUAACAUGGGCCUUCCUACACAUAUGAUCUUUCAUUGGCUUUGAUGUUGUAUAAGACUUCCAUGUGGAAUUUUCAAGUGCCGUGUGGUUUUGGGAGGAAUGAAUGGAAAUUUUUGACGAGUUAACAUUGUCUUAUUUAACAUGGGCCUUCCUACACGUAUGAUCUUCCAUUGGCUUUGAUGUUGUAUAAGACUUCCAUGUGGAAUUUUCAAGUGCCGUGUGGUUUUGGGAGGAAUGAAUGGAAAUUUUUGACGAGUUAACAUUGUCUUAUUUAACAUGGGCCUUCCUACACGUAUGAUCUUCCAUUGACUUGGAUGUUAUACAAGACUUCCAUAUGGAAUUUUCAAGUGCCGCAUGAUUUCGGGAGGAAUGAAUGGAAAUUUUUGAUGAGUUAACAUUGUCUUAUUUAACAUGGGCCUUUCUACACGUAUGAUCUUCCAUUGGCUUUGAUGUUGUAUAACACUUCCAUGUGGAAUUUUCAAGUGCCGUGUGGUUUUGGGAGGAAUGGAUGGAAAUUUUUGACGAGUUAACAUUAUCUUAUUUAACAUGGGCCUUCCUACACGUAUGAUCUUCCAUUGACUUGGAUGUUAUAUAAGACUUCCAUAUGAAAUUUUCAAGUGCCGCGUGAUUUCGGGAGGAAUGAAUGGAAAUUUUUUGACAAGUUAACAUUGUCUUAUUUAACAUGGGCCUUUCUACACAUAUGAUCUUCCAUUGGCUUUGAUGUUGUAUAAGACUUUCAUGUGGAAUUUUCAAGUGCCGUGUGGUUUUGGGAGGAAUGAAUGGAAAUUUUUGAUGAGUUAACAUUGUUGUAUUUAACGUGGGCCUUCCUACACAUGUGAUCUUCCAUUGACUUGGAUGUUAUAUAAGACUUUCAUGUGGAAUUUUCAAGUGCCGUGUGGUUUCGGGAGGAAUGAAUGGAAAUUUUUGACGAGUUAACAUUGUCUAUUUAACGUGGGCCUUCCUACAUGUAUGAUCUUCCAUUGACUUGGAUGUUAUAUAAGACUUCCAUGUGGAAUUUUCAAGUGUCGUGUGGUUUCGGGAGGAAUGAAUGGAAAUUUUUGACGAGUUAAUAUUGUCGUACUUAAUGUGGGCCUGCCUACACGUAUGAUCUUCCAUUAACUUGGAUGUUAUAUAAGACUUCCAUGUGGAAUUUUCUAGUGCUGCGUGGUUUCGGGAAGAAUGAAUGGAAAUUUUUGACGAGUUAACAUUGUCAUAUUUAACGUGGGCCUUCCUACAUGUAUGAUAUUUAGAGUUAUAACAUUAUUGAUCUUGCAAAACAAUCUAGUAAAAAUUAUAAUAAUGAUAUAAGACAUAAUUAAAUGGGUGGGACAAGCGUGAGAAAUAGAGCGGUUGGCUUAGUAGAGAGAGAGAGAGAGAGAGAGAGGUCCAUAUGGGAAACAGUUGCUAAGGAAAUUACUUGGUCCUUUCUGUAUGUUCAGUCGUUGAAUCUAUCAACCUUCUAAUUCCAAAGUGUCAAAUGGUGAGAUAUUGUCCGCACAACAAAACUCUCACAUGCUGAAACACAGAGAAAUUAAGAGGGCAGUAGGCUUUUGUGUGUUGUUACCACAUGAUUUGGUAUUACCGGUAAUUUAUUAAAAAUAUUUUAUUUCAUUUUGCUUUAUUUGCAUCAACAUAAUUACAAACUUAUAUUUAUAAUAAACAAAUCAUCGUUGUAUAUGACUAAUUCAUAAUUACACUAAGAGUUUCAAUUAACAUAAUGAUCCUAAACAAAUAAAAAAUUUUAAUAUUUUUCGAACUCCUAAAAUACUUUUAAUUUGAAUUGAAGUCAGAUAAUUAUGACUUGUGGGUUAUGAUGAUUAUACUUGAGUGGUAACCUUGUAAGUUAUGAUGAUUAAAUUUAAUAAUACAAUGACCAGAUAUGGUAUGCAAAAAAUAAAUAAAAAUAAAAAUAGGAGUCUUUAAUGUUACCAAGUGAUAAAUAUUAAAUAAAAAUAAAUAAAUAUAAUAAUAGGAGAAACACAACAAGAAAAGUUGAACAAAAAGUGAUAUACAAGUCUUGCUCUUUCAGAAAAGUAAAGUUGAAUUGUGGAUGUCUCAAUCCACUAACUUGACUUCAAAAGCUAAGAUGCAAGGGUGCUUUAUGCCCUUGAGAUCAUGAGAUAUUUUAAUUUAUUACUUAUGAAUUAAAGAAUUAGGUAGAUUUACAAGAAGGUAAAAAACUAAUAUGGUUAUAUGACUGUUAUAAAAAUAAAUAAAAAAAUAAAAAAAUAUUGUAACAUCUCUUUCUUAUUCUUUGCUCGGGGGACAUGUCCUAGUUGUUUCACUUGACUUUGAACCAUUAUACAAUCAAAUUUCAUAAGUUAGUUGGAAACUAAAGUAAUGAUGCAAUCAACUUUUUUUUUUUUUUUUUUUUCCCUAGUUUGUGAAGAUGUCUUGAUUAAUGUGUUUUUCUUUGUAAUGGAGUUUCAAUAUGUUGAUAUAACUUAAAAUAAGAGAUUAAAGAUUUGUAAUUAUUUUUGGUCAAUAAAAGUAGAAAACUAAAAUAAGAAAAUCUUUCUUCCUCAUUUGUCAUUAAUUAUUAAUUAAAUUUGAUUUUGGAUCAAGAUAUGUUAAUGAAUUUACAUAAGUUGAGCUUUAAGGAAUCAUAUCAAAUAUUGGAGAGUUGUCAUUAAUUAUUAAUUAAUAAAAUUAGAGAUUUGCUAGAAUCUUAAUUAAUUUAAACAAAAGUGAUUCGAAAAAACAGUUUUUAUAAGAAUUUAUAACAUUCAAAAAUUGUUAUGUAACUUUUAAUAGUGCUGAAAAGAACUCCCGAAUAUUCAAAAAUUGGGUUCUAAAGAAAUCAAGGGUAGUGAAAACUGAAAAGCUACUAGCUCAGCUGUUGGAGGCCUUCCAACUGUGCAAAACCCAAAGGUUAAAACGACGUCGUUUUCUCAAACUGGGACGACGCCGUUUUGGGUUAGGACGCAGUGAAAUAAGAUUGAAUUCACAAUCGUUUCAUUAUUUGCCGCUUUUUCCAGUUGCCGGAAACGACAAAGCUUCACGGACUGAGUGGUAUAAGAAUUUCAAUUUACUUAAACAAAAGUGAUUUCAAAAAACAGUUUUUAAUACAAAAAUUAUGAAUUUCACUCUUCAAUAAAUAAAAGUGGAAGGAAUCUUGGUAUUGCGUUCAUAUGGUAGACUCAAACAGAUACUAUAUAUAUGUGAGUGCUUGGUCUCCUCGGAAUUCAUAAGAGAAAAACAGCAGUUGCAAAGCCUCUCUUCUAUUACUUGCAGACCAUGGCAGGACGGUCCUUUCAACACCUUCUUAGCUUUCUUGUGCUUUUGCUGCUAUGUGCCAAACCUGGCCUCGGGAAUGUUACUGGGUGCAUAGAGAGGGAGAGACAAGCUCUCCUUCACUUCAAACGUGGCCUUGUCGAUGACUAUGGCCUUCUUUCUUCUUGGGGAGAUGAACAUGACAACAGAAAUUGUUGCAACUGGAGAGGAGUCCAGUGUAGUAACCAGUCAGGUCACGUCAUCAUGCUUCAUCUUCAAGCCCCUCCUUCUGAAUAUGCUUAUGAGUACCAGUCUCUAAGAGGUGAGAUAAGUCCUUCGCUGCUUGAAUUGGAGCAUUUGACUCAUUUGGAUCUCAGCUGUAUUGAUUUUGAAUGGAGGCAUAUACCUCCAUUCCUUGGUUUCCUCAGCAGAAUGCAGUACCUCAAUCUCUCUCAUGCCAAUUUCAAUCACACUAUUCCCACUCAACUGGGAAAUCUUUCCAACUUGCUUUCCCUUGACCUCAGCCAUAAUUAUUAUGACUUGAAUUCUGGGAACCUGGAGUGCCUUUCUCGUCUUUCUUCUUUAAGACACCUUGACCUGAGUUCUGUCGACCUUAGUAAAGCCAUCCACUGGUCCCAAGCAAUUAAUAAACUCCCUUCUCUCAUUCACUUGGAUUUACAAAGUUGUGGCCUCCCUCUCAUCCCUCCACUCACCAUUCCGUCUCUUUCCCAUGCGAAUUCCUCUGUCCCUCUUGUUUUCCUUGAUCUCUCUGUGAAUUAUCUCACUUUUUCAAUAUACCCAUGGCUGCUCAACUUUAAUACCACCCUCCUUCAUCUUGAUCUCUCUUUCAAUGAUUUAAACGGUUCGAUUCCGGAAUAUGCUUUUGGAAACAUGAAUUCGCUUGAAUAUCUUGAUCUCUCUAGGAGUUAUCUCACUUCUUCAAUAUACCCAUGGCUGCUCAACUUUAAUACCACCCUCCUUCAUCUUGAUCUCUCUUUCAAUGAUUUAAACGGUUCGAUUCCGGAAUAUGCUUUUGGAAACAUGAAUUCGCUUGAAUAUCUUGAUCUCUCUGGGAGUCAACUUGAUGGUGAGAUUCUGAAUGCAAUUAGAGACAUGAGUUCACUUGCAUAUCUUGAUCUCUCUGAAAAUCAACUACGAGGCUCAAUUCCAGAUACAGUUGGGAAGAUGGUUUCACUUUCACAUCUUGAUCUCUCUGGCAAUCAACUGCAGGGCUCAAUUCCAGAUACAGUUGGGAAGAUGGUUUUACUUUCACAUCUUGAUCUCUCUGGCAAUCAACUACAGGGCUCAAUUCCAAAUACAGUUGGGAACAUGGUUUUACUGUCACAUUUUGGUCUCUCUUACAAUCAAUUGCGGGGCUCAAUUCCAGACACAGUUGGGAAGAUGGUUUUACUUUCACGUCUUGAUCUCUCUAACAAUCAACUGCAGGGCUCAGUUCCAGAUACGGUGGGGAAGAUGGUUUUACUUUCACAUCUUGAUCUCUCUGGCAAUCAACUGCAAGGCUCAGUUCCAGAUACAGUUGGAAAAAUGGUUUUACUUUCACAUCUUGAUCUCUCUCGCAAUCAACUACAGGGCUGCAUUCCAGAUAUAGUUGGGAACAUGGUUUCUCUUGAAAAACUCUAUCUCUCUCAGAAUCAUCUUCAAGGUGAGAUUCCAAAAUCCCCGAGUAAUUUAUGUAACUUACAAGAAUUAGAGUUGGAUAGAAACAAUCUCUCUGGACAGAUUGCACUAGACUUUGUGGCCUGUGCAAAUGACACAUUAGAGACUUUGUCUUUAUCGGAUAACCAGUUUAGUGGAUCAGUUCCUGCUCUCAUUGGAUUUUCAUCCUUGAGAAAGUUACAUCUUGAUUUUAAUCAACUAAAUGGAACUUUACCUGAAAGUGUUGGACAGCUGGCCAACCUUCAAUCCUUGGAUAUUGCCUCAAAUUCAUUGCAAGACACUAUCAAUGAAGCCCAUCUCUUUAAUCUAUCCCGGUUGUCCUAUUUAGACUUAUCUUCCAACUCUCUCACUUUCAACAUGAGCUUUGAGUGGGUUCCUCCAUUUCAACUGUAUUCUCUACGAUUAGCCUCCUGCAAAUUGGGACCUCAUUUUCCUAGUUGGCUUCGUACUCAAAACUUGUUGAUAGAGCUUGAUAUCUCCAAUUCCGAAAUUUCAGAUGUCCUCCCAGACUGGUUUUGGAAUGUAACCUCAACUAUUUCUACCUUGAGUAUUUCCAACAAUCGGAUCAAAGGGACCUUACAGAAUUUACCAUUAAACUUUGGUUCUUUAUCUAACAUAGAUAUGAGCUCAAACUAUUUUGAGGGUUUAAUACCACAACUUCCUUCUGACGUGCGAUGGUUGGAUCUCUCCAAUAACAAGUUAUCGGGGUCCAUUUCUUUAUUAUGUGCAGUUGUUAAUCCACCACUUGUCCUACUUGACCUCUCAAACAACUCAUUGACGGGAGGGCUACCCAAUUGUUGGGCGCAAUGGGAAAGAUUGGUAGUUCUUAAUUUGGAAAAUAACAGAUUUUCUGGGCAAAUUCCAAAUUCAUUUGGCUCCUUGCGAUCAAUUCGAACACUACAUUUGCGCAACAACAAUUUAACUGGAGAAUUGCCUUUGUCUUUUAAGAAUUGUACAAAGUUGAGGUUCAUUGAUUUGGGAAAAAAUAGGUUAUCAGGAAAAAUACCAGAAUGGAUUGGAGGAAGCCUUCCAAAUUUGAUUGUUCUAAACCUAGGAUCUAAUAGAUUCAGUGGAGUUAUAUGUCCAGAGCUAUGCCAAUUGAAAAAUAUUCAAAUAUUGGACCUCUCCAACAACAAUAUAUUAGGUGUUGUACCGAGAUGUGUUGGUGGUUUCACUGCCAUGACUAAGAAAGGGAGCUUGGUCAUUGCUUAUAAUUAUUCAUUUACACAGAAUGGUCGUUGUAGAGAUGACGGAUGCAUGCCUAUAAAUGCCUCUUAUGUUGAUAGGGCAAUGGUUAGAUGGAAAGAAAGAGAAUUUGAUUUUAAAAGUACCCUUGGGCUUGUAAAGAGUAUUGAUCUUUCAAGCAACAAACUAUCGGGGGAAAUUCCAGAAGAAGUAAUUGAUCUUAUAGAAUUAGUUUCAUUAAACUUAUCAAGGAACAAUUUGACUAGACUGAUCCCUACAAGAAUUGGUCAAUUGAAAUCAUUGGAGGUUCUUGAUUUGUCUCAAAAUCAACUCUUUGGUGAAAUUCCAGCUAGCCUUGUUGAAAUAAGUGAUCUAAGUGUCUUAGAUCUCUCUGACAACAACUUGUCCGGUAAAAUUCCACAAGGUACUCAACUUCAAAGCUUCAAUAUUGAUUCCUACAAGGGAAAUCCUGCACUCUGUGGAUUGCCUCUUCUGAAAAAGUGUUCUGAAGAUAAAAUAAAGCAAGGUUCUCCCACUUAUAACAUUGAAGACAAAAUUCAGCAAGAUGGAAAUGACAUGUGGUUUUAUAUUAGCGUUGCUCUUGGAUUCAUUGUUGGAUUUUGGGGAGUGUGUGGAACUUUACUACUCAACAACUCAUGGAGAUAUGCCUAUUUCCAAUUCUUGAAUAAAAUAAAAGAUUGGCUCUACAUGAUUAUAGCCAUAAAUAUGGCUAGAUUACAAAGGAGUUUUCAAAGCUAAAUGGUACAAUUCUCUCCCUCUCUUUCAUUUAUACUUGUUUUUGAAGGCUAACAAUUGUCAAAGAAAAGUAGGCCUUUACAUAUCCUUGGGAUAUACUUUAUAAAUCACGAAUGCUAAUGCAAAUUUUCUUUCCAUGCAACUAAUUGAAGGGAUUUUUUCAAAUUGAUGAACACUGAUUUUUUACUUUGUGUUAAUUGCAGGACUGCAACUCUUGUUCUUGCAAUAUUAGCAUGGUUGAAUGCAAAUCGUCGUGUCCUUCCUUCUAUGAUAGAUUUUGGGAUGUAAUAGGUUUCUUGUUUUAUUUUGAGGAUUACUUAUGUUCAUUAGAUGCAUAUUUUACAUUUUAUUCAGAAAUUUGUGUGACAUAUUAUCUCUUUUCUUCCUUACACAAUGCUUUUAUUUGGUAUUUGGAUACUUUAUGAUUCAUCCAAAUAGUAUUAUAGAAGGACAUCAAAAGUAUAUUAGAGUCCGACUUUCUAAUUUUAAAAAUAUUUCUUUAGCUCUAAAACUAAUUUUUAUUCAUUAAAAUUAAAACAAAAUAAAGGAUAAUGCCAUUUGGUUAUGUAUGACAUAAGUUUUCAACCAAUUAUUAAUAAUCAAAUCAUAAUUUCAACACUAAAGAAAAAAGAAAUUUUUUUUGCAAGUUAUUAAUGAUCUGUUUCUCUCUUUCUAAAAAAACUAAAUUACUCUAAUAAAAGGGAAACUCUUUUUUUCUUGUCGUCAAAGCUUUUUCACUUGAAGUUGUCUCACAUGCAGAUAAUUUUUGUGGAAUAUUUUGUUUUCAUCAAUUUUAUAGAAUAUUAAGUCUUACUUCUUUUCUUAAUAAAAGGUUUUUUUCUAAGCAAUUAAAAAAAAAAACUCUUGUUCUUUUCUCUAUUUUAACAUAAUUCAACUCUAGAAUGACUAAAAUAUGACUGAAAAAUAUAAAAUAAGAGAGAAUAAUUAUAUUCUAUAAAAGCCAUUAAGAAUCAAGUCCUAUCAAGUUUUUAAAGUGGUAAAAAUGAAAACUUUUGUAUUACCAUUCUUUUAUAAGUUUUUGUAUUUAUUAGUUUUUAUUUAUUUCUUUAUGAUAAAAUCUUUUAUCUAAAAUAUUUUUCAAUAAUUCUUUACUAUGAUUUUUUAAAUUUAAAAUUAUAAAAGACUUCAAUUCUUAUUAAAAAUAUUAUUUAUAUUAAUAUUUUCUUCUAAGCUCUUUUUAUCGAAACAAGUAGUAACUAUGUAGACCCCUCAUUUUGGUUCUACAAGAGACUUAAUUCUUUAUGGUCACCUUUCGUUAUGUUUUCUCCUUUUGGAAGGUGAGCUGUAAAAGACAGGUGGCACAAGAGGAUAUUAUGGUGGCAGAUUGUGAGGGUAAAACACGUGGCAGUGAGGUUUUGGUUUUUCUCUGGUUGUUUUAGAGAGAGUAGUGGAAUGUCUUGGUAGCAGGAAGAGCUGGGGGGUUGUUAGAGGGCAGUAGAAAAUGUCCUCUACAGGGAUGACACGUAUUAGAGGGGAUAUAUUUUGGGUAAUUGGUUAUUUGAAAAAAUGACCUUUUCAGUUUUUAAAACCUGAAGAAUGACCCAUUUUGGACUAAAUUACCCUUGAAAAAAUUAAAGAGAAACUUUGAAAUUCAAAAGUGCAGAAAAAAGAGAAAGAGAACUAACCAAGGGUUCUCUUUUGAAUGGUAGAGUGCAACGCACUCUUUGGUCUUCUGAUAUAUAUUUUUUUUUGCUUUUUUUUUUUUUUACAAAUUUUUGUAUUGUUGUUGAAUAUUUGUCUAGAAGGAUUCUAAAAUGUUAUUCAUUUGAUUAAAGUGUGAAUUUUUUUCUCCAAUUUUUGAAAAAACGCGGGAAAGGAAGAGAACGAAACGAAGUGGAAGAGAAUAAAAAAGGAUCUUGAAAAGUAAGUUUAUUAAUUUGAAAUAGUUUAUUUUUUUAGAUUUUUCUCUUUGUUGAUUUCAUACAUUUGCUUGAGGUGUGUGUUUUCUUUUUGCAUGGUUUCAGAAAAAAUGUGGGAGAAAGUAAUGGUUUAUAUGUUCACUUUUUGUUAAGCAUAAAUAUAAGGGUUUUUCUUAAAUUUGUUAGCUUAUUUCUCUUUGAUUUAGAACUCUAAAAACACAUUGGUCUACCAAAGAAGAUAUCUAGUUGAAUUGAAAAAAAAAAUGUCUUUAAUUAGAUUUCUUGGCUAUUUUAUUUUGAUGUUUUGCUCUAGUUGUUAAGAUUUUGAAGCAUGAUGUUGUGGCAAAUGCUUUGUUUCUAUAGUGUAGAAAUCUAGUAGAAAAGUGACAAAUGUGUUUACCAAUUUGGUCUUCUAAAGAGUUGAAUCAUAAUAAGAGAAAUAGAAUUUGCCCCCAUUUUGAUAUCUUCUCCCUGGUGAUUAGAAGAAACAUUUCAUUCGUCCCAUAAGAAAAUGAGUUUGUUUCCUUAAACCCCCCUAAGUGGAGACAUUGAAGGUGUUGUUGAAGUCUUUUUUCAUGAGCAGUGUUGGAAGAAUGGUUUGAUUUCUUUUCCAAAAUUCAAAACCCUUCUGUUAGAGUAGUUUUGGCUUCUAUCAUAAAGUGAAAACAAUACUUCUUCUAUGAUUCAUGUGAAUUACUCUCCUUUUGUGUUGCUUAACUUUGAAGUAAUGGAACUAAUAUGAUAUACUUGAAUAGUCAUUCUUUUCUAUUAAUGACAAAAUUGGAGAUCAUUGUAGUCUUUGCCAAUUGGGUGUCUAGUUUUUUAGCAAUUUAGGAAAAAAAUCUUUACCUAUUUGUAGUUCUUUUCCCAAGGGAUAGGAAGUUGGUUUAACUGAAAAAUCUCAAUUUUCAUCAAACAAUUUGCAUUCCUUGCCUAUUUAUAGUUUCCAUUUCGUUUGUAUAGAUUGAGAAGCAAAUCCCUGCUCUCCCUUGGAGAUGAACCAAACAUUAAGAAGCACCCCAUCAAGGUCUGAACCCAUUUUUCUUUUACUAGAUCAUAAGUGGCAUUUGCUAAAUUUGGGACCCAGUUGGUCCUACAAUGCAAACCACAACAAUCAAAUAGUAAUCUCUAAGAAAAGUCAUGACAAAGAAUGAUCUUAAUUGAGGGCUGAAAUAUUACUCACAACUAAAAUAUUGAGUGAGAUGAUGCAUAUGCAUAGCCAGAAUACUUCUACCAUAUGCUUUCUAUAAGUAAGGAUGGUCCUUUAGAACUUCAUUUAUAUCUAGAUAUAGAUGCAAGGAAAAGUAAUAUGACAUGGACUCAUGAUUAGUUCUUAAAAUUUAGGCAUGAAUAACCAAAGUGUUUGAACUCAUUAGAAAAUCAUGUGCAUUAUGCAAUCUAAAAAUUGUUUCUAAGGUGAUGUAAAAUAAUGUUAUACAAUGGUCUCUAUUUUUUUUUCUCUCUUUAUAUAUACUUAGUAUAAACUUAUGGAUUUUAAUAAGUAAAUUCAUGAUUUUAAUAAGUGGUAUAAGUGUCUUAGAUCUCUCUGACAACUUGUCCGAUAAAAUUCCACAAGAUACUCAACUUCAAAGCUUUAAUAUUGAUUCCUACAAGGGAAAUCCUGCACUAUGUGGGUUACCUCUUUCGAAAAAGUGUUCUGAAGAUAAAAUAAAGCAAGAUUCUCCCACUCAUAACAUUGAAGACAAAAUUCAGCAAUAUGGAAAUGACACGUGGUUUUAUGUUAGCGUUGCUCUUAGAUUCAUUGUUGGAUUUUGGGGAGUGUGUGGAACUUUACUACUCAACAACUCAUGGAGAUAUGCCUAUUUCCAAUUCUUGAAUAAAAUAAAAAAAAUUGGCUCUACGUGAUUGUAGCCAUAAAUAUGGCUAGAUUACAAAGGAUUCUUCAAAGCUAAAUGGUACAAUUCUCUCCCUCUCUUUCAUUUUUACUUGUUUUUGAAAGCUAACAAUUGUCAAAGAAAAGUAGGCCUUUACAUAUCCUUGGGAUAUACUUUAUAAAUCACGAAUGCUAAUGCAAAUUUUCUUUCCAUGCAACUUACUAAAGAGAUUUUUUCAAAUUGAUGAACACUGAUUUUUACUUGUGUUAAUUGCAAGACUUCAACUCUUGUUCUUUCCAUAUUAGCAUGGUUGAAUGCAAAUCGCUAUGUCCUUCAUUCUAUGAUUGAUUUUGGGAUGUAAUAGGUUUCUUGUUUUAUUUUGAUGAUUAUCUAUGUUCUUUAGAUGUCUAUUUUGUCCUUUGUUUAGAAGUUUGUGUGACGUAUUAUCUCUUUUCUUCCUUACACAAUGCUUUUAUUUGGCAUUUGGAUACUUUAUGAUUCAUCCAAACAAUAUCAUAGAAGGAUAUCAAAGGUAUAUUAGAGUCCGACUUUCUAAUUUUAAAAAUAUUGCUUUAGCUCUAAAACUAAUUUUUAUUCAUUAAAAUUAAAAAAAGAAAAAAAGAAAAGGAUAAUGCUAUUUGGUUAAGUUUUCAACCAAUUAUUAAUAAUCAAAUCAUAAUUUCAACACUAGAGAAGAAAGAAAUUUUUUUUGCAAGUUAUUAAUGAUUUGUUUCUCUCUUUCUAAAAAAACCAAAUUACUCUUGUAAAUGCUAAACUCUUUCUUUCUUGACGUCAAAGCUUUCUCACUUAAAGUUCUCACAUGCAGAUAAUUUUUGUGGAAUCUUUUGUUUCCAUUCAUUUUUUUGCUUAUCUCAAGUUAACUUCGUUUUCUUCUUAGUGGUUAAUUUUAUAGGAUAUUAAGUCUAACUUGUUUUCUUAAUAAAAGGCUUUUUUUAAGCAAUUUAAAAAAACUAUUGUUAUUUUCUCUAUUUUAACAUAAUCCAACUAUAGGAUAACUAAAAUAUGAUUGAAAAAUAUAAAAUAAGAGAGAAUAAUUAUAUUCUAAGUAUACUCGAUAAGUAAUAUCAAAUAUUUGAUUCACUUACUAGAAAGUAGUAUUGAUCUCCUACAUCAUGAGAUUAACAUCCCAAUGAUCUUUUUUUAUUUGUUAAAAAUUCUUAUCUUUCAAGGUACAUUACAAAAUUCCUUUUAGUUUUUUUUUUUUUUUUUCUUUCUAGUCUUUUUUAAGGUCCUCCAUAGCUUGGAUUACACUUUGUGAGAAUUUACUCAAAAAGUCAUUAAGAAUCAAGUCCUAUCAAGUUUUUAAAAUGGUAAAAAUGAAAACUUUUAUAUUACCAUUCUUUUAUAAGUUUUUGCAUUUAUUAAUUUUUAUUUAUUUUUUAUGAUAAAAUCUUUUAUCUAAAAUAUUUUUCAUGCAACAAUAAUUCUUUACUAUGAUUUUUUAAAUUUAAAAUUAUAAAAGACUUCAAUUCUUAUUAAAAAUAUUAUUUAUAUUAAUAUUUUCUUCUGAGUUCUUUCUAUGAGAAGAAGUAGUGACUGUGUAGAUCCCUCAUUUUGGUUCUAGAGGAGACUUAAUUCUUUCUAGUCAUCUUUCAUUCUAUUUUCACCUUUUGGAAGGUGAGCUGUAGAAGACAGAUGGAAAAAGAGGAUAUUCUAGUGGCAGACUAUGAGGGUAAGACACGUGGCAAUGAGGUUUUGGCUUUUUGUUGGCUGUUUUAGAGAGAGUAGUGGAGUGUCUUGGUGGUAGAAAGAGUCGGGGGGUUGUUAGAGGGCAGUAGAAAAUGUCCUCUGUAGGGAUGACACAUAUCAGAGGGGAUAUAUUUUCCUUUUGGGGGUGUCUUGAGAAAAGGAAAAAGAAAAGGGGGAAAGAGGAUUUUAUAGGGAGGUGAUACGUUAGAUCUUGAGAAGAGCUUAGGAAAAGCUGUGAAAUAGAGAGAGUGAGUAGGCUAUGAGAGAACUAUUUUUGAGAGAGUAAGCAGGCUAUUUUUGAGAAGAAAAAGAGAUCAACAAGAGAAGGGAAGCAGAUUAGGAGCUCAUCAGUUUUGUCCAGGUAUGAUUACAAUAUGCUUCAUAUUUUCCCAUUUCACACUUUUCGACCCUACCUCCUGAUUUUAGGUUCAUUUUGAUGCUUGAUUGUGGACAUUAGAUACUAUGCAUGCUUGUGGAAUCUGAGACCAUUUUUUUUUUUAUGUACUUUAUGUCUGGUUCUACUUUGGCUCCUUUGGCUCUGUUUAUGAACAACUUGUGCAUUUCACUUUUUAUGAAUAACUUGAAUAUGGAUCCAUCACUAAAUCUAAUUAUUAAAGAUCAUGCCCCAGCUUUCUUUUGAUUCCACCCUAAUCUAGCUCAUUGACAAUCCAUGAAAUAAGGCUAAGAUUCAUUGAUGUUUGGUUUAUUUAUUCAUUUAUGCUCUACCCCUGUUUUCGUUCUUCCCUAUAUUCCUCUAUUUUUGGUGUCUCUGGGUGAGGAUACAAUAACUUUGGCCAGACAACCUUUGAGAAGUCUACAUAUUCCUGGUAUCUUUCACCAUUUUGUUGGUGUGUUGGAGAAGUAUUGCAUUGGACCAGGAUGAGAUGGUAAGAAACUUCCAACUUUGGAGCAAUACCUUUACUUUCUUGCUGAGUACCAAAGCUGGGACUGGAAAUCUGAUCACUAAAAAGAAUAGUGAGCAUUUUGGGUUGAAUAAGGGUCAUUCGAGAGUCUACGAAUGAUGGCCACUUGAUUUUAGAGUUGGGGAACGAAUUUUCUCACUAUCGAUGAUAUGAGUGUCAUACUAGUUGCAAAAUUGAAGAGAAGAUUAGGAUGUGAAAUGUGGGCAGAAUUACAUUUGUCUGGCAUGCAUGUUGACAAGGGUAUCAAGUUCCACUGGAGAUUAAGUAGAGGCAAUGACCUUUCUAGGGGUUUUAGACAUAAAAUGUGCUUUAAUGGCAUGAGAAUUUCUAGGUCCCUUUCAUCUAGUAUUGUUUAUUUAUUAAUUUGGAGACCCAUUUUUGGUUUUGCUGAGGGUUUGUGGUAAUUGGGUGUUUUGAGUUAAAGCUGGCCUGUGUUCAUGUGCAAAGCUAUCUUAUAUUUGUUUUGUUGGUAGAAUGUUAAAAUCAUUAAAAGUGACAAUUUACACCGAGCCACAUUGUUCAGAAAGGAGAAGUGGUUUUGAAGGAAUCAAUACCAUGAAGUAGUUGUUGUAAGAAGUUUUCAUGCAAUAUAAUCAAUCUAAGCAUACAAAACUUCUGCCAUUAAAAUCAUUUCUGAAAAAUGAAAGUGAAUUUAGGAUCAUACUUACCUCCAACCAUUGUUUAGCUUUCUGUAAUUAAUGCAAGAUUUCCAAACUCUAAUAUCUCUUUUUAGAUGGUGUAUUUCUGAAGAUAAAACAGUAGAGACGAGUUCGGGACCAUUUCGGAUCUAUAUAACUGUGGGUUCCAUCAUACCAUGUUUCUCUUAUUUGCCACCAUGUUGAGCAUUUUGUGGAAUGUGCUCCUUAAGCGCAGUGGAAAUGAGAGAUGGUGGAGGACGUGGUCAAAGUGCUGGACCACAUUAGAAGUGUUGGACGUGUGUGAACGUGUAUCAGCUAACAUUCUCCCACUUGGUCCACACCUUUAACCUAAUGUCCUAUCUUAGUCCAUCAAUUAUCCCCAUUAAGUAACAAAUACAUGAAUCAUGCUGAUAAGUCCUCUAUUUAACGAGUGUUACCUUCCAUGUAUUACAAUGUCCUCAUUUCUUAACAUUAUACUUAAUGUGGCAAUAUUACUUAAUGAAUAAACCUUAUGUUCAUUCUUGGUCCAAUGAAGUUGAAUUUUCUUAAAAUUAAAUAAAGGUGCACAUCAAUAUGAGAAAACAUCAUAAUAAUAGUUUGUACAAUAAAAACUACAUAAGGGAACUAAGUCCCAUGUUCACUAUAUGAUCCUUGAAUUUCAACGGUGGCAUGCUCUUAGUCAAAGGAUCAACGAUCAUCAAUUCAGUGCUAAUGUGCUCAACAACCACUUUCUUUUCUUUAACAUGUUCUCUUAUGGCUAGAUACUUAAUGUCGAUGUGCUUGAUUCGACUUCCACUUUUAUUGUUCUUCGCCAUAAAGAUUGCAGCUGAAUUGUUGAUUCGUGCCCAAUUGGUGUCUCAGCUGAUUCGUGUCUAGCUGGUGCUCCUUGAUUGAGGGAUUAAUCAACAAAAUUUAUAACCUAUUACACCAUAUACUAGGGUAGCAAAGACAAAGCUACUAUAGCAUAGUGGCUCUAGGAUCGUUCACUGGGAUGGGUUUUCACUUCACAAAUGAUAUUAAUUCAAAGUUGAAUUGGUGCCUUUUCAUUUCAAGGUUAGCUUUAAAAGAAAACAUAAAGAUGUUUGAAUGUAAAAGGUUGGUUUUAAGCUAACCAAAAAUAGUAACUGAUUUUAACUACAAAGAAAAGUGUUUCUUGGAGUUUCAGAUCACUAGGCUCAGAUUCCUCAUACAAAAAGGGAGUUCCGGUCACUUGUUUCUUUUCCUCGCAUUAGAGAAUUAACAUAUAGUUAAUUCUCUAACCGGUGUUGUACAGAUGCUUCCCAUUAAUGGGUUCAAACACUAAAUCCCUCUCACUGAUGCACUUUGCAAUGGCUCAUGCCUCUCACGAGCACUUACCAUUCAAGAUGAUCUUUAACCUUGGACUUCCCUUCAAAAGCUCGCAAGAGAUAACUAAUGGAUGUCUCCUUGGAGUCCAAAAGCUUACCAAGUGUUGGCUAUUCUAGAAAAUCCUACCUUGAAACCACCUCCCAAAGGCUCGCAAGGGGUAAACUAGUGCAUCUCCAUGGACGGAGAUCACUUGCCUUACCAAGUGUUGGCCCAGGUGAUUUAAAGGCGUUUUAAGUUAACUAAAAAGAUAAAAACCAUUAACGGGUUACACUUUCUCUUCAUUAAAAACUAAAACAACAAAACUUCCAAUUUAUGCAUGUGGAAACUUACCCGGCUUUCCUCACUCCAAGAGACAAAAAAGCUUAGCCUCUCAUCCUCUGUGGAAAAAUCCUCAGAGUUUGGUUGGCUAGAAAAUGAAAAUGAAAGAGAAGACAAGAAUAUAUAUGAAAAACAGAGCAAGUGCUCUGUUACUUGAUUCUAUAUAUUAGAUUACAUACUUCCCCGAGCGUCUGCUGAGAGUGUUUACAAGAGAGUUUAUAUAGGAAGGUAAUUUACCCUUCCUUGGAUACUUCCUAGCUAAGGAAUUACAUGAGUGGCUGAAUACAAGGAGAAAAUGGAAAUUUAUACAAAAAUAUCUGAAGAAAAAUAUCCAAAAGAGUCGGUGGCAAAUAUCGGGAAGCACUAAGGACCAUUUCGCAGGUGAAAAUGAGGUCUGCGAGAUUUCGCAGACACUCAAGAGGGCUGCGAAAUAUUUUCGCAACAACAAGUUAAACUCGCAGGGCUGCGAAAUUGGCUUCCACCUUGAGGUUCUCAGCGUUCCAGCUUGCGGCAUGUAUCGGGUAGCUUCAGGAGGAAUUCCAUAGCACUGUACAAAAAGGCUGCGAAAUUCUCGCAACAAAAGGCUGAUUUCGCAACACUUUAGAGUGAUUGACUUGCAGUGGCUGUAACUUCUUCGUUUCAACUCCGAAUCGCGCGCCAUUUGAAGCAUUGGAUUCUUGACUUCCUGAGCUUUCAAAUGGUAUAUAGAAUGUAGAAAAUGGACUUCGGGAAGUGCUCCAAAAGUGCAAAAGAAGACUGCAGCUGGCUUUUCUUUGUUUUCUUCACUCUGUUUUUCCUCUCUCCGUUGUUCUUUCCUUGCACACUUUGAACGACUUUGGCAAAGGGCUAUGGAGCUCCAAAGCUUGGUUCUUCAUGAAUUUGAGCUUCCAAAAGCUUUGCCAUAACUUGUCCAAGUAGCUCCUCCAUCAUUCUUAAAUUGCUUUGGUGAUCAAAAAGCUAUCAAAACACCAAAACUUAACACAAUUCGAUUAGAAUUGAUUGCAAAGGUCCUUAAUAUGUUAAUUGGGUUAAAAGACAAUAACUACUACUCAAAAGUGUUUAAAAGAGUUAAUUACAAGCUAUCAAAUAGCACUUUUUGAGUAGUAAUCAAUUGUCACAAUAUAUACUAAAUGGCCUAGAUAUUGAAUCCAUAACUCUAAGCCUGGAAAUGAAACUCUUAAUCCAUACACCAUGUGAAGUAGCCUCAAAACAAGAUAUGAACUUAGUUUCCAUAGUAGAAGUAGUAGUCAAGGUCUGCUUAACGCUCCUCCAAGAUAUAGCUCCAGCGGCCAAUAUAAAAAUGUAUCCAGAUUUUGAUUUACGUGAAUCAACACAGCCAGCAAAGUCUGAAUCUAAGUAGCCAACAACCUCUAAAUUGCUUGUUCGUUUGUACAUAAGUUUGUAAUCUUUGGUUCCAUGAGACACCUCAUCACUUUCUUUGCAGCUUUCUAGUGGUCCAAACCUAGGUUACUCUAAUAUCGUCCUAACAUUCCAAAAGCAAAUGCAAUGUCAGGCCUUGUGUAGACCUGAGCAUACAUUAGACUUCCGACUGUAAAAGCAUAUGGAAUGUUCUUCAUUUGUUCACUCUCAAGAUCAUUUUUCGGGCAUUGGCCCAGAUUGAACCUAUCACCCUUCACUAUAAGGGAAACACUAGGUGAACAAUUCUUCAUCCGAAAUCUCUCUAAAACUUUAUUGAUAUAGGUUUCUUGAGACAAACCUAAGAUACCUUGAAAUCUAUCUCUAUGGAUCUUAAUGCCAAUGACAUAAGAUACCUCACCCAUAUCCUUCAUGCCGAAGUAUAAAAAAUCACAUAUAAUUUAGAAUUAAUUUGAAAGGAUUUCAUUUUAUGAUUGGGUGCCUAAAUCUAUAUAAAACACAAUCAAUUCCAAGCCCAAUAAAAAUAAUUCAAACAGGGCAAAAAAAAAAGCCUAAACUGGCCCAAUUUUCAUAAUCAUCCAAUGAACCAACACUUAAAGCCCCUUAAUUUAGUAAAAUGGGCCACUAGCAUGCAUUGAGCUUAAUGAGCCCAAUAGCCCCUUAUACCAAGGCCCAAAUUUCACAUUUAACUCAUGGCCCCAACACUUAAUAGAACCCACUCUCUCUCUAGGUUUUUUUUUUUUUUUUUAAAUAUCACUUGCAACAAAAACUCACCAUCCUAAUUUACCACCACCCCAUGGACUGCUUCAUCACCGGUAGCGAUGUGCUCGCCGCCACCAAUGUGGACUACACCCUCACCAGCUGCAGUCCAAGCCAUAGGAGCCGCUGCAUCACACAGGCAAGAACAGCCCUUACCACAUGCGGUGCAACCAGGAUCGCGACAUCACCAGCAAGAACAACUUCUGUUCUCACUAGCUAGAACAAGAUGGCUGGGCGCGACGGUGUCAAUAGCCACCACUAAUGGGACAAGCUGUAUCCACCGGAGUGCAACCCCGAUUCCUCAUUCCCGCCUCUACGCGAGCUCCCCACUAGGAGUCCGCCCGCAAGCCUUUCCACGCCUUGGAAUUAAUCCAAAUUACCGGAGAUCGUUUUCGAUCCAUAAGGGAAGGCCUGAUUUUGUGCCUAGCUAGUGUAUGUCUUGUUGAUUGGUGUUCAAUCAACUGGUGUACCUUGAUUUCGGUCCUCAGACGGGAGUAAUCAACAAAAUUUAUAAACCUAUUUCACCAUGUACUAGGAUAGCCUCAGCUAGCAUAGCAUAGUGGCUCUAGGAUUGUUCAUUAGGAUGGGUUUUCAAAUUACAACUGAUAUUAAUUCAAAGUUGAAUUGGUGCUUUUUCAUUUGAAGGUUAGCUCUAAAAGAAAACAUAAAGAUGUUUAAAAAGGUUGGUUUUUAAGUUAAACCAAUAAUAAAGUAAUGGAAAUUACUUACAAAGAAAAGUGUUUCUUGGAGUUUUUGGAUCACUGGGCUUAGGUUCCUAUUACAAAAAGAUAGUUCCGGUCACUUGAAUCUUUUCUUCGCAUUGGGGAUUUAACAUAUAGUUAUUUCCUGAACUGGUGUGGUACAGAUGCUUCCCUUUUAUGGAUUCAAACACUAAUUCCCUGUCACUGAAUCAUCUUGCAAUGGUUCAUACCUCUCACCUAGUAUUGGCCAUUCAAGGUGAUCCUUAACCUUGGAUUACCCGUCAAAAGCUCAUAAGAGAUAACUAAUGGAUGUCUCCUUGGAGUCCAAAAGCUUACCAAGUGUUGGCUAUUCUAGAAAAUCCUACCUUUAAGCCACCUCCCAAAGGCUCGCAAGAGAUAAACUAGUGUAUCUCAAUGGACGGAGACCACUUGCCUUACCAAGUGUUGGCCCAGGUGAUUUUAAGGUGUUUUAAGUUAACUAAAAACAUAGAAACCAUUAACGGGUCACACUUUCUCUUCAUUAAAAGCUGAAACAACAAAACUUCCAAUUUUUGCAUUCGGAACCUUACCCAGCUUUCAUCACUCCAAGAAGCAAAAAGCCUAGCCACUCAUCCUCUGAGGAAACAUCCUCAGAGUUUGUUUGGCAAGUGAGAAAAAUACAAUCAAAAUGAGUAGGUAAGGCAGAGCAAAGCUUUGUGUAUUACUUUCUUCAAAACUAUACAAAAAGUUCGUUUCUGAGAACAAACUCUCGAGAGCUAUUUAAAAAAAAAUUACAAUUGAUAUAUAUACAGGUUAUUCACCCUUCUUUCUUACUUUCUAACUAAGAAAUCCUAUGACUGAUGGAUUACAAGGAGAAAAUAGGGAUUUAAAUAACAAAUAUCUGAAGAAAAAAUCUAAAAGAGUCGGUCGCAAAUAUCUGGGAGCACACAGAUGGAUUUUGAAACUUGGAACAUGACUUGCGAAAAUUUCGUAAGUUGAGAGUGUCCAUUUUGCAAAAAAAGGUUGAUUUCGCAAGUUGAAUUUUGUGAUUUCGCAACUUGCGAAAUUGUCUUUCAGCUUGGUGCGGUUGUCUUCCAAUGGUCAUAACUUCUUCAUUUCAGCUCCGAUUUGCACACUGUUUGAAGCAUUGGACUCUUGACUUCCCAAGAUUCAAAACGGAAUAUAGUAUGCAUAAAAUGGACUCUAGGAAGUACUCAAAAUGUGUCCUACAACUUCUGUGCUCUUGGAUUUCUUCAUGUUAGAUUCCUCUCUCUGUUUUUUCUCCUUGCAUUCUUGAUUUGCUUUUGGCACAGGACCACAAAGCUCCAAAGCUUGGAUUCUUCUUGUAAAUGAGCUUCCAUUUUCUUUUCCAUGGAUUAUAUAGAGCUCUCCCUCAUCUUAGAUUGCUUUGGUAAUCAAAAAGCUAUCAAAAACACUAAAACUUAACACAAUUUGAUUAGAAACGAUUGCAAGGGUACUUAACAUGUCAAUUGAGUUAAAAGGUAAUAACUACUACUCAAAAGUGUUUAAAAGAGUUAAUUACAAACUAUAAAAUAGCACUUUUUGAGUAGUAAUCAAGGCCCCUAUACUAGCGUCGGGAAUGGCCUGGUUCUAAAUGGAAAGGAGAUGGUCGCGGAUGGGCAGAUUUUUGCUAUCAUCACUUCCGAAAGGAAGGAGUGUGUGAGAUCGUUUGCUCCAAAGAUGGAACUUAUAUGUGGAUGGUCCAAGUGAUGGAGCCAAAUGGAGGUUUGGCCACCUCACUAGUGACGAAUUUUGGGUCCUUGAUGCCAAUGUCGAGUCUGGAAAGAGAUGGCUACGUGGCGGUAGAUGCAGUGCAUGGGCCAGCAUUAGUGGUGUCAACAAGGCAAAGAUUCCUCACGGCAAGCAUGGAUCUCACUCGUCUUCACCAGCCAGAUUUUAUGGCUCUAUUUAUUCAACCCUCUUUAUAACUUUUAUUAUUUUCUUAUUGCAAAUUAUUUAAGAGAUCAUAAAAGCAACAAGAUUUCUCAUGAAAAAAAAAUGAAUACAAAGUAGAGGUAAGAUUCAACAAGCUCUGAUACCAAAUGUAAGAAGUUUUCAUGCAAUAUAAUCAAUCCAAGCAUAUGAAACUUCUGCUAUUAAAAUCAUUUCUGAAAAAUGAAAGUGAAUUUAGGAUCAUACUUACCUCCAGCCAUUGUUUAGCUUUCUGUAAUUGGUGGAAGAUUUCCAAAUUCUGAUCUCUCUUUUUAGAUAGUGUAUUUCUGAAGAUAAAACAGCAGAGAUGAGUUCAGGACCAUUUCAGAUCUAUAUAACUGUGGGUUCUAUCAUACCACGUUUCUUUGAUUUGCCACCAUGUUGAGUAGUUUGUGGAACAUGCUCCUUACGCGCGGUGGAAGUGAGAGAUGGUGGAGGACGUGGUCAAAGUGCUGAACCACAUUAGAAGUGUUGGACGUGUGUGAACGUGUAUCAGCUAAUAGUUGCCUCCAACAAAGAUUUGAGCAUUUUGCAUGAAUAUAGAGUGGUGAUAAUUGAAGGAGUCUGGGGCUCUAAGUGUUGUACACUUGAAGAAUGGCUUCAACAAGGCCACCACAGACUUUAAAGAAAUUGGAUUCCUCGUUAACAAGAGAGGGAAACUAGCUGAUUAUCACCCAUCUUGGUACUGGAAGUGAAAUGGGUCGUUACUAUGCCUACACGUCUUAUAAAGGGAAAACCAUAUUGUUUGACUGUGGAAUUCUUCCCACAUACACAGGCACGGCUGCUUUGUCAUACUUUGACGAGAUUGAUCCUUCAACCAUUGAUGUCCUUUUGGUGAUACCCUUUCACUUGGAUCAUGCUGCAUCCCUUCCAUAUUACCUGGGAGAAGACAUUUCUGUGCAUUUAGACAGUAACAUGAAAGCUCAGUUCCUGAAAUAGCACUUGCAGCUGCGAUCAAUCAAGCUCUUUCCCACCUGAGCCCUUGGUACAUGUGACUUCUUCUGCAUGGCCAACCAAAGUUUCUACAAUGCCCUCCAUCAAAAUCCUUCCUUUAUCCAAUCCAAAUCCCAAGCCAAACAACUCCGUGCCUAAAAGCUGAAGACAAACUCACUAUCUCCCCAAUCUUGAUACCCACCAAAUUCUUCACAUACCCACCACCAUCAGUUUGUUUCCCAUCACAAUACUCAACACAAUCACUCAUCACACCCUCUACCUUCAACUUCAAACCCAUCAUACUCUCUCCAUGAUCCUCACUUUCCUUUCUCUCCGUAACAGGCUCUUCAGACAGUAACCAUAAAUCAACCAGAAGCAGCUCCUGGGUGGGCCCUAGUGGGCUAACCUCUCUCAUCCGGUCUCUCAUCAUUGCCCAAGACGACCUUGACAUACCAAUAGCCACAGUUCAGCUAGUAUAUGCGUCCAUGUGUGACGUUACUUCUACUCAGCAUGAAGAGAAGUCCUAUAGUUUGUUGCAUCCAGUCAUCACAAUUCUUGAUGGAAAAGAACGAGAUAUUGCUUGUCUUGUUACUAAAGUCGAGGAUUUAAUAUUGGAAGACAAAAAUCUGGAGUUUAGGCUAAAAUGGAUGAUUCUAUACUGGUUUUCCCACCUAUUUAUUCAUCUAAAGACGAUAAGCUACAUGUGUGAAGACAUCAUAAUCAUCUCAAGAUCCCACAACAGUCUCCAUGAUAAUGGCAGUAGCAGAGCCAGUGGAGCCAUGGAACCUAAAGCCUCUAGGAGCAUAAGACUGUCGGAGGAAAAUUCGAUGAGAAGAAGCACAAGGUUGGAUGCCGCCUUCAACUGAGCGUGUAAUGCUGUUUGGUUCUUCUCAUUCUCAGCACCUAAAAAGCUAGAAGGACGAUUUGAGGUGACACAAGUUCAACAAGCUGUGAGCCUAGGAAUGGCCCCACGUGCUUGAAGUUUCUUCAUGCACGAUUAUCUUUCGGUGCACCACCCAGAAGCACGUGGCCCUUUUGAAUCCGACAGUGUUCUUGUUUAUAAUAGUGAAAUAUUUGGAGGAAUUCAUGUUGGCAGCAACUAUACACAACUAUAUUACUCAUGAACCUAUUGCUAAGAAAGUAAUAAUGGAAUACUAAAAAUGGCUUGCCUUUGGGAAACUCCUCAUUACCAAAGGAGAGAGAACCCGUUAUUGAUGUCGCUAAGCUUUCUAUCACCAAUAUAUCACCAUCAGGAUGCUUGGCAAGCCUCCUUGAAGACCACUCUGGCAUAAUUGAUGCUCUCAUCAUUAAACUUCCAAAGUGGGUUGCUACAUCUGUACUCAAUCAGUUCAUGUUGUUAAAGGCUAAUAAGCUUGACAAGGCAGAAGCUCCUCAAUUGCCUAUAUGGCCCCAUCAAGCAUCCCCACAAGUUGACACAAAUCCAUGGUGGUGCUUAAGGAUCAGAAUCAGACAUAGCUUAGGCACGCUGAAGAUUGCUAGAUGAGAAGCAGUAUCCAAGCAUGGUGAUUGGUUUAGAGGCCCAUCUACCAAAAAUCUGAAGACUAAAUGUUUGGGAAGGAUUAAGUUGAGGUAGGCCUACAGUCAAAAAACUGAAAAGCAACAGAAAACAGGUUGUGAUUCCUUCGGGGAGUGAUUAGGGCAUUUAAGCAAAGAUUCCCUACUGUCCUGAUGAGAAUCAGUAAGGCUGGAAAGACCAUGCUGAUGAAUGUUCUAGUAGAAAGACAAGCUAGAGGUCAUAUUGAAAGGAAACAUUAGAAUAUCUGGGUUCUCCAAACAGCAUUAAACUUUUGCAAGAAUUUCCAAUUGAGCUUAAUGAUAUCCAGUCCCCUCCAGUUACUGUUAUUGAAUCUUUGAUCUACUCAUUUCUUUCCUGGAGCUCAUUUUUAACUCUUUUAUCUUUGUAAGGAUUUGCAUGCUUUAAAUUGAGUUUUCAAAACUUUUCCAUUAAAAUAAUUACUCUUUUCUAAUUUCAUCCUUAGGAGUUUCUAGGUAAUAAAUUUUAGCUUUCAUAAAAGCUUGCUGCCGUAUUUCACUCCGGCAGGCACUUCUUAUCAUCUCUCUUGUCUUUUUUAAUAAUUUUCUUUAUUUUUAAUAAGCAUGAUUAAAUUCUCUAAUUCUGGAAAAUGGAACUUAUAGAAUUAAUUCCUGCGAAAAUAAUUCGGGUAGUGGUGGGGCCCAACAUACAUGUUAUUCUCUUUUGUGGAUUAAUUCUAAUUGAUAUGCUCAUUGAAUAUUGACUGAAUUUGUCUCAUUUUGUUACAUACAUGUGAUUAUUUCUAUACCUAUGUACUAACCCUGUUUCCAUGAUAGCACAUUAUUGAUUCGCUGCUCAGGUACACAUCCUAUCUUUUCCCAUUUGUUUGAUCACUAUCCAUCGAGUACUUUGGCCAUAGUAUGUCUUUGAUCACUAUUUGAUAUCCACGAUUAAUUGGUUAAUUGCCGUACUUUCCUUAACUUAAUUAGUAGAUACCCAUUUUUAGGGGCUUAGAGGGGUGUUAUGACUUAUCACCAUACCUUCUAGAUAGGUAACCUAACCCUCGGACCUAACCCGGUUUUUCCAAAAACUAGUAUUUCCUUUAAGAGUCACACUUAGGGUUUUUCUUUCUUAUUUUGUUUUUCCCUUAAAAAAUUAAACAAAAAUAAAUAGCAACUCCAAAAAUAAUUUUCAAAAAAAUCAAAUUUUCAAAUAAAAAACGAGUCUCGCCAUUCGUGUGGGGAUGCAUGAGAAAAAUGUAGGUCCACAGACUGACUUUCUUGUGAAGGCAAAUUGAAGGUGAGGACCAUAGUUUCAAUGGUGCUAACCUCAAUAAAAACCAACCUCAUUACAAAGAGUGGCUCUUAACUCGUUGGUAUAGCUACAUAGAGUUACUUUCUAAUUUUCUCAUUUUUUUGAGCUCAAAACUAAUCAACUAACAACUAUUAUCAUAUAAUUAUUUGUUUAUUUAUAAAUAUAUUCUAAUAAUAAAAUCAAAUAUUUGAUUAACAUGUUUGAGAAUACCUAUAAAUAUUUAAAUAGUACCAAUGAUAAUAUCCAUUAGGGAUUAUUAUCUUAAGUUGCUUGCUUUAUUUGUUAUAUACUGAUAAUGACCCACUUGCCAUAAACAAAGCUAUUAAGUUCAAGGUACAUAUAGGUUAUGUUUGGUUCUUAGAAAAUUUGAAAGAAAAUACAAGGGGAAAAAAAUAGGAGGGAAACGUAAAAGAAAAGAACAAUUGAAGAAAAAAAAAUUUGAAGACAACAAAUUAUUUUUAUAUGACAUUUCAAACUUAUUUCACUUAUUUUAACUCUUCGAUAUAAAGAUAAAAUAAUUUGAAAAUAUAUAAGUUUUUAAUUAAUUUUAAUUAUAUUUGAUAUUUUAGAGGACAACCAAACAUAAGAAAAUCAUUUUUUUUAACAUUUUUUUUUUCUUUCCUUAAUACUUCUCGAAAAUCAAACAAAACCUUAACAUAUUGUUUUAUAAUAAAUCUUUAUUCUUUAUUCAUGCAAAAUUCCUUUACUGACUUGAGCAUAGGAGUUUAUAAAAAAUAUUGGCUUUUCUAACAAGGAAAUUGAUAAUAAUAUUUUAUAAGUAUUUUUCAUAAUAUAUAUAUAUAUNNNNNNNNNNNNNNNNNNNNNNNNNNNNNNNNNNNNNNNNNNNNNNNNNNNNNNNNNNNNNNNNNNNNNNNNNNNNNNNNNNNNNNNNNNNNNNNNNUAUAUAUAUACAUAUAUAUAUAUAUAUUAUGAAAAAUACUUAUAAAAUAUUAUUAUCAAUUUCCUUGUUAGAAAAGCCAAUAUUUUAUCAUAUUUUAGUUUUCAUUUUAAUAUUUCAUUAUCACAAAAAAAAAAAAAAAAAAUUAAAACUACAACUGUUUUACACUUUACCUUUAAAUUAUAGUUUUAAAGUUGAAUUUACUUAUCUAUUUUUAAUUUAAUUGUCUAAGCCUUUAAUAUAAUUGUUUUUAGGUUGUUCUAGGUCCUUCAAGUUUCAACUGCAACUAGGAACUAAUCGUCCCAAGGCUGGAGCCACAAACCAUUGAAUUGGGCUCGAAUCCCAUAUCUUGGGCCUAUUAAUGAGAGGCCUACCCUUUUUCCUUUACAAAAGACUAAGUUUGCCACCAAGCCCAUAUUCUUUUAUUGUUUAGAUUUGGAUCCUAACAUGCUACCCUUCUUUAAGUCCCAACAUUUUCAAGCCCAAAGUCUCAACCUUGUUAAAUGUCAUAAGUUCUCUAAGUUGAGGUUGCCUCUAGAAUGCAAUUAAUAAUAUUAAAAUGUUAUGAUUAAAAGAUAAUUAAUGAUAACAAAUAUAGGUUAUGAAAUUUUAAUAUUUCUAUUCUAAGAACCUAUAAAUAGAAUAACAACUUGACUAAAAUUAAAAUAUAUCAUUUGUAUAGAAAUGUAUCAUAUUUAUAGCUUGUUGAAAUUUGAAUAUCUUUGUUAUAGUAACAUAUAAAUAAAAUAAUAAAUUUGUUGAUAUUAAAAAUGUAUAUUUAUUUAGAAAGUAUGUAUAAGGAAAAUGAUAAAUUGACUAAUCAUAUUAAAAAUAUAUUUAUUUAGAAAACAUGUGACAUUUUUCUCAUCAUAUUCUUCAUAUUUGUAAGAAAGAUAUCAAAAGUAUCCUAAAAAUUAAAUAUGUUAUUCACUAUACUUUGAGAAGUAUCCUAAAAAUUUUCAAUGCUAGUUUACAUGCAUUCUAUAUCAACUUCUUGUUAGAUUGCUAGUGCACCUCAUGUUCUGCAUCUUGCAUCCUAAAAAUUUUCAUAAUGAACUUCAAAAUGAAUUUUCAUGUUAUUUCCAUUUCCAAGUCAAGGCCAAAUACAUAUUAAAAUCAAACACACAUAUAUAACUAAAACUAAAAGGUUUAAAAGGCUUAUUUAUGCAGAACAUCCAAAUAGCUCGAAACAUCUUCUUUUCUUUUCGUUUGUUAAAUGUUUCAUAGAGAGAAAGUAGAACACCUCAACCUGUGACAUGGGUUCUUCAAAAUGAACGAUGUUAGUGGAAACUAUAAGUGUAUUUUGUGUAUUGGAAAUUUCGAGUCAAUCAUAGCUCAUAUUGUUCAAAUCCUCCCUUGGACACUUGCCUUUUGCAAAUUAUUCAUGUUUAAAGAUGGCUAAAGGAAUUGGUAAGUGCAUUUGAGGUGAUGGAUGAUGGCAAAAAACGAUCAAUCAUAUUUUAAUUUUAUAUCCUUUUAUUGAAAAAUGAAAUUGAAGCUUAAAAGUGUAAAACAUUGUGUUUAAAAAAUUUGGAUCGAUUUUUGUUAAUCGAACUAAAGAGUAAUAGUUUAUCCUGAACCCAGAUUUCUCAGUCUUGUCCGAUUGAUUAGAUUUCGAUCACACUUGUGACUUUUCAUAAUUUUUCAAACAAAUCUCAAUCAAUUGAUGAGUUUCAAAACUCUAAUACUUAACAUCUCUUUCCAGAUGUGGAGAGAUGACUGUGAGAGUAAAAACCUUGGUUUUUGAGCUUCAAGAUUCUCUUACUAUAUUGGGGAAUGUUUGCCUUAUGAGAGAAAAUUUAUGAGUUUCAAUUGAAAAUCAGUUUUUGAGUGAAAAAUCUUUAGUUCCAAAUGGGUUGAUUCAUUGUGUUCUUCAUCCUAUCUCUCGUAUUGCUCUCAUAUCCAACUUAUUGGGGUAAAACCUAAGAUUUUUCCUUUAUGGACUUAAGAAAAGGCUGAGAUCAAAGCUUUGAGUGAAUUUCAAGUGUUUUCUUGAAGAAGAAUGAUGGUAGCUAAAGCUCAAAGGUUCUAGGCAAGUGGUCUGAGAAAGAAUGAAAGACUUAGGCUAGGUAAAACCUUGUACUCAACUAUUUUUUCUUCAUAGUGGAUUAUUUGAUUGCUUGAGGCCCAUGGUUUUUUUAUCUCUUCGGAGGUUUUCCAUGUUAAAAAAAAAAUUGGUGUCAUUUUCUUUCCUUUCUAUUUUGUCUUCUGAUUAGCAUUUCAUAAGCUUAUGAUAUUUUUCAUUGUGUUAUGGUGAUUGAGUUAAUUAGAGCAUGAGCUAAAAUGCAUCUAUUGAAUCUUUGAAAGAACAAGAUAUAUGUUAGUUUUUGUUGAUUGAUGACAAGGGGCAUGUGAACAAAAGUUUUUAUAUUGAUGCAAUGUUUAAUAUAUUAGGUUUAGGGAGUGUUGUCUCAUUUGCAUGUGACUUGCAUUGAAUAACUUGUUUAGGAGAGUGUUGGUGCAUUCAUUGUUGCAUGUGAUUCACUUGUUUGUUCAUAAAGUUGAAAAAAAUAAUUAUUGUAUAAGGGAAAAAUAGGGAAAUUGUGAGCAUUUAUGAGAUACCUAUCUAAUUGUUUUAUAAAAACACCUAUUCGCCCCCUUCUAGGUGUUAUCCAUAAGUGGGAUUCAUCUUCAAUUGGUAUCAGAGCGAGUUUCAAAGCAAAAAUCAUUAUCAAUCCUUGAAUCUCAAAUAUGGAACCUCAUCAAGAGGGUGAUUCAAUUGGGAGACCCCCCUUUUUAAUCGGCGAAAAUUAUUCUCAUUGGAAAGUGAGAUUACAAUAUUUUCUCAAAAUGCAAAGUGAAAAAGUAUGAAAUACCGUUGAAUUUGGUUUGCCUCCACCAAAGGUGUUGGAUAGAAAAGGUAGACUAACAAAUGUGAUCAAGCAUAAAUUGGAAUGGGAUAGGUGAAAAUGAAAACCACAAAUUUUCUCAAAGGUUUUCAAAUAAUAUUAUGAAAUUUGAAACUCAAAAUUUUCUUACUAUUUACACAGCUACAUAAAACAUACAAAAUUUCAAAAAUUCAAACAUAAAAACUACUAAAUAUGUAUAAAUAAAGAUAUGUGAUAUCAUAUUUAUAUUACCAAACAUAUAUACUUAAAAAGAUUGAUGUUAGACCUUGCAUGAAGAACAUGAAAAUAUUUUGUGUCAUUGCUUCCUAAAAAUAAGAGCCACCAUAAAGUUUUACUUUAGGGAUUUUUAUAAGUUUAUUUAUUUAUUUCAUUCUUCUUCUUCUUCUUCUUUGGCUUUUGGUAAUCUAAUCAGAAUAUUUCAUAAAUACAUUUUCCCAUUCCUAAAAUGCCUAAAGAAAUAGUAAAAUAUUUUAUUAAGGUUUAUAAAAGAGCCAACUUCAUCAAGUUGAUAUAAUGUUUUAUAAAAUGACUAGAACUUCAAAAGCUAAUAUCCAUAUCCAGUCUUUGUUGUGAAAUAAGUGGUUGGGAUAUCUCUAAUUGUUGAUUUGAGUUAAAGCAUUAUAUCAAAGUAUGGGGAGGAAUGAAUACUAAUGCAUUAAAACGUCAGUUGGAAAAUUAAUUAAACAUCCUAUUCACAACUUUGUUGACUUACUAAUUCAACAACCACUUUUUCUUUCUUAUUUGUCAUCAUUAAAUUUGAUUUUGGAUCAAGAUGUCUUAAUCAAUUUAUAUAAGCUGAAUUAAAAGCCAUCUUAUAUAGAAACGUUAAAUGUUUAUAAUUAAUAAAAUUGGAGAUUUUUUAGAAUUCAAUUAACUGAAUGAUAAUGAUUUGGAAGUAUAUAGUUGGAUACAAUUUCCAACAAAUCAUAUAAAACUAAUAAUAUGUAUGAAUUGCUUAUAAGCAGUCAAAAACUUCUUUAAUUUGUUCAAAGUUUAAUAAGAAUUUAUGUAUCUAUUCCAAUAAUUUAUUAAAAGAACUCACAAAAAGAAAAAGUUUAAUAUAAAAGUCAUAAAUAAAAAUAGUACUUAAUUAUCUUAAAAACCCUAUAUAGAAUGAGAUUUAAUUGAAUUUAAGCACUAAAAAACACAACAUUUAAAGGUUAAAUUAAAUAUAAUUUUUGUUAGUGUUUAAGACAACUAUCAAACAUAGUUCCAUACUUUUUCAUAUUGAUUUUUAUCUAUAUUAAGAAAAAGUGAAAAGACGUAUGCCUUUCCUCAAAUGGCAUGUUGAAAACCUUUUUCAUUUUUUAUUUAAGAUUCAAUAUCAAAAUGAUCUUUACUUCUAAUAAAAAUAAUUUGAAAAUAGAUAUCAGAAUGGAAGAUUCAAUCCCAUUACUGUUGAAUGCCAAAUGUACAAGUUAAAAGUUAAAUUUGAAGGCAGGCAAAUACCUCCAUUCCUUAGUUCUCUCAGCAAAAUGCAGUACCUCAAUCUCUCGCAUGCCAAUUUCGCUGAAACUGUUCCCACUCAACUCAGAAAAUCUUUCCAACUUGCUUUCCCUUGAUCUCAGCCUCAAUGUUUUUAUUCAAUCCGGAGACCUUGCGUGGCUUUCACAUAUUUUGUCUUUAAGAUUCCUUGACUUGAGUUUGGUUGAUCUUGGUGCAGCCAUCCACUGGUCACAAGCAAUCAAUAAACUCCCUUCUCUCGUUCACUUAAACUUAAAUGGUUGUGUCCUCCUACCCUUCUCCACUGGGUCUCUUUUCCAUGCUAAUUUCUCUGCCCCUUUUGUUUUCCUUGAUCUUUCCAACAAUUAUCUGAUCAAUUCUUCAAUAUACCUAUGGCUGUUCAAAUUCAGUACCACCCUUGUUCAUCUUGAUCUCUCUAGCAAUGAUCUAUAUGGUUCGAUUUUGGAUGGUUUUGGGAACAUGAUUUCUCUUGCAUAUCUGGACCUCGGAUAUUGUGCAUUUGAAGGUGAGAUUCUGUUCGCAUUUGGGGACAUGAGAGCCCUUGAAUAUCUUGAUAUCUCUGGACAUGGGCUUCAUGGUGAGAUUCCAGACACAUUUGGGAACAUGACUUUUCUUACAUAUAUUGCUCUCUCUUCCAAUCAACUUCAAGAAGGGAUUCUGGACGCAAUUGGAGACCUGGCUUCUCUUACAUAUCUUGAACUCUUUGUUAAUCAACUUAAAGCUCUUCCCAAGACAUUCGGUAGAAGCCUUGUUCAAUGUUGAUAUCUCUUUUAAUCAACUUAGGGGUUCAAUUCCAGACACAUUUGGAAACAUGGUUUCUCUUGAAGAACUCUUUCUCUCUCACAAUGAACUUGAAGGUGAGAUUCCAAAAUCCUUUGGUAGAAGGCUUGGUAUUCUUGAUCUCUCAUCGAAUCGACUAUAUGGCUCAAUUCCAUAUACAGUUGGGAGCAUGGUUUCUCUUGAAAGGCUUUCUUUCUCUGAAUCAACUCCAAAGUAAGAUUCUAAAAUCCUUGAGUAAUUUAUGUAAUUUGCAAGCAUUAGAGGUGGAUAGCAACAAUCUCAUCAUUGGAAAACUUCCAAAAGACUUGUUGGCUUGCACAAAUGGUACAUUAUGACCUUUGUCUUCAUCUGAUAACCGGUUUAGCGAUCAGUUCCUUAUCUCACUGGAUUUUUGUCCUUGGAAAGGUUAUAUCUUGUUUAUAAUAAACUAAAUGGAACUUUACCUGAAAGUAUUGGGCAGUUAGCUGAGCUUGUUUGGUUUAAUAUUGGUUCAAAUUCAUUGCAAGGUACCAUCUCCAAAGCUCAUCUCUUUAAUCUAUCCAACUUGGCCCAUUUAGGCUUAUCUUCCAGCUCUCUCACUUUCAACAUGAGCUUGGAGUGGGUUCCUCAUUUCAACUAGGUUCUCUACUAUUAGCCUCUUGCAAAUUGGGACCUCCUUUUCCUAGAUGGCUUCAAGCUCAAAAACAUUUGACAGAGUUUGUUAUCUUCAAUUCUGAAAUUUCAGAUAUCCUCCAAGACUGGUUUUGGAAUUUAACUUUCGAAUUUCAAUAGCUUAAAUUUUCCAACAAUCAGAUCAAAGGGGUCUUACCUAAUUUAUCAUCACAAUUUAGUUUUUUUCCAGACAUAGAUGUAAGCUCAAACUACUUUGAGGUUUCAAUACCGUAACUUCCUUCUAGUGUGACAAGGUUAAAUCUUUGCAAUAACAAGUUAUCAAGGUCCAUUUCUUUAUUGUGUACAGUUGCUAAUUCAUUACUCGUCUAUCUUGACCUCUCAAACAACUUAUUAACAGAGGCCCUGCCCAAUUGUUGUCCACAGUGGAAAAGUUUGGUAGUCCUUGAUUUGGUAAAUAAUAAAUUUUCUGGGAAGAUUCCAAAUUCUUUAGGUCCUUUGCAAUUGAUUCAAACAUUGCAUUUGCACCACAAUAAUUUAAUCAGAGAAUUGUCUUUAUCUUUCAAGAAUUACAUAAGUUUGAGGUUUAUUGAUAGGGGAAAAAAUAUGUUAUAAGGGAAAAUCCCCCCAUGGAUAGGAGGAAGCCUCCCAAAUUUAAUUAUUAUAAAUCUACAAACUAAUAGAUUCAAUGGAAGUAUAUGGUCAUAGUUAUGUCAAUUGAAAAAAAAUUCAAAUAUUGAACCUCUCAAGUUAUAAUAUAUCGGGUAUCAUACCAAGAUGUCUAAGUUAUUUCACCGUCAUGACUAAGAAAGAGAGUUUGAUUGUUGCUCAUAAAGGUCUAAGAAAGUACUUUAAGAAUGAGUCAUACAUUGAUGAGGCAUUGUUUAAUUGGAAAGAAAGUGAAUUUGAAUACAAGAAUACUCUUGGACUUAUAAAGAGCAUUGAUCUUUCAAGCAACAAUCUAUUUGGGGAGAUUCCAAAAGAGAUUAUUGAUCUUCUUGAAUUAGUUUCAUUAAACUUAUCAAGAAACAAUUUGAUUACAUUGAUCCCUGCAAUGAUUGGUCAAUUGAAAUCAUUAGAGGUCGUUGAUUUGUUUCAAAAUAAACUUUUUGGUGAAAUUCCAACCAGCCCUUCGAAAAUAAGCAAUCUUAGUGUCUUAGAUCUCUCUAACAAUAAUUAUAUGGUAAAAUUCAACAAGGUACUCAACUUCAAAGCUUCAAUACUUCCUCUUAUAAGGGAAAUCCUACACUUUGUGGAUUGCCUUUUUUGAAAAAGUGUCUAGAAGAUAAAAUAGAGUAAGAUUCUCACACUCAUAACAUUGAAGACAAAGCUCAACAAGAUGGAAAUGAUAUGUGGUUUUAUAUUAGCAUUGCUCUUGAAUUCAUUGUUAGAUUUUGAAGAGUGUGUGGAACUUUACUACUCAACAACUAAUUGAGAUAUGCUUAUUUUUGCUUCUUGAAUAAAAUAAAAGAUUGGUUUCAUGUGACUAUAGCAAUAAAUAUUGUCACAGUAAAGAGAGCCUUUGAAUUUAAAUGGUAUAACUUUCACUCAAUCUCUUACCCUUUCUCUUAUUUGUAUUUGUUUCAAAGCCCAAUGGUUGUGAAAGAAAAGUAGGCCUUUACUACUAUUUUUGGGAUAAAUAAUUUUAAGGUUUAUAAACCAAGAAUAUUGCUAAAGCAAAUGUUCUUUCCAUGCAACUAAGUAAAAAGAUUUUUUCAAACUAAUGAACAUUAUUUUUUACUUGGUUUUGCAGGAUCUCAACUUCCUUUUCUUCCCAUAUUAGCAUGUUGUUGCUUAUUAUCUCAUAUGGAUAGAUGAAUGCAUGGUUGAAUGCAAAUAGCUUUAUCAUUUCAAAUUCUCAUCCUGUAAUUGAUUUUGGGAUGUAAUAGGUUUCUUACUUUAUUUUGAUGAUUUCUUGUAUGAUUAAGAUGCUUACUUUAUUUUAUCUUUUAUUUAGAGAUUUUGGGACACUGCUAUUAUAUAAUGCUGCUAUUUUAUAUUUUGAUGCUUUGAGACUAAUAAAAAAAAUGUUGUGGAAAGAAAUUAAGCCAUAUUAGUGUCAAACCUUUUAAUUAAAAUUAAUACUUCUUUCUCUCCAAAAAGAAAAAAUAAUUUCAAUUGUUAAAAUUUGAACACAAUAAAAUAUGAUGGUAGAGUCAUAAUUUUAACACUAAAAAAAAAGAAAUUAAGUAUUUAUGAUCUACUUCUCUGUCUUCUUGUCUUUCACUCUCUAGCACUCUUACAAAUGUAAAGAUCUUUCUAUUUUAAUCUCCAAAUGUAGACCCUCCAUUUUUUCCUCCUAGUACAUGUCCUAUUAAGUAUUUGUCCAAUACUUUACAACAAUUCCUUGGUGGCCCAUUACUACUCGUGUAGCCUAUCUUUUCAAAGCCACCUUUGGGACUUUGGUUGAGAGAUUUACCUAACCUCAUUGUGACUCUUGGCAACCCUAUUUAGACUUAGGAUCACUUAGGCACCAUAAGCUCACUUAGGCACCUUAGGCCCACUUAGGCAUCCUAGGCCCAUUAGGCACCACCUUAGGCCCACUUAGGCACCCUAUGCCCAUUUAGAUGCACUUAGCCUGUUCGGCACCACAUUAGGCACUACCCUAGGCCCACUUAGGUCACAUUUUAGGCAUUUUUUGCAUAGAUGCACAUGGCUUGCAUGACUCCUUUUUUAUAAAGUUGCAUGACUUGACUUUUUAUUUAUUUAUUUAUUAUCUUGUACAUUUCUUCCCUUAUUUUAUUUUCUUAUUAUUUCGUCACUUUUCCGUAAUACUUGUUCUUACUUAUUUAUUUUAAUUUAAUAAUUUUGUUGAAAUGUUUAUUAUUAUUAUUAUAAUUAUUAUUAUUAUUAUUAUUAUUAUUACUCAUUUUUAUCAUUGCUAUUAUUAUUAUUAUUUUAUUUAAUCUGUUAACCUUGAUAUUUUGUAGGAAAGUCCACCAAAGAUUGAAGGAAAUCAUACACGGCUACAUCUUGGUGAGAUAUUCAGACUGCAUACAUUGGGAGUGGCAGCCAGAUAUAGGAAGAAAUUCAAGGAGGGAUCACCCAUAAAGAAAGAAAAGAGAAUGCAGUCGUUGUGAAUUUUUUUUUUUAAUGGUAAAUUAUCAAAGCUGUUGAGUAAGUGAAAAGGAGGAAUCCAGCGUGUAUGUGGACGGAAUAAAGGUUGUGUGUAAAAGAAAAAUUCUCAGCGUGCAUAGAAAAGGCAUGGGGAGGCGGGUCAAAGGAGAGGAAGCUUAUGGGAAGGUAGCCGGCUGGUGAGGGCAGAGAAGAGGAAGAAUCUGAAGAGAAAGAAGAAUUCAUUGCAGGAGGAAAAAUGUGUUUUGGAAGGAAAGACACAGGCUAGUGGUCUGAAAAAGGAAGGAAGCAAACAUCAAAAGAAAAAAAAAAUUGACAGGCAGUGGUGGAUGCAUGAAAGAGGAUAAUUCAUCGAGAGAAGGAAAAAGGAGAGCAUCUUGGAAGAGGGAUCACGAGGCUGCUAUUUUGGGAUGAGAGAGAGAGAGGUUUUGAUAGCGUGAGAGAGUGCCAUUUGAGGAGAGGAGAGGAAGGUUAGAAAGGAAGAGGACUGUGAGUUUUUGACAGAGGAGAGGGAGCGGUUGUUUUGGAACGGAAAUACGUGACUAUUUGUUGAUUCACAGGAAAUUCACCCGCGUUCCGGAAGGCGCGUAGAGACUGACCUUGCUGAAUCUUGAAGGAGCAGUAGUCGCAACAUUCUGAAGAUGGAGGGCCACAUCAUCCUUAGCGUCAGAAGGGCUGUUUGAAGGGAUAAAAAAAUAGAGAGUUUUGAGAGUGUAAGAGGGGUGCAAGGUGCAGACGCACCAGUGGAAAGCAAGAACAGGUGCAGCCGCACCCUUAAGGAGGAGCAAAAUCUUUUUUUUUUUUCUAGAGGUGCAAGGUGCAGCCGCACCCUUCAGGAAUUCUUCUAGAACAGCCACAUCUUUGAGGAACUUUCAGCAUCACCAGCCCCUUUGAGAGAACUUCUGGAACAGCCGCAUCUUUGAGGAACUUCCAGCAUCACCGGCCCCUUUGAGAGAACUUCUGGAACAGCCCCAUCUUUGAGGAACUUCCAGCAUCACCCGCCCCUUUGAGAGAACUUCUGGAACAGCCGCAUCUUUGAGGAGCUUUCAGCAUCACUCGCACCUUUGAGAGAACUUCUGGAACAGCCGCAUCUUUGAGGAACUUUCAGCAUCAUCCGCACCUUUGAGAGAACUUCUGGAACAGCCACAUCUUUGAGGAACUUUCAGCGUCACCCGCACCUUUGAGAGAACUUCUGGAACAGCUGCAUCUUUGAGGAACUUUCAGCAUCACCCGCACCUUGAGAACUUCUGGAACAGCCGCAUCUUUGAGGAACCUUCCUCAACAGCCGCAUCAUUGAGAGACGAGAGAAGAAUCAGCCACACCCAUCCAGACUUGCUCCUAUAACUUCACAGCCAGCUAGCACCAAGCACAGUACACCUAUCCGGUUGGGUGAGUUUAUCUCUUAUUUUUUUUAAUCCAUCAAUACAACAUGUUAAAAGUUCAUUAUGAAUUUACUGUUAUGCCAUUAAGAGUCAUUGUUAAACUUGAGAUAUUUAUAUCUAGAGGCUAACUACUUAUCCAUUUAUUAAUAAGAUUUAUGUUAUAGGUUAGAGACAUAGUUUUAAAACUUGUCUUAGAUAAUUUUUCUUUAAUUUAAUUUUUGAUUUACGCGAGAUUUGUGUUCGUUAAAAUAGUUAAUAUUAAGUGGUAAAUAUUUGAUUUUAGGAUUGCCAUAAUUGGUGUUAAAAAUAUUUUUAAACUUAGAUUUCAUUUUAGUAAUGUAAAUUUAUUUGAAAUUGUUGAUCCCAUGAGUUCAUAUUUCGUUUUAGUCAUACUUAUUUAUUGUGUUAUCUAUUUAUCCAUUUGUUAAUGAGAUUGAUUUUAUAGUUUAGUUUUAAAAUUUGUUUUGGAUAGUUUUUUCAAUUUAAUUUUAGGUUUAAGUAAAAUUUUAGUUUGUUAAGAUAAUUGACCUCAUGUGUUAAAAUAUAUUAUUUUUAGAUUUGCCUAAAUUAGCGUUUAAUUUUUUUUGAGUUUAGAUUUCAUUUUAAUAAUGUAAAUUGAUUUAAAAAGGAAGUUGAUUCCAUGAAUUCAUAUUUUGUUUUUAGUUUGCUUUCAUUUUAUUUGAUUCAUUUUAAUUAUUUUUGGUGUUUUUUUUUUAUAUUUAUAAUUCGAAGUUAUCAACAAAAUCAAUUCCACAUUUAGAAGGUGCCUAUGCUUAGUAUACUCUGAUUUAAUUUCACUCAUCUAUUCAGUUUAGGUAUUUUCUAUAAUAUUAGCUCACUAAUAAAAUUAAUUCUAUGAUUGACAAUUUGUUGUUUACCUUAAUUUGAUUUGGUCCAUUUUAAUUGGUCUAGAUGUGUUUGUAUGUUUAAUCGAUCACGUGCUAAUUCGUUAUUAUUACUCUUAAUUGAUAUGUUUUUUUUAAUAUUAGUCAUUAAUUUAAUUGGUUUAAGUUUGAAUAGUUUAUUGCUUUGGUAGUCACUUGUCAAAUUUAUUUUUCGGAGGCCAUCGGAAAAUAGUGAAGAUUGGCCUCCAUUCUCACCACUUCAAUUUUCUUGAUUUAAAAAAAAAAAAAAAAAAUUCUACUUUGUGGUUUUGUUCUCUUUUGUUUUGCUUGGUAUUUUGAUUCAUACGUUUUAUUGUUUUCAAAUUAAUUUCUUUUAUUUUUAAAACAUAACAUUUUUCUCAAAAGAUCCCUUUAAGUAUCCAUUUCAAAAAUUCAUUUAGAGUUCUUAGAAUCAAAAUCUCAUUCCUUUUAAAAAUCUAUUUAAAAAACUCAUUUAGAAUCCUUAGAAUCAAAAUCUCAUUUUCUUAAAUAAUAUGCAACCAUCUCUUGAUUGGUUUGCAUCUUUCUCAGUUUUCAAUAAAAAUUUUGGUUUUGAACAAAACACGAAUCAAAGCUUAUGGUCUCAAAUAAAUGGGAUAAUUCUAAGCUAGAUUCGUGUAUAUCAAUUGGGGAAUUGGUGAAACCCCUACAUAAGAAAUUUUUUUCAAAACUUAUUUUGCUACCACCCAUGCUAUUUGUUGUAAUCAUAUCUAUCUAUUCUUUUUACAAGAUGUUGUAUACAAGAUGUGUGUGAUAAUUGAUUAUUUAGUAUGCUUUAAUCAUUUUCCUAUACUAAUUAGAUAAGCAUGUUAGGAUUUCUUAUUUUAUUACUUAUAAUCUAACACCCUAUGUCCUGAGGAAGCGUAUUAGGAGUUACCUAUGCUAUCUAGGUACGCUCCCUGAUUAUUUGGUAUGCUCUAAUCGUUUUGCUAUACUAAUUAGAUAAGCAUGUUAGGAUUUCUUAUUUUAUUACUUAUAAUCUAACCCCCUAUGUCCUGAGUAAGCAUAUUAGGAGUUACCUAUGCUAUGCAGGUAUGCUUCCUAAUACCCACUUUCUAAAUUUUGCGAAUAUGUUUGUCAUUGUGAACUAUGUCUAUGUUUGAUAGUGCAUGCCGGGUGAUAUGCUAUUCAAACUAACCUUUGAUGUUUUGUGAUAGCGCUUAACAAGUAGUCCAGGUACGCACCCGAAAUCUUCUAUAUGAUUGUGAUUGGUUUUCUUGUUAGGCAUGCCAUUCUUUUGAAAUCACCUAGCCUACCUAGGUAUCUAUAAUUAACUAACUAAUUGCCACAUUUCCCUUAACUUAGUCAGUAGAGACCUUUAUAGGGCUUAGAGGGGUGCUACCAUUUUAAAGGUACCUUCCCAAUAGGUAACCUGAUCCUCAAACUUAGACUUAGGUUUUUCAAAGACACGUUUUUCCAAAAAUUAUGGAGUCAUUUUUUUUAGGGUUUUAUUUCUUGUUUUAUUUUCCCUUUAAAAUAAAAAUAAAAUAAGUGGCGACUCCGACUUUUCCAAAAUCAAAAUUUCGCCAAUAAAAGCGAGUCUCGCCUAUCGAGUGAGGACGCACGUGAAAAACGCGGGUCCACACCAAAGCUUUCUUACAUGACACUAUCUUGUUUGUGAAAGUAAAAAUGGAUUUGUGAAAUUGAUAGUGAUAUAUCAUUUUUUUUUUGUAGUGGAGUGUAGUUAACUUUCUAUAUUGGGAUGUUAGGUCAACUUCAAAAUUGAAUUUUGAGGAUGUUUUCUAUGGAUCUUAAUGGUCCCUAAUUGAGUUUAUACCCUUUAGUGGCAUGUUGUUUUGAGAUAUAUUUGGGUUUUUAUUAAUAUGUAUGCAUAAUGGUGUUUUGGUAAAAAUAUAGGAUAUCAUAAGAGCUUAUAAAUGGUGCUAAUUAAUUAAUUCAAGUCCAAUAGGGUAAUUAAUUAAUUAGGACUUAGUAGGUUAGAUUAAGUAAUUCAAGUUCAAGCUGGACUCAAGUCAUUUAAGCCUACAAGGAAGUCUAUAUAAACCCUCUUAGGGUUUAUAGUUAGAUACUUGAUUUGAUUAAUGUCCUUUAGAAAGAAACCUUAACCUCCAUCCACUCUAAAGAGUAGUUCACCCUUCCUUUGCCAAGAUCUAAGAGAGAGUCAUUAGAUAGAAGAUCUCUAAGACUUUAAGGUUAUCUAUAGCAAUUAGAAAAAUGAUUUAGGAACAUCCAAAUCCAAAGGUAUGAGUUUCUAACAUCCUAGAAGUUUUAAUGAAUAAUAUUUUCUAUUGCACCUAGGAUAUUAGAUGCAUGCACCCCUUUUUGUGAUCCAAGGCUUGGAUUGGUUUUUAGAUCCAAUAAUCUACAAUAUCUAAAUUUUCUUUUACUAUUGUUGCAUCACUUGAAUUAGAAGUUCAAUAUUUUUUUUUUUAGUCCUUUAUGGUUUGGACAAUUUCUCAUAUAGUACUCUUUUUUCUUACAAUUAAAACACUUGUUGUUUCCUUUGGACUUUGAUUUAGAUUAGGAAUGAUUUUUUCUGCAAUUAUUUUUCUUUCUUGAUUUCCCUCUAGUCACCAAAACUUCACUUGGAGUUUCUUCUUUACUUACAAACACCUUUUUUUUCAACUCCGUUUGAAUUUAAGGUUGCUUUAACAUCCCUUAUGGAGAGAGUAUCUCUAUCAUACAUCAUGGUAUCUAUAAAAUGCUAAUAAAAAAUUCUAUAGGGAACACAUCAAAAUUAUAAUUUGGUCUUCAUUAUUAGUUCUAACAUUAAUAUUUCUUAAAUUCAUAAUAGUUUUAUUAAACUUAUCAAGAUAGUCUUUAGUAGUCGUACCUACUUUCAUUUGAAGCGGUACAACUGCUUCUUCAUAUAUGAGUGAUUUGAUAGUAAUAAGAGUGAAAUUGUUUCUUCGAUCAAACUUUUCAAUAUCAAAGUUUGCCAUCAUUUUAGAACCAAUAACUUGAACUUUGAUAACUAUUUAUUAUGAAAACCAUAACUAAGAAUAAUAAUAGUGAACAAAAAAUAAGAGAACAAAAAUAGAAAACACAAGAAAUACAUAAUAAUUUACAUGGUUCUACCUAAAGACUAUAUUCAUGAACGAAGAUAAAGAAGAAUUUGCACUAUUGUUGAAGGAGAUUACAACUCUAGAGUUGUCAAAUCCCAAAGUCCCAAUACUAAGAUUUCAUAUAAGAAACUAAUUCUAUAAUUGUUAGAGAUACUUAUUUCAAUAUUUCCUUUUUCACAUUAGGAAAAUAUCUCACAUGAAUAUAUCAUAUGGGGAAAGUAUCAAUAACCAGUCAAUUGACUCAAAUAGAAUUUGAGAGACUUUUCAACACAAGGGACAAAUUUAUGACCACUCUAAAAAAUCUAGACUUUGAUAUUAUGUCAAGCUACAUAUUUAAUGUAAAACUAAGCUUAAAUUUUUUUUCACUAAUGACCUAUAUAUAUAUAUAUAUAUAUAUAUAUAUAUAUAUAGUUUAUUUCAAUUAAAAGUCUUAUUAAUAUUAAUUUCAAGGCUAGUUGUAGACCUCAAAACUUGUCCCAAUUUUAUUUUUAUGUUAAUUUUGAACCCAAUUUUGUCCUUAGAUUUUAAAUCUCAAUUACAUGUGAUAUUUUUUACCCACUCACCAUUUAAUCUUAGUUUUUAUUAUUGUGUAUAUUAUUAUUAUUAUUAUUAUUAUUAUCUUUUUUUUUUUCUUCAUUUUCUUUCUUUCUUUUCUCUCUCUUCUCUCUCCCCCACCUACCCUCACCUACCCCCAUCCCUCCCACAUCAGGGAGACAUGCCCCCCUCACCUUUCUUAUAUCAUUUUUUUUUUUAUUUAUCUUCUUCCUACCCACUCUCAUCUCUUCCCAUUUGGCCUCUCUUGAGGGCUUGGCAGCUGGACGACCUCACCCAGACCUCUAUUCUUUUUUUCUUUUUCUUUUUUUCUUUCUCCCCUCACUCGACCUCCCACGAUUGGCCGACCCCCCAUUUUUUCCCUUUCCCAUAUUUUCUCCUUUGAUAUUCUCCUUACUCCGAACUCCCACACAAGUUGACCCCCAUUUUUUUUAUUUUCGAUUUUUUUCUCCAUUUUUUCCUCCCUCAACUCCCACACACAGUAGUGGCCGAUGCCCCAUUUUUUCCUUCCCUUUUCUUCUUCCAUUUUUUUCUUCUCCCCCAACACCACUCCCCACUAACACACGUCCUCCCUGCUUCCAUUUCUUCUUCUUUCCUUCCCCAAUUUUUUUUCUUUUUCUAUUUCUUUCGGUUUCCCAUGAAACCCAUCUUCAUACCCAUAGCCAACCAGUCAUCGUCGACGAGCUGCCGCCGACGACACCAUCUCCAUUUCCAGCACCCUUCAUCCCUCUCUCUCUCAUUCUCUUUAUUUUAUUCUUUUUUUUUAUUUUUAUCUUUAUUUUUAAUGCAUUUUCCAUAUCCCAACCAUUUCCAGCCCGUAAAUUCAUUUCGAUUUAUUUUAUUUUUUCUUGCUUUGAUUUUAAUAGUAAUGGUUGUUUUUGAAAUUUGGAUUGUUGAAUUAAUAUAAAAUUUGAGCUUUGUUAAUUAGUAUGAAAUUUUAGUUAAUUUGUUAUUGGUAAAUUAAUAUGAAAUUUAGGAUAAUUUAUUAUUGAUUAAUUAAUUUGGAAUUUGCUCAUUUGGGCUAGAAUAAUUGAUAAUUUAUAUGAUCGUGCUCAUUUGAAUUAUUUAAUUUGGAUAUGAUAUAAUAUUAUGGUAUAUUUUAGAUGUGGGUUUGUAUAUUAAAUUGGGUUGAUUUUGGCUAUGGAUUUAGGUUUGUAUAUAAAAUUAGGCUUAUAAGAUAUCAAGUUUAGGUUUAAUGGAAUUUAUUUUAAUUUAUCAUGUUUUGGGUUUAAUUAAUUGAGUUUAUAUUUUGAUUAUUAAUUUGAAAAUUUUGGAUCAGGGUCUAUGACAUGUGAGAUAUUUUUGUUGGGUUAAAUUUAGUAAUUUGGACCCAUUUUUAAUUGAUGAAAUUUGAAGUUUGAAUUUGGGCUUGAAUAAUUAUUUUGGACUCUACACAUUUCUGGAUAUUUAUAUUUGGGCUAUUUUUUUUUUUUGCAUAGACUCAUUCUGCAAUCUUGUUGGCAGAGUACGAAUUUAUGACACGUGGAACACAAAAUUUCAUGAAAGAAAGUGAGAAUCAAAAAGCUGUAGGAAGACAUUGAGCUUGUUGUAAGCUUAUUUGGGUACAAAUAUUAUUUCCCAUUACCAUUUAGAUUUAUUUUUAUUGAUUUCUAUAAAUAUUUGUUUGUAUAUAUUUACUUGUUGUGUACAAAACUGAAUAUCUAAUAAAUUAGAAAUUUUGUUUAAAUAAGAGGAAUAAUUUAGUAAAUAUGUUUUAAGAAAAUAAUAAUUUGAAAAUAUUCUUCUUAAUAAAAGGUUUUUUUUUAUUAAUAAAAAUUCAGAAAAAUGCUUUUAGAAAAAUCCAAAAAAAAAAAUGUUUUUAAUAGAAUUUGAAAAAUUGUUUUUAAUAACAAUUGUCCAAAAAUUUCUUUGUUUAAAUAAAGUUGUCUUAAAAAUUAAUUCUUUAACAAAAUUGUCUAAAAAUGUUUUUUUAAUAAAUUCUUUUUCCUUAAUUAAAAUGGGAUUAAAAGUAUUUUUUUAGAAAUAGGGUAUUUAAUUUUUUUUUCCUUUUAAUUAAAAAUUCUUUUGCAAAUAAAGUAGUUAUUUUUAUUUAUUUUUUAAAAUAAUUUGUAUAAGUCACUUUUCUUAAAUGAAAACAAAUUGAAAUACUUUUGUAAAUAAAAUUGUAAAAAAUCAUUCUUUUUUUUUUUUUUUUUUUUUUGUAAAAGCAAGUAAAAAUAAUUUUGUGCUCAAAUUGAAAUUUUGUAAUAAUUUCUUUUGAUACAAUAAGUGUAAAUAACUUUUUUUGAAAAUUGAAUACAAAUGAAAUUGAGAAAAAUUGACUCUUUUUUGUAAAUAAAAAAAAUGGAAAUCAUUAAUUCAAAAUCAUUUGAAAUUUCUUGAAAACUAUUUUUUUAAUCUUUUUUUAUUUAGUUCGAUAAAUCAUUUUGCAUAAUUCUCUUAUUAUUUAUUUUGUGUAUUCUUGUAAUUAGAUUUGAUCAUUAUUUUUGUGUAUAUUGAUUUUCACUAUGACUUAUAUAUAUAUAUUCAUUUGCAUGAUUAUUUUUCUUGAUAUCCAUAGUUAAUUAAUUAAUUGCUAUAAUUCCAUUAAUUCCUUUAGUAGAAGUUGUACGUAUAUGGGCUUAGAGGGGUACUACGGCUCACCACCGUACCUUUCCAAUAGGUAACCUGACCCUUGGACCUGACUUUAGUUUUCCACAUGCCUGUUUUUCCUUCAGGAGUCACACUUAGAGUUUUUCUUUCUUAUUUUGUUUUUCCCUUUAAAAAUAAAACAAAAAUAAGUGGCGACUCCAAGUCUUUUUUUAAAAAUAUAUAAAAUUUUCACCAAAUGAAUAAAAAAAUGAGUUUUACCAUCGAGUGGGAAUGCACUGAGCAAAAUACAGGGUCCACACUAGUCUUAACAUUGUGGAUAUUCUACAUAAGAAAGAAAUAGAGAAGCAAAAUAGAAGAAUUAAAAACAAAAUAAAGGAGAAAUAACAAAUGGGUUAAGGUUUUAUGACCUUUCAUAUAUGUUUUUACAAAUUUAUUCUCAUCUUUUCUCUUCUAUGUGGUAGGGUUAAACCCGAAUAAUUAAACUUGAUAUAGGUUAUUAGCUUAGUUCUUGAUGGUUUAAAAUUUUAGAUCAAUUUAUAGCCUAAUACAUUAUAUUAAAACAUUAUUUGGGGUCUUUAAGAUGAGCGUAAAAGCUAAGGACUACAGGUCUAUAUGUGAACAUGUAUAGUCACCUAACACUACAAGGAAAAAGGUAUAUGGUGAUAUUUAUAACGAGUCACCAUAAACAUAAGGUGUCACUACAACAUAGCGUCACCUUCUCCACUGACACCAUAGAGGGUACCAAUUGGUGACGUAUUUAGAAGUGACACCAAAGUAGAUAAAUGGUGACCCAUUCAGAAGUGACACCAUAUAUUUCUAGUGAUGAUAGGGUGUCACAUUAAAUACAUCAUCUUUGAGUUAUGAUGUCACAUUAAAUGCAUCACCUUUGAGUUAUGGUAUCACAUCAUUGUAAAUUAUUGUGGAAUAUAUGAUUGGUUUUAGUUGUUGAUUUUUGUAAUGCUUAUGAAUUAAUAAGAUUAACCUGUUUAUAUUUUGUCCAUAAAUAUAACAAUCAUAUUAUAUUUAACUCAUUUUUCUGUAAUGUUUCUGGAAUAACUCAUAAUACAUUGAUCAUCUAAUAAUAUUUGUAUAUCAAAUGUUCACAAAAGGAUAGUACGUCCAACAUAUCAAACCCAUCAAAACUAAAAAAGAAGAGUGAAUACAUACCAAAACAUGAUUUAGAAAUGUUAAAGAUCCCAAGAUUCAUGUAUACCUCCAUUUUAUAAGCAUAAAACCGGCUAACCAUAAAAUGACAUAGAAGUCCCAUCUAAAAAUCUAAAUUUCUCAGUUGCAAUUAAAGUAACGUUUAUGUCCUACAACGUGUGACAUAAGAGUUGCAUUUAAAAACCCAAAAUCUUGUUGCCUUCUUCUUUCUUUUUAUUCUCCAUUUCACCCUCCCAAGAGUGUAUACCUGCAUUUCAAAAUUUAAUGAGUUUUAGAGAUUUUUAUUGAAGAAAAUAAACAUGGAUCUAUGUUAUCAUAAAUGAACAAAUCUAAGAAUUAAUUUUUUUUUUUCAAAUAGAAACAUUAUUCAAAGAAUAAGCAUUACUAUACAAUACCUAUGGAAAAAUUCAUGUAGUAGCUAAGGGACUCACCAUGCAUGGUGAUCAUGAUGCAUCAACAUGAUUCAUGAUUAGUUGUAGCACAAAAGUAGCCCAUUCUCCUCUAAUUUCAUCGAAUUCUACUUGAGAAUAUGUUUUUUUUAUUACCAAACUAAAAUCAAAUAAGAAAAUAACAUUAAAAUGCAUAACAUUUGGAAGCCUAAAACUAUGUACAAUUCAUUAAAUAAGUAAUACCUUUGAAGCAAUAAUUGUAGGAUAAAAAAUUAUCUCUUUAAUGAAUCUCAUAACAAAGUAGCCACAUUCGAACCCUCCUUCUUGUCUUGGACACUAAUCGAUCAAUUAUAAAAUAACAUUAGUACUCACAUAUAUAAAUGGUGCAAAUGCAUAAGCUAAUGUGUAAAGAAAAAUUUUUGGAUGUCACCUGCACUAGUUGCUAAGAUGGCUCCCUCUUAGAUGUUUUCUUUGCAGAUAUUCGAAGAGCCCUAUGUAAAUAAGUUCAAUGGGUACAUUUUUAAAAUAGGUAAAUGUUAUAUGUUUUAAUAUAUAUAAAUAAUAAAAAAAAUGUGUUUGAGGUGAAUGUAUUUUUUUUUAUUUAAAAAUAAUACUAUGAAAAAUAAUAGGAAGAACUUACAUGUUUACGAUAUCCUUUAAGUCCUCACAUGGUUUGUGAUGCAUAGGGUCAAGAUAGUGGACUAUCAUUUUCCUUGGCUCAAGCACUACCUAAAUAUAAACCUUUAAAUCCUCAUAUCUAUUUCUAUUAACAAAAUAUAAAAACUUUCCAAAACUCAACUACUUAAAUAUAAAAACAAAAUCAAAUAAAAUAUCUAGCUAAUUGGAUUUUAGAACCUAAAUAAACUAUAAAUAAACUAAAUAUAAAAACUAAAUAAAAUAUCUAUGCCCAUGAAUUAAUUGAAGAGGAUAGAAAGACACAGAGAGAACAUGGCUAUGGUUAUGAUUUCCAUCUUAUCAUUUCCUGUCAAUACCACACAUGCCCAUUUUAAGGUUGGACACUACUUUUGUUGCUGGACUUGGAAAGGGAACUUCAAAAUUGAAAACAUAAAUAAACCCUUAUGUAAAAAAAAAUAAGAUUAAAAUAUAAUUGAGCAUUAAAAUAUUUACUCUCUUUCAUCACUUUCAUUUGAAUAUUAAUAAUCUCUUAUUGAGAUAGAUACAAUUUAACAAAAUAGAAAUUCCUAAUAAUAAAAAAUAUAAAAUUUCUAUUUCUAUUAACAAAAUAUAAAAACUUUCCAAAACUCAACUACUUAAAUAUAAAAACAAAAUCAAAUAAAAUAUCUAGCUAAUUGGAUUUUAGAAACUAAAUAAACUAUAAAUAAACUAAAUAUAAAAACUAAAUAAAAUAUUUAUGCACAUGAAUUAAUUGAAGAUGAUAGAAAGACAUAGAGAGAACAUGGCUAUGGUUAUGAUUUCCAUCUUAUCAUCUCCCGUCAAUACCACACAUGCCCAUUUUAAGGUUGGACACUACUUUUGUUGCUGGACUUGGAAAGGGAACUUCAAAAUUGAAAACAUAAAUAAACCCUUAUGUAAAAUAAAAAAAAAAGAUUAAAAUAUAAUUGAGCAUUAAAAUAUUUCCUCUCUUUCAUCACUUUCAUUUGAAUAUUAAUAAUCUCUUAUUGAGAUAGAUACUUACAAUUUAACAAAAUAGAAAUUCCUAAUAAUAAAAAAUAUAAAAAUUUCUAUUUCUAUUAACAAAAUAUAAAAACUUUCCAAAACUCAAAUACUUAAAUAUAAAAACAAAAUCAAAUAAAAUAUCUAACUAAUUGGAUUUUAGAAACUAAAUAAACUAUAAAUAAACUAAAUAUAAAAACUAAAUACAAUAUCUAUGCCCAUGAAUUAAUUGAAGAGGAUAGAAAGACACAGAGAGAACAUGGCUAUGGUUAUGAUUUCCAUCUUAUCCUCUCCCGUCAAUACCACACAUGCCUUCCCGGAUUGGUCCUUUUGGGGUUGGAUACUCUCAACGAAAUUCUAUAUCUCAUUCCCACUUAGAUACAAACAGAAAAAUCAUUCUUUUUUUUUUUCCUCUCUCGUUUUUUAGAAAGGAUGAAGAUUAUGUGAUAGUAUAUCUUAAAAAAAUUCUGUACCUGUCAUUCUCACACAAAUACAUAUUAAAAAUAAUUCAUUUUUUCUUGUUUUUCACUUUUUUUUAAGGACUUGAUCAUGUGUUUGGUUUAGAUUAAAAAAAUCAAUUAAUCUAUAGUUUUUUCUUCCAUGUUGGAAGAUUAAACCUAAAUUUUUCUUCCCUACAACUCAAGAAAACACAAUUCACGAAAACCGUAAUACAAAGAUGUUGAAACAAUUAAUAUAAUGGCAUUAAUAAAAGAAAAAAAAAAUGAUAGAUCCAAGAGAUUUUGGGUUACCUGGGAGUCCACAAAGUGCUUAAUACAAUAAGGAACAAAGAUCCAUGUUGAUUACAAUUGAUGGUCAAAGACCUCAUGCAAGUCACUAGAAGAAAAGUGAGAUAUGAUCACAUAGUUUUGGGAGUCAGUAAAAUCUACAACAAAAGAGUAUAUAUAGUUGCAUAACAAUUUGAGUCGCAACUAAUGAAAUGCGGUGUCCAUUCUAUAGUUGUGGGAAUAAUUAAGUUUCAGUGAAAGGAAUUUCCCAGAAUAAUUAACUCCCAGUGAAAGGAAUUUCCCAUGAGACCUAUGGUUGUGGGAUUAGUUAAGCCACAUAGGAAGGAAUUUCCCCUAGGCCUAUGGUUGUGAUAUUAAUUGAGCUGCAAGUAGUAGCAUGGACUAUGAUUACUAGAGUGAUUAGAAGCAACUAUAAAAUCCCCUUUUGAGGCGGGACAAAGGUGGCCGCUAUUAUAUAUGGCUUAGUGGAUCCACUAGUACCCUAACAUCACUGCAUAUACUUCCCUACAUUUCUCUCCCGCUCACCCCACUGCCAAACCCAUUUCUACUUACCUCCAUUAUAAAACCUAUUUCUCCUUGCUUGCCAAACCCAUUGCUGGUGCCAAUGUGAGAUUAAGAACCCUACAUUUAUGCUUGCUUGGUAUUUCCCUUUGUUUCACUCAUUGUUCUUUCCACUAGACAUAAUUUUAUUUUAUUUUUUCUAAUUUCACUCUCUGGUUUCUUGCUUCUCGCCUACCAUAUGAUUUUCUAGGGUUUUGAGUAAAGGAUUAUGGUCUUUAGGUAUGACUUCUCCAUUGACCAAAUAUGGCAUUUGUCAUAAUUGAUCAUCCUACAAUUAUGCGGAUUGUUCAAACUUGUAUUUUUAGAUCUUUAGAACCUUGUUCAUGUAACUUUUGAUUUUUCCUGAAUUCAUCCAUUUCUUUUUAUGUUGGAACUAAGCUUUGUGUUAAUCAAACCAAAUCAAGUAUGAUGUAGUUAACUAGAAAACAAUCAACAAUUAUUUGUCCAAUCCAUGGCGGAAUAUUUCUUGAAACUCUAUUGCCCCUGAGACCAAGACUAUGGAUGUUGGUGCAAGUUUGCAAGGUAGUGGAAAGUUCCCCGAAAAGAUCAUUGUUGCUCAACCUUAAAAAUAUUAGGUAGGUUAGAGAACCCACAAAACUUAGCAACUCACCAGAUAACUUAUUGUUCAAUGGGUCUACAUGCACCACCAGAUUAGGAACGCCAUUCCUCAAUGCAGGAAUUUCUCACUAAACCAUUUAGUUUAUCAAUGGACACAGGAUAUGAGAGAGAUCUAAAUUUGUCAGCAUGGGCAUUCUUUCCCUAAUAUCACUAGGAAUUGGUCCGGAAAAUGAAUUAUUUCUCAAAAAUAGUCUACUCACAUUUGAUGACCAAAGUGGCAGAGGACCACUGAAAUGGUUCACAUUCAAAUAAACGGAGAAUUGAGGAGCAAACUGUAAUGAGUUUGGAAUUCUUCCACUUAAUUGAUUAUAGCCGAAGUCCAGCUAGUUGAUCAAAUUGUAUGUCCAACUUCCAAAACCAGCUUGUAUUAGAGUGUUAGGCUCAUUUUAGUAUUAGUACUAGGCCCAGUGCUUGUAUUUUUUGAAAAAUGGGCAAUCAUAAAUUUUCUGAUCAACUAUCAUUAGUUGUUCUCAGGUAAAUUUCCAAUGAGAUCAAUGGUGGGGCAUUAUAUUUGUUAAUCAGAAUUUUAUUUUAUUUUUUUAAUCUUUGAUUACAAAUGGUUGCAGUCUCUUAAUUGUUGUUUGAAAAUGGUUAUCAUAUACGAAAUGAAUCCUGUACUAUUGCACAUAAAAUGAAAAUGACAUGUUAUAAAUUUCGUUCAUAGAUAUCCUGCAUAUGAUGGCAACCCAUUACUUUCUGCAUCAAUUGGUAUUGGUCCAUGCAUCAUAUUAAGAUUACUUGGUGAGCUUUUGCAAGUUUUCCUCUUUCUUGUUGCUCCUUCUUUCGGGUAUAAAUAAGGUGAAAAAUGUUGGUCAGGUAUUUGUUAGGACUUAGGACCAUGUUAGGAUCGACGACUUGGAAUUUCUUUAUUUUCAGUUCACCUCUAUUUGGAAUGUCUGCUGAUCAUACUUGUUUUGGGAGUUGGAUUGACUCUCUUGUUUCCUGUGCUUUAAUGAACUAGGUUCCGGUCAUCACAUAUUUGUUCUGCUCCAUUGAGUGUAAUUAAUUUAAUGCCUAGACAGCUGAUAAUAAUUGAAUCUCCUUAGGAAGGCUGAAGUUUCCACAUUCAUACUGAAAAAGUUACCUUGGAGCCUUAUCUAUCUACUAUUAGGCCAAUGUUUAUACUGUGUUACACAGAAAGACUGAUCCUGAAAAGCUGAGAGUUCCUAAAGAACUUUUUGCCUAAUAGGAUGGGCUGCAGGCCACAAAAAUAUAUACUUAAUAGGAUGAAAUAUGUACUUAAGUUUCUGAAAAUCACUUGGAACAGAGACCGUUCAAAGGCAAUACCUGUUUCUGGUAGGAAACAUUUUUUGCCUCUCUGUUUCUGUCCCUGUAUAUUCAGAAUCAUACCGGCGAACUCCCAGUUCAACCUCUUGCCUCUUGAGCUAGGUCUCAAGGGCCAUCACGGUAUUACUAAUGUGUGAGAAAUAAAAGGAAUUUGUCCAUAUAUCGAAUAAAGAGGAAGAAAUAUUAAAGUGAUGAGUGCAUGGUGACACACAAUAUCAUUUAUUGUGAAUCCUUCUUGAUGAUGAACCAGUUAAUAUGUAUAAAUAUUAGCUUUAUGGCUGAGUUUUCUAUCUUUGCCUUACCACCAGGGUAUUCUGAUGUAUUCUGUCAGUAAGCUCUAAAUUUUUUACUGCCUUAACAUUGGAAAUGAGCAGUGAAAUUCUAUAUUGAUAAGCAUGUAACAUUUUCAUCAAUUACAGUAUCAGAAAAUAUAUUUGGUUUUAAAUUAAAAUUAAACUAGGUAAUUCCAAAAUCCUAAUAUCUAAACUUAGGUGGUGUUUAUUUUUUUGGCUUUUUGCUGAAACCAAUUUGUUUUCAGAAUUUAAGUUGUUUGUUUUUUUAUUUUUUUAUAACUUAUCAUAAACUUUUUACUAAAUAGAAAAAAACCAAAAUAUGUAGCUUUUUCAAAAUAGAAAAAAUAAUAUAUUGGUUUUUCUUUACUUUUUAAUACUUAAUAGAAAUAAAAUACUACAAAAACAAACAACUUAAUAUUUAACACUAUUAAACAUUAAGGUUCUAUUUAGAAUUAAGUAAAAAAAAACAAACACCACCUUAGUCUGUUUUUGCUCUAAAAAGCUAUUUUUUAAUUUGUUGGGUUUAUGUGAAUGAUGAAUGCUCUAAUUUAAAGCAGUCAGCCACAGUAUGCAAGUGACAUUUAGAUGAAAUGAAAGACAUUCAAAUAGUUUGAUGAAUUUAAAUUAAGGUGGUGUUGGAACUAGGGUUUAAAUUAAGGGCAAAGUAGGGUUUAAAUGAAUGAUAGUUUUACUAAAUGUGCUAAACUAUGAUGGUUCUGAAGAAUUGGAGGCCUUAAGUGUCUAAUCAUUAUGCAUUAUUAUUUAACCGAAGAAAAGCAAAAUUAUCAUUUAAGCAAAAGUUUGUUUAUGAUGGAAAGCUUAAACAUGUCCAGAAAAUUCUCAGUUCAAGUACUGAAAUUGAUGGAAGUGGUGCAAGAGUCAGACAAAUUAAGGAAAGAAAGUAGAAGCUGGGGGAAAGACAUGGUGAUGAAAUGAAAAUUUUACAUGGUUCAAGCAAGGCUACAGGUAUGGCUGCUGGGUAAUUUAUUUAUUUAUGUUUUAGAAUUUGAUGUUUUUCUUCGGUUUGCAAUUCUUUGAUCGAUCCAUAUUUUUUACCAUCUUGUUGAUUUUGGGGAAUCCAAUAUAGAUGUAGGAUUUAUAGUCUUGGAACCCAAAAUGGCCUUCUAAUCUAGUAUCUUUUUAUAAACUGUUUUUUUUCCUACUAAGGUAUUCUUCUACUAUUGAAAGAAUUUCUUUUCUCGUUACCAUCAAUGAUCCUUAGUCGUAAUCCUUGGUUCAUGAUUGCUGGAAAAUAUUUAGCAGCUUGCUUGAUAUCACAAACUUGUUUUUCCAUUUGGGCUCAGAUGGUCCUGGCCAAGGAAAAAUCAAAAUGAGGGCAAGUUUGAAAUUACAUUUAUAUAUAUCAUAGUUGCCCCAUAAGUUCUGGUAUUUCUCUUAUUUUUCUCAUGUGAGAUAAAACAUAAACUAUCCUUUCUUUGUUGUUGCAUCAUAUGGAUCUUUGUAUUUUAUCACUGGACAUGCAUAUACAUUGCGAUCAUAUUAUCCUUAUUUUGUUUCUUAUAGGUGGGGAUGCCUCACUUAGUUUGCAUUAUUUUCUAUGAGAAGCUUCACCUUAAGAAAUGGGGAUUUACCAUCAUCAUUGAGUGAAAACGAUUCCACAUAGACAUGUACUUGGUUCCCAAACAUAGGGUAAUUCCAAAAUGUUAAAUUUCCUAUCACACCACUCUUGUACAACAAUGUUUCUACCUUAAUUAUUGCAUGAGAAAGAACCUCAAUCUUCUAAAUGCUCUCCACUAACCUGUUCUCCACUGAAUUGUACACCCCUUCUCUCUCUCCCAUGACUCAAUUGCAUGUGGUUGAUUCAAUUUAAUUGAGUAAAAUUUCACUAUCAUUAGGUUGUAACCAAGACCUAUCGUAAGACCUAUAGUAGCGACCAAGAAAAGGCCUCAUCCAUAGCAAGACCUAUAGUAGCAGCCAAACCAUUCCCUUCUCCAUAUCAGAACUAUAAUUGCAGUCAAUAGACCUAUAGUAGCAACCAAACACCUUCUCCAUAUCAGAACUAUAGUUGCAGUCAAUACUAACCCACACCUAUAAGCACUAUCCUGAUUUUUUUUUAAUACAUUUUACCACCUUAUAGUUGCAGCCACCUUUAGCUUUAGCUAUGCACCACCUUUGGUUGCGAACAAAAUGAAGUUGCAAUCAUAAUUUAUAGUCAUACUCUUACACAUGGCCGCAUCAACGGCAUUUCUCUGCACCCCUUGUGGCCACGCCUUGUUGCGGCCCAUUUUGUUUGCACCCAUAUCCUAUAGUCAAAUUAAGUCUUCCUUUUAACUGAGGUCAGUGGCUAUAACCAAAAACUCACUUUCUUGCAGUGGGUGAAAAAUAUUUGCAUGACAUUUCUUAACAUGCUAUAUCCCAUUAAAAAAAUUGAUUGAACUAGUAAUAAAAUUUAGGCUUAUUGAGGAGGAAUUUAGAACUAGAUUAUUCAACUAAAUCUAUAGGAGGGCUAGGAAUAAAGAAAUUUUUUUAUAUACUCUAGAGAAGGAAUUAUGCUAUAAAACACUUGAACAAAAGCUAAAGGAUCCUCAAUUAGAACAGAAAGUAGGAAACUUUCAAAAAAGGAAAAGCAAGCCUGCACUAAAAUUCCUAUGCUUUUGGGAUAAAAAGAAACAUGUAGUGAAGCUUCCAUAUGAACCAGACUUUAAGCAAUCAAUUAUUCCUUCAAACACCAAAUCAAUAUAAAUGAAUAAGAGAUUAUUGUAAAUAUAGAAAAAAAGGAAAUUGGAUAUUUGAUUAGGAAGUUUUACUCUCCAUUAAGUUUGAGAGAGUACAAAAUCAAAUGAUAAAUUAUAGGGUAAUUUGACUAAAAGGGUCUCUCAAAACCUAAUUUUUCAAAUCUAACCUCCCACCCUUUUUUUGGCAUCAUUUGGACAAAAAUGCCCUCAUUAUUUUCUUGUAAAAAUAACCAUUUCUUUUAAAACCUACAUGUAAAUACUUGAAUUAGAAAAUGACAUUUAUGUCAAAAAUGGUUUACUUUUCCGGAAAAAACAUGGGAUAGGUUAGAUUUUUGAUUAAGGGAUUAUUUCAUCCAUUUUAACCAAAUAUUUCUAAACUAUAAGCCUCUCAUAAGGCCAUGAGAUGGAUCAUUAUUGAGAUUUGAUUCAAAUUAUUCAUUUUUAUUUUUAGUGAAAUCAAUAUUUAUAUAAUUUAUGUUUUGGCAAAUUAUUUUUUGAAGUAUGACUAGGGUUAGGAAACUAUUGUUUUAAUCUUAACACAUAGUUCUCUAUAAAAUAAAGUUUUAUAUUAGAUUGAUAAGCAGAGAUAGAAGAAAAAAGUAAGAAAAGAGUAAAGAGAAAUAUGUAAAGGGUGUAUUGGGUUUUGGGUAGAGAAAGUUAAAGAGAGUUUAAAGUGUGUAAUUUGCUUGAAGGUUAUAACAAAUUUAAUCACCUUUCCAGUGGAUGUAAGUGAUUACAUCAAACCACACAAAUAGUUUGUCUUCUCUAUCUUAUUUUAUUUUUCCAUAUUGCAUUUAGGUGGUGUGAUUUUUCUCAACAAGUGAUAUCAAAGCUUCCACAUACUCAACAAUCAUCUACCUCAUCCCAACAAAAAUAAAAUAAAAUUAUUGGAUAGUAUUCUCAAAGUUCGAUAUGAAAUUUGGUAAAUUAAGGUAGUAGAAGAUGAUAAUUACAAAAUAGAAUAAUCUCAUAUAUUAAUGAAGAGAAUAAUUUUCAAAUAAAUUUCCUUAUCUAAGAACUUUUGUAGUAAUAAGAGAAAGGCUAAGAAGGUGCUAAUUCCUUAAAAGGAUUCAACUCCACCUUUAACAAUUUUCUUCUCCCUUAAAAGGCAAAAUAGAAAAUAUAACAUUAGUGCCUAUGGAAAAGGAGAACCAAAGUAUAGGUGGUGUAUACAAUAGGUGCCAUGAGGUAAGCAAAAAAGAAGAGAGAACACAAAAAAUAAAUAAAAUCAAGCACCUAGAGCUCAACAAAACCAAGAAACAUAUCAUGGUCAUUGCAUUACUAUAUAUUUGUGAACUAACUUACUUAGAAAAGUACACAUAAAAUAAGGCUUCUUUACCUAGUCCAUUUGUUGAGCAUCUUUAAAUGACUUACUAUUUUUUCUUUCCAUGAAAUCCAAAAUAAUUAAAAGCGAGCAACCCCUUCUCCUUUAACAUUAUGAAAAAACUCCCCAUACCAUAUUCAAAUAUUUGUAUAAAUGACACCUUUAAAUUUUAAGUUUUUUCAAGGGCAAAAGAUUGCCAUAAACUUAAAUUGAAUAACCGUAAUUAUCAUCCAAAAUAAGGAUAUGUUUAUAAGGUAGUCUGAAAUUGCAUCAAUGUACCUAAAUGCCAUCUUGUCCCUUGUGUGGGGAAAUUAGAAAUUUUAUGAGGUAAUCCUUAUAAAUUUGGAAUCCAUUAUGGUCAUUGCACUUGAAACAACAAGAAGGAAUUAUAUCUUUCUCAAAGCCCACAUCUUAGAAUAUACUCUUACAUAGAUUAGGGAUUUGAUUAGAACAAGCCUAAGCAACUAACAUUUUUAAAUUCAAGGUCAAAUACAUAUGUUGUUGCGAUUGAGCCCCUAAAAGUAAGGCAUAAUAUAACAAAGUUAAACUUAACUAUCCCCUUGUUGUUCCCUUGGUGUAUUGAUAGUGAUUUAAGCAUUCAACCCACAUCUCUUACAUUGUACAUGACUUGGGUGCAUUAGGAGUUGUAUAGAAGAUACAAGUCAUGGGUUCCUUGUAAGUAGAUAAGUUGUCCACAGUUGGUUUAUGGAUUUAGACAAUCCAAAAGAGAUUGUAGUGCACCUCCUCCUAAUUGGAGGGAUGGCUUGUCUUAGCCGUUGGGAUGGGUUUCCCAUGGUGAGUGCAUUAGUGUAUGUGAUGCACACUGGAUAGGAGCUACAUUGAGUCAUGACGCAAUGUUAUCAAUUGUCAUGAUUUACCAAGCUACUAUACUGUAGUGACUCUUAACCUUGAAAAGAUAUUGAGUUUGUCCCAAAAUCAAUAGGAGGCUUUGACCUAUAGGUGAAACCUCAAAAUGGUCAUAUAUCCCUAUGGAUUAGGUCACUAUUGUUGGAAGCUGGUGACAAUAGGUAUUCUCAAUGGAGGCAUCAUGAUAUCUCAUGGGAUUGAGAUAGAAUGUCCUCUUAGGUGAUCCAAAGGACAUGUGAUCAUGAAAUCUGUGGCCAAGUAAAAGCUGGUGACAAUAGGUAUUCUCAAUAAAGGCAUCAUGAUAUCUCAUGGGAUUGAGAUAGAAUGUCCUCUUAGGUGAUCCAAAGGACAUGUGAUCAUGAAAUCUGUGGCCAAGUAAUUCCUUUACUGAAAUUUGACAUAUACUCCUUGAAGCUAGAGUAUGUUAUUUGAUCACAUAAUAAGUGGGAUCUAUAACUCAAGGAUUUGAGAGGUAAUCUUAAUAGGUGAUAACACUACCUUGUUAGAUUAUGAACACUAGUUUAUGGGGAGUUUGCAUAUAGUGGAUAGUAGGUCAUGGACCUGAACACUUGGUGUCUUGUUAUAAUUUACAUAGGGUACUGGAGUGUAAUUGACUCUCUGUAGUGAGUCAGUUUAAGAAUUUGAUUAUGAGGGAGCCAAUACUCCUAUGGGUCCUGUUAGUUCUUGCUCUGAGCUCAUAUUCCUUGAUGGCAAGGUUUAUGAGGGUUGGAUGAGUUUUUAGUUCACUUUUUGUGCAUAAGGGCAUUUUAAUAAUUAUGUAAGAUUGCAUAGGGAUAAGUAAGUGGUAUCUUUGUACUAUGCUAAUUGAUUAAUUUGGCCUUGUAUGGUUAAUUAAUCAAUUAGCAACAUUUUUAAGACUAGAUUAAGUGAUCCAAGCUCAUGUUGGGCUUAAGUAACUUAAGCCCAAUAGGAAGCUUAUAAAUACCCCUUUAAAGGUUAGGGUUUGCAUGCCUUGUCAUUCUUCCUUUCAAUCCAAAGAGAAAACCCUAGCCUCUAGCUUUGAUAUCUCUACCAUCUCAAUGUUUAAACAUAAGGAAGAGUCGUCAAGCAGAAGAUCAUGGUGUUUACGAGAUCCAUUAUGAAUUUAGAGUUAUUUACAUAGAUUGGAAUUGAUCUAGGAACAUCCAUAUCAAAGGUAUGUGACUUUAUUCUCUAUAUCUAUGGUUUCUAUGGUAUUCUUAUUGUUUAUUAAUACCUGUUUAUCCACUAUGAUGGAUUUAGAGAGCUUAAGAUUGAUUUGCAUGCACCCCACGUGAUCCAGGGCAUAGAAAUUGAGUAAUCCGGGGUUCCCAACAACUAGUAUCAAAGCCCUAGGGUAGGUUCUAGCAAAUUAGAGUUGUUCUAAGGUGUGCUAACUCUAUUUUGCAAGGUUCUUUUAUUCAUCCCAUGGCCCUAAGGGAUGAAUGAAUGAAAUUAUUCAUUCAUUUUAAUGUCUUAAUGUAUUUGGAUUAAUUGAUUGUUAUUGAUUCAUUUGAAUGAGUGAAUAUGAAUGGAUAUCUUCUUUGCCUUUUGUUCUCUAGAUUGGGUUGUACACCUCAUAAGGGGUAUAAGAUUUUUAUUUGGUUGUAAAAAUCUUUUCUUUUCAAUAGAUGAGUUGUAAGCUCCAUUAUAGGAGCAUAGAAAUUUUUAUUGUUGUAAAAAUUUCAGUUUUUUGUAUCCAUCUAUGGUGAGCCAAGUAAAACGAAGGAAUCUUGAAAAUUCUUUUUGAGAUUCUAUGGUGGUUAAAGAGAAAAAAAAGAUUCUUGGAAGUUCUUGUUUUGAGAUCCAUGGCUAUACAUUGAUGCCAAAUUAAACUCAAAAUCGUGAUUAUCUCCCAAUGGAUUCUUGGGGGAAGUAACAUAUGAAUUUGAAGCUUAGGAAGUCACAAAUCCAAUGGUUCAAGCGGAUUGCAAUUCGGAGAUGAAAUGAGCUCCAUAUGACUAUUUGAAGCAAGGUUGUGCAAAGUGCAUGACAGCAUAGUGAUGUCAGCUUUGAGCCAAAAUCGUAGCUGCUUUCAGUACGUUUUUCGGGACAAAUCACAUAUGGUUUUUAAGCUUAGGAAGUCAUAAAUACAAUGCUUUAAACGGAUCACAAUUCGGAGUUGAAACAAGGGAGAUAUGACCAAUCGAAGCAACAUUGUGCAAGAAACAUAUUGUUACAGGAUUGCACACAGGUCCAAUUCAUUUAGUUGUUUGGGCUGAAUUUUGGGCUUCUUCUUGGGCUUAAUUAUUAGUGGUAAUUAGGCCUUUUAGGUUUUCUAUUUUCACUAAUCCUAUUUUUGGUUGCAAGGCUAUUUUUUAUAAUUUAGAUUUUAUCCAAGUUGUAAGUACCAAAUAUGCAACAGGAUCCCUAAAGGUCAUUUGAAUUUUUCUAUUUAAUUAUUCUCUUGUUUUAAUUGUAUGCUCUUAAUUAAUUGCAUAUGUGGCCUCAAGAUAUUUUGGUAUUAUUAAUUAGAAAUAAAUUUUCAUUUUUUUUUAAAAAAAAAGAUAAGUUAGAAAAAGGAUUAAGAGCUUUCUUACCUUCUAAAAUCAAUUCUUAGAGAUUUUAAUCUUAUUUAAAAUCUUCUCAAAUCUUUGAGAUCUUUAAGAAUAAAAUCUUUCCUUUAAGUAAAUUCUUAUUUUUCCAAAUGCUUAUAAAAUAGUAUUUUUCCUAUUUUGCAUAGGAUUUCCAAUUAAAAGAAAAUAAGUUAAUUUUGGAAAUUCAUGAUAGAUAAUUUAUAAUUAAGAAUGGUUACUAAAAUAAGUAUUAGAACCCAAAGAAAAGUUUUUUUGGUGUUCUUAGUAAAUUUUCCUAAGAAGAUAUGUUCCAAGAUUAUUUAUUUAAACUGAUUGUUGCUAAGAAGAUUGUUAUUUCUUUAUCACUAUCUAUUUAUUAAGCUUUAGGAGGUUUUCCAGUUCUUUCUUGGUGAGAGAAUGAAAACUAUACCUAUAGUUGAUCCUCCAGGCUCUCCCCCCAGAGAGAAGUAGGAAACCAUUCUGUUUAGAUAAUUCAAUGAUAAGGAAUAAGAGAACAAUUUUUUACCAUAGGAGUCCCGAUUUAAAAGUAAAUAAUGGAUUUAGAAAAUCUCAUGAGAUAAUUUAUGAUAAGAAGGGUUACCAAAAUAACUUUGAAGAGUUUUAAUAACUUAAUGGGGAUAUAAAAUAUUUUGAAAAUAAUUUUCAAAAUUGAUUGUUUAAUUCCUUUUUGGAAAUAAACAUUUUUGGGAGUUUUUCAUAGAGAAUAUUUUAUCUAUUAAGGAAUUACUAAAAGGUCCUAUUUUUUUUGUAGUGUUUAAUAGAAUAAAUUAUUAUGGAAUUUCUAUGGAAAUAUUUAUUAAGUUGAAAAAGUGUGAGGAAUAUAGAAAGUAAAUCUUAUGAGGAUUUUUUAAUAUGAGAAGCAAAAGUUCCUUUCUUGGAUAAUAUGCUCUCAAGAUUAUUCAAAAUCUCAUAAAUUGGUAAUUUCUUUAUUACACAAGAGUUUCCAAUUUGGAAAAUAAAUAUUUUAGAAAUUUUCAUUAGAGAUAAUUUAUUAUUAAAAGAUUAUUACCAAAAAGUUUAGUAAUUUGAUGGAAAUAAAUUUAUUUGAAAUAUUUCCUAGAUAAAAUAUUUAUUAAUUGAAAUUGUGUAUAGAAGGAGAAUUUUAUGAAAAUAGAUUUUAAAAUUUUGAGAGUGGAUAUUUUAUCAAAUUUCUUUAUAAAAAUUACUCAUGGAAAUUUAAAAUUUUUCAUGUUGGUUCUCCUCUUACACUAGGUUUCCAAUUAGGAAAUAAAUAUUUUUGGAAAUUUUCAAAGUAGAUAAUUUAUUCAUAAAAAAAAAUUACUAAUGGUUUUAACAUGCUCUUAUUUAUCUCAAAAAAUAAGUAUGAAAGGGCCUUAGGCAAGCCUGCGGCCUCCAUUGUCGAGCUCAUCUUGAUUUGGGUUCAUCACCACCCCCACGAUGGGUUAGCCCUAAGAAUUAAGAGAUAUGGACUCUCCACAUCGACGAGACUAAAUAUGUUUGUAGUGGGAGCGACCACCCCCACGGCGGGGUUCUUUACAUGGUGACAUUGAUAGUUUAAGGACAAUGGUUAUAAAUUUGACAUUGGAUAUGAAGUGGUAGAACCCCCCCACAUGGUCCCACUUGCAUAGUCCAUGGGCCAAAUAAAAGGUAUGUUGAUCUUGCAUUUAGACAUCUUUAUGGUUAAGGUAGGGAGAUCAAUUUGAGAGGGUCUCUAACUACUAAUAAGGUCAUGACUUGCCCCACGUAGGCUUGAUUCUUAUGAUACUAGGACACUUUGCAAAAAUAUAUGUAGUUUGAGAGAACUACAUUUUUGCUAAAUUAAUUACCUAAUGCCAUGAAUGCUCAAUUAUGUCAUAUGCUUGGUUAUAUUCUUUUUUAUGGAUAUCAUGUUGGUUCUAUUAUCACUCUCUUUCUCACAAUAGGCCAAGCCCAACUAAUCAAUUGGACUAAUUUUAUUCUAAAUAUGGUAACUAAUUGCAUAGAAGCUAGUUUAGGCAGAACUAGCUAUUCGUUAUGAAUUGACCUAGCAAAAGGAAAGAAUGGUAUAUCAAGGUGGUAUUAGACGGAUCAGAAGACCAAGGGUCUAAUGCUUAGAUAUUUGGAUAAUGAUUCACAAUAGCAACACAUGUUUAUUACUAGAGACUUUGAUAUUCUCUUUUUAGUUUGCAAUGGUUCUUUGGUGAUAAGGGUAGGUCAGCUUUGAUAAGCUACUCUUAAGACUAUUAUGAACACUAGUAUUCAUAUGAUCUUAGAGACCUUUCCAUUUUCCUUUGAGAUGGCUAAGGGGAUUCUUAAAGAUUAUAGGGUGUUCAUAUGGAAGUUAAAGGUUCUUUAGCUUUUUCGACCAAGAAAAAGAACAACAACACCAAGUAAGGAAAGUUCAAGAGAAGGAAUAAGAGAUUAAGCUCAAGGGCAAGUGAUUCCUUUGUGAACUUUUAGGACACUUGAAAAUGAAUGUCCUUUUUGUUUAAAGGAAAAAAGGAAAGUAUACAUCAUUUUCUCAUUGUUAAGUAUUUAGUGGUGGAUUUCACCAUUUAUGGUUGAUAGAUUCUAGGCCCAUUAUCUGUAAGUCCUUAUAAGAUAUUCAACAAGUGAGAAGAUUAAAUGAUGGGAUUAUACUUACCUUAGCUUUAAAUGCAAGGUUAGUUAUGCAGGUUAGUGGAAGGUAUUAUCAUUUUCUUUUAUAAAUAUUCCAUUAUCACUUUGUCAAGUGAUGAGAAUAGUCAGAUCUUAGGAUUAAACCUAGCAUUAAUUAAACAUUUGGUUUAUAGACCUAAGUCAUAUUAACCUAAAUAAGAUCCAAAGACUAGUAAAGUCUGGACUCUUUGAUUCUAGAAGAUCUUUCAGUCUAUGAAUCCUGUAUAAAUGGUAAAAUGACCAAGAAGAUUAGAGCCAAGGAAUGUUUGGAGUUAGUGCAUACUGACAUGUAUGGAAAUUUGAGUGUCCAUGCAUGGGAAGGGUAUGGGUAUUUCAUCGCUUUUAGUGAUGAUUACUCUAGGUUUUGUACAUACCAAGUCACUUCGAUUAGAUCAAAGUGAUAUGUCUAGUAAGUUUGAUUCUUUUCAUUGGAGCACAAGAUUAUUUCCCAGUUAUGUGCACCAAGGUCUCUAUUUCAAAAUGAAGGGGUGGAAAGAAUAUGUCAAACUUGGUUGGACAUAGUAAGAUCGUGGAUAUGUUUCACAUUUUUUCUCAAAUUCUUUUGGGGAUAUGCCUUAUAGAUAGUGUAAUACCUCUUUUUCUUAAGAGGUUUAUAAGUUUAUAGGAUAUCUAAGAGGAUUUUUGGGUUAUUACCUUUAUAGUUAGGAUCAUCAAAAGAUAUUUGUUGACACAAAUAUCAAACUUUUGAUGAAGACUAUAUGAUAAGAAAUAAGACAAAAAGUGAUACAAACUGGAGGAUAUAUUAUAAGAUCGUCACACAUUACAUAAAAUACCAUGGAUCUAGAGGGUUAAAGACAUACCAUUCCUAUGAUUUCUAAUACACUAGUGCCUCAUCAUAGUGGAAGGUUCAUAUCCCACAUAUUAUCAUGAAGCAAUGAGCAUGUUUGUGCUCACUUAAUACAAGGACCUAUGAAGAGGUAGUUAGAAUCUUUGUAUUCUAACAUAGUUUGGCUUCCUGUAGAAGUACUUAAAGGGAUAAAACCUAUAGGUGUAAGUUGGUCUACAAAAGGAACACAAGAGUAGAUGGAAAGCUUGAGUUUUAUGUGGCUAGGAUUGUAGCUAAAGGUUAUAGUUUAAAACUUCGUUUCAACUAUGGAAAGCCUUUUCAAGAGUGGUCAUACUCAAAUCUAUCAUAUUACUCCUAUCUAUUGCAAUGUGUCUCAUUUAUGAGAUUUAACAACAAAACAUUUUCAUUGCAAAGGGCCCUAUGUGUAUGUGUACAAGAAGGUAGAGGAAAGCGUGGUGAUGCUCUAAGAUCUUGCAGGUAGAUGACAAUCUACUCAUUGGAUAUGAUGUAGGGAUACUGCCAUCAAUCGAGAUCUAGUAGUCUACUUGAUUUUAAAUGAAAAUCUAGAGGAAGGAGUAAUAUAUUUUUAGGGUUAAGGUUCUUUAGGACUGCAAGAAUAGGAAAAUUACGCCAUGUCACCUACAUAGAUAAGCACUUGGUCAAGCACAUUAUGCAAAACUCCAAGAAAGGUUUGUUACUCUUUGGAUUUGGAGUUGUCUUUCUUAGUAACAAUGUCAUUGGACAUCUAUGGAGAGACAUCACAUUAGGGCGAUAUCCAAUGCCUCUACAAUGGAUAGCCUUAAGUAUGUAUUUGCUUUGUUGUAGGAAUAAUGAGUGGAUAUUAGUCUUUUUCCUUAUUAGAGCUUUGGGAGGAUGUCAAACAUAUACUCUAGUAUCUUUGGAGAAUGAGGGAUUAUAUGUUUGUGAGUCUUUGUAAUGAGUUGGUACUCUUUUUGUAUCAGGAAAUUGGUCCAAUCUCAUAAGGACUCUUGUAGGUUUACUUUUGGGUAUGUGUACACUCUAAAUGGUUUUUUUAUUGUUCUAUAGCAACAAAGGAAGCCUUUUGGCUUAUGGGUAGUUCCCUUGGCUAUAGUGUCUAAGGUCCUGUUAUGUGAUAACGGUGGGAUGGUCUAAAGAACUAAAAUGCCACUAAAAGAGGAAACACAUAAAGAGGAAGUGUUAUCUUAUUAUGAGAUAGUACAAGGAGGUGAUAUGACUAUGAAGCAGAAUCUUUCUGUAGUACCCAGUUUGUUUUUGGGGCUAAAAUCAAGACAUGAUGUAACAAAGUUAGACUUAACUAUCCUCUUGUUGUCCAUUUGGUGUAUUGACAUUGAUUUGAGCAUUUAAUCCAUGUCUCUUACAUUGUACAUGACUUAGGUGCAUUAGAAAUUACAUAGAAGAUACAAGCCAUGGGUUCCUUGUAAGUAGAUAAGUUGUCCACAGUUGGUCCAUGGGUUUAAGCAAUCCAAUAGAGACUGUAGUGCACCACAUCCUAAUUGGAGGGAUGUCUUAUCUUAGUCAUCAAGAUGGGUUUUCGUUGGUUAGUGCACUAGUGUAUGUGAUGCACAUUGGACAAGAUCUAUGGUGAAUCAUAACGCAAGGCCAUCAAUUAUCAUGAUUCACCAGGCUACUAUAUUACAUGGACUCUCAACCUUGAGAGGAUAUUGAGUCUAUGCCAAAAUCAAUAGGAGGCUUUGAGCUAUGGGUGAGACCCUAAAGUGGUCAUGUAUCUCUAUGGAUUCGGUCACUAUUAAUGGAGGUUGGUGGCAACAAGUAUUCUCAAUAGAGGCACCAUGAUAUCUCAUGGGAUUUAGAUAGUGUGUUUUAUUAGGUGAUCCAAAGGACAUGUGAUAAUGAAAUUUGUGGUCACAGUAAUUCCUUUACUGGAAUUUGACAUAUGCUCCUUAAAGUUAGAGAUUGUUAUUUGAUAACAUAAUAAGUGGGAUCUAUACCUCAACGAUUUGAGAGGUAAUAUUGAUAGGUGAUAGCACUACCUUAUUAGAUUACUAACACUGGUUCAUAGGGAGUUUUCAUGUAGUGGAUAGUAGGUUAUGGACCCAAACACUUGGUGUCUCGUUCUAAUUUACAUAGGGUAUUGGAGUGUAAUUGACUCUCUAUGGUGGGAUGUUGAGUCAAUUUUAGAAUUUGAUUAUGAGGGAGCCAGUACUCCUACAGGUCCCAAUGGUCCCCGCUUUGAGCUCAUAUUCUUUGAUGACAUGAUUUAUGAGGGUUGGAUGAGUUUUUAGUUCACUUUUGUGCAUAAAGGCAUUUUGGUAACUACACAAGGUUGCAUAGGGAUAAGUGAGUGGUAUCUUUGGACUAUUCUAAUUGAUUAAUUAGACUUUGUAUGGUUAAUUAAUCAAUUAGCAACCUUUUUGGGCUAGAUUAAGUGACCCAAGCUCAUGGUGGACUUAAGUCCCUUAAGUUGGAUAAGAAGCCUAUAAAUAACUCUUUAGGGGUUAGGGUUUUUAUGUCUUGCCAUUCUUCAUUUCAUUUUACAGAGAAAACCCUAGCCUCCACCAUUGAGAUCUCCACCAUCUCAAUGUCUAGAUACAAGGAAGAGUCAUCAGGCGAAAGAUCAUGGUGUUUACGAGAUCCAUUACGACUUUGGAGUUAUCUACAUCGUUGGAAUCUAUUCGGGAACAUCCAAAUCCAAGGUAUAUGGCUUUAUUCUCUAGAUCUAUGGUUUCUAUGGUAUUCUUAUUAUUUUUUAAUACCUAUUUAUCCGAUGUGAUAAAUUUAGAGAGCCUAGGAUAGAUUUGCAUGGCCCUUACACGAUCUAAUGCAUAGGAACGGAGUAAUCUAGGGUUCCCAACAUAUGCACACUUUGAUUUUAUUAAAACAUGGAAAUAUGUUUUAUGAUAUCAAAAUGAGUAAUUUGCUCACAAAUGGUAUGUAAUAACCCAUUUCCAACCAAGUAGAUAUUGUCCACCUUAGGUUAUCUAUUUAGUUAAGAGGAGUUCAUACAUAUAUAACACUAGGAAUAUUCUCCUCUAUCCGAAGUCAAAUAUUAUAAUCACCUCCUUUCCCCUUCCUAAUAUAGAACAAACAUCCUCUUUGUAUCUCAUAGGAUUACAAGGCUAAAGAGAAAUGAACGCCUUGUGAGGUAGAACAAAUAAAGACACAUCCAAAUAAGAGAUUGGUUAUAAAAUAAAAAUUUAAAGAAAUUUAAUUACAAUUAAUGAGAGGAGGAUAUGAUGAUGGGAUAAAGUAAGAUAUGAUUGUAAGGGUAUUUUUAGAUAUUUUAUGUAGGAAGUAACUGAGGAAAUUUUUGGAAAAAACAAUGAUGUCUUUUAUUAAUUAACAAUUACCAUUAACAAAAGGGGGUAUGAAUGUGAUUUCAUAAAACUAAGGUACUUUUUUAUUAUUUGAUGAUAUCCUUUGUCAUAAUCUUCAUGUCUAGAAUGUUUCAAGAAUAUCCAAGAAAUGGAUGUAUUAUCAUAGAACAAGAGGUUUCAAGCAACCUAAAACAUCUAUGGGCAUUGAAUGCAAGCCACAUCAGUAGUGCCUCAGAUUAAUAGUAUGUAGAAAUUUUCAAGUGAUGCUAGUAAUGCAUUCAUAACUAUUAAAAAAUUACACUAUUCAUUUUGUUGUAAAAAUGAAGACUAUUUGAUAAGAAUCAUAGCGGAACCAAGCCCAGAAGAGAGUGCAUACAAUGAGUCAAUUUGGUUACAUGGGGUUCUAGUAAAGAAAGACCUGAAGCUGCAUUUUGAAAAAAAAAUAAAAAUUAGAAAUAUGCAUAUGUCUUAUUGUCAUCACUUGUUAGAGAGUAUACUAAUUUGAAACAAAGUACUAAGGACGCAACUUGGAUAGGUUGACAAAAUCUGAACUUAACUUGAUGUUUAGGCAGACUUGGCAAUCAAUUUUAACACCUAGGUUUGGUUUUGGUUAAGUUUUUUCAAUCUAAGCCAAUUUGACUUAAGUUUGAGCCAACAUUGAGACAACCUAAGUCUCAUAUUUAAUGUUUUUAUGAUAUUUAUAAUGUAUAUUAUUCGAUAUGAUAAUAUCUAUUUUUUGUUUAGAUUUGUAAGAAAAAAAAUCAAAUUAUAUCACACUUUUUAAGUAUUUUUAUUAAAGAUAUAUAAAUUUAUUUUUACUUCUUUAUUGCUACCUUGAAAUUUGAUCUUAUUUAUUAUUGAAAUUUUUAUAUAAAUAUAUAGAAAUAAACCUUAAAAAAACAUUAUAUAUGGAUUUUGUUAUCAACACAAUCAACUUGAUUAACCUGAACUAAAUCCAAGCUUAUAGAAAUGAGGUUGGGUAGGGUUUGAAUUGAGUACUUUGGGUUAAAGACGAGAUUUAAUUAAGUUUGGAUUGAUUGUUUCUUAAUUUGGAUUGGAAUUUGAUUAGUCAUCAACUUAACCAACCCACCCAAGUUGCAACCCCACAAAGUACAUAUAACACUUACUUUGUAUAAAAUAUCACAAAUGAGCUAAGAAGAAGAUUGUAAAUACACACCAUAAAAGGAAAGCAAGUUAAUCGCACAUCAAAAGAUGGAGAAUUAUUGGCAGUGACUGCUACUACUUGGCAACACUUAUCUUGAUGGAGCUUAUAGGGUAUAUAAGCACUCCAAAACUGUCUUAACAGUGUCCAUUGACAAGAACAUUUUAUUUUAAAACAUGAAUAAUUCCUAAUAGCUUAAAUUCCAAGAUUUGGAUUCAAUAGGCAUAUCAUGCUCUUCACACCCUUCCUCGUGUGCAAAUCAUCUUUUUUGGAUUUAUAAACAUGCAAAUGACGAAACACGCAUGUAAAUUGCGGAGAGAUGGCUUGAACGCAUGACCUCUCAUUAAACUAUACCAUGUCAAACUAUCAAUUUUCUUAAAAGCUUAAACUUCCAAUUUUUUUAUUCAAUAAGUGUAUCAUGCUCUUAAUAAAACCAACUAAUGCUUUUCUCAAUCUAACAAUUAUGAUCAAUAGUAAAACCACAAGAUUUAUAAGGAGAGCCUUUAGAAAUAUAAGAUUAUAAAUAAAUAAAUGAAUAAAUCAUACCGUAUAGAAACCUUGCAUGGAAGGUUUUUUUUUUUUUUUUUUAACAGUCGCUAUGGGUUGGUGCACAUUUCCAAUGGGAAUGCUUGACUAAUGGAAGUGAAUCCACCUACUGCUCCCUCUACCACCACUUUGGGAUUACCAUCUACUCCAAUUCUUGAAAGAAGAUCAACCUCACAAAUCAUGGAAACAUAAAACUAAGGUUAUGUUUGGUUCCCAAAAAUACUAAAAAAAGAAAAGAAAUAUUAAGGAAAAUGAUUUUUCUGUACACGUUCAGUUAUAUUAUGAAAAACAUGAAAGAAAGUUAAAUACAAUUAAAAUUAGUAAGAAAUACAUAUAUUUUAAAUUUAUUUAUUGUUUAUAUAAAUAGUUUAAAUAAGAAAAAAGAAUUUGAAAUAGUAUAUAAAAAUAAUUUAUUACUUUUAAAUUUAUUUUUUAUUUACGUUCACAUUAUAAUCUUUCGUUCCAUUUUUUCUUUUUACUUUAUUUCUCUUAUAUUUUCCUUUUAAAUUUUUUCGAGAACCAAAUAUAGCCUAAAAAGAUACCUCCAUUAGGCACUCUGGGACCACCUAUUGGAAAAUUUUCACAUCAUAGUAUAUAUUCCUUGUAGUUUUUUUAGAACUUUCUCCAUCAGCUUUAAUAGAACCUUCAAUAGGCAUAUAUACUUGAUAAUGGAUGCUCCAAUGAACCCCUCAGUGACCAGUGCAUGAUGCAUGAAAAGUAAAAAAUAAAAAAAAAAGAAAGGAAAAAACAACUAUUAGCUAAAAAAAAUGUGGGUAGCUCAAUAUAAAAGAAAUAAUUAACAUGUAUAUAUACAUUCACUUGGACUGAUUCCUAUAUACAUAAUGGCAAUGUAUGUAAAAUAAAAUUUUAAUGAAAUUACAAAUUUACAGGAUACUACAUGCAUGACAAAAAUCAAUGUUUUUUCAUAACAGGCUCCCUGAUACAUUGUUUCCCACCUUUUUUUUUUCUUACCUUUUUUCACAAUCCUUAGAAAGGAGAUAAAAUCCUUUUGAUAUUGUUUCAAUCUUCUGGAAAGAAUCUAUUUUAAAUGUCAGUAUUUUUUAAUAUCAUUUUGAUAUUAUUGCAAUAUCAGUUGUAAUUCUAAAAAUUUAAUUGUACCAACAUUUAAGUGUUUUGUAGAGUUCUUUUGGUUUAAGAAUAAUUUUAAAUAUCUAAAGAUACAAGAAAUUUAACUUUUUCAAUCUUUUAAAUUUUAGAAAGAGUUUCAAACAACAUAAAGAGUAUAUUUUUUUGCUUUUUCUAUAGAGUUUUUAUACUUUUAUAUGAAUUUAUAUAUAUAUAUUAAAAUAAAAAAUAAGAAAUUUAUCAAGCAUACACCUAACCUUUAAAAGUGGUUUGAUUAAUUUGAUUAUUAAAUUAUUAUGAAUAUGUGUAAUAAUCAAAAUAAAUGCAAGGAUGUUAAAAUUUCAAACAAUUUCUCAUACUUCAAUGUGAGAAUGACCCUUUAAUUAAAUAAAUUAUUAUAUAAUUUUAAAACUAGUGUUUGAUAUUUUUAUUUUCACUUUCCCUUUUUUUUUAAACAUAAUUCAAGUACAUGUAUAUGAAAUAACAAUUUUUUUUUUUUUUUUGCAUUUUUAACUAUAAAUAAAUUUGAAAUAGCAUAUAAAAAUAAUUUAUUAACUUUAAAUUUAUUUUUUCUUUUCUUCAACUUUUUAUCUCUAUUUUCUUUCCCUUUUUCUCUCUACUUUCUUUCCCGCAUAUUUUUCCCUCAAUUUUUUAGACAACCAAACAUAGCCUAUAUAUUCAUACCGAAGAAUGGGAAUUACCAAAAGGGAUUCCCCUUUUGAAGCCAUGGAAAUCAUAAUACUACAUGCCUCUCAUUUUCUUUCUAUAUGAAAAAAAAAAUGUAAUUCUUUCAAAUUCAUUAUACACAAACAACAAACAAAAUCAGCACAAUCAAAAAUACCAUUUUGGUCUCACUUCCACUUCUUUCUCAGUCAAUUCCCGGUACUGGUACCACUCUCCUCCACCCUUCCCCACUGGAAUUAGAACUCGAAUGGAUAACUUCAGUUGUUUGGCAAUUUCUUCUAAAUCUGAACCAGAAGUUCCGAGUGAUCUCCCCAUUGGUUCAACAGGAAUCCAUCCUAGGCCCGAGAUUGCCAAAUCGCAUGCCGGCCUGCACAAGCACAAACUCAGAAAUUUCUGAUCAAUGUACAUAGAAGAGCAAAAUCUAGUAAUAAUAAGCAUCAGCAAAAUUCAUACAAACCUGUCGCUGUCUUCAAAUUUUAUUUACAGUUGGCGCUCUGUUUCAAGCCCUAUCCAGUCUUCCGCUCUCUGUUUUCCAGUUGGCGGUGUCAAAAGAACUCCAAGUUCUCUCUGCAUCAAUCAGGUUUAAAGCUCCCAUCACAGAGUACAUAAACACGAUAACAAAAGCAGAGAUAAAUGGAUCUAAGAACAAUAGAACUAGUGGGCUUUUGUGUAGGCAGAAGAAAGGAGGGUGCUACAUGAAUUUAGUUUAUUUGAUCGCAUUUACCAGAAUUCAGAGCCUCUCCUACAACGCAUCCAGACACAAGAAACAACAAGAAAUUGUAUAAUAUUGAUUUAUAUCUUUAGGACAUCUAAAAGCUGAUUUUAGUUUUACUUUUAUUAUGGUAAACUCGUACACACAUGAAAUCAGCUUCCAAACCUAUAUUGUAUGCAUGCAACAUAUGGGACAAAUCAAUGAACCAGGCAAACACAUUUUCCGGCAGCUAGGUAAAUGAAUACUUUCAUUUAUGAAUUUUCCAAGAUCGAAUAUUCAUAACCCAAAUAAGGGCAUUUACUUGAGAAAAACCAAGACAAUGACAGCACCAGACACGUGCAUUGGCUCCCAGUAUUUUCCAAUUUCAAGGGUAGACAAACAAAUGAAAGAGAAUAUUGAAUCAUUCCUUCUUCAUUGUAUGGAACACAUAAAACCCAAAACCUCCACCCAAUCGAACCUAAUACAAAUAUUUGGCUUCAUUGAGCUAGUAGGAUAUCAUUUUCUUGAGAAAAAUAUAUAUAUGACUCAUAAUUCAAUUUUCUGCUUUUCGAAAGGAUUUUCUCAACAACUAAACAAGGUAUUCAUGAGUUCAUGUAUGCCAGCUAACAAAUGCCAACUUAAUAUCUAUUGAAUACUUGGGAGACAACAGCACAUUACCACCACUUACAGCUAUAAAAGACCAACCAAGAGUACUUUCCAGCAUUUAUUAAAUAAUUGAUAAAUAAUUUGAUUAAAUUAAUAUUAAUAAGUAAUUGACAAAUAGCUAGAUGAUUUAUUUAAUUAUUGAUUAGUAUGUUUUUAAUUUUUAUAUGAAAGUAGCAUACUAUGAAAUAGCAUAAUAUAUGUUUUUUUCAGCACUUAAUAUUUAUACUAUAAUAUUUUAUUUGUAUUAAUUUACUUUUUUUCACUGAGAAAAGUAUGUUUUCUUGUUAUUGAUAAUUUAUCAAUUACCAAGGUUCAACUACUUUUUCAUCCACUUAUUGCAUCAUUGUCUGAAUCUAUUGUCACAUUUUUUUUCCCAUGCUAAAACAUCUUAGGAAGCUUGGGAAUGAUUGACCAAAAUCUAUGCUAAUUAUUCUUUCUCAAUCUUAAUGUAUUCAAAGGAUAAACUUGCCUUUAAUACUCAUGGCACUAAGAAGGUGUUUGAUAAAUCAGCUUAGUGAUUGAAUGGCUUAAUUUAGUUAUUAAAUAUAGUAAAUAUGUUUGAUAAAGUAUCUUAAUAUUAUAGUAUAAAAUUAUAAAUGUCUUUUGAUAAAUCAACUUAAUGACUUAAUAAGCUCAUUAUAAUAUAAUUUGAAGUCACUUUAAGUCAUUAAACAAUAAUUAUUAAGUUCUAUCAAAUGCUCUAUAACUCAUUUUUUGAUUAGAUGUAAGUCAUCAAAGGAUAGUUGAUGAACUUGCUAUCAUUAGGGCCCAAAAAGAUAUAAUGAUCUUCCACUUUAUGAGAAACUUAUGAAGACUUCCUUAUAGGAGAAGAGUUAAUGUUUGAAUCUCAACUAAUUAUAACCAAGUUUGCAUGUGUACCUAAUCAAACUAAAAGAAUAGAAAUAAUUGCAAUAGACAAGUAAAGGAUGGUUGAAAUGGUUAGGUUAAUAAUAGAUCAAGGAUUGGUGUAGAGAGAACCAAUCCCAAAGAUCAAGGAAGUCAUAGAUUAAAUGUUGGCCUGAAAGUGAAUAUUAUGAUUCCAAAUGACUAUAGUUAGCAUAGACAAUUCACUAACCAUAGCUUCACUUGAGUAUAGAUGGUUCACCACAAAGUUGCCAUACCAUUAGAUAGCAUAAAACUCAUUGUAAGUAGGGUAAAUGUGGGGGAAGGUUUGAUUGGCUCAUCUAGAAGUUGAGAGUGUGCUUAGCCAAGUGGACUAAUCAAAACGACUAGUAACGAGAUUUACUUGAGUUAUUCCUAAAGUGUAAGUGAUGAAAAAUAAGGUUUCUGGGUUACCUUCUUAAAUGCCCAGGAAUUUCAAUUGAUUGUUUCUGUUAGGAAUUUGAGGCUAAUCCAACCUAUGGUAAUCACCCUAGAGGGGGGGUGAAUAGGGUGAUGGUCUCUUUUCGCAAAUUUAAACAAGUGAAUGCAAGAGACAAUUAUAUGCAAGUAUAUAAUAAUCAAUAUAUAGACAAUUGCAUAUAAAUUAAAGAGUAGGGAAGAGAGAAUACAAACACAAGAGUUUAUAGUGGUUCGGCGCAACCCAGCCUACAUCCACUCUCCUCUAGCUUCAAUCUCGAGCUUGAGGUUCCACUAAUCCAAGGCUUCCAAACCAAGCCUUCAAGCAAUACAAUUGGAUUAUGGUUCCAAUUCACCCUCUUGGACUUUUGGCUCCAAGCACCCUUUACACUUCUCAAGAGAUAUCCCACUCUUGAACAACCCCUCAAGUGAUACCCCACACUCGAGAAACUUUCUCUCAAAGAUUUACAAAUGAAUGAUCUUCAAAAAUCAUAGCACAAGAACUUUAAGCCCAAAUGAUACAAGAAAAACUAGGAUUGAAUGGUGCACUGAAGAUAUGCAAGUUUUGAAAUAAUGGUGCACUCAAAAAUACUCUUCCAAGGCUCAAAUAUAAUCAAGAAGGAUUUGGGAAGGUUAAGCUCAUGAAACAAUGAAGAUUGGAGCCUUUUUAUAGAAGAAAAAAGCCAAACUAUCCAUUGGGGGUUCGACUGAUCUAGCUAGGGAUCGACCGGUUGACUAGCCGUUAGCAUUUAAUGCUUGGCAAGUGACCGUUGGGCCUCAACCGGACCUCAAUCGGACCUCAACCGGACCUCGAUCGGACCUCAACCGGUUGAGGUUCAACCUUGACCGGGAAGAGAAGGCCACUGGGAGAGAGAGAAACUUUUUGGCCUCCCUCAACCGGUCCUCGACCAGACAAGCACAACCAAUCGACCGAUUGAGCCAUUUUUUGGCUCAACACCCAACCUUUUUCAACUUAAAACCUUUUAACACAAGUUUGAAAAUCAUUUAACACAAGGUUUGAGUUGAAAACAUGAAAUCAUCCAAUUCUUAAGAUAUUUAAAACAAUAUUACUCUUGGAUGAUUUUGGUGCAUAAAUAAAGAAUGAAAUGCAUGAAAAUCCUAGUGCACCAACAACCUUACAAAGAGAUCUUAUGAAGCUUUGGUCUUGAAAAACUCUUCUCUUUGAGGUUGUCUUCUUCUUCAUGAUUUCUCCUUGGCUUGAUUUGUUUUUAUGAUUGCCACUUUGGAAAUCGUCUUACCUAAUCACAUUUGAAAUAUGAUCAUUAGUUCUAAACCUUGUUUUUUUAUCAUCAAAAUCAAGAUUAACCAAACCUUGGUUUCACAGUUUCACUAACUAAUUUUCUUGCUUCAAGUCAUAAAUGGAACUACAAAUGUGAGAACCAUUCUUUUCUCACAACACAAGAGCCUUGACCUUCAUUUUCAUAGAGAAAAACAAUAAUAACUUUAAGAGAAAAGACUUUUUGUUUCUUCAGAAGAAUUAUAUUCUUUCUUUUGUUUUCCGAGGAGAUAAUAAAAUGUAUUUCUUCACUUUUAUUUUCAGAAAGAGAGAAAGGAGAAAACAUAUUAUUUAUCUGUUUUGUAGGGAGAGAGAAUUCUCAAAGAGCGAGAGUAAAAUAUAUAUAUAUUAAUAGUGGCAGUUUCUGGGUAGUUUUAAAACUCCCAAAAACUGCUCCCCUUAUUUCUCCCAUUUAUUGGGUUGGGUCGGGUCAGCCUACUUGGUAACCCAAACUUAACUCUAACAUCUCCCACUUGCAUAAGAUGGGUUGAAAUAGCCCAAUCACUCAUUCAACUCCAUUCUAUCCCACUUUUGAAGGUCAUUCAUACAGGCAAAUGGGUCGUGUGACCAUGCGAGCACACCUACAAUUUGGGAGCUAUAAACUUAUGCACCUGUUAGGGAUACAUAGUAGCUCAACCCUAAAAAAUUAUGAGUGAACAAUAAUAAUCAUGUCUCGUUGUAUCCCAAGCUUAUUUAGUUACAUUUUAAUGUAUACACUUAAUCUGUCAAAGUUGUAUACUAUCCAACAUUAUAAAUGCAUUCAUAAUUCUAUCAAUUACAAAAUGAAUAUAACCAGUUGACCAUGAACACAUCUUUAUCAAUGUAACUCAAAAAAGUCUUCCUUAUGAGCUCAUGCCUUUUAUAUCCAAAUUAACUGCUUGCCCAAUAUGUCCCAUAAGGAUAAAUUAUUUCAUUUUCGUCGGAAACAUACCAAAGUAGCAACAUUAAUUUGUCAUCUCAAAACAUAGUCAAAAAGUACAAAGAGUACAAUAAUAGGCUAUUAUAAUUAUAAUAAGCCCUAAGGAUCUCACACAAUGAAUUUAAAUGAGGUGUGUUAAUGAUUGAUUGAAUAAAAUAUAAAUCAAGCUAGCUUUUUUAGUUAGUUUUUAAAUAAUUUUUUUCCAUCUUAGUUAUUAUUAUUAUUAUUACUAUUAUUACUAUUAUUAUUUAUUAUCAUUUCCAAUCUCAAGUUAAUUUUCGUAUAUAUUUGCUUUGGAUGAUUUGGGAUGAUAGUUUAAAAGUUAGUUUUUUUUUAUUUACUAUUUUUUUUAGAUAAUUUAAUGUCAAUAAAAGUUAGAAUGUUACAAAUAGUAGUUUUGAGUUAAUUUUUAGGUUUUCGGUUUUAAGUAUUAAGUAAAAUAAUGUGUGGUUGUGUGUGAGUUAGUGUUUUAGGUUUUAGAUAUCAAAUAAAUUAGUGUAACCAAAAUGUAAUGGUUGCUAUAAAAUACAUGUUGAUGAUAGUGAAAAGUGAUAUAUAUAUAUAUAUAUAUAUAUAUAUAUAUAUAUAAUGGUUUUUUUUUUUAAGAUAAAAAUUCAUGUUGGAGGUUAAUUAAAGUUAGACUUUUAAAAUUUAAGUUUUAGGUAAGUUUUUUUAUGUUAAUAGGAAAGUUGGUGUUCUUAAAAUAUUUAGUUUUAGAUAUUAUUUUAAUGUAGAUAAAAGUUAGAGUUUUAAAAAUUUUAGUUCUAGUUUUUCCUUUAGUGUUAAUGAAAGAGUUGAAUUUUAUUUUUUUAGUUUUAGAUAUUUUCUUUAAUGUUAAUAAAAAUGUUAGAUUUUAAAACUUUUAGUUGUAGAUAGUUUUUAAUAUUAAUAAAAGUUAAGCGUUAAAAAUGUUAGCUUCAGUCAAAUUUUUUUAUGAUAAUGAAAAAGUUAGUCUUUAAAAUCUUUAGUUUGGUUGGUUGAUUUAAGUUACAGUUCUUUUCAUUAGAUUAAUUAGUUAUGUGGUAAAAUGCUUUUUAGUUUGCUAUGUCAUUGGGUCAUUGUUGAUAAUUCUUGGCUUUAAACAUCUUAUUAUGAUUAUGCAUGUUACGUUUUACUCUCCUAAUUAAAUGUUAUCAUUUUUUGUCCUAACCUCUCUAUUUGUAUUACAAGUGUAUUUACAUUUAGAAUAUACUAUUUAGGUACACUCUCCAACUUUCACUUUCUUUUAAUGGCAUAAAAAAUGCUUUGAGUGAACUAUAUCAAUGUUUGAUAUUGACCUUGGGUGCCUAGAUAUAAUGCAUGUUGAGUGAUAUAAUACCUUAACUAACUUUGGUGUUUUGUAACAGCAUUUAAGUUGCAAAUUUAGGUACACAUAUUGUCAUUUCUUUAUGAUUAUGGUUUGAAUCCUUGUUUGACAUGCUAGAGUUAUCAAACUUUUGAAAUCACCUUAGCCUAUCUAAGUAUUCAUAAUCGAUUAAUUAAUUGUCAUAUUUCCCUCAACUUAGCUAGUAGAGACCUCGUUAGGGCUUAGAGGAGUGCUACCUCUUUGGAGGUACCUUCCCGAUAGGUAGCCUGAUCCCCGAGCCCAGAUUUAAAUUUUUUACAAACGGUUUUUCCAAAAGUUGGGAGUCAUUUUAGGGGUUUUGUUCUUACUUGAUUUCCCUUUAAAAAUAUAUACAAAUAAGUGACGACUCCAGAUUUCACAUAAAUACAAUUUUUUUUAUUAAAAGAAAAUGAGUCUCGUUAAUCGAGUGGCAACUCAAAUUUCAACAAAAAUAAAUGUUCACCCUAAAUAAAAACGAGUCUCACCAGUCGAGUGGGAACGCACAUGAAAAAUGAGGGUCCAAAAGAGAACUUCCAUAUUUAUCAUAUCCCUACAACUACUCUCAUGAAUUAGAUUAAGCACACUAUAACAUGAACUAGGUAGCCAAGAAAUUUAUCCAAAAAAACCAGUUUGAUUUAUGCUACCAAGAACUUUGGUUUCACAUUUUCUCUAUGGGUGUGAAUUGGGUUUAAUAUCCUUUUUCAAGUUAAAAUUAAUGACCACCUUGAUUGAAAAUAAGCAACUAUAUCAAAAUAGUGGUUGUGAUAUAAAAUAAUGUUAUUGCAAAUUUUCCUUUUUGCCUAAGUGAUGAACAUUUUUUUUUACUUGUCUUGCAGGACUUCAACUUCCUUUCUUAUCUUAUUAUAAACAUGUUAUGGCAUAUUAUCUAAUGUGAGAUAAAUGCAUGCUUGAAUGCAAUUAGCUUUAUCCUUUCAACUUCUCAUCCUAUGAUUGAUUUUAGGAUGUAAUAGGUUUCUUGCUUUAUUUUGAUGAUCGCUUAUAUUCUUAAGGUGUUUAUUGUAUCUUUUAUUUGGAGAUUUGUGGACAUAUAAUCUCUAUUCUUUCUUAUACAAUGCUUUUGUUUGUAUUUUGAUGCUCUAUGAUUUAUCCAAACAACGUUAUAUAUAUAUAUAUAUAUAUAUAUAUAUAUAUAUAUAUAAUUUUUUUAUGUUGGAAGAGUGCAAAUGUGAGCGUGUUGGAGUGCAAGUGUUUUAAGUUGCCAAUCCCACAUUAAAAGGGAUUGAAAAUUUUUGCAACUUAUUUUGUAACCCACUUUCAUAGCCUCUUGAGGUUAUGGAGAAGGAAGUUGAAGUCUUGUGUAAUCCAAUGGGAUUUCAAGUGGCCAACUCUAAGAACCUUACUACAUAGUGGGGAGCCCACUACCCCAUUGAUGCAAUGGUAAACCAUAUGAUUCCCUAUUUGUUGUAGUCUAGUCCACCAUACUAGUCAACCAUAUUCCUUGCUACUACAAUCAAGCCGACCAUAGACGACUAUAGUGAUCGCUUUUACUUGCUUGUAGUCCUUUGCCAUUGACAAUGCUAUAGUUGAAUCUACUAUAGCCACUAGUGUUGUCUACUCUAGUUGAGUCCACCAUUGCCACUGGUGUUGUCUUUGUACAAUCAUACCCAUUGCUAUAGCUUUCCUAUAGCCACCUUUUGUCCUUACAUCUUUUAGAGGAGUUUUCCAUUGUUUGAGUUAUACUAUACCUCGUCUAAGGAGUGUACCUUAGAUAAGGAUUUUAGGCUAUUGAAUAUUGGAGUUAGGACACCAAUUCUUUAAUAUUUCAAGAUUGAUCUCAGAGAAGGGUGGAUGUAAUUUAAGAAUAAUGCUCUAUCACUUAAGCCAAACUAACCUCAUAAGUGUCUAAGCUACUUUUUUUCCUCUUGUUUGUUGGUAUUUUGGGCUCGGUCUUGUUUAAACUCAAUUUCAACCAUCUAGUAUUUUGAACCAACAAUCUUAAAGUAGACUUAAUUUAUAAAGACUUCCCUAGUUCACACCCAUCUGGACACCUCUAAUAUUGAUCCCUUUAAUGGGACCUUCUUUAAGAAUGGUAGGAAAUGGCCUUUUCUUCUAUUAACAUUAUGAACUUGGGACAUAUUUUGACUAACCUAAAACUUGAGGACAAUUUACCUACAUGGGAAAUUGGAAAUAGACAAGUUAGGUGUGUUAUUCUUAGUACACUUUCUAAGGAUGUAUAUUGUCAAUAUUAGAUAGCUAAAGAUGCUGGGGAUAUCAUAAAUAAGAUAUAAGUUAUGAAAGAUGUAGGAAUCUAGAAAUAUGCCAUGGGGAAUUUUACAAAAUUUUGGAUGACCAAGGAUAUAAAUGUAUCAUCUCAAAUCCAUGAUUAACACUUGUUAAUUAAUAACUUAUCUAAUGAGGAAAUAAAAUUAUUUGAACCUUCAAUGGCUAGAAAUUUGAUAGAAACUCUUCUACAUUCUUGGAAAGAUUAUAAAAAUAACAAGAAGCACGAAAGGAAACAAAUGUCCCUAGAAAAUGUUGUAAUCCAUAUUUUAGGACUAGUCCUUAAAAAUAAUCAAGUGGUUGUCAAUCAUCCUAAUGCCUACUAUUUGAGUUAUACUAUACCUCAUAAACAAAUGUCCCUACUAUUCGAGUUAUAUUGUACCUAAACCAAGGAGUGUACCUGCAGUUAAGAUACCAUCUCUCUUCUACAUCAAGAUUGAUCUCAAAGUUAGGCAAACCUGUUUUAAGAACAAUGCUCUAUCACUCUCCAAGCCACCCUAAUUUGAUAAGUGUCUAAACUUUUUUUUUUUUUUUUUUGCCCACUUGUUUGUUUGUGUUUUAGGCUUAGUCUUGUUUCUACUUAGUUAAAUUCAACCCUCUAGUAGUUUGAACCAACAAUCUCAACGUCGAGCUUAAUUUAUAAAGAUUCUUCCUUAGUCCACACCCAUUCCUAACCCUCUAAGAUUGAUCCUUUCAAUGGGACCUUCUUCAAGAGAUGGUAGGAAAGUACCUUUUCUACUAUUAACAUUGUGAACUUGGAACAUAUUUUGAUUGGCCUAAAACUUGAGGAAAAUUAUGAAAAUUUGCCUAUGUAGGAAAUUGGAAAUAGACAAGUUAGGCAUGUUAUCCUUAGUACACUUUCUAAGGAACUAUUUGAUGUAUAUUGUCAAUAUUAAAUAGCUAAAGGUACUUGGGAUAUCACAAAUAAGAAAUAUGUUAUGAAAGAUGCAAGAAUCUAGAAAUAUGUCAUGGAGAAUUUUAAGAAAAUGAUCAAGGAUAUAAAUGUAUCAUCUCAAAUCCAUGAUUAACACUUACUAAUUAAUAACUUAUCUAAUGAGGACGUAAAACUAUCUGAACCUUUUAUGGCUAUGAAUUUGCUGGAAACUCUUCCAGAUUCUUUGGAAAGAUUAUAAAAAAAACAUGAAAUGCAAAAGGAAACAAAUGUCCCUAAAAAAAUGUUAUAAUCGAUAUUUUAGGACUAGUCCUUGAAAAUAAUCAAGUGGUUGUCAAUCAUCCUAAUGCCAACUAUUUGAGUUAUACCAUACCUCUUAAACAAAUGUCCCUAAUAUUUAAGUUAUAUUGUACCUCAACCAAGAAGUGUACCUAGAGGUAGGAUACCAACUCUCUGCUACAUCAAGAUUGAUAUCAAAGUAAGGCAGAUCUACUUUAAGGACAAUGUUUUAUCACUCUUCAAGCCACCCUAAUUUGAUACGUGUCUAAACUCUGUUUUUUUUCCCACUUAUUUGUUUGUGUUUUAGGUUCAGUCUUGUUUCAACUUAGUUUCAACCCUCUAGUAUUUUGAACCAACAAUCUUAAAGUAAAGCUUAAUUUAUAAAGAUUCUUCCUUAGUUCACUCCCAUCCCGAACCCUUUAAGAUUGAUCCCUUCAAUGGGACCUUCUUUAAGAGACAAUAGGAAAGAACCUUUUUUGCCAUUAACAUUGUGAACUUAGAACAUAUUUUGAUUAGCCUAAAACUUGAGGAAAAUUAUGAAAAAUUGCCUAUGUAGGAAAUUGGAAAUAAAAAAGUUAGGCAUGUUAUCAUUGGUACACUUUCUAAGGAACUAUUUGAUGUAUAUUGUCAAUAUUAGAUUAAGAAUAUUUGGGAUAUCAUGAAUAAGAAAUAUGUUAUGGAAGAUGCAGGGAUCCGAAAAUAUGCCAUGGAGAAUUUUACGAAAUUUUGGAUGACCAAGGAUAGAAAUGUGUCAUCUCAAAUCCAUGAUUACCACUUGCUAAUUAAUGACUUAUCUAAUGAGGAUAUAAGAUUGCCUAAACCUUUUAUGGUUAGAAAAUUGAUAGAAACUCUUCUAAAUUCCUAGAAAGAUUAUAAAGACAACAUGAAGCACACAAAGAAAUAAAUGUCCUUGAAAAAUGUUAUAAUCCAUAUUUUAGGACCGAUCAUAAAAAAGAAUCAAGUGGUUGUUGAUCAUCCCACUUAAGAACUUAUUUGGAUAUGUAGUGAUCUACAUUAUAUUUUUGUUUUGACAAUUUAAGAGGUUUGUUCUUGGUUUUCUAUUUUCUUUCCAAUUCCCUCUUAAAAGAAAUUAGAAUACUUUUAGGCUUACUUCACAUUAUGGAGUUAUAGGUAGAUUUUUUAAUUUCUUUGUCCUACCUCAAUUGUACUCCACCAAUGUAUUUGAUUAAUUGGUACCCUAUUUGAAUUUGCAAGGCUAGCAUUAGCAGUGGAGAGAUGACUCUUGUUAAUUCAAGUUUGUGUUGAAAAUAUGCUUAAUCCAUAUUUGAACUAUUUAAUAGUUAUAUAAGAAUACCUUGAUACUUACACUACCCAUUUACUAAAUAAAUAACAUGACAUAACAUGUUUAAUAAAUAGGUUGGAUUGAAAUAUUAUUUAUGAAUUGAUACUUUUUACCCAUAACUUGAUAACAUGAUUCUAACUCAUUAAAUCAGUUAACAUAAUUACAAUCCAUUUAACCUCUUUAUGAUUUUGAAUUAAUAAAAUUUAUUUUGAUUUUUUUUAAAUUACUUUUAAGUUUUAUUUUCAAAAUUUUUCUAAAUCAUAAUUAAUUUAAUUAAUUGUAAUAUGCAAUAUGCUUACAAGAUAAGAGAAAAAUCAAACUUUAAUUUACACUUGUAGAGAGUUUUACUUUAAUUUUUCAAUUAUAAAAUAUUUUUAAUCUUUAUAAUUUUUUAAAUAUAUAAAGCUUUACUCUAUUAGUUAAUUAAUUAAAAACUAUCAUUUUUUGAAUUUUAAUAUAUAUAAAAUUUAAUAAAUUUAAUGGUUAAACUAAUUAGUAUAUAAACAAGUUAUUUCUUGAACGUGUUAAAUUAGUCAAAAAUAAUUAUGGCAUAACACAAGAAUAUCCUAUCCAAACCUACUAAAAUUCACAUCAUAUUUUAGUCGCAUUAUGAAAUAAUGCCAAAUUUGUUAGAAAGAAAUAACCUAGUAUUAAAGAUGUUAUUAAGAACCAUUACUUCUAAGAAAUAACCUAGAUUAUGUCAAAGAACAAUUAGCUAGAGAAGAAAAUUUUGUUAGAAAUGAGAUAGAACAAAUAAAAUUAGAACAACAAAAUUUAAGAAAAACUUUAGAAAAAGUUAACCAAAAAGUAGAUAAACUUUUAGAACAAAGAAAUAUAGUAUCAUCAGAUGAACAAAAAUUAAAUAACCUUUUAAAACAAUUUGAAAACUUUAGUUUAGGAGAAAAACCAGUAAUUAGAACAGAACAAAAAAUAAAUCCUUUUGAACCAAAAAGUUUAACAAUAAAACCAUGGAAAUAGUAGAAGCAAUAAACCCCAAAGAUAAUGUAAAAGAAUUUAUUGAAGAAAAAUUAAAGAAGACAGUAAAGAAAAUAACACUUUACAAAAAACAAUUAAUUCAAAAUUCUAAAAUAACUAGAUUUUUAAACCAACAUACUAUAAGUUCAAUAGGAAAUAUUGUAUAUUUAGACUUAGUCCCUCCAAAAAUACAACAUAAAUUAUUAAAAGACAAAACUGAUAAAUAUAUGCACUUAGGAAUAAUUUUAAUAGGAAUAAUAGGACUUCAUUGUAAAGAAAUAGGAGCACUUAUAAAUAUUAACCUUUUAGAUACUAGAAACAAUAUAGUGGGACGAGCUCUUUUAGCUUGCGCAUAAGUAAAUAUGAACCAAAAUUACGCAGUUCUUGGCUAUAUACCACAAUUUUGUAUAGAUCUUAAGGGAUUCAUAGAAAAAAUAAAAAUAACAAUAAAUACUAAAGGAUAUGAUAUGGAAUUAGGAAGCAAGAACCUUAGUAUAACCAUAGGAUUUAUAGGAAAAACUAUCAAUGCUUUAAGUUUAAAAUGUAUGAUGGAAUUUGACGAUAUAGUAAAAACCUUUGGAAGUAAGGCUGUAAAUAAGAUAGAAGCAAAACCGUAAAUAUAGACUAUUUGUUAGGACGAGAGUGGGAAUUACCUCAAAUAAAUAAACUAGUAAUAAAAUAUCCAACAUCUAGUAGUUUAUAUGAAAACCAAGAUGAAAGUGCAAGUAUAACCUUUGGAAAUUAUAAAACUGUAAAUGUAGAGGAAGAGUUAGAUAGUGAGAUAGAAAUUGUAAAUGUUAUACAAGAAAAUAUUUUACUAAACAUUGAAACAAUAGAAAACCUAUACAAAACUCAAAGCUAGUUAAUAUAAUGAUAAAGGAAUUUAGUAACCCAAUAUUACUAGACGAACAGGUAGAUCAAGAAAACUUUGUUGAUAUAAUGUGUAAAAACUAUACAGAUGAGCAAAUAAUAGAACAACUCUAUAAAACCAAUUUAAUAAAAAAACUUAUAGAUAUAGAAACAAUAAAUCAAUUUACUAUUCAACCAAAAGUUAAAGAGAACAUAGAAAUAGUCUCAAACGAGUCAGUAAAUACAACAAAUGAAGAAAAAGAAUUUAUAAAUGUAAAAAAUGAAAUAAUAAGAUAUAAUAAGCCGUAUAGUAAGCCAAAAGGACCUCAAUGGAAAACUAAAAUAGAACUUUCUAGUUCUUUGCAACAAAUAUAUGAAUAUGGAACAAUAUUAGAUAUAGAUAAUACACAAGAUCUCAGGAAAACCAUAGAAAAUUGGGAACAAUCCUUAAAUUCAGCAAGUGUAGUAGUAUCCUUUGAAAAUCAACAAGAAAUUUAUGAAUUUUGUAAAAGUACCCUUAGAGGAACUGUAUUGCAAUUCUUUAAAAACAUGGAACAAGAAAACAGUAGUUAUUUUCAAGAAGUUAGAAAUAAUUUUAGCAUAUCUGUAUUUAUAAAUCUAAUAAAAGUUUUAUCUUUUAGGAACAACUCAAGAACAUGUAAAAGAACCCACAAUAUACCUUCAUUAGUUAGAACAAUUAAAAUUAUGUAACCUUUUGGAUAUAAGGGAAUAUGAACAAAAAUUUAGAAAAUAUGCAAUCCUUGCUAGAGCAGAUAGAACCCUUGAAUAUUUAAAUAAAUAUAUAUUAAAAUACAAGGAUCGGUAGGACUUAGACUAUGGAAUGAAUUUACAACCUCCAAAUACAAAAAAUCUCCUUAUAUAGGUGCUAGAAUAGAAUUUGUAAAAAAAUUGGUUAGAAAGAGAAUGUGUAAGUAUAGGAGAAAGAAGUCAAAUAAAGAAACAAGGCAUAAAUCAACAACUUUGUAGAAAAUUACAUAUAAGAGAGAAUUUAGACAUAGGAUGUGGAGAAUAUAAGUUUAGAAAACUCAAGAAAUAUAAUAAAAUUUUAAGAAGAAAGUCAAGAACCUUUUAUAAAAAACGACCAUAUCAAAUGAUAUAUAAAAAACCUGGAAAGUUUUGGAUAAAAAGAAAAAGAACUACAGAAAGAAAAAUACAAUGUAAAUGUUAUUUGUGUGGUUAGAAAGGCCAUAUAAGACCUGAAUGUCCUGAGCUUAAAAAACCAUUAAAUGAACGAAGUAGAAAAACCCAAGUAAAAAAUAAACCUAAUAAAUGAGUAUCACGUAGAUAGUGAAAAAGAACUCAUUAGUGAAUUAGAUUUAGAAAGUGAAAAUUCAAGUAUAUAUAGUAUAGAUGAUAGUGAAACUGAAAAAGAGGAAAAUCAACCUAAGAAAAUCCCUUUAAAUUUAGAAAACCUUGUACAACCUUUAAAAAGUAAAAUAAAACCUUAUAAUAUAUGGAAAUAUUUACAAACAAUAAUUAAAGGAAAAAUAUCAUAAGAAGAAGGCAGUUGUUCAAACCCUAAAGAAAUAGAAGAAUAAAAAAGUCCUGAAAAAGAAAUAAAAGAACCAAUAGAUCCUGAAAAAACAACCAUACAAACAAUAGAACAAGUAAAUACUACAAAUAAAGUUAAAUCUAUUAUUUUUCCAACAACAAUUAAAUAAAAAACCAUAGAAUUAAAGGUAGAUGCAAUGUUAGAUACUGGAGCCAGUAAAAACCUUUUAUUUGAAACUUUAGUACCUCAGGAAGACCAACAAAUAUUAGUUCAACCAGUAGAAUUAGUCCAAUAUAAUCAACAAAAACAAAUACUAACCAAGUAUAUUUCAAAGAUACCAAUCAUUAUUAAUAACAUAACCUUAGUAUUACCUCAAACUUAUCUUGUGCCUACUAUAAGUUUAUAUCCUUUUAUUUUAGGUUUAAAUUUUGUACAUUCUUUACAAGGAGGGAUAACAAUACAAAAUAACCAAGUCAGUUUUCAUCCUAAAACCAUAACAAUUGUUUAUACAAACAUGGAAAAUGUAUUAAAUAAAAAUCAUAAUGUAACAUCUCAUCAAAUUAACAAAGUAGAAGCACAAAAGGAUAGCAUAAUUAAUGAUUACUCAGAACAAUUAAGAAAUGUAGAUAAAUUUAAAAACCUUAUAUUAGAAGCAAAAAAAUAGGAAUUAUAGGAGAAGAUCCACAAAAACAUUGGAAUAAAAAUAAAACAACCUGUAAAAUACCAAUUAAAAAUCCGGAUUUAACAAUAAAAAUGACAAACAUAGCAUGUAACCUUAUAGAUACAAAGGAAUUUAAAAUUCAAAUAGAAGAACUGUUAUAGAAUAACCUCAUAAAACCAAGUUUCAGCCCCCAUAGAUCCUCGACUUUUUUAGUUAGAAACCAUAAUGAAGAAAAACGAGGAAAAACUAGGAUGGUUAUUAAUUAUAAGAGAUUAAAUGAUAAUACAUAUGGUGAUGCCUAUAAAAUUCCAAAUAAAGAUUCUUUAAAUAAUUCUAUUCAAGGAUGUAAAUACUUUUGUCAGUUAGAUUAUAAAAGUGGAUUUUGGCAAAUUAGAUUAGAAGAAGACAGUAAACCAUGGACAACGUUUUCAUGUCCUUGUGGAUUAUAUGAAUGGAAUGUAAUGCCAUUUGGACUAAAAAAUGCUCCUCGGAUAUUCCAACGAAUGAUGGAUAAUAUUUUUGGUAAAUAUUCUUUUGUUCUUGUAUAUAUUGAUGAUAUUCUUGUUUUCUCAUAUACUCUUCAAGAACACAUGAAACAUUUAGAAUUUAUUUUUGAAAAACUAAUUAGUCAUGGAUUAAUAGUAAGUAAAAAGAAAUUGAAAUUAUUAAAAAAGCCAAAUAGAAUUUUUAGGAUUAGAAUUAAGAGGAUGGACAAAUAAAAUUGCAAGAUCAUAUAGUACAAAAAAUAAAUAAUUUUUCGGAUAAACUAGAAGACUUAAAAAUCCUUUAAAGUUUUUUAGGAUUAUUAAAUUAUGCUAGGUCAUAUAUUGAAAACCUUAGUAGAUUAGUUGGACCCCUUUAUAGUAAAACAAAAAACACAGGGCAAAGAUAUUUUAACCAAGAAGAUAUUAAACUUGUACAGAAAAUAAAAAAAACUUGUGAAGCAUCUCCCAACCUUACAUUUACCCUUAGAAAAUGAAUAUAAAAUAGUUCAAAAUGAUGCUAGUCAAACAGGAUGGGGAGGUAUACUUUUAGUAAUAACUAAUAUAGGAAAGGAAAAACUUUAUAGAUAUUAUAGCGGAACUUUUAAUGAUUAUCAAAAGAACCUUAGUUCUACAAACUUAGAAAUUGAAGCAAUAAUAUUAGUCUUAGAAAAAUUUCAAUUAUUUUUUAACCAAGAACAAUUUACUUUAAGAACCGAUUGUGAGAAAAUUUAAAAAUUCUUUGAAAACAAAAAUUCUUCAAAACUGUCUACCAAAUGAUGGAUAAAGUUUCAAAACUCUUUAAUUGGUUUCAAACCUAAAUUUGAACAAGGAAAAGAUAAUAAUUUAGCAUAUUGGUUAAGUAGGCAAAUAAUUAAUAAUGUUGAUAAUACUAAUGAUUGAUUUUAUGAUUAUAAGAACAUGGCUCAAAGAAAACCCACUAAAGCUAGAACCUUUCAAUAUGGAACCAUAUGUCUGAACGAAGUGUUGAAUCCAAAUUUAAGGUUUAACUCUUUAUUUUCUCAAAACCUUUUUGAAGAACAUAAGGUUAUUGUAGAUUAAUUUUGGUCUCUAAAACCAUAGAGUCUUCCGAACCAAAAUUUAGAAUACGCUUAUGGAAAAACUGUGUCAGUUUUAACCUAACACUUACAAAACCUUCAAAACCAACUAAUUGCUUUAGAAACCCAAAAAUUUCAAAACCUCAAAAUCCAAGAAAAUCAAGAAAAAUUGAUAGAAGAUUUGAAAACCAGUAUAGUGUCAACCAAUCAAACUAGUUGUUCGAACAGUCAACCAGAAGUAAUUAGUUUAAUUAAGAAAUCAUCUCUUUUGACCGAACAAUAUGAAAAACUUCUUGUUAAAACCCUAAUUGGAGCUGAUAACUACUCUUUAGUCGAAACCUUUUUUCUGCAAACCCAAUAUAACAAAGUAUUUAAAAAUCAAGAACUUUUGUAUAAACAUUUUAGAACAAAAAAUGUCGGGAUAAAAACAGGGUAUAUGGCAUAUCAUGACCCUGAAUUUUUCUUUGUUAUAUAUUUAGCUUAUGUAAAUAUGUCUAUUGUAAAUAGAGAAAUUUUUUAUUUAGUAUCCCAGCUCAUGCAUUAGGGAAUUUUAAAAAAUGUUUUUAUGAACCAUGUAUCUCAAAUCCCUGAAAAUUUCCUAAAAAAAUUGAAAGAUAUUUUAACCUAUCUUUUUAAAACCGAAAAACAGAUAGACAUUUCUUUUGAAACCAUUCCACCUUUAUUUCAAACCGAUGGAUCAGUUGCACUAGCCUAUCACCAUGUAUAUAUAAAACACAAUAAAGAACUACUCAUCCCUCAACAAGAACCAGAAUGGGAAAUGACCCGUUCAAAUAAAUUUCCAGAAUUUUUUACUCACUUUACAGCUUUUCAGAUUUAUGAUCUUAGACUAACCCGAAACAAGUUAUUUCAUCUCAUUGGUGAAAAAAAAAACCAUGUCUAUAUGGAGAAACAAACUGUUAGAACACAUCAUUGUUCCAAAACCUUUUAUUACUUCUAAAGAAUAGGAUUUUAUAACCGAACUCAGUGUAGAUAUACCAGAACUCUCUUCCUACCUCAGCGAUGACGCAUUAUUUUGGGAAAACCUGGACGAUGAAAGUUAUCAUAAUCUGCAAAAUGCAAUGGAAGGAUGAUGCCAGUAAUGAUGAUAAUGAAGCAGUAAAUGUGUCUCUAACUACAAAAAUUUAAUAUAGCAGUAGAAGUUCAAAAAGAAGGCCAUGUACAAGCCAUGUAUUCGACAUGUGAUGGAAAAGAAAAGAAAAAGACAAGGGGAAAGUGGAAGAAGUAUCAAACGGAUGGUUAAAGAAAAACCAAAAGUCAAAUCUCAUAAUGACUUUAUCAUCCUUGUAUUUAUUAUUAACCAAACCUGUAAAUAUUUUUCCUGCCAUCCAACCACUUGAAUUAAUUUUCACCUAUCACUUGUAAAUGCUUUGUCUAUAAAUUAGUUGUAGUAAAAGAAAGAAAAGCGUGUCCGAACGAGUGUAGAAAAAAGUGUGUGAAAAGUGAGAGCAAAGUAGCAAGUGGAGCAAUCAUCUGUAUCUUUAGUCAUCUUGAUUACUACCAAAAAGUGCUAUUUUGUAGACCUAAUUAUAAUGGUUUUAAGCACCUUUGAGUAGUAAUCAUAUUCAUUUAACCCAAUUAAUUCAUUAAGGUCCUUAGUAAUUGGUUUUAACCAUUUUUGUGGCAAGUUUACAUGUUUUUAUCAGCUUAUGAAUCAAUUCAAGCAUGCCAAAUGAUGGAGGAGCUACUUGGACAAGUUAAAGCAAGGAUUUUGGAAGUUUACAGGCUUGAAUUUCAAGUGGAAACACGAGCACAAACAAAGGGAUAGCCAUGAUUACUACUCAAAAAGUGCUAUUUGAUAGCUUGUAAUUAACUCUUUUAAACACUUUUGAGUAGUAGUUAUUGCCUUUUAACUCAAUUGGCAUGUUAAGGACCCUUGCAAUCAAUUCUAAUCAAUUUGUGUUAAGUUUUGGUGUUUUGAUAGCUUUUUGAUCACCAAAGCAAUAUGAGAUUGAGGAGAGUUCUUUGGAAUCCAUGGCAAAGCAAAUGGAAAGCUCAAAAACAUGAAGAACCAAAGCUUUGAAGUCCUUUGCCAUAAGCAAAUCCGGAAUGCAAGGAGGGGAAGCAAAGAGAAAUCUGCCAUGAAGCAUUCUUGAUGACAGUAAUGUCAGCCACUUUUGGAGCACUUCCUGAAGUCCAAUUUAUGCAUACUAUAUGUCGUUUUGAAGCUCAGGAAGUCAAAAAUCUAAUGCUUCAAACGGUAUGCAAUUUGGAGUUGAAAUGAAGGAGUUACAGCCAUUACAAGCCGAUCACUCCAAGUUGAAGGAAGAAUUUUGCACAGCGCUGCGAAAUCACCCUUUUGUUGCGAAAUGAUUUCGCAGCCUUUUUGUACAGUGUUGUGGAUUUCCCCCUGAAGUUUCCAGUCAUGAUGGAAGCCGAAUACCACAAGCUGAAAGACCACUUCGCAGCGUUGCGAAAUCAGUCGUUUUCUGCGAAGUGAUUUCGCAACCCUUUUUGUGCAUCUGCGAAAUCUCGCAGACCUCGUUUGCACCUGCGAAAUGGUCCCUAGUGCUUCCCGAUAUUUAUGACCGACACUUGGAGAUAUUUUUCAUCAGAUUUUUGAUGUCUAAAUCCCCAUUUUCUCCUUGUAACCCACCAAUUAUAGGAUUCCUUAGUUAUGAAGUUUGGAAAAGGGGUGAAUAACCUCAUAUAUUUUGUUUUGUAAUUUUCUUUAUAUAUAGCUCUCGGGAGCUUGUUCUCGGGAGGAUCAUGUAAUCCAACGGGAUAUAGAAAUAUAGAUAUAUAAAUAUAUAGAAUAUACAGAGCCUUGCUCUGUUUUUUCCUUCUCUUUCUUUUUCAUUUUCUUGCUAACCAAACUCUGAGGAUUUUUCCUCAGAGGAUGAGAGGCUAGGCUUUUUGUCUCUUGGAGUGAAGAAAGCCGGGUAAGUUUCCGAAUGAAAAAUUGGAAGUUUUGUUGUUUUAGUUUUUAAUGAAGAGAAAGUGUGACCCGUUAAUGGUUUUUAUCUUUUUAGUUAACUUAAAACGCCUUUAAAUCACCUGGGCCAACACUUGGUAAGGCAAGUGAUCUCCGUCCAUGGAGAUUCACUAGUUUACCCCUUGCGAGCCUUUGGGAGGUGACUUAAAGGUAGGAUUUUCUAGAAUAGCCAACACUUGGUAAGCUUUUGGACUCCAAGGAGACAUCCAUUAGUUAUCUCUUGCGAGCUUUUAGCGGGUAAUCCAAGGUUAAAGAUCACCUUGAAUGGCAAGUGCUAGGUGAGAGGUAUGAGCCAUUGCAAGGUGCAUCAGUGAGAGGGAUUUAGUGUUUGAACCCAUUAAUGGGAAGCAUCUGUACAACACCGGUUAGAGAAUUAACUAUAUGUUAAUUCUCUAAUGCGAGGAAAAGAAACAAGUGACCGGAACUCCCUUUUUGUAUGAGGAACCUGAGCCUAGUGAUCUGAACUCCAAGAAACAUUUUUCUUUGUAAGUAAAAUCAGUUACUAUUUUUGGUUAGUUUAAAUCUAAACCUUUUUCAUUCAAACAUCUUUAUGUUUUCUUUUAAAGCUAACCUUGAAAUGAAAAGACACCAAUUCAACUUUGAAUUAAUAUCAUUUGUGAAGUGAAAACCCAUCCCAGUGAACGAUCCUAGAGCCACUAUGCUAUAGUAGCUUUGUCUUUGCUACCCUAGUAUAUGGUGUAAUAGGUUAUAAAUUUUGUUGAUUACUCCCUCAAUCAAGGAGCACCAGCUGGACACGAAUCAGCUGAGACACCAAUUGGGCACGAAUCAAAUGGCGCCGUUGCCGGGGAUGGUGCCACUUUACAGUGAUAACACAUUUCUAGAGUACUUGUGAUCUUCAUCACAAGUUUGGUGCUAUUUGAUAGCUUGUAAUUAACUCUUUUAAACACUUUUGAGUAGUAGUUAUUGCCUUUUAACUCAAUUGGCAUGUUAAGGACCCUUGCAAUCAAUUCUAAUCAAUUUGUGUUAAGUUUUGGUGUUUUGAUAGCUUUUUGAUCACCAAAGUAAUAUGAGAUUGAGGAGAGUUCUUUGGAAUCCAUGGCAAAGAAAAUGGAAAGCUCAAAAACAUGAAGAACCAAAGCUUUGAAGUCCUUUGCCAUAAGCAAAUCCGGAAUGCAAGGAGGGGAAGCAAAGAGAAAUCUGCCAUGAAGCAUUCUUGAUGACAGUUAUGUCAGCCACUUUUGGAGCAAUUCCUGAAGUCCAAUUUAUGCAUGCUAUAUGUCGUUUCGAAGCUCAGGAAGUCAACAAUCCAAUGAUUCAAACGGUGCGCAAUUUGGAGUUGAAAUGAAGGAGUUACAGCCAUUUCAAGUCGGUCACUUCAAGCUGAAGGAAGAAUUUUGCACAGCGCUGCGAAAUCACCCUUUUGUUGCGAAAUGAUUUCGCAGCCUUUUUGUACAGUGCUGUGGAUUUCCCCCUGAAGUUUUCCGUCAUGAUGGAUGCCGAAUACCACAAGCUGAAAGACCACUUCGCAGCGUUGCGAAAUCAGCCGUUUUCUGCGAAGUGAUUUCGCAGCCCUUUUUGUGCAUCUGCGAAAUCUCGCAGACCUCGUUUGCACCUGCGAAAUGGUCCCUAGUGCUUCUUGAUAUUUAUGACCGACACUUGGAGAUAUUUUUCAUCAGAUUUUUGAUGUCUAAAUCCCCAUUUUCUCCUUGUAACCCACCAAUUAUAGGAUUCCUUAGUUAUGAAGUUUGGAAAAGGGGUGAAUAACCUCAGAUAUUUUGUUUUGUAAUUUUCUUUAUAUAUAGCUCUCGGGAGCUUGUUCUCGGGAGGAUCAUGUAAUCCAACGGGAUAUAGAAAUAUAGAUAUAUAAAUAUAUAGAAUAUACAGAGCCUUGCUCUGUUUUUUCCUUCUCUUUCUUUUUCAUUUUCUUGCUAACCAAACUCUGAGGAUUUUUCCUCAGAGGAUGAGAGGCUAGGCUUUUCGUCUCUUGGAGUGAAGAAAGCCGGGUAAGUUUCCGAAUAAAAAAUUGGAAGUUUUGUUGUUUUAGUUUUUAAUGAAGAGAAAGUGUGACCCGUUAAUGGUUUUUAUCUUUUUAGUUAACUUAAAACGCCUUUAAAUCACCUGGGCCAACACUUGGUAAGGCAAGUGAUCUCCGUCCAUGGAGAUUCACUAGUUUACCCCUUGCGAGCCUUUGGGAGGUGACUUAAAGGUAGGAUUUUCUAGAAUAGCCAACACUUGGUAAGCUUUUGGACUCCAAGGAGACAUUCAUUAGUUAUCUCUUGCGAGCUUUUAACGGGUAAUCCAAGGUUAAAGAUCACCUUGAAUGGCAAGUGCUAGGUGAGAGGUAUGAGCCAUUGCAAGGUGCAUCAAUGAGAGGGAUUUAGUGUUUGAACCCAUUAAUGGGAAGCAUCUGUACAGCACCGGUUAGAGAAUUAACUAUAUGUUAAUUCUUUAAUGCGAGGAAAAGAAACAAGUGACCGGAACUCCCUUUUUGUAUGAGGAACCUGAGCCUAGUGAUCUGAACUCCAAGAAACAUUUUUCUUUGUAAGUAAAAUCAGUUACUAUUUUUGGUUAGUUUAAAUCUAAACCUUUUUCAUUCAAACAUCUUUAUGUUUUCUUUUAAAGCUAACCUUGAAAUGAAAAGACACCAAUUCAACUUUGAAUUAAUAUCAUUUGUGAAGUGAAAACCCAUCCCAGUGAACGAUCCUAGAGCCACUAUGCUAUAGUAGCUUUGUCUUUGCUACCCUAGUAUAUGGUGUAAUAGGUUAUAAAUUUUGUUGAUUACUCCCUCAAUCAAGGAGCACCAGCUAGACAUGAAUCAGCUGAGACACCAAUUGGGCACGAAUCAAGCCAUUUCGUAAGGCAAGGCAAAGUACCUUGCCAAAAUGCAAUUUUCGCUAGGUGAAAAUGCACCUUGCCAAAUUUGGCAAGGUGAAUUUACUCAUGAUGUGAAAAUAUGGCACUUCGCAUCAUGAGUAAUUCACCUUGCGAAAAUUUCGCAAGGUAACCUUUUACCUUGCCAAAAUUUCGCAAGUAACCUUUUACCUUGCCAAAUUUCCUUUGUUUCUCCAUGCACGCACCACCGACUUCCCAGAUAUUUUUAGCUUGAUAUUUUCUCGUGUAAAUUCCUUUUGUAACCUUGUAUUCAGCCGACAUAAGGCUUUAUCUUGUAAUUUUGCUAUAUAUAGAGGUGCAUAACGCCUCCAAAAGAUUUAUUAUUGGGUGAUCGAUCCUCUGUACAUUAAUUUAGAAAUAUAUAAAGCUCUGUUUUUCUCUCUUCUCCUGUUCUUCCCCAUUUCUAUUUUCUUAGUAGCCAAACAGCCUCUGAGGACUUUUCCUCAGAGGAUGAUUGGCUAAAACUUUUAAGUUUCUCAAAGUAUGGAUGUUAUGUGAUGGCUUGGAUGCAAUCCCAUGGAAAUUUCUCGCACCUGGAAGGUAAGGUAGUCGUUUUUCAUUAAUGGUUCAUUAAUGCAAAGUUUGGUUUUUAUUUCCUUUGGACAACUGCUGACGGCCAAUACUUGAUAAGCUUUUGGAUUUCUAUCCAUUAGUUAUCUCGUACGAGCUAUUGGAAGGUGAGGUUUUCAAUUCCAAGUUUUGCAUUAAUCCGUUAGAACCAAUUUCAAUGGCCAUUGAAAGGUGAGUUUAUCACCUGGAAUGACUUUGAGUUGCCAAUAUUUGGUAAGCUUUUGGAUUUAGACCAUUAGUUAUCUCUUACGAGCCAUUCAAAGGAAUUCUAAGGUGAAUAACCAUUGAUGAAAUUCACUACCAUCUGUUUUGCCAUUUUAAAGGAUUAAAACUUGAUUUGCUAAAUCCAUACCGGUUCGGGAAGCAAGCGUCACCAUAGUUGCAACCCCAACGCGAGGAGCCUAUCCUGAGAUUUCCAAUUUGCAUAAGAGCCAGAGCAUAGCUAUCCUAUCUUUGAGAAACUUGUUUUUACACCCUUUCAUUUUAGUCUUUAAUGUUAGCUUAGAUUAGUUUAAAUAUUUCUAAAACAUUUACAUCUUCUUUUAAAGCUAACAUCCAUAAGAAAAUCACCUAUUUUCCUAAUUUGAAUAUCACUAGUGUUUGCGAAAACCCUUCCCAGUGAACGAUCCUAGAACCACUAUGCUAUAGUAGCUUGGCUACUUUAGUAAUAGUAUUUAAGGUAUAAAUUUUGUUGAUACGCCUUUAAAGCUAAGCUACCAUAAGUCACAUCACAUCUUGUAAAUUUAUCAACAAUAAGAAAGUAAGAAUUUUCUGUUAAAUUUCUGCUUUCAUUUAGAAUUUAUUUUAUUUUGUGUAUUUUUCUUACCCUUAGGGGUAAAAAGGGUAAAAAGGUAAAGUAGGGAAAUGAAAAUUAUUUGAAUUAUUUUCCAAUUUUUUUUACUAGUUAAUAUCUAUAAUAUACAUGGAUCCUUUAUAUAUAUAAUUGAUAAAACAACGGCUAUGAAUAAUUAAGGAAAAUACCCAAAAGGGGGGGGGGGGGGGGGGUGAAUUGGGUUUUUCAAAAUCUUUUUCCACACAAUAAUAUAUGCACAAAAUAAAUAAAGGAAAGAGAUAAAGUUAGAGAAUUCAAACUCGGGUUUAUAAUGGUUCGGCACUCCCUUGCCUACGUCUACUCUCCUCAAUCUCCUAACCAAGUGAGGGUUCCACUAACUUGAAGCUUCAAUCAAGCUUUCAAUCGUCUUACACUUGGAUUCCGGCUUCAAUGGGCUCUUACACAAUCUCUUCAAGAUUUGAACCACUUGAAGGCUUUCACACUCAGUUUACACAAGGAUGAAACUCUCAACCUAGCUUGAUUACAAGAGAAAGCUAGGAUGAAUUACAAGAGUGCACUAAGAAUAUGCAAGCGAUGGUUUAAUGCACUAAGAAAGAAAAUGAGAGCUUUUUAGAUCAAGAACAGGUAGGUAGGCUUUGAAUGCAAUUGUUCUCUUAGUCAUAAAUGAAGAGGAGCUCUCAAUUUAUAGGUUUCUAAGCUCGGGAGACAAAAACAGCAGAAAGUAGCCUCGACCGGACGAGCAAAGGGUCGACCGGAUCACUAGCCGUUGGAGCAUUUAAUGCAUGGCAGGUUACCGUUGCCUCGACCGGACCUCGACCGGACAAGGGUGAGGCUCGACCGGGAAGAGAAAGCUACUGGGAGAGAGAGAAGGUUUUUGUGCCUCCUUCGACCGGACCUCGACCAGACAAGGGAAACCGGUCGACCGAUUCCCCAACCGGUUGGCCAUAGCCUCGACCGGAUGAGCCUUUUGGCCCUGAAAACCUAUCCUUUUUUUAUUUCUUUCUUUUCCAAUACUUAGGCAAGGUCUUUAGGUGAGUUAAUAUGCCAAUUUUGAAUCAAUUUGCCUAAGGUAUAUUUGAUAAAACUCGGGUUUUAAAGAAAAUCAAGUUUUAAAUAAUAAACUGAGUUUUCUAAGAUGCAUGAAAAGGUAUGAACAUCCUAAGUGCACUCAUGCUAUCAUCUUACAUUCAUUUCCUAUUAUCACAAGUCUUCCAAAUGAUCUCGAUCCCGUAUUCGUUUGGUCCUUGAUGAAUUUUUGAGAUUAUGCCUAAGAUUCUUAACAAUUUAAAACAAUUAGUCACUUAACCAUGGUUUGUUAUCAUCAAAACCUGAUUAGGAGAACCCUUGGGCUAACAAUCUCCCCCUUUUUGAUGAUGACAAACCUUGGUUAUCUAGGAGACAGAGAAAUCUCCCCCUCAAACCAACCAUGGGAUAAUCAACACAAAAUUUAGGAAAUUUAAAGCGAGAAGACAAUGUAAAUCAAUAAGAGUGUCAUAUCAUAUAUAAGCAAGAGCAAGAGUACAUGAAAGCAUAAGUAUGAUAUGCAUGGAAAUGAAAAAGUCUCCUAAGGUCCCUAUCCUAACAUAUCUCCCCCUUUGGCAACAUAAAAAAGAAACGAAGGGGGGUCCCAAACAAAGUCAAGGCUGAGGAGGUGGUGGUGGAAACACAGAACGGAGGUAAGCCAUCAUCUCCUCGUGCUGACUCUCCUAGCGGCUCUCAAGACGCUCAAUCCUCUGUACAAGAUGCUCAAACUGAGAGGUGAAGCCGACCUGAUACUGAUCGAUGUGAUCCUCCAUGGAAUAAAAGCGAGUAUCAUGAACUACUGCUAACUCCUCCAUAUGAGUCCCGAGAGAGCUAAUCUGUGCCGACAAAUCCAUCCAAGGUGGAUGAUCAGGAGCAUGAGGAGCCUGAGAUGGUAGCUCGGUAAAUGAUGGCUGAGAUGAAGGGCCUGCUGUGAAGGAUGGCUUAGUCAUCAUAGGCUCUGAGAAGGUAGCCUCAACAUGAAUGCCCUCUAACUGAUGUGGAAGCGGAAUGUCAAGCUCGGGCCCUCUCUGCUCAAGGUCCCUCUGAGGGUCCAACCCAUCCUUCAUCUCUCUGAUCUCGUCCUCCUCCUCUACUCCGGGGUGUAUCUGAUCAUGUCCCCAGGCCUGUCGCUCGGCUUUCCUAACCCAGGAGCCAUCGGGGGCCUUCUCAAGCUUCAUGCGCCCCAGAGAAUGCUCGUCAUACGUGUCAUAGAUGCUGGGUGCCUCAAACUCUGUCUCUCUACUCAAGUCUACCCCAGCAUCCUUGAAGACACGAGUAAGGAAGCGGCCGUAGGGAAGCACUCGUGUGGUGCUCUCACAGCAGGACAUCAUAUGCCUCAUCAUCACAUAUCCUACAUGUAUCCGCCUCCCGGUGAGAAGUGAGUCGACAAGAAAGGCCUCAUAGUAGGAGACCUCGUCCCGAUGUCCUCCCCGUGGUAAUAGGAUGGAGCAGAUCAUAUGGUGAAGGACUCGGCUAGGCACGGUCAGGCUAUGUGCUGAAGGUUUGCCCAUCCCAUGGGCAUCUGCAAGUCCGCACAGUCUCUAAAUGGCCUCUCUAGGCUCGAACCCUGGGAUAGUAAGCCAUGCCUUGGCCUCAUAUACUCUAAGACCAACGGGGGGAAUGUCAAGGAUACGGCAGAUGCUCUCCGGACUCAACUCAAUCUCAACUCCUCGGACAGUAGUCCUAAUCGGUCCUCCAAGUCCAUAGGUCAUCCUGGAGUAGAAUGCACUCACUAAGGUCGGAAAGAUAGGCUCGGAAACCGUCACAACUGGCAGCCAUCCCAUCCUGAUGAAGAGUCCCUCAAACCCGAGGCUCUGAAGUUGGGAGAAAUUUAUGUUUCUCCCUGGAACCACCUUUCUCUUGGCGAAAUGCGUCUUGUACCUCUGAUAAUCCUCAACUGAGCCGAAGAGGGCGGUGUCGUACCUCGCCUUUCGACGAGCCUCGGUCUGCUCAGGCUGCUGAGAGGGCUCAGCAGGGCGCUUGCCCUGAGCCUUGGAAGUACCCGUCUCCUUUCGAGAAGCCAUCCAAAAUCCAAAAAUGGAGAUAAGCUCGGAGAACUGAAGCGAGCAGGCAAAGAGAGAAGACCGACCCGAAUAAGCCCUAGGCGUGUAGGGAAGGAGCAAAACCAAAAGAUGGUGCGCAAACAUAGAGGAACCCGCCCAGAUCCGAAGUCCAAAUCCGUCUAGAGAUGAAACCCUAGCCUCAAAAUCUCGUCAAAAAUCACUUCAAAACCUUAAAUCGGUCCAAGGAAUAACCCAAACUGGUCUCUGAAGGCGGGAAGAUGAAGAGUCUUCAAGGAAUGGCAAAGAAUAGUGGAAAAAAAAAACUGACGCACGGGGGCCUUUUAAAUUCCCAGCCCCGACGAACCGGUCGACUGGUUACCCAACCGGUCGACCGCCUGGUCAACGGUCAACGGUCACAUUUUCCAAUUUUUCUUGCUUUUUCUUGUCUCGUGAUCCUCUCCCUGCUCUUUUCAGUUGAAAUCCCCAAUUUUUUAUGUCCAAUGCCACGGGAAUUUUGAUUUUUGGUCAAAAAUUGACCUAUUUCCUAAGGGAUUGCUAUAUGAUGCGUAUGAGAUGAAAUUUAUGCAAUCAUAAUGCAUUUCCAACAAGAAUUCAUUAUACAAACAUCAGAUCAAAGAGAAAUAACCCCUAGUUGUCUUCUAAUAUCGGAAAAUUGUUCUUCACUUAGAGGUUUUGUAAAAAUAUCUGCAAGUUGAUCUUUUGUGCUUACAAAUUCAAGUGUAAUGUCACCCUUUUGUGCAUGAUCUCUAAGAAAAUGAUGUCUAAUUUCUAUAUGCUUGGUCCUAGAGUGUUGCACGGGAUUUUUUGAAAUAUUUAUGGCACUAGUGUUAUCACAUUUGAUAGGAACAUGCUCAAAAGACAAGUUAAAAUUACUAAGUGUUUGUUUCAUCCAAAGGAUUUGUGCACAACACAAACUGGCUGCUAUGUAUUCUGCUUCCACCGUUGACAAAGCUACCGAAUUUUGCUUCUUACUAUGCCAUGAGACAAAUGAGUGUCCUAAGAAAUGACAAGUGCCACUAGUGCUCUUUCUUUCAACUCUACAACCGGCAAAAUCAGCAUCCGAGAAACCAAUCAAUUCAAAAUUAUCACCCUUAAGAUACCACAAACCAAUAUUCAUUGUCCCUUUCAAAUAUCUAAGAAUUCUUUUAACGUCACUUAAGUGAGAUUCUUUAGGACAAGAUUGAAAUCUAGCACACAAGCAUACACUAUACAUGAUAUCGGGUCUACUAGCGGUCAAAUAAAGCAAGGAUCCUAUCAUGCCUCUAUACAUAGUUGAGUCAAUAGAUUUACCUUUUUCAUCCAUGUCAAGCUUGAUGGAUGAGCUCAUUGGAGUUUUCAUCACCUUGGAUUCUUCCAUGUUAAACCUCUUGAGAAGAUCCUUUAUAUACUUUGCUUGAUUGAUGAAGGUUCCUUCCUUUAGUUGCUUGAUUUGAAGUCCAAGGAAGAAAUUGAGUUCUCCCAUCAUGCUCAUUUCAAACUCACUAUGCAUACACUUAGAGAAAUCUUCACAAAGAGAGUCAUUAGUAGCUCCAAAAAUAAUAUCAUCAACAUAUAUUUGAACUAGGAGCAUAUCCUUUUCUUUGGUUUUUAUGAAAAGAGUUGUGUCAAUUUUUCCCAUUUUAAAACCCUUUUUCAAAAGAAAUUUACUUAGUCUUUCAUACCAAGCUCUAGGUGCUUGUUUCAAACCAUAAAGUGCCUUUUUAAGUUUAAAAACAUGGUUUGGAAAGUUAAAGCUUUGAAAACCGGGUGGUUGUUCAACAUAUACUUCCUCAUUUAUGAAGCCAUUUAGAAAAGCACUUUUCACAUCCAUUUGAUAUAGAAUAAAGUCUUUGAAACAUGCAAAAGCAAGCAACAUUCUAAUUGCUUCCAAUCUAGCUACGGGGGCAAAAGUCUCUUCAUAGUCUAUUCCUUCUUCUUGAUUAUACCCUUGGGCUACCAAUCUUGCCUUAUUUCUUACUAUGAUGCCAUUUUCAUCCAUUUUGUUUCUAAAGACCCAUUUGGUUCCAAUAACACUUUGAUUUGAAGGUCUUGGUACUAGUUCCCAUACUUCACUUCUUUCAAAUUGAUUUAAUUCUUCUUGCAUAGCAAUCAUCCAAUUUUCAUCAACUAUAGCAUCUUUUAUGUUUUUAGGUUUAAUUUGAGAGAUGAAUGCAAGAUUAUUACAAAUAUUUCUAAGGGAUGAUCUAGUUAUUACCCCACUUGAUGGAUUACCAAUGAUUUGAUCUUGUGGAUGGUUGAUGACAAACUUCCAAUAUUUUGGAAGGUCUUGGCUUGAUUCACCUUGCACUUGUUGAGGAGGAGGUAGUGCCAAAGGUGAUUCUUCUUUCUUGGGAUCCUCUCCACUUUCUUCUUGUUGUCUUUUGUCCUCAAUUUGCAAUUUUCUCAUGGAGGUCUCCAAUCCUAAAUCAUCAUCAAAACUAUCUCUUUCUUGAAGAGAAUUGUUAGAUUCAUCAAAAAUGACAUGGAUGGACUCUUCUACAACCAUGGUUCUUUUGUUGAAAACUCUAAAAGCUUUACUUGAAGUUGAGUAGCCAAGAAAAAUUCCAACAUCGGAUUUUGCAUCAAAUUUUCCAAGAUUAUCUUUGGUGUUUAAUAUAAAACAUUUGCACCCAAAGACUUUGAAAUAGCUAAUGUUGGGUUUCUUGUUUUUCCAAAGCUCAUAGGGAGUUUUCUUAAGAAUGGGCCUCAACAAUAUUCUAUUUAAAACAUAGCAAGAAGUGUUUACCGCUUCGGCCCAAAAAUACUUUGGCAAAUUGUUUUCAUUUAGCAUGGUUCUAGCCAUUUCUUGAAGAGUUCUAUUUUUCCUUUCAACUACCCCAUUUUGUUGAGGAGUUCUAGGAGCCGAAAAAUUGUGAUUGAUACCAUGCUUAUUGCAAUAUUCCUCAAAGUCAAAAUUCUCAAAUUCUCUCCCAUGAUCACUUCUAAUGCAAGUGAUUGAAAAGCCUUUUUCAUUUUGAACCUUGUUACAAAAUUUUGAAAACUCAUAAAAAGCUUCACUCUUUUGACUUAAAAACAAGACCCAUGUGUAUCUAGAGAAAUCAUCCACAAUGACAUAAGCAUAAGAUUUUCCUCCUUGACUAGGUGUCCUAGAAGGACCAAAUAAAUCCAUGUGUAGCAAUUCAAGAGGUCUAGAUGUUGAGAUGAAAUUUUUGUUUUUAAAAGAGUUUUUUAUUUGCUUUCCCAUUUGACAAGCUUCACAAAUUUUGUCUUUUUGAAAAUUAAUUUUGGGAAGGCCUCUAACGAGUUCAUCUUUGUUGAGUUGGGAAAUGAGGUCCAUGUUAGCAUGUCCCAACCUCCUAUGCCAUAACCAACUUUGAUCAUGUAUGCUUGAAAAACAUCUAUCAUGGCCAUCAUAUUUUGAAAUAUUUAUAGCAUAUACAUUUUCACACCUAUGGCCCAUGAAGAUGGUUUUUGUCAUUUUGAAUAUCCUUGAUGAUACAAUGAGAUGCUUCAAAAAUUACUUUAAAACCUUUGUCACAAAGUUGACUAAUGCUCAAAAGAUUGUGUUUUAAACCAUCUACUAAUAAAACACUUUCAAUAAGGGAGGAUGUACCAUUACCUAUGUUACCUUGACCAAUGAUUCUUCCUUUUGCAUUGUCUCCAAAGGUGACAUAUCCUCCUUUUCUCUUUGUAAGGAAGGCAAACUUGGAUUCAUCCCCGGUCAUGUGUCUUGAGCACCCACUAUCCAAGAACCACUUAUCCUCCUUUGAGCCUUACAAAAUAGAACUCAAGUUGGUUUAGGUACCCAUGUCUUUUUGGGUCCUUGAGGGUUAGUGACUUUGGAUUUUUCAAUCCAAAAUUUUUUAACCUUAGCAUUUGAAUUCUUUUGAGCACCAUUUCUUAAGGGACAUGUACUACUAAUGUGCCCUCCUCUUCCACAAAAGUUACAAAUAGUGGAAGGACAUUCACUUGAGGAUUCUUUUACAAAAUAGUUUUUAAAAUAAUUUUGGUUCUUUGAAGAUUUAAAUCCUAGUCCUUGUUUGUCAAAAACACAUUUUUGGCUUGCUAAGAUCAUUUCAAAGGACUUUUGUCCACAAGAGAAAAUUGAAAGAGAGGAGGUCAACCAUUCAUUUUUCUUUUUCAAAAUUUCAUUUUCAUUUCUUCAAAUCUCAUUCUCUUUUUCAAGAUGAGUUUUAGAGAUUUCAUCAAUCGAAAACUUUUCUUUCACUUCCUCAAGUUCUUUUUCAAGUUCUUGAAUUCUCUUUUUAAGAGAAUUAUUUUUCAAACUAAGUUUUUCAAAAUCCUCAUAUAGUUCUUCAAAAAUAACAUGCAUAUCUUCAUCACUAGAGUUAGAGUUUACCUCAUCAAGAUCAUCUAUUGCCAUGAAGCACAUGUUUGCCACUUCUUUUUCCUUUUCUUCCUCGGAAGAUUCUUCACUCACUCCAAGUGGCCAUCAUUGCCUUCUUCAUUCUUCUUUUGGAUUCAAUUUUGUAGAGAGGACAAUCAUAUUUAAUGUGUCCCGACUUUUUGCAUUUGAAGCAUAUCAAAUCUCCUUUCUCUUCCCAUUUUUCCUUGUCACCAUGUGAUGAGGAUUCCCUUCUUGAGGGAUUUCUUCUAGAGGUAAACUUUUUCCCUCUAAACCUUUCACCUCUCAUGUACUUGUUUAGCUUUCUUGUGAUGAGAGCUAAAUCAUCAUCUUCUUCACUUGGUUUUUCUUCUUCAACAUCUUCUUCUUCCUUGGUUGUAGCCUUGAGAGCUAUGUUUUUCUUCUUUUUGUCUUCACUCUCUUGUAGUUACUUUGUCAAACUGAUUUCAUAAGUCAUUAAUGACCCUAAGAGUUCUUCCAUAGGUAGCUUGGUCAAAUCUUUAGCUUCUUGAAUAGCGGUGACCUUUGUAUGCCACUUUGAGGGGAGAGACCUUAAUAUCUUCAUCACCUUUUCGGAUUCAUUUAUGACCCUUCCCAAUGCUUCAAGGCCAUUGACAAUUUUAGUGAACCUAGUGAUCAUCUCAACAAUAGUUUCAGUUUCUUUCAUUGAAAACAAUUCAUAGUUAUGGACAAGUAUAUUAAUUUUUUACUCUUUCACUUGAUUUGUUCCUUCAUGAGUUAUUUCAAGCAAUCUCCAAAUUUCCUUAGCAGAUUUACAUUGGCAUAUUCUAUUAUAUUCAUUCCUAUCCAUAGCACAUUGCAAAGUAAAAACGGCUUUAGCAUUUAAUUGAAAAUUUCUUCUAUCAAGCUCAUUCCAUUCUUUCUUGGGUUUUGGAACCAAAACUCCAUCAACUAAUUUAGUGGGAAAAGUUGGGUCAUCUUCAAUGACAUCCCAUACAUCUAAAUCAGUUGAUUGUAAGAACCAAGUCAUUCUAGCUUUCCAAUAGGGAUAGUCGGUUCCCGUAAAGAAUGGAGCUCUAUGUUUUGAACAAUUUUCAGUUUGAGAUGAGCUUGAUGGAAUAGCCAUUUUCCUCUUAGAUGAUUAAGUCUUAAGCAAGAGGUCUAGCUCUGAUACCAAUUGAUAAAACAACGGCUAUGAAUAAUUAAGGAAAAUACCCAAAAGAGGGGGUGAAUUGGGUUUUUCAAAAUCUUUUUCCACACAAUAAUAUAUGCACAAAAUAAAUAAAGGAAAGAGAUAAAGUUAGAGAAUUCAAACUCAGGUUUAUAGUGGUUCGGCACUCCCUUACCUACGUCCACUCUCCUCAAUCUCCUAACCGAGUGAGGGUUCCAUUAACUUGAAGCUUCAAUCAAGCUUUCAAUCGUCUUACACUUGGAUUUCGGCUCCAAUGGGCUCUUACACAAUCUCUUCAAGCUUUGAACCACUUGAAGGCUUUCACACUCAGUUUACACAAGGAUGAAACUCUCAACCUAGCUUAAGGAAGGCUCAAGUACAAGAGAGAGCUAGGAUGAAUUACAAGAGUGCACUAAGAAUAUGCAAGUGAUGGUUUAAUGCACUAAGAAAGAAAAUGAGAGCUUUUUAGAUCAAGAACAGGUAGGUAGGCUUUGAAUGCAAUUGUUCUCUUAGUCAUAAAUGAAGAGGAGCUCUCAAUUUAUAGGUUUCUAAGCUCGGGAGACAAAAACAACAGAAAGUAGCCUCGACCGGACGAGCAAAGGGUUGACCGGAUCACUAGCCGUUGGAGCAUUUAAUGCAUGGCAGGUUACCGUUGCCUCGACCGGACCUCGACCGGACAAGGGUGAGGCUCGACCGGGAAGAGAAAGCUACUGGGAGAGAGAGAAGGUUUUUGUGCCUCCCUCGACCGGACCUCGACCAGACAAGGGAAACCGGUCGACCGGUUCCCCAACCGAUUGAGCCGGUUGGCCAUAGCCUCGACCGGAUGAGCCUUUUGGCCCUGAAAACCUAUCCUUUUUUUAUUUCUUUCUUUUCCAAUACUUAGGCAAGGUCUUUAGGUGAGUUAAUAUGCCAAUUUUGAAUCAAUUUGCCUAAGGUAUAUUUGAUAAAACUCGGGUUUUAAAGAAAAUCAAGUUUUAAAGAAUAAACCGAGUUUUCUAAGAUGCAUGAAAAGGUAUGAACAUCCUAAGUGCACUCAUGCUAUCAUCUUACAUUCAUUUCCUAUGAUCACAAGUCUUCCAAAUGAUCUCAAUCCUGUAUUCGUUUGGUCCUUGGUGAAUUUUUGAGAUUAUGCCUGAGAUUCUUAACAAUUUAAAACAAUUAGUCACUUAACCAUGGUUUGUUAUCAUCAAAACCUGAUUAAGAGAACCCUUGGGCUAACAAUAAUGUUCUUGUCAAUAUAAAAAAAAUAAAAUUGGGUUAUUUAGAAAAUUUUGGGUGUAAAAUCAGGUUUUAAAACUAGAGUCUUUAGUCUUAACCCUUGACCUAUGACCCGUUUUUGCCGAAAAAAUUAGCGUGUUAGGAAGACUUUGUCUGGUAAGAAGGGGGGUAUUACCUUGGCACAAAGUGAUGUUUUAAAAUUUUGAUUUUUAUUACCUGAAUUUUUGAGAUAUCUGAUUUCAAAAACUUAACUUUUAUGCAUUAAAUGGUUUCAUACUAUAAACUCAGAGCUUUAAGUUAAAUAUGUUUUACAAUAAUAAGUGUUUGAAAAUGUUUAUAUUAAAAUAAUGAGUGUUUGAAAUGUUUAUAUUAAAAUAAUAACUAUUUUGAAAUGCUUAUAUUAAAAUAAUGAGGAUAAUAAAUGCAUUCACACUCUAAUUGAAUUUAAAACUUUCAUUUUGAACGAAGAUUUCAAAACCCCUACCACUAUGUGUCAAUAGCAAACUGUUGUUGAAAUUGUUGCUACUGCUGAUGGGAAAAUUUUGUAUCAGAGCCCCUCUGUGUAUUGCAAUAUAUUGCAAAGGAGACUCUAGAUUCAAAUUAAUUUUCAGAGUACGAAACUUUAUCUUACCCUAUUUAAAUAUUUGCUUGAUUUAUUCUGCAUCUUUAUUUAAUCUGUUAUUUAUUCGCUCAUUUGAUAUGAAUUAAUGUCUUUUAUUUGUUAUCCUCUCGGUAUAUAUACAUUAAUUCAUAUCAAAUGAGUGGAUAAAUGACAGAUUAAAUAAAGAUGCAGAAUAAAUCAAGCAAAUAUUUAAAUGGGGUAAGAUAAAGUUCGUUACUCUGAAAAUUAAUUUGAAUCUACAGUCUCCUUUGCUAAUUAAUAUACUGCAAUACACAAAGGAGCUCUGAUACCAACUUUUUCCAUCAGCAACAGCAUUAGUUUCAACAGCAGUUUGCUAUUGACACACAGUCAAGGUAAUGGCAAGGGUUUUGAAAUCUCCGUUCAAAAUGAAAGUUUUAAAUUCAAUUAGAGUGUGAAUGCAUUUAUUAUCCUUAUUAUUUUAAUAUAAACAUUUUCAAAUACUUAUUAUUUUAAUAUAAACAUUUCAAACACUCAUGAUUUUAAUAUAAACAUUUUCAAACACUUAUUAUUUUAAUUUAUAUUUAACUUAAAGCUCUCAGUUUAUAGUAUGAAGCCAUUUAAUGCAUAAAAGUUAAGUUUUUGAAAUCAAAUAUCUAAAAAAAUUCAGGUAAUAAAAAUCAAAAUUUUAAAACAUCACUCCGUGUCAAGGUAAUACCCCCCGUUUGACCAGACAAAGUAUCCCUAAUACGCUAAUUUUUUCAACAAAACGGGUCAUAGGUCGACGGUUAAGACUAAAGACUCUAGUUUGAAAACCUGAUUUUACACCCAAAAUUUUCUAAAUAAAACAAUUUUUUUUUAUAUUGAUAGGAACAUUAUAUAUAUAAAGGAUCCAUGUAUAUUGCAGAUAUUAACUAGUAAAGGAAAUUGGAAAAUAAUUUAAAUAAUUUUCAUUUCCCUACUUUACCUUUUUACCCCCUAAGGGUAAGAAAAAUACACAAAAUAAAAUAAAUUCUAAAUGAAAGCAGAAAUUUAACAUAAAAUUCUUACUUUCUUAUUGUUGAUAAAUUUACAAGAAGACUUAAGAUACAGAUGAUUACUCCACUUGCUACUUUGCUCUCACUUUUCACACACUUUUUUCUACACUCCUUCGGACACACUUUUCUACUGCAACUAAUUUAUAGACAAAGCAUUUACAAGUGACAGGUGAAAAUUAAUUCAAGUGGUUGGAUGGUAGGAAAAAUAUUUACAGGUUUGGUUAAUAAUAAAUACAAGGAUGGUAAAGUCAUUAUGAGGUUUGACUUUUGGUUUUUCUUUAACCAUCUGUCUGAUACUUCUUCCACUUUCUCCUUGUCUUUUUCUUUUCUUUUCCAUCACAUGCCAAAUAUGUGGCUUGUACAUGGUCUUCUUUUUGAACUUCUACUACUAUAUUAAAUUUUUGUAGUUGGAGAUGCAUUUACUGCUUCAUUGUCGUCAUUGUUGACAUCAUCCUUCCAUUGCAUUUUGCAAAUUAUGAAAACUUUCAUCAUCCAAGUUUUCCCAAAAUAAUGUGUCAUCGCUGAGGUAGGAAGAGGGUUCUGGUAUAUCUACAUUGAGUUCGGUUAUAAAAUCCCAUUCUUCAGAAGUAAUAAAAGGUUUUGGAACAAUGAUGUGUUUUAACGGUUUGUUUCUCCAUAUAGACAUGGUUUUUGUUUCACCAAUGAGAUGAAAUAGCUUUUUUCGGGUUGGUCUAAGAUCAUAAAUCUGAAAAGCUCUAAAACGAGUAAAAAAUUCUAGAAAUUCAUUCGAACAGGUCAUUUCCCAUUCUGGUUCUUGUUGAGGGAUGAGUGGUUCUUUAUUGUGUUUUAUAUAUACAUGGUGAUAGGAUGGUACUACUGAUCCAUUGGUUUGAAAUAAAGGUGGAAUGGUUUCAAAAGAAAUAUAUAUCUAUUUUUCGGUUUUAAAAAGAUAGGUUAAAAUAUCCUUCAAUUUUUUUUGGGAAAUUUUCAGGGAUUUGAGAUACAUGGUUCAUAAAAACAUUUUUUAAAAUUCCUUGAUCCAUGAGCUAGGGUACUAAAUAAAAAAUUUCUCUAUUUACAAUAGACAUAUUUACAUAAGCUAAAUAUAUAACAACGGAAAAUUCAGGGUCAUGAUAUGCCAUAUACCUUGUUUUUAUCCCGACAUUUUUUGUUCUAAAAUGUUUAUACAAAAGUUCUUGAUUUUUAAACACUUUGUUAUAUUGGGGUUGUAGAAAAAAGGUUUCGACUAAAGAGUAGUUAUUAGCUCCAAUUAGGUUUUUAACAACAAGUUUUUCAUAUUGUUCGGUCAGAAGAGUUGGUUUCUUAAUUAAACUAAUUACUUCAGGUUGACUAUUCGAACAAUUGGUUUGACUGGUUGACACUGUACUGGUUUUCAAAUCUUCUAUAAGUUUUUCCUGAUUUUGAGGUUUUGAAAUUUUUGGGUUUCUAAAGCAAUCAGUUGGUUUUGAAGGUUUUGUAAAUGUUGGGCUAAAGUUGACACAGUUUUUCCAUAAGCGUAUUCUAAAUUUUGGUUCAAAAAACUUUGUGGUUUUAGAGACCAAAAGUUAUCUACAAUAACCUUAUGUUCUUCAAAAAGGUUUUGAGAAAAUAAAGAGUUAAACCUCAAAUUUAGAUUCAACACUUCGUUCAAACAUAUGUUUCCAUAUUGAAAGGUUCUAGCUUUAGUGGGUUUUCUUUUAGCCAUGUUCCUAUAAUCAUAAAAUCAAUCAUUAGUAUUAUCAACAUUAUUAAUUAUUUAUCUACUUAACCAAUCUACUAAUAUAUUAUCUUUUCCUUGUUCAAAUUUAGGUUUGAAACCAAUUAAAAAGUUUUGAAACUUUAUCCAUCUUUUGGUAGACAGUUUUGAAGAAUUUUUGUUUUUAAAGAAUUUUUGUUUUCAAAGAAUUUUUUAAUAUUCUCACAAUCGAUUCUUAAGGUAAAUUGUUCUUGGUUAAAAAAUAAUUGGAAUUUUUCUAAGACUAAUAUUAUUGCUUCAAUUUCUAAGUCUGUAGAACUAAGUUCUUUUGAUAAUCAUUAAAAGUUCCUCUACAAUAUCUACAAAGUUUCUUUUCUCCUAUAUUAGUUACUGCUGAAAGAAUACCUCCUCAUCCUGUUUGACUAGCAUCAGUUUGAACUAUUUUAUAUUCAUUUUCUAAGGGUAAAUGUAAGGUUGGGAGAUGCUUCACAAGUUCUUUUAUUUUCUGUACAAGUUUAAUAUCUUCUUGGUUAAAAUAUCUUUGCCCUGUGUUUUUUGUUUUACUAUAAAGGGGUCCAGCUAAUCUACUAAGGUUUUUAAUAUAUGGCCUAACAUAAUUUAAUAAUCCUAAAAAACUUUGAAGGGUUUUUAAGUUUUCGAGUUUAUCCCAAAAAUUAUUUAUUUUUUGCACUAUAUGAUCUUGCAAUUUGAUUUGUCCAUCCUCUAAUUCUAAUCCUAAAAAUUGUAUUUGGGUCUUAAAUAAUUUCAAUUUCUUUUUACUUACUAUUAAUCCAUGACUAAUUAGUUUUUCAAAAAUAAAUUCUAAAUGUUUUAUGUGUUCCUGAAGAGUAUAUGAAAAAACAAGAAUUAUCAUCAAUAUAUACAAAAACAAAAGAAUAUUUACCAAAAAAUAUUAUCUAUCAUUUGUUGGAAUAUCUGAGGAGCAUUUUUUAGUCCAAAUGACAUUACAUUCCAUUCAUAUAAUCCACAAGGACAUGAAAACGUUGUCCAUGGUUUAUUAUCUUCUUCUAAUCUAAUUUGCCAAAAUCCACUUUUACAAUCUAACUGAGAAAAGUAUUUACAUCCUUUAAUAGAAUUAAUUAAAUAAUCUUUAUUUGGAAUUUUAUGGCAUCAUCAUAUGUAUUAUCAUUUAAUCUUUUAUAAUUAAUAACCAUCCUAGCUUUUCCUCGUUUUUCUUCAUUAUGGUUUCUAAAUAAAAAAAGUUGAGGAUCUAUGGGGACUGAAACUUGAUUUUAUGAGGUUAAAAAAAUUAAACGAGACAGGGCAAGACAAAGCAAGUAUGUGAAUUUCCCAUAUCCGCCGCCACGCCCUGUUUAACUUUUUUUUUUUUUUUUUUGAAAAAAAUUAAUUUUUUUCAAUAUUUUUUAUUUUUUUAAUUAUAUUAAAAUAAAUAUAUUUUAUAAAUAAUUAAAAUAUUAUAAUUUUAUAUAACUUAUUUGAUUGAAAAUAUUUUAUUAUUAUCAUUAUUAUUAUUAUUAUUAUUUUAAAAUUAAUUUUAUAUAUAAUUGAGGCAAGACAAGGCAUACAUGAACCCACCCUCUUGAGUAUAAAAAAAAUCUCAAACUCGAUCCUAACCCAUUUACUUAAAUUUUAAAUUUGUCUCAUUAGAGGUAUCGGAAAAAACUAGCCCUAUUGUCAUUCCUAACCAAAACUAAUGAGUCAACCUUGUCAAAAGUCUUGAAAAAUUUAAGGAAAAAAAAAAUUAGUGGGGCCUUACUAGUUAUAAUUUUAGAACCAAUACCGUAUGAGAAGGGACAAGCUUAAUGUUUGGAUUAGACAUAGAACCAUGAAGCCAAUAAAAGUAGAAAGUUGUCACAUCCUUAUUCACAACUUUGAUGACUUGUCGAUUCAACAAACCAUUUUUUCUUUCUCAUUUGCCAUUACUAAAUUUGAUUUGUCUUUAUCAAAGUAUUAUGCAACUUGAAUUAGAAGCCAUCUUAUAUAGAAAUGUCAAAUGUUUAUUAUUCAUAAAAUUGGAAAUUUGCUAGAAUUUCAAAUAUAAAUAUUUGAAAAUUUUAAUUUCUAUUUUCAAUCAAAGCCCGGAAUAAAGUAGAAGGAAACUACCAGAAAAUUUCUAACAUAAAAUGCAUUCAAAAAGGUGGGGUCAGAAAAAAAAACGACGGUUGAAGAAAUUUGAAUCAGUCAAACCUAUCAUUCAGGUGAACAAAGUCGUUAAAAUGGUUUCAUAAAUUAAUAUAUAUAUAUAUAUAUAUAAGUGGAGAAAUUAAUUUGUCGAGGAGAGCAUGUAGAUAAAUUAAACAUAUCCAAAUAUAUUAUAUAAAAUCUCAAGUUGAUAUAUAUGUGAUUUUUUCAAGAGAAAAAAAAUGUAGAAAAAAAUGUACAAUCUUCCACAGAAGACCAUGAAAUUGAAUGAGUUUCCAUAGACUAUUUAACAAGAAAAUGUAUUGACAAAAUUUUCCACACGAUGAACAGAUAACGAUGAAAUUGAAUGAGUUUCCAUGGACUAUUUAACAAGAAAUGAACAGAUAUUUUCCAUUGACUUGGAUGUUAUAUAAGACUUCCAUGUGGAAUUUUCAAGUGUCGCGUGGUUUCGGGAAGAAUGAAUGGAAAUUUUUGAUGAGUUAACACUGUCAUAUUUAACGUGGGCCUUCCGACACGUAUGACGUCAUCGAUCAUCCAAAACAAUCCAAUAAAUUAUAAUAAUGAUAUAAGACAUAAUUAAAUGGGUGGGACAAGCGUGAGAAAUAGAGCGGUUGGCUUAGUAGAGAGAGAGAGAGGUGCACAUGGGAAACAGUUGCUAAGGAAAUUGCUGGGUCCUUUCUGUAUGUUCAGUCAUUGAAUCUGUCCACCUUCUAAUUCCAAAGUGUCAAAUGGUGAGAGAUUGCCUACACAACAAAACUCUCACAUACAAAAACACAAAGAAAUUAAGAGGUCAUUAGGCUUUGUGUGUUGUCAAUCAUCCCAAUGCCUACUAUUUGAGUUAUACUAUACCUCUUAACCAAAUGUCCCUACUAUUCAAGUUAUAUUGUACCUAAACCAAGGAGUGUACCUAAAGUUAGGAUACCAUCUCUCUGCUACAUCAAGAUUGAUCUCAAAGUAGGGCAAAUCUGCUUUAAGAACAAUGCUCUAUCACUCUCCAAGCCACCCUAAUUUGAUAAGUGCCUAAACCUUCUUUUUUUUUUUUUCUUUUUUUUGCCCACUUGUUUGUUUGUGUUUUAAGCUUAUUCUUGUUUCUACUUAGUUAAAUUCAACCCUCUAGUAUUUUGAACCAACAAUCCUAAAGUCGAGCUUAAUUUAUAAAGAUUCUUCCUUAGUUCACACCCAUCGCUAACCCUCUAAGAUUGAUCCUUUCAAUGGGACCUUCUUGAAGACAUGGUAGGAAAUGACCUUUUCUACCAUUAACAUUGUGAACUUGGAACAUAUUUUGAUUGGCCUAAAACUUGAGGAAAAUUAUGAAAAUUUGCCUAUGUAGGAAAUUGGAAAUAGACAAGUUAGGCAUGUUAUCCUUAGUACACUUUCUAAGGAACUAUUUGAUGUAUAUUGUCAAUAUUAAAUAGCUAAAGGUACUUGGGAUAUCACAAAUAAGAAAUAUGUUAUGAAAGAUGCAAGAAUCUGGAAAUAUGUCAUGGGGAAUUUUAAGAAAAUGAUCAAGGAUAUAAAUGUAUCAUCUCAAAUCCAUGAUUAACACUUGCUAAUUAAUAAGUUAUCUAAUGAGGACGUAAAACUAUCUAAACCUUUUAUGGCUAUGAAUUUGCUGGAUACUCUUCCAGAUUCUUUGGAAAGAUUAUAAAAACAACAUGAAACGCAAAAGGAAACAAAUGUCCCUAAAAAAAUGUUAUAAUCGAUAUUUUAGGACUAGUCCUUGAAAAUAAUCAAGUGGUUGUCAAUCAUCCUAAUGCCUACUAUUUGAGUUAUACCAUACCUCAUAAACAAAUGUCCCUAAUAUUUGAGUUAUAUUGUACCUCAACCAAGAAGUGUACCUAGAGGUAGGAUACCAACUCUAUGCUACAUCAAGAUUGAUAUCAAAGUAAGGCAGAUCUACUUUAAGGACAAUGUUUUAUCACUCUUCAAGCCACCCUAAUUUGAUACGUGUCUAAACUCUCUUUUUUUUCCCACUUGUUUGUUUGUGUUUUAGGUUCAGUCUUGUUUCAACUUAGUUUCAACCCUCUAGUAUUUUGAACCAACAAUCUUAAAGUAGAGCUUAAUUUAUAAAGAUUCUUCCUUAGUUCGCUCCCAUCCCGAACCCUUUAAGAUUGAUCCCUUCAAUGGGACCUUCUUCAAGAGACGAUAGGAAAGGACCUUUUUUGACAUGAACAUUGUGAACUUAGAACAUAUUUUGAUUGGCCUAAAACUUGAGGAAAAUUAUGAAAAAUUGCCUAUGUAGGAAAUUGGAAAUAAAAAAGUUAGGGAUGUUAUCAUUGGUACACUUUCUAAGGAACUAUUUGAUGUAUAUUGACAAUAUUAGAUUAAGAAUAUUUGGGAUAUCAUGAAUAAGAAAUAUGUUAUGGAAGAUGCAGGGAUCCGAAAAUAUGCCAUGGAGAAUUUUACGAAAUUUUGGAUGACCAAGGAUAGAAAUGUGCCAUCUCAAAUCCAUGAUUACCACUAGCUAAUAAUGACUUAUCUAAUGAGGAUAUAAGAUUGCCUAAACCUUUUAUGGUUAGAAAAUUGAUAGAAACUCUUCUAAAUUCCUAGAAAGAUUAUAAAGACAGCAUGAAGCAUAAAAGGAAAUAAAUGCCCUUGAAAAAUGUUAUAAUCCAUAUUUUAGGACCGAUCAUAAAAAGGAAUCAAGUGGUUGUUGAUCAUCCCACUUAAGAACUUAUUUGGAUAUGUAGUGAUCUAAAUUGUUGUUUUGACAAUUUAAGAGGUUUGUUCUUGGUUUUCCAUUUUCUUUCCAAUUCAUUCUUAAAAGAAAUUAUAAUCCUUUUAGGCUUACUUCACAUUAUGGAGUUAUAGGUAGAUUUUUUAAUUUCUUUGUCCUACCUCAAUUGUACUCCACCAAUGUAUUUGAUUAAUUGGUACCCUAUUUGAAUUUGCAAGGCUAGCAUUAGCGGUUGGGAAGACUCUUGUUAAUUCAGGUUUGUGUUGAAAAUAUGCUUAAUCCAUCUAUGAACUAUUUAAUAGUUAUAGUAGAAUACCUUGAUACUUACACCACCCAUUUACUAAAUAAAUAACAUGACAUAACAUGUUUAAUAAAUAGGUUGGAUUGAAAUAUUAAUUAUGAAUUGAUACUUUUUACCCAUAACUUGAUAGCAUGAUUCUAACUCGUUAAAUCGGUUAACAUAAUUACAAUCCAUUUAACCUCUUUAUGAUUUUGAAUUAAUAAAAUGUAUUUUUCAAAUAUUUUUUAAUUACUUUUAAGUUUUAAUUUCAAAAAUUUUCUAAAUCAUAAUUAAUUUAAUUAAUUGUAAUAUGCAAUAUGCUUAUAAGAUAAGAGAAAAAUCAAACUUUAAUUUACACUUGUAUAGAGUUUUAUUUUAAUUUUUCAAUUAUAAAAUAUUUUUAAUCUUUUUAAUUUUUUAAAUAUAUAAAGCUUUACUCUAUUAGUUAUUUAAUUUUUUAAUUAAUUAAAAACUAUCAUUUUUUGAAUUUUAAUAUAUAUAAAAAUUAAUAAAUUUAAUGGUUAAACUUAAAUAAAUGAGUUUUUAGCAACAUUUUUUCAUCAACAUCUGUUGCAGGAAAUGAAUAAUCCAUAAACCUUGCAAUAUCGUUGCACUCUUUAAAAUUUUAAAUUUAUAAAAUAAUAUUUUAAAAAUGCUAUUUACUGAAUUUUAAGUUUUCUAAAUCUUGAUUAAUUUAAUUAUUUAUUUUUAAUUAUAAUAUUUUUAUAUGAUAAAAGAUAAAAUUAAACAUUUAAUUCUAUUUAUAAAAGAUAAUUAUAUAUAUAUAUAUACACACACACAUAGACACCUAGGACAAGGUCAUAUGCAAUGAAAACAGGAAUUAUGUCAUGAUUCAAAACAAAGAAGAGGGUUAGAAAUCCAACAAGAUAAAUAACCAAAGAAAUUUAAAAAGAGAAGGAACCACAAAUUUUUUAGUUCAUUUAUCUUGUUGGAUUUCUAACCCUCUUCUUUGUUUUGAAUCAUGGCAUAAUUCCUGUUUUCAUUGCAUAUGACCUUGUCCUGGGUCAGAGCCAUCGAGAAGGGAAGUUGGGUUUGUUUUGGGUGUUUUGAGCUAUCCUAAGAUAGGUAGCAGUGUGCCUAGGAGCACUAGCCUUGCCGGUAGAGCCGUUGUUAGCCAUGGAUAGGUGUUUGUUAGGCUGUAAGAGGGUUGGGGUGACAUCUCAUAAGGUUUGUCAAUCUGCUAUUAGGCUCCAGAUCAAAACCCUAAAAUGAGUUCAAUUUUCAGAACCAUGUCUAGGAGAUCCAGUGAUUCUCAAGAUACUGUUGUAAACAGUGAAGAGAUCAAUUAUCCUAAGAUCCAAAAUGAUUUAGAUGAUUGGAAGUUACCCAAGGUGUCUAAUCAAGAAAUUUAUAAGAAAUGAACCUUUAAGUUUUUCACAGAUUGUACCAUCAAGACCUCUGAAAUGUCAGUCAGCUUAGAACAAGACGACCAAGUCAUAAGACUUCUAGAUAACAGAUCCAUUGAAAAGCAUAAGAAAGAUGGCUAUAAUUUCAUACACUUUGGUAUGAUUCAAGUAGCAGCUAAGCCUUUGACAAGAUUAGGUUUAAACACCUCUAUUGUCAUGUGUUUAAGGGAUAAUAGGCAUCUCGAAUAUCGAGAUUCUAUUAUAGGCACAGUCCAAGCUGGACUGAAUGAUGGCCCAGUUUAUUUCCAGUGUUAUCCUAACUUCACAAUUAGAAUAAGAGAUGCAGACAUCUUAGAUUCUGUUGUCCUGCAUAUUAAGACCCAUGGCUUUAAGAUCAAACCAGGAAACAGUCCUGUUUCAAUCAUAACCAGGUUUGCCUAUAAAAGCAUGAACACAAGCGUUGGAUCUAGGGCUCUUUGCACCAAUCCUAAGGGUGAGACCACUUACUUUCACUCAGAUAUGCUUGAUAAGUCAGAUUUCAUCAUCCCCAAGAAGAUCUUGUGGAAAGAUGUUGAGUUUCCUGAAAAUUGGCAUUUUGCUAAUGUUGUUCCAACCAUUGCACAACGAUCUGAAAGGAUUGAACAAAUUGUUCAAUAUCCUGAUGGAGGAGGAGAACUAGUUUUCUCCAACUCUUUCAGACAUUCUAGCAGCCCUAGAGUUUCAGUUUAUGAACCCUCUAGAGCUUCAAGCUCUUCCAUUCCAGUUAGAACCACUAGAGAAGAGGAAGGUUCCAGCUCAGGAAAUCCUAAGAACAUUAAGCUAACAACUGUUAAAAGUCACACCAACGUGGCUAAACCAUUUUACACAGAGGAAAAUGAGUCUACUCAGGAAUCCCAACAGGAUGAGUCCCCUGUUAUGUCUCCUACCUAUUCCCAGAUGAUUAACACAAUAAGCCUAAGUGAUGAGGGCUUUGAGAUCAACAAGGAUCUCUUAAGAAAGGACUUCUAUUCUGAAGUCAAUAAGCAAAGAAAUGAUUGGUUCUUUAGCAUUGUCCCUAAAGUCAUUAGAACCAUUUACCAAGAAGAAUUCUAUGCCUACUUAGGACAAGAAAAGAAAAAUAUUAAGUUUUGGAUUUGGUUUGAACUCUUCAAACAAGAAGAAUAUCCAUAUUAUCCUUAUAAGCGUGUUAAUAACACUAAGAGCACUAAUAAAAUUAAGUCUUUUGAAUUUUUUAAGGAAUUCCAGGAAAAUCCCCAAAUCAACCAGGCUUUUGUUGAUAGGAUAAAUCAGAAGAUUAAGGAUAAUCUUGUUGCUCCUUUGACUGUUCAGCCUCAUAAGAGAAUCAAUAUGGUUAAAGGUGAUAUUAGUUCAGAAGAAGAAGCUGAUGAACUAAUUAAGAUGUUUGAGGAACCCCAUAAUCAAAUUAUUUCAAAAGAUAUUAACAAUUUGGAAGCCUUUAAGAUUAGGAAUUAUAUUAAUUUAUACUCUUAAUGCAAAAUUACUUAGUUUUGAGCAUAUUAAAGAAUUCUAUCAUUUAGACCGCGAUUUUUGUGAGGAGUUUCGGGCCUGUGAGAAAAACGCAAUGGGUAAGUUCUUUAGGUACAAAGGUUUCUUAUUUCGAGAAAAUAAAUUGUGUGUGCCGAAUUGCUCUUUGCGUGAAUUGUUAGUAAGAGAAUCCCAUGGUGGAGGGUUAAUGGCGCAUUUUGGAGUUGCUAAGACCUUAUUCAUUUUGCAAAAACACUUCUAUUGGCCACACAUGAAAAGAGAUGUUGAGAGAAUUUGUGGUAGAUUUGUCACAUGUAGGCAAGCAAAAUCCUGAGUGCAAUCCCAUGGUUUAUACACACCACUGUCUAUUCCUAGUGAGCCUUGGAUUGAUAUUUCGAUGGACUUUGUGUUAAGUUUUCCUAGGUCUAAACGUGGUAGGGAUUCAAUAUUUGUGGUUGUGGAUAGAUUUUCUAAGAUGAUACAUUUCAUUCCAAGUCACAAAAUCGAUUAUGCUUCACAUGUUAAUUUGUUCUUUAGAGAAAUUGUAAGAUUACAUGGUAUGCCUAGGACAAUAGUUUGGGAUAGAGAUGCUAAGUUUUUGAGUUACUUUUGGAAGACUUUGUGGUGUAAGUUAGGAACUAAGUUAUUAUUUUCUACUACUAGUCACCCACAAACAGAUGGUCAAACCGAAGUAGUGAAUAAGACUUUGUGUACUUUGUUGAGGGCUAUUAUUAAAAAGAACAUAAAACCUUGGGAAUAGUGUUUACCACACGUUGAGUUUGCUUAUAAUUGUUGUGGACCCGCAUUUUUCACUUGCGCCCCCACUCGAUCGGCGAGACUCGCCUUUUAUUUGUGAAAAAUUAAUUUUUAGAAAAGUUGGAGUCGCCACUUAUUUUAUUUUUAUUUUAAAGGGAAAAUAAAACAAGAAAGAAAAACCCUAAAAAAUGACUCCAUAAUUUUUGGAAAAGCGUGUCUUUGAAAAACCCGAGUCUAAAUCCGGGGAUCAGGUUACUUAUUGGGAAGGUACCUUUAAAAGGUAGCACCCCUCUAAGCCCUACAAAGGUCUCUACUGACAAAGUUAAGGGAAGUAUGGCAAUUAAUCAGUUAAUUAUAGAUACCUAAAUAGGCUAGGUGAUUUUAAAGAGUGGCAUGCCAAACACAAUCAAAUUGCAAUAAAGGAGAGUUAGGGUGCGUACCUGAACCGCUCUUCAAGCACUAUCAUAAAACAUAAGAGUUAGUGUAGAAAUCUAUCACACAACAUGUGUCUUACCAAGGCAAAUCUAGUAUAUAUUUAAACACCCAAGAAUCACAUCAUGCAUGGAUAUAGUCACCAAUAGCGUACACGUCCAUAGAAUUCUCGAAAAAAUAUAUGAGAAGGAGCGUACCUGGAUAGCAAGCUAAAACACCUUUAUGGGAAGCAAGGUUAACCCAAUAACAAAUAUGAAACAAAUUGAAGCAUAUCUCCAAGAGGAAUCAAAAUCAAUUAAAUACCAAACGAUCAUCUUUAAAAUCAAUAUUAGUGAAGAUAUAAAGAAUGUAGGACCCCCCACCAAAGUCCAUAUUACUUUUGCACGAAUUGAUUCAAUGAAUUCCCUUGUUUGGAAUCAUGAAGUUUGUUCAUGCUUGUUGAAAAUCGAGAAAAUCAAAAAAAUCAGUUGAAAAUCAAAUAAAACAAUAGAAAUGCGUGCCAGAAGGAAAGCGGCAAGAAAAGAUUUGUUAAAAUCUGGAUUUUAAGCCUAGAGACUCCUAAAGAUGUUUAAAGAAAACUGGAGUUAUUUUGACGUAAAAUGGUUUUGAAAUCUAGAUUUAAAAUGUAUAAGAUCACAAAAAGAAGAAAAAGAAACAAUAGGAGGAGUAUGAUGUGUGGCGAGGUGGCCAAGCCGGUUUAGUGUAUAGGCUACUUUUGAGACAGAAUUACUUGGGUUGCCUGAGGAUGUUUCUGCAAAUUGCUGAAAUGGAAUUCUGCGUUCUGACAUCAGUGGUCACUGUCUGCAAACUCAAUUCACUCAAAGCAACUAUGAAGAAAGAAAUUUCACUGCCAUCUCUUCCCAAAGUUUCUGUUUUCAUGCUACUGGCAUCACAACCCAAACCAGAUUGGUGUACUCCAACUGAUGUCUUCCAAUAUUUCUUCUAAUUCGGGUUUAGAGAAUGACGAGAAGUCAUUUGGAUUCACCACAUUGGAGGGAAUAGAACCAUUGUCAUUAUUCUAAAGGUGUUUUACCAUGGCAGGAAAGAGGAAACGCUGGCGGAAAAGCAAUUUUACAGCUUAUCAUCUGAUCUGGAAACAUGUAUGAGUAGUUUCUCUUAUAUAAACAUCUGAGUUCCAUUUCUGUUGUCAACUUUCUCACAGAUAGUUUUCUUCAAUUGAGUGCUCGUGUUUUAAUUGAUUUUCAGAUAUUCAAUUUCCUGAAUAACUUCCCAUUCUUUAAGCGCAUUGAAUUGCUCAGAAUCCGAAGUUUACCCUCAGUCAAUAAGAUUCAGCUACUUCUUCGCGUGUGUGAGGGUAAAUGGGUAGUAAGCUAGGGACUUUCUGAUAGAUUCUGCAUUUCUGGACUUUCGAGAGUGGUUGCCAAGAAGACACCAAGCUCCACCAUCCUCUUAUUCCUCCUGAAGGCUUCUUCUCGACAGUCUUCUCUGCUGUUCUGUGAACCAGGACCAUCACAUGUAGGGCACAGAGUUGGAUGAUCUGCUCAUUAUUGAUGUCUUCUGGAGAUGUUGGGGUUUUCUUGAGCAGUUAAUGGUCGAAUGACAAUUUGGCCUAUUCCAUCUUGAAGCUCUCUUGAAAUAGACAAGCUGACUAAAUUAUUUACAUCUGUGUAACCCUCCUCAUUCAAAUCUGAAUCGUUAUCUGGGAGCUGAUCUCCAUCUUCUAAACAGCUUAGGAGUUAGUCGUCCGUUUGCCUGCAGAAGUUUUGAGCACUGCAAUGGUGACUCCAAAAAGUUCAACUGUACUUAUACUUUCUUUAACGCCAAACUCUUAGCGUCUAUACUCUACAGAACAUGGCGUGUUCCCUCUUUUGUUAUUGGACUUGCAUACAUUCUGAACCUUGAGGAUGUCCCUUUAAGUGUAGUCAGAGUGUUCUAUUAUUUUGUGAACAUGAGAUACUAGAAAAUAAGAAGCAGGCACCAAGCUUUACAAAUUCAGGGACCAUUCCAGCGAAUCUUUAUUGCCAUUGACUUGAAUAGCCGGCACCUGAAAACUGUAUCCCUAGACUGUAUCUUUGGUCUGAACAUGGUGUCGAUGAGUUCGUCGAUCAACUCUAAGGAGCCUCUAUCUUUUACUCGUUCUCAAGGACUUUGAGCUACUCCAGAUCUUCUUCCAGUAAGAGAGGAGUAGGAGAGGGCUCUGAAUAUAUCCUUAGAAACUGGGCAUCCUUAAAGUGCAAGCAUAGUAUCUACUAGAGGAAUAUGCAUGCCUAUGUCAAUUACACAACCCUCCUGUACCAUGCUGCUGAUUUAUGAGAAAUUCAAUCAGUAAACUGCAAUCUCUUCAAAUAUAGGAACCGAAUAGGCACCAGACUCAAUGAAGGGAAACUUGAUUUGAAUCAGGAUGAAUGCAAUUGAAACUCAGAUCAAAGGAAAUUUGAGCGAAUCUGAGAUAGAUCUAAUAAGUAAGCAGGAAGGGCAAGCUGCUGGAAGGCCAGAGCAUGGCUUCCUUGUGACAAGAUUGAGCUUCUAGUUGCCCAGUCCAUCAAUUAGCGGAGAAGUUUGACAUGACCCAGAUAAUGGCUAGAUCACUCCUAGUUUUUAGUCUUCUUAUGGUGCAGAGAUGACUGAACAGCAGAAUUUAGCAACUGAAGCAGCCAGGAUAUCGUCAGUUGACACAAUCAUGUGAUGGUAAGAGUUGUCAGAGAGUAGAGAAAGUAAUUCCGGAGAAGGCAACUGUUUUCGUGCAUGAGCAUUGGAGGAGUAUUCAUCAGUCAGAUAAAGAGACAGGCAGUGGGAAUGGCAUUUGCUGCAAAGUGCUUAUUCAUCAAUUCUGCAAACUUUGAUUCCCUGAUAUCCCUUUCAAGUUUCUCCAUCAUUGCCCGUAACAUGGAAGCAAAUGCCUUUGCAUCAUAGUGUUUGUUCUUCAAUUCAGAAACAAGUUGACUGAAUGUAUUUGGAAGCUUUAGAAGAUGCCUUUCUGUUAGCGGUACUUUUGGUAGAACCAGUAUGGGUAACCUUGGAAAGCUUUUCGAAAUCUAGGCGAAUCCAUGUAUGAACUGUCCAAGUAUUCUCUAUUCGUGCGGUGCUGUACUGGAUACAUAACAAUAAUCUCAAUAAUCAUUCCAACAACAAUACAUCAAAUACACAAAUUACCACAGGCAGUGAGGAUCUUCUAGAAGUGCCUAAUUAAAUUGAUGCUAUCCACCAAAUGAGCAGCCUUACCAAGUCUAUGCAGACUUUUUCAGAUAACAUGUUUAAUUCACAAGCCUCAAACAUCAAUUGAUACCGAUCCAGAAUUCCAUGACACUCCUUCAAUACCUUUUGAAAUGACCCUUCACCCGUUAGAUUCAAAUAGCUCCUUUCGAUGAACUUAACCACCACACAAACAGGCAAAAACUUCGUACUCUUCCUUACUCUUCGUGACUGAGUUAUAGUCAAAGGUGAUCUCCUCACCAUCUAGUUGUGUUUUCUGAUUUUAUACAAUUACUGUAGGAAGACGGGUUUCUGCCAUCUUCUCGCAUAUUGGCUUCAGCACUUGUAUCAACUAUCCAGACAUCUUCGGUCAGUAGAUCAUCUUGACUAUUUCAUUACUGUUUCCUUCAUACUGCCCAUCUAAAGAUUGGCUUUGGCAAGUUUGACCAUCUCCGAAAACGAUUCGAUUGCAAUUUCUGGUCGAUCCUCAUGCAAAUAACCAGACAUUAAUAAAUUCCAAGUGGCCAUGUCCGAUAGGACAUUUCAUCGAAUAGCCGUUGAGCACUUGAAGCCGCACCACAUUUACCAUACACAUCCAUAGGAACAAUGGACAGCAAGUGUGGGGUUGUCCCCUGUUUCAGCAAAUGAAUUUACAUAGAAACCCAGCAUUGUGUCCUCCUAGGUCUGUACUUUUUUACGAGUGACACAUUCAGAAAUCUACAAAUGACAAGGAGGACCGAGCCUGAAAGAGAUUCAAAUCCUACAACCCCAAGAAGGAUUCCAAUGGAUAGAAAACGUUGGAAGAUGCAGCUCCAUGCUGAAUGGAACCACCAAAGAAAUUCCCCUAUUUUAUAAGUGUCAACCACAAUAUAAUUCACAAUCCGGCCAGAGAAGUCCUCCUUAAUGCUGUCCCGGAUGAAGAAGUCGGUGGUACAUUCCCUCUCUUCACCUUAUCAAUGACAGUGGGCUCAAAGUCAACAGACACAGCACCGGGGACAUGCUUUCUAAUACCACUGUGUCAUUCCGAGACUUUCCAUCAUGACCCAAUCAUUUUCUGCAUUUGUUUUUAUUGAAACAUCAAUAGGACCAUGCACUGACUCUCGUGGUCUCAGCUCAAUAGUUAUAAACUGAAGCUUUCUUCCCCUUUUGAAUUAUUCAUGACAUCCCAAUGAACCUUUUCAAGCUGAAGGAUGGCCAUCUGUGGGAGGUCCAUAUGGUAAAAGGAUAUGUAGAAUAAUAUGCAUAAUGUUCUGAAGAUUAAGGCAUGAACACAGUUGCAUUUAAGGCAAGUAAUAUAUUUAUACCCUCCAAAGCUGUAAUGGGCACAACCUUCUAACAAAUUCUGUUUAAUUCUCUGUAUUUCGCCACUUUCUUUAAUAGCACCCUUUCUAUUUCGUUGCCACCACUGGAUGACCAGCAAACCCAUGUAGAAGAGUCUUCCUUCAAUGCAUAUAGCCAGGCACUUUUGAGAAGUAGUUUCCUUUAGCAUAGGCCUCGACAGUACUCUUGUAGUAUCUUUGCCAGGAAAACAUUCUCAGACUUUGUCCAACCUAGGUUCCCCACAUCUUUCCAUAUAAAUUCUUCCUACUCUUUCUGAAUUUUAGUUUUAGGCCACGCCAUGAACCAAAGUAGUUCACUAUGCAAUGAAUUUUUGAUACCUUCCACUCCAUCCAGAUGAAUUAAAACUUCUACUGAAUCACAUUUCACAAAGGAUUAACAUUUGUAUGAUAGAUGCUUCUUCUCUGAUGCAGACUGAAUCAUAAGCCGCCUGUGAUAAUCUGUUUGUCACUUGAUUUAUAUGAUCAUGCAAAUCAUUGUAUGAGAACUACCCAGAUUCACAGUAGUAGGUGAUGGACGGGGAUGGAGGAAAAACACAAGACUCAGAAUCAUCCCUUGUCGUGUCUGAGAACUUUUUGACUGUAGCCACAGAAGCAGACUCAAACUCUCUUCUCUGAAUUUAUUUCUGAUUCUCGAAUUCUCUGGAGUUACUAAGAACUUGGCUUUCUUUGCUAUCCAAGGACUAAUCACAACUGACCCAGGAGAAUACCCAGUAGGUGUGCAAACUAUCGUGCAGCAAGGGAUGGGUGAUAGAGAAAUAGAAAAAGAUGCGAAAAGAAACAAAGAAACAAAACAAAACAGAGGAAAGGUGGGCAUAGAGUAAAUCAUCAAGCAAAGCCACAUUCCAUUACUUUGUCAAUGGGCUAAAAAAAAGAACAGGUGAGGAUAUCAGAGGAGAAGAGAACGGUUCUUGAAUAUCAAUAUCAAUGAUAAUCCCAUACAUCAGCCAUUAACAAUAGAGAUUAAAAAGAUUAAAAAUAGAAACCAAAAACAGAGCAUACUCAUGUUUAAAUAUAUUCAGCAAGAGAAACGAUCAGUCCUAAACCUCCACAACAAUCAAUAAGACAAUACCCGGACUUGCAGAAUAAUAUCUAGGAUCAUAUAGGGAUGAGAGGAUGCAAAUUUGGUGUGACCAUACCUGGAAGAACCAAUCUUUGAGGAGUAUUGCUCGGCUUCAAGCGAGAUGAGGAUGCCUGCUGCCAGUCCCUCUCUCUGUGUUUUUUGCCCCAGACGAUCCCGGAAUCCCCAAAAAAUCUACUCCUUUCUCCCUCUCCUUCCUCCAAUGCGUAUCCCACUUUUUCAUUCUUUUCCUUUUCUCACCUAUAUAUAUCACCCCUCAAGACCUAAAUUUGUUUCCAAAAAUGAAAAUUCUCCUAUUUCCUUUCUUCUUCUCUUCUUUUUUUUUAAAUCUUCCACAAAUCUUCCCAAUUUCAAAUUCCUCUCCAAAACCUUCCAAGGAGAGUCCCACCUUCCUUAAACUCCAAUGGUAAGUUUCCUUGCAAACACAUGAAAUUUUUGAAGUUAAAUAAUUGAAUGAAUAGAUAAGCAAGUAAAUAAAUUAGGAAACGGUAAAAAUAAAAUAAAAUAAAAAUAAACCAAUAAACAAAAGUCGAGCCCAAAAGCCAUGUAACCAUGCAAGUCAUACAAGUCACGCUAAAAAUGUCCAAAUGGGCCAAGUGUGCCUAAACGGGCCUAUGAUGAGACUAAGUAGGCCUAGAGCGGUGCCUAAAGGCCAAGUGUAUCUAAAAGCUAUCCUAAAAAUGAAUGAAAAACCUAAGUCUAAAUUAGGGCUGCCAAGGACCAUAAUAAGGGGUCAAAUAAUCCCUCAACCAAAAUCUCCGAAGUGACUUAGAAAAGGUAAGUCGUACGAAUAGUAAUGGGCCACCAAGGAGUUACUAUGGGGCACUGAAAACGAAUUUAAAGACAUGUACUAAAAGGACAAAAUUGAGGGUCUACAAUUGUACUAUUCAUUCUGACACUAAGUUUUUACCAUUUGAAAUUGUUUAUGAUUUUAAUCCUUUAACUUCAUUAGAUUUAACGUCAUUACCUUUGUCUAAACGUGCUAACUUAGAUGGAAAGAAAAAGACUGAAUUUGUUAAGCAGAUACAUGAGAAAACAAGGCUCAACAUUGAGAAAAUGAUGGAGCACUAUGCAAAACAAGCUAAUAAAGGGCGCCGAAAACUGAUUUUUGAACUCAAAUAUUGGGUUUGGUUGCCGAAAGAAAGAUUUUCGACACAAAGGUGAUCUAAGUUGUUUCCAAUGGGAGAUAGACCUUUUCAAGUCCUUAAGUGCAUCAAUGACAAUGCAUAUAAUUUGGAUUUUCCAGGUGAGUACAAUGUUAAUGCCACUUUCAAUGUUAUUGAUUUAAGUCCUUUUAAUGUAGGUGAUGAUUUGAGGACAAAUCCUUUUCAAGAGGAGGAGAAUGAUAAGGGCACAACUAACAAAUGGAAUGCAGAUCUUAUUCAAGUUCUACUUGGUCCGGUUACAAGGGCUUGAGCUAAAAAGUUCAAGAAAACUCUUAAUGGAUUGAUUCAAAACAUUUGGGUUGAGGUGAAUUUGUGGAGGCCCAAGGAAGAUGCUCUACAUGUUCCAUAAGGUUGGAUUUCCAUGAUUCAAGUUUUGGAAUGAUCUAAAAGAAUCCAUCAAAGAGAACAGAUCACAAAUUGCAUGGAUUGAAUGGAGUUUCCUAAAUUGGUGAUUACCCAAUUUUUGACUCAUCAAGGAGAUUAGCUAGUGCAAUCUAAAGCAAUCUUUUAAGAUUGCUAAAUUACCUUUCUUAUUUGUUACUAUAUUUUAUAUUUUGAAUUUUAUGGGAAAGUGAUAAAUUAGAAAUUCCCUUCUUUCCUUUUUACUUUGGGGUAGGCAUGAUUUUAGGAAAUAAUGGAUUCAAUUUUCACAAUCCAACUUAGGAUAUUUUAGUUUCCCUUUUCUCGUUAUUUGCGAAUUCUAGGCAGAAUAUUUAGGGAUUUUCUAAUUGCCAAAUUCAUGGACCUCUUUAUAUUUAAAUAGCCAUCAACUUAUUGAAAAAUAAUACAAAUUUCAUUCAUAAUUUUGUGAGAGAAAAUUCUCUUUGGUUCUUUUAGAACUCUUUGAACUUAUCGCAAAGAUUUGAGUGGUGUUCUCCUUUAGCUUAUCAAUCAAUCCUUCUAUAAUUGAUUGUGGUGUCUUCAUUAUACCAAGGUUCUUGCUUCCAUAUAAGUAACGGGCUGCAGUUACAUACAAAUAUGUUUUAAAACAAUCUUGGAGCCAUUCUUGAUCCACAAGUUUCUCAACUUUGGUAUGGAUUGUAUCACAGUCUUGUUAGUUAUGUCUUUCUGAUAUUUUGUUACAAUAGAUGUUGUAAUUCCAUAUUUUGUUGAACCAAUCAAAGAGUAUAGACCAUUCGAAAGAACCCCUUUCAUCACAGUUAAUUCACCUUUCACAACCUUCAUCACCCCAUUUUCAAUUCUGAUAGAACAACCUAUUGAAUCAAGCAUCCUAAGAGAAAUCAAAUUUCUUUUAGCUCUGGAAUGUACCGUACAUUCUAUAGUACUCUAUAACAACCAUCAAACAUUUGCACCUUGAUAGAUCCAAUCCCUCAAAUCUUACAUGCCUUGUUGCAUAGUAAAACAAUCCCUCCAUUAAUCUCCUUGAAUGUUUGAAACCACUCAUAAUUGGACUCAUAUGAAACGACACCCAGAGUUCAAGACCCACUCCUGGUGAGUAUCUUGUGCUAAGUGAACAAGUACCUCUACCGAAUCAUAACCAUCCAACACCACUAAUGCGUCACCAGAUUCCUACUUAUCAUUUGACUUCUUCUUCUUAUUAGGGCACUCUCUCUUUCUGUGACCCUCCUUGUUGCAGUGAUAACACCUAAACUUUCUUUGUGAUUUGGAUCUUGAUUUUCUUUUGUUCUUGUUAUCUCAUUUCUCCAUUCUACCUCUAACAUUAAGAGCCUCAUUGUUACUAUUUGUCUUCUUUUCUGCCCUCAAUUCCAAUUCUUUAGACCUAAUAGCUAGUUCCAAAUAAUCAAGAGACAAUGUAUCCCUACCAUACUUUAUGGUAUCACGAAGUUGACUAUAGGUUGAUGGUAACGAGUUCAACAAUAUGAUGUCUGAUCUUCAUCAUUGAUUUUUUCUCCAAUGUUCUCCAAUUCAAUAACCAACUUAUUGAAUUCAUCGAGGUUCUCAUCAAGAUUCUUGUCCUCUUGCAUCUUGAACCCUAACAAAUUUGGUUAUUGAGAGAUUUUGUCAUAUAAAGACUCUCCAAUUUCAACCAUAAGCUUGCUGCAAUUGUUUCCUUGUUGCACUUCCUUAAAACACUAUCACUAAAAUAUAAUAUCAUAGUGCUAUAUGCUGUUUCGAGCAUCUCCAUCUUCUUUGUCUCUAUCAUGGUGCUUGGAAGGUUUUUUUUUCUCCUUGUAGUACUUGAGUAACCUUUUGUUGAACCAAGAUUGCUCUCAUAAGUUGCCCCCAAAUGUCGAAGUCUCCCUUGCCAUUGAAUUGUUGCAUCUCAAACUUAGUUGUAGCCAUUUUCGACAAUUCCACACUCACUGCACCAAUUGUGGGAAUAUGAAGAAGAAAUAAUCAACCAAUUUAUUGAAUUCAAUGCACAAACUCCUUGUAGGUGUAAUACUACCCACACAACAAAGAAGAACUCACGCACGCAAACACCAAAGAAACGAUAAUCAAGACACAAAGUUUUAUGUGGUUCAAUCCAAACUGACCUACAUCCACGAAUUGUAGCAACAAUUUUCAGUAUUUACAGUCAAUGAUACAAGGCAAAAAAAAUAUUAGAACAAUUUUCCUCGAUGUAAACCCCAAAUUACAAGCACUCUGUCUGCCACCCUUAAUAGCAGGCUAUAAAUCUAGUUUGAUUUACACCUCGUUUCCUAUUCCAUAUUUUUCCCAAAAAACCAAAUUUGACUAGUUACCCAAUCAAUAUCAUAAGGAAAUAAAUCCCCUAUUUACUUUUCUAGAAACAAAAAAUACAAAAGGAAAAAAUCAUCUUGACUAACCAUAAAAUCUACUAUGAUGAUACAUGUCCAGAAACCAAAUUUUUUCACAUAGUUGAAGGAUUUGAUCCCUUUCAUUUAUGGGUUCUCCAAUGGUUGCUAGGUUAUCAGAGAUAUUCAUUACUUUAAUAAUAUACUCCAUCAUUGAUAAAGAACUCUUUCUUACUGUUUGAAAUUCUAAAUGAAGUUGCAUUAUCUGAGCUUUGAUGAAACUAAAAAGAUUUUCUCUAAUGCAAUCUAUAACACCCAAGUAUUUUUUAGAGAUAAUUUAGGAAAAUAAUAAUAAUAAUAAUAAUUUAAUUAUUUAUUUAUUUAAUUUAAUAAAAUGAAAAAUGGGUAAAAAUGUAAUUUUACGAAAAAAUACCCUAGGUGUAAAUUAUAAAUUCUGUUCUUCCUGUUCUUUUUUUAAUAGUGUUCCUGUUCACAAAAUUCCAAAGAACGUAAAGUUGAAGUCAAAUUUCAGGGUUUGAAGAACAGAUCUCUAUGGGUAAGAUUCUAAUCCCUAGAUUAAUAUUUUAGAUUCAUUAUUUAAAUUCAAACACAUUAGAUAUUUUUUGGAAAAUCCAAAUCUAGGUUAGGGUUUGUUUAUUUAACUUUUAGAUCAAAAUGUUUGAAAUUUUUUUUUUCAAGUAUAGGUUGAUUUAUUGAUGAAGAUAGGAAAAUUUGAAAAUUUUCAAUGGAAUAGAAAAAUAAAUAAAUAAAUUUAAAAUGAAAAAAAAAAACAGAAGAAAUCUCAAUUUUGAUUAAUUUGAGAGAACAUGUAGCAUAUGCAUUACAAUGCCUUUUUACAAUAAAGUGAUGAUUUAAUCUGUCUGAAAUGGAACAUCUAGUAAUGUGGACUAUAAAAUAACUUGUUCAUAAUGAUUCCAAUUGACACCCAAUGCAAGGCUCGCCUAUUAUCCUAUCAAAUCACCCAAAGAAUCCACUACUUCCAAGUGGUGGAACCAUAUAGAAUGAGGUAAUUGCAGGGGGUGCAAUCCGUGUGUGCUAGAAGCAUGACUCAAAAAGUACACCAGCCUAAGAAAAUAAUAAUAAUAAUAAUAAUAAUAAUAAUAAUAAUAAUAAAGCUUGAAAUAGCCAAGACAUUAUUACUACUUAAAUAACUAAUGAACUCCAAAGAAACUUCUCCUACAUGUAGAAACGUCAACAUUAUCUCUUUGAUCUUGACAGUGUACAAUUCCAACCUCUCUUAGCUUCUUGGGUCCUUUUUCCAGUGCUCAAGCUAAACUCAAAGGGGUGAUAUAGAUACUAGAUACUUGUAUUUAUGGUAUUGAGGCAUUGUAUUUGUGUGCACACUGUUGGAAGAAGAAAAGAAAAAAAAGAAUUUUAUCGAAUUUUAUAAUGAAAUAAAAUUGCAAUUUAAUUAAAUUAGUAAUGUGUUAUUAGAAAAAAAUUGGGAAUUUAUUAAUUUGUUUAAAUAAGGAAUAAAUUUUAUUUCAAUUAUAGAUAAAUAGUAAUAGUUGUUUCUCUUAUGUUAUAUUAGGUGAAGAGUAGAUUUUCCAGAAUUAUUUUUUCUCCCACGUUUUCGAGGACUUCUUUUGAGGUAAAGGAAAUUAAUGCAAUUGCUUUUUCUUUUUAGAAACAAAUUUUUAUAUACAUCAUUUGGAAAUGUUUUGAGUUAUUAUUCAUUUUAUGCUUAGAUCAAAUAUGUUUUACAUGAAAAGUAUGUUAAAACUUUACAUUUUGUUUAUAACAGAGAAAUGUGGAGAUAUUAUAUUUUGCAAAUUUAAAUAAUUGAAAUUAGUGUUUGACUCUGGUUUGUUUGGCCCUUGUCAACGGGAUAUAAUAGUUGACCUUUACAUAUCUUGGUAGGGAAUGUAAUUGAUUUGGACCCCACCCUCCAAGGGUUUGGUUAGAAGUUACUAGUACUAGUAGUGUUUGGUUCGGUCUAUCUUAAAGGAACAAUUUGAGGCUAGCCACCUAUUUGAAAAGUCCCACCUAACUGAGCACCAUUUAAUGUUUGAUGAUCAUAGUAAAUAAAUGAUUUGAAUGUUUUGAUUGAAUUUGAUAUGAAAAUGUUUGAAUCAUAAAUGAAAGUAUACAGUGAAAAGUUUUGAAUGUAUUGACAAAACUGACUCAAAGGUUUACGAAAAUAAUGAGUUAUAAUAUCUCUUAUUUUGCAAGUGAACUUAAAAUAUUUGAUCCAUGAACUGCAUUAAUGUUCCUUAUUGGGCUUUGAGCUCAUUCCCCUUUGUUGAUAAUUUUUCAGGUACCCUUAGUUCGAGCGAGGAGUGAUGGCUAGGUCGAGGAAUGGUCAUCAUUAGGAUUUUGCUUAUGAUGUUAUUUUUGGAUAUUGUUAGCUUAUAAGUUUAUGUUCAUUUGGCUUAUUUGAUUUUUGGAAGCUAUUUAGAUAUUGAACUUUUGAAUUUUUUAUGAUAGUUUGAAGUUGAAAUUUGAGAUUAUGAAAAUUUUUUAUAGCACUUGAAUUGUUUGAGUUUGCAAUCUAUUUAUAAUGGAUUUUGGUUGAUGGAUGUUUAGUUUUAAAGUUUAGUUUUGAAGAUUUUAAAAUUUGUUCCGCUACUCUGAAUAGAUAUUUGGUAAUUGGUAACUUCUAGUUACAAGAUAAUUGUUUGGGUUAGGUUACACUUUAAGCCCUCGGGUUUGAGGUUUGAAAUGACCGUCAUGCCCUUGGAGUGGGUCUUGGGGCGUGACACAAUCCAUAUUGUAUGUGAUGUCUGGUAUCCAACUACAUGUCCCAUGAUUUCAGGAGUAAGAGUGGAGUAGAUCUAGCGUAGGAUCAUUCGGUCAAAGCGCCUCAUGAAAUGAAGUCUGGAUUUAUCUCACCAGAAUUUAUUUCUUUCAAACCAUCAAUGUGGUCUUCAAAACCAUUGGCAAAUACUACAUUUUCCAUUUAUGUACGCCAUAAAAUGUAGUUGUUUCUACCUAGUUUAAUGGGGAGUGUAUGAUUAAGUUCCUACAUUUGAGGAAUGCUACUAUUUGAAGAUGAUACAUGUGUGACUCUAGCUUGUUGUCCAUACGACUCUGUUGAAGAUUGCUGCAUUUUUAAGCCUUGAUAUCUUUCUGUAGAUGACAAUAUUCUUGGAUCUCGAGAAAUUUUCUAGAUUGCCAAAUUGGCUUUGAUACCAUGAUAUCCAGCAUAUACACUGUUCAAAAAGAGAAAAAAAUGAAUCACUAGUUUUCAUGCAGUACUGUUCUUAAAGUAACAACAUAUACAUGCCAAAUUGACUUUUAUACACUUCUUUCUAACCUACUGCUAUUAGUACUGCCUUUGGUUGUUACAACAACUUGCUAUAUUCCAACUAUUUUUAAUUGAGAGAACAAUUGAUUUGUUUGAGAGAUUAGUUGACUGUUUGUUUGUUUGGCUAUCGAAACUGUCAUGAACGUUUUUUUUAUAAUAGUUUUCUAACCAUAAUAUAUAAAAUUGUAUUAUUAAAUAAAAAUCGAAAUGCUUUACUUAAACAAUAUAAAUUUUUGUACUCACAAGUAUUGUGCAUAACAUUUAAAUUUGACAUUAACAUUUUUUUUUUUAAUAAUUAAUUUCUAGUUUGAUAGAUUUGGUAAUUUUAUAAAAAAUAAUUAAUGGGUUAUAUCAGAUUUAUAUUACCAAACAUAUACACUUUAAGGACAAAUAGUAUACAUCAAGAUUGAUCAAAGUAAGGCAGAUCUACUUUGAAGACAAUGCUCUACAAGCCACCCUAAUUUUAUAAGUGUCUAAACUCUUUUUUUUCCCCACUUGCUUGUUUGUGUUUUAGGGUCAAGUCUUGUUUCUACUUAGUUUCAACCCUAUAGUAUUUUGAACCAACAAUCAUAAAGUAGAGUUUAAUUUAUAAAGAUUCUUCCUUAGUUCACACCCAUCCAGAACCCUCUAAGAUUGAUCCCUUCAAUAGGACCUUUUUCAAGAGAUGGUAGGAAAGGACCUUUUUUGCCAUUAACAUUGUGAACUUGGAAGAUAUUUUGAUUGACCUAAAACUUAAGGAAAAUUAUGAAAAUUUGCCUAUAUAGGAAUUGGAGAUAAAAAAAAGUUAUGCAUGUUGUCAUUGGUACACUUUCUAAGGAACAAUUUGAUGUAUAUCAUCAAAUAGUUUUCAAAAAUUGUUCUCAAAAAUUGUUUUUCAGUACCGUUUUCUAAAACAGUUACCAAACAGGGUCAUGUCUAUUUAGAUAUAAGUACUCUUGGUUUUUGUUUUUAAAAUCAGAAAAUUCUAUAUAAAAAUAGAGCAUCUUAUGCAAAAAGUCUAGAUUUGCUUUAUCUAUUUAUAAAUCACCUUUAGAAAUUUAAAAAUGUGAGUUAAAUUUUUUUUAUUACCUCAAUUUUUGUAGAUAGUUUUCAAAACCAUUACUUAUUCAAUAUUAAUGUUUAAAAUUUCUUAUAUAGGAAAGUUAUAGUUAUUUUGAGGAAACUCAUUCCUUCACUCCUUGAGGCCCUUAAGAAAAUGUAUUCUUUUUCCUCUAUGAAUAAAAGUUGGGUAAGAAGACUCUUAUUAAGCUGUUGAAAUUAUUUUAAAAUGACAUAAUGAAAUAUUUAAUUAUGUUAAACUUGGACCAUAAAUGACAUAGAUACAUGUUAAAAUGAUGAAUAUAAAAAUAAAAAGGACAUAAUAACAUAUUAAAAGCAAAAAUUAUAAUGUUUUAAAUUAAUUUAAUAAGAUAUUAAAUUACUAAUUUUUUAAUUAAAAAUUUUUAUGUAUGAAUAAUCUAGAUUCAUGAACCGGAAAACAUAUUUUAAUCUCUUUGGUUCAAUGAACUUUUGUAAAUUUCAAGUAAUAUUAAAUUAGUGAGACUCUUAACAUAUCAAAACUAAAGUAAUGAACAUCAUUGUUAUAUUCCUUUUAUUUAAUUCAUGUAAAUAUCAAUAAUCAUUUACCAAAUUAAUAAAUUGUGAAAAAAAUUAAGAAUAUGGUCUUCUUAAUAAGUAUCCAUAGUCAAUAAUAUGAUGUUCUUAAUCCAAAUUUUAUUUUAAUUUUAUGAGUCUAACAUUUGUGCAUUACUAAUUCUAAAUCUCUUUUACAUUUUUUUGGGACAAAGUUAUAAUCCUUUUAAAAUAUAUCAACGAACUAGGGGAUUAUUUAAAAAAUGAUACAUCAGAUUUUUUUUCUUGUAUCUCUUUACAUAAAAAGGAUAGUGUGAUAAAACAUACACAUUUCAUUCCAUUUCAUUUUUAUUAUGGUAAACAUAUAAAAUAUUAAAUAAAGCUACAUUUUCUCUCUCUACACCUGCUUCAUUUGAAAAGAAACUAGAGAAGCAGGUAUAGAGAGGAAGGGUACAUUUAACAUUUCCAUAAUUAGUAAACACAUUCAAGCAAUCAAUUUGAUUUCAUUCUAUUUUCUAUGUAGUCGUUUAAUUAUUUAUGUAUAAUUUUUAUUCUUAUGUAGAAGUUAUCUCAAAAUUGCCCAAGGUAGAGGGAAAAAUACGAGGUACUUUAUUUCUUAGUCUAGCUUUUAUGGAAACUUUAACAAUUUAUGGAUUGGUUUCAUAGAAGUACUAGCAAAUCAUUCAAUCCUAAUAAUAUGUUUGAAUUGUUAAUUGCUAAUAAGAAGCCAAAAAUUCUCUUUUGAAGUUUAAUAAAAAUUUUAUGUAUAUAUUUGGAUAAUUUAUUAAGAAGUAAUGACUUGAAACUUUUUUCUAAUAUAAUAAUCAUAAAAACAUUGUUUCUCCUAUAAACACUAUAUUGGCUUAUAUAGGUUAAUGUUAACAUUUCCAAUAAAUAAAAACUACUCAUUAAAAUAAGACUUAAUAGGAUUUAAGCUCUAUUUGGAAAAAAAAAUUGCUUUUAAUAUUUUUUUUAUAAAAAAAGUCUAAAACAUGCAAUCAUACUCUUCUACAUGAUUUAUCAAAUGUCUUUCAUCAAAUGUGUCAUGCGAUGAGACAAUUUUUAUUUAAUUAAAGUUUAAAGUAUUAAAAUAUUCUAAUUUUUAACAAAACAUAUUAAAAUAUAUUGUUAAACAUAAAAUUUCAUCCCACAACAAUCUACUAUUAGUGCUAUGUUUGUUUCUCGUAAUAUUUGAAGGGAAAUAUAAAAAAUCGAAAAUAGAAAGGGAAAGUACAAAAAGAGAAAAAUGGAAGGAAAGUAAAAAAUGAAUUUAAAAUUAAUAAAUUAUUAUUAUAUGUUACUUCAAACUUAUUUUAUUUAUUUUAAUUCUUUGAUACAAACAUUAAAUAAUUUGAAAAUGUUAACUUUUUAAUUAAUUUUUAUUUGAUUUUCUUGGACAUUUUUUAUAGAAUAGUUACAUGUGAGAAAAUCAUUUUUGGUGGUAUUUUUUUUUUCUUUUCUUGAUACUUUCUAGAAACUAAACAUAACCUAAAACACGAAACCCAAAAGUUAUCCCAGCAAGCUCUUUGAGUAACAAUAUUCAAUAAUUUAUUUUAUUAAAAAUCAGGAAACAAAUAAUAAAAAUUUUCACCCAACAUUAAAGUCAUCAAGGAUAUAUUUAGUACUCUCACACACCUUAUAAAAUAAACAAGGAAAGAGAGAAAUGAGGAGCACAAAUUUAAUUAUAACAAUUUUUUUUUGCCAUAUUUUUAGUUUUCAAUAAACUAAUGAACAUAUAGAAGAAUUUAAAAAUGCAUAAAUUUUUUAUUUUAUUUUUUUCCAUCAAAGCCAAACAAUAACUAGAAAGAAAGUGUGAGUUAACUUCACAAGCAAAAUUAAUUCAUAUGUUAAGAGUUGGAAAAAAGGUCACAAGAUAAGAAUUCUUCCUCUCAUAUUUCACUUAGAGCUCGUCCUAAUGUAUAACUCUUUAAUUUAUUUAAUAUGAAUAACAGGAGAAGAGUCGGAGAAUGUGAUUCUAUUACACCAAAACUCAAUAUUCUUCUAAAAAACCCAUUCACUCAAAACGUUCACAACAAUUAAAAUUAGAAUAAAAUAAUAAAUUUGUGAUAAAAACAUAUAAAAUUAGAAUAACUUAAAUAUAAUUAUAAAUUUUAAUUUAAAUAUAAUAGAUUCAACUUCACAAUGCACGUUAUGAUGAUUAUAUCAAUACUUUACAAUUCGAUUUUUUUCUUGCAUCCCUUUUCUUGCUUAGUAUCUCUCCUCUUUGUCACACUCUUAUAUUACAAAGGACUAAACUAAUUAACCUUCCCAAAGAGCUCACUUACUUCAAAAGUGGGACUCUCAUAAGGGAUAUCCCAAGCUUCACCUUGAUCCUUGAUAAAUCAUCAAAGUUCAGGUCCAUAAGUAGUGACGGUUGCAUAAAGAAAAAUAUUGAUAUUUUAAAAUUUUCAAUUACUUUUUCUUCAUUAAUAGUUGGCACAUAAAAAAUGAUAAAAUAAGUAAAAUAAUAGGAAUGUCAAAAGUGGAAAAGUAAAGUUAAUUGGUUGUUGGCUUUGUGGUGGACUUCAUAGUCUACUCAUGGAAAUAUAUUACUCACUUGACUUAGACUUUAAAAGCUAAGAUCCAAUUCCACUCCUUAUCGUGAAAUAGGUGGUUCAGAUUAUGUAAAAUUGUGGAUAUGAUUUAAAGCAUUAUAGUAAAAUGUGGCAAGGAAAGUGUACUAAUGUGUUAAUAAUUCAGUUGGAAAAUUUAUUAAAGUGAGAGCAUUGUAAUCUUUCUUUAUUGUCCUCUAUUUUUAAGCCUUAGCCUAGUUCAUUCACUUGUCCCCAAAAUUGGAUGAAGAGCAUUUAGACUAAAGAUUUCUAUAGUUUAAAUGCAUAAAAUCUAACUUGAUUAAAAUUUUAGAUGUUGAAUCUAACUUGAUUAAAAGCUUUGACAUGUGAAUAAAAGUUUUAUGUAUUCUCUAGAAUUAUUGUUGCAUCCAAUGCUAUUUGCACUAAAAAAAUAAAAAGUCGAGUGGCAAUCAUCUUAUUGCCAACAUUGUGUUCAUAAUUCUUUGUUUAAAAAUUUAUUAAUCUUAUAUUCCUUCCAAAUCUUCUCAGAUAUUAGAUAAAAAGGUUAAUUCAUACAACCUUUCCAUAAAAAUAAAAAGUCAACAAUCUAGGUUUUUAUAACUUUUUAUGAUUAAUUUUGAUUUAUUAAGUAAAUAUUAUUUUUUAAAUCUUAUUAUUUAGCUAGAAAGAUAAAUCAUGUUUAAAAAAAAUAUAUAAAAUUAUUUUAGAACAUGUAUAAGGAUAUUAUUAUCAAUUUUUUCCAUUUAUUUUCCAAUUGUUACCAAAUGCUGAAAUGUUAACAAAUAUUCAUUCCAAGCUUACAUUUCUAGUAUAUCCAAAUAUUGAAAUCAUCAAAUUUAUUCCCAUUUAAGAAGAAUGGAAAUAGAAACAAAAUAUUUAUUUCCAUUCCACUCUCACAUACCAAACAUGAUCUUGUAGUCUAUCUAUGGAAAUACCUCACUCUAACCCAUUACAUAGAAGUGUGGGCUAGACGGGCUAACAUCUUAUGUUGGUUAGAAAAUUAAAGCUAAAGAUAGUCUAAUCUCUCUUUUUUUUAUCUUCUAUUUUGCUAAUAUACCCUAUUGAUUGACUAAGUCAAAAAUUGAAUUAAGAUCAUUUGCAUAGGACUAAAAGUGGAGGUGUCCAUUAUUGGGCCGGGCCGCCCAUUUUGGUCGUGGCACAGCACGCCAAAAGGCCGGGCCAGGCUGGAAUGGCUCAAUACUGUAGCAGGUUGGGCUGGCACAGCCCAAAAGGAGCGGGUCGUGCUGGGCCUAAAGAAACAGCCCGCACGGCCCGCCAUGCCCAUGGGCCACAGCCCGCCAUGAGGUUACUAUGUUCACAUUGAUCCCUUUACUUCCAUUCUUAUUGUUUCUAGCUCCCUUUAAUUUUAAAGUAUUGCAUUUGGGGCAGGAACUUCUUGCCCUAGGAGAAAGCAUUGGAAAUGUUAGCACAGGCUUGUCUGAAGAUAUGGUCUCAAAGUGUUUGACAAAAACAACAUACCAUUCAUCAGAUCAAAACCAGGAGGAAGCAAUGUGCACAAUAUGCCUUGUAAGAACUGUUGCACCUUACCUAUUUCAAUUGGACAGGGAUUGACUUUCAUUUUAGACCCAAAACAUUGGUAGCAACCAUACAAGUUAAAUGGUGAAGCACCCACGUCUUGAUAGCUUCAUAUAGAAGAUUAUGAUUAAAAUCAUCAUGGUCCAUGAUUUUGAAUGUCCCAAUCUAAAUAUUUCCUCCAGUGCUCUUAAACAUUACAUAACAACUUCAAUUUGAGAAAGGUGUUGCUUUAGAAACUCGUAGAUCCGAUGUCCUUUUGUUGGUUGUAUUGGAUAAGCAGGUUUUGUCUUAGGUGGGUUCAGUAAGAUAUUGGGUCCUAAUUUCAUACUUAAGAGCCGCCUCAUUUAAAAUAUUUGUUGAACUGGUAGAAGGCUGUUUAUUUGGGUUCAAAAUUUCCACAACUAAAAAACAUUUAGAUUUUAUGGACCUGUAUGGGAGUUCCAUAUGAUAACCUGUAUGGCAUGAACUUGACCAAUGGAACUCAAGAGGCAAAUAGAACUUGGGAGGUGUUGGAUCAUGCUCUCACAAAUGUUGCAUUAUUUCUUUUUAGCUUUUAGGAAGCCUGUCUCAUAACUGUUGCUUUGCAAUGACAGGAGGAAUACAAAAGCAAGGAAGAAGUAGGGAGAAUGAAGAACUGUGGUCAUGAGUACCAUGUGGGCUGCAUCAGGAAAUGGUUGUCAAUGAAGAAUUCCUGCCCCAUUUGCAAAGCACCUGCUCUUGCAAAUGGUUUGAAGGAGGAAUGAUUUAUAUUUUAGCAAAAUGGGUGGCCCAUGGGCCACAGCCCGCCUAGCACGGCACGGCCUGGCCUAGCCCGACAUGAUUAGCCCACAAACCUAUGGGCUAUGACGGGCCACCUCUUUCCUUGCAUGGGUCGGCCCGACCCAACACGAUUUUUAAGUGGGCCAUGCUAGCCUGGCACAUUGGCCCAUAAUGGCCCGAUCAACAUCGGGCCGUGCCGGGAGGUUUGUAAAGACUAAAUGUAUAAAAUCUAACUUAAUUAAAAGCUUUAAACAUUCUUUUACCUUAUUUAAAUUUCUUUUGUUUAUUUUUAUUUUCACUUUUUGGAAAAUCCAAUUGGAUCUUAGCAUUCAAUAUCAUCAUAAUUAUCAUAUUAUAAUGUGUGAUAUACUAGGAAUUUUUAUGCUUUAUAUUCAAAAACUUGAAUUUAUCUAUAAUGCUCUUAUAUAUUAGAAAUGCAUUUUUUUAUAUAAAUAUUUUUCAAUGAAAACACUUAAUAUUACCUAUGAAGUGGCAAAUUUAAGCAAAAAGACUUAAAAACAUUACGAGUAGUUUUUACAACUAUACAGAUUUUUCCAGGUAAGAUUCUAACCUUAAAUUAAUAUAUUAUAUUCAUUAGUUCAUUUUGAACACGCUAAAUAUUUUUUGAAAUUUUUUAAUUUAGAUUAGGGUUAGUUUUUUUUUAAUUCUUUUUAAUAUCAAAAUAUUGGAAAUUUAAGAUUUUGGGUUGAUUUAUUGUUGGAAAUCGAGAAAUCUUAAUUUUUUAGAUGAAAAAAAAAAUUCUUUGGAAGAUUUCGAUUUAGGCUAGGGUUAAUCUAUUUAAAAUUUUUAGGUCAAAAUUUUGAAAUUACGAAUAUAGGUUGUUCCAUUGAUGAAAAUAGGGAAAUUCAAAAUUUCUUAGAUGAAUAGAUUUAAGCAAUGAAAUUUCAAAAUUUAAAUGAGUAAAUAAAUAUAUGAUUAUAUAUGACUUAAGGGAUUGGAAAAUAUUAGGAAAAAUAAUAAUAAGAUUUCAUAGGUGAUUUCUAAAAGUAUAUAAUAAUAAUAAAUAGGUUUGGAGAUAGUAUGCACAAUGGCCAUUAAAAAGAAAAAAGAAGAAUGUGUGGUGUGGAAGAAUGAUGAAAAUAAUAAUAUUAAUAAUAAUAAAGAUGCAUGCACUAUGCGUGGAGUGUGUGGGUGUGAUGAAUGUGAUAUGUAUAGUUAAAUAUAUUAUAUUGGUAUUUGUAUGAGCUUGUUAUGGUAGUUGUGUUUGGAAAAUAUGAAAAUAAUAUAAUAAAUUAGGUAUAAAUAAAAUGAGGUGAAGUACAAAUUAGUUAAAUUUAUAGAAUUAUAAUUAGAUUAAUGAUAAAUAUUAAGUUAAUAAGUAGCAUAAAAUUUAAUUAGUAAAAUAAAUUGUAGUUUAAUUAAAUUAUGUUGUGUCCCAAGAAAUAAAUUGAAAAUAAAAUUUAAGUUUUAUAUGAAUUAAAAAUUUAUUAAUUUUUUUAAAAUAGGAAUAGAUUAAAUUAUCUUUCAUAAUUAAAAACAUUAAUUUGAAUAUCUAAAAUUUUAGAAUUGUCAAACCUAUAAUUUUAGAUAAAUAGUAAUGGUUAUUUCUCUUAUACUUUGUUAGGUGAAGAGUAGAUUUUCCAGAAUUAUUUUUCUCCAAAGGUUUGGGCUAUGUUUGGUUCCCGGAAAAUGGGAGAGAAAGAAAAUUGGAAGGAAAAAUGAAAGGAAAAAAAAAGGUAAGGAAAGUAAUAUAAAUUUUUUCACUUGUUUGGUUAUCCAUGAAAAAUUCAAGGGAAAAAAAAUUAUUCUCUUUUGUUUGGUUAACUAUGAAAAAUAAGUCAAGAAAAAAUGAAAGGAAAAUAAAUUCAAUAAUUUGUCUAAGAUGAUUAUCAAUUUAUAGAAUAAUAAAAUAAAUUUUAUAUUCGUAUUUUCUAAAAAUCAGAGGAAGACCCAAUUUUCCAAUCGUCCAAUUCCAGAUGGACCAAAUCGAAGAUCCUUCACAAUUGAAGGGUCUCGAAUAAAGCAAAGCACCAAGCCUGGGAGAGCUGGACGCUGCGGACGACGGGGAGGGGGAUGAAGAGGUAGAGGAGGGACAUGAGGCUGGUGGCGCCGAAGAUGAAGAGGGUGGCGGCAGUGGAGAGACUCGCGACAACGAUUUGGGGGAGGGAGAGGAGGGGGUCAGAGAUGGCGACGACAACAAUGGACUUCAUGGGCUGGAGAGGCAUUGGGAUGCUGAAGAGAAAGCUGAUGGAGAUGUUGUAGAGAGCCGUGAAGAUGAGGGUUGUGGAGAGGUCCAGGUGGUUGACCAGUGUGAGAGUUAGGACGAUGGGUAUGUAGGUGCCCAGGUCGCCCACAGAGCCCCCGAGCUCGACGGAGAGAGUGGUUUUGAGACGGAAGGAGCUGAACCACCGCCGGCUGGGGCGGAUGAGAGGGGUGGUGGUGGUGGUGGUGGAAGGUGUGUCGUCGGCCAUGAAGGCAGCACAGUCAAAGGACUGAGUUUGUGAAUUCAGUUUUGCGGUGAGAGAGAGAGACGGGGGGCCGGGGGGGAGCCAUAGCAACCGGUGAAGAGCCCGAUAAAUUUUCCUUCCUCUUUUUCUCUUAUUUUCUCUAUUAUCUUUUAAGGAAAAUAGUAAGAAAAAUAUUAUGAUAUUUUCCAUCAUAUUUUCCUUUAUAUUUUUUUUCCAUCAUAUUUUCCAUGUAAUCCAAACUAAAGAAAAUGAUUUUCCACAUAAUUUUUUUUCCUUUCCUUAGCAUUUUCCAGGAACCAAACAUAGCCUUGAAUGACUUCUUCUGAGGUAAGGGAAAUUAACACAGAUUUUGCAAUAGAAAAUAAUUUAUAUAAGUAUGUGUGUGUGUGUGUGUGUGUGUGUUGUUUGAAGUAUGUAAUUGUUAAUUUUGCUUUUAAGCAUGGAUCAAAUAUAUUUUUGUAUGGAAAAAUGUGUUAUAACAUUUAUUUUGUUUAUAUCCAAAUACUUGGAGAUUUUCUGUUUUUGUAAGUUAGAAUAAAUAAAAUAAAUAAUUUGACUCUAGUUUGUUUGGCCUUUGUCAACGGGAUAUAAUAGUUGACCUCUAGGGGUUUAGUUAAAGGUUACUAGUACUAGUAGUGUUUGGUUCCAUCCACCUUAAAAGGAACAUUUGAGGAUAGCCACCUAUUUGUAAAGUUUUACUUAAAUGGGCAUUAUUUGCUAUUUGAUAACCAGAGUGAAAACAAUUGAAAUGUAUUUGAUUUGAAAUGGAUAUGAUAUGAUUUUUAUAUAUAGGAAAAUGUUUGUUGAACUGUUUAAAUGCAUUAACAUGUUUAAUUCAAAAGUUUUAUAAAUAGAGUAUAUGUUAUAUCUCCUAUUUGUAAGUAUAAUUGAAAAUAUUUUAUCCAUGAAACUGUAUUAAUAUUCUUUAUUGGACUUUGAGCUCAUUCCCCCCCCCCCCCCCCCUUUGUUGAUAACUUCUUACGUACCCUUAGUUCGGGUGAGGAGUGACGAUUAGGAGGGGAAAUUGGCUUGUUAGGACUUUUGUCAAAACUCUUUUUUAUUUUGAGCAUUGUUUAGAUGUUAAAAUUUAUUUUCCAUUAGAAUUAUUUGAGUUUGGAGUUAUUUGGACAACAACACUUGGUUUGAUGUGUUAGUUUAAAAAGUUGUUAUAUGGAGAUUUUAGAAUUUUUGUUAUACUACUCUGAACAGAAAUUUGGUAAUUAGUAAUUUUCCAGUUAUAAUACAAAUGUUUAGGUCGUUUCCACUUUGAGCCUUUGGGCUUGAGGUAUGAAAUGACCAUCAUGCCCUUGGAGUGGGUUUUGGGGCAUGACAUAAGUAAUGAAACUAAGAGUUUUGAUGAUUAUACUUUGAUGAUACAAGAGCUAACAAUUUGGUAAAAAAAAAAAAAAAAAUUGAGUGGUAGUUUUGUAAGUUAUGAGAUUAGACUCGAUGAUAGAAAAAAAAAACAAAACAAAACAAGUACCAUGUGAAAAUAAAGGAAAAUGAGAGUCUCUUGUGUAACUAGGUGAUAAAUAGUGAUUAAAUGAAGGAAAAUGCAUAUAUUUUUAAUUUUCAUAAAUCUUCCUUUCAUUAUUGUGACAUACUAUCGUACAAGAUGAAAUAAAUGUAAACUAAGAAGCACUAAUAAGCAAAGUUAAAAAAAUAAAAAAUAAAAAAGUAAUAUACAAGUCUUGCUUUAUAUGUAAUCAAAAUCCUCUUUAAUGUUAUUUGUGUUUUAUAUGCCAUUGACUUCAUGAGAAGUUUCAAUUAAUUAUUUAUGAAUUAAAAUAAUAGAUAGAUGUAAGGAAAGAGAAAGACUAAUAUGCUUAUUGGAAACAUAGACUUUUAGUAAAUAGAGAAAGAAUAAUUAUCCUAUUUUUCCCCUAUUUCACACAUGGCAGUGAUAUACAUUCAUAAAACUUUCUAUGUUAUUUAGCAAGGAUACAUUACCUUUUAGUAAAUAGAGAUGUUGUCAAGUUAAGUUAAGCCAAUUGAUAUUGAAAGCAUAGACCUUGGACAGUUAUCCUUUCUUUUCCCCUCUUUCACACAUGGUAGAGACAUACAUUGAUAUUUCUAUGUUCUUUAUAAAGGAAACAUUACUUUUUUCUUUUCUUGGUUGGGUCAAGUCAUUAGAUGACUAGGUAGAGGAGAAACAACAAACUAACAAUCCUAGACCUUAGACUAUCAUUUUUUUUCUCUUUCACACAUGAUAAUGGUCUUAGUCCACAAAUUUUUCUAUGUCCAUUACCAAAGGUAGGGAAUCUUCAUUUUUAUCUUUCAUGUUGUCAUCUUUCGUCUUUAAUAUCUCACAUGCUGACUUAUUCCACCUUUAACUUAUAAUAUGGUGGAAGGCCUAUUUAUCAUAAAUUAUAAGCCAAGUAUUUGGAAAAUUUAAAAUUCUUUUUAGCAAGACUAUCAAGUCUUGGUGUUGAACUACAUUUUUCACUUUCAUCCUCACUUGAUGGAGAGACUCGUUUUUUAUUGUGAUAAGUUGAUUUUUGAAAAAGUUGGAUUUAUUCUUUUAUAAAAAUUCUCUACAAAAUUUACAUAAAAAAUUUAUUUAAUAUAUAAAAAUUUAAACAAAUGCAAUACAUAUUUCCAAUACAUACAACACAAUUUUUUAUAAAUUUUUUUAUUGGGCAAAGAUUUUUCAUAUAACUUUAAUAAUGUUGGAUCAAUUUGUUAAAGUUUAAUUAAAUCCAUUUUAUACACUUAAAUAAAAGAAAUUUGAAUUUUCAUCUUAGUACUUACAAGUUACAUGAUCCACUCUUAAUAAUUUGUGCAAAUUUGUAGAAAAUAACUUACCUAUGGUUUAUCAUCCUAGUGCCUACACAAUCUAUGCUUAAUAAUUGGUGUAGAUAUGUGGAGAUUUAAAUUUGUAUGUUGAAAUUUUAAUUAAAAGAUUUGCUUUUACUUUUCCACGCUCUUUCCAAUUGCUCCAUAAAACAAAUUAGAGGCUUUAAGUUUAUGUUACAAUAUGGAGUUAUAAAUAAACCUUUUUUUAAGAAUCUUUUUCCUAUGUUAACUACAACUAAUAUGUAAGUUUGAAGUACUCCCCAAAUGCAUUUGAUUAGUAACUAAUUUGAAAUUACAACUUUACAUCAAUACUUCAUAAUGGAUGUUAUGAUGAUUACAUCAAUACUUCACAAUCUGAUUUUUUUUCUUAAUUGUAUCACUUUUCUUGCUUAGCAUCUCCUCUUUGUCGCACUCUUCUAAUGCAAAGGAGUAAACUGAUUGACCUUCCUAGAGAGUUCACUUACUUUAAAGAUGGGACUCUCAUAGGGGAUAUUCCAAGCUUCAUCCUGGUCCUAAAUAGAGCACACAAGUUCAAUAAUAGUUACCGCAUAAAAAUGAUAAAAUAAGUGAAAUAACAGAAAUAUCAAGAGUGAAAAAGUAAGGUUGAUUGUGGGCUUCAUAGUUUGAAAUAGAUUACUCACUUGACUCUUAGACCUUAAAAGUUAAGAUCCAAUUUCACUCUUUAUUGUGAAAUAGGUGGUUGAGAUAAUCUAAAAUUGUUGAUUUGAGUUAAAGCAUUAUAUUGAAAUGUGGGAAGGAAAGAGUACUAAUGGGUUAAUAUUUCGGUUGGAAAAUUUAUUAAAACAAGGGCAUUAUAAUCUUUCUUUAUUAUCGUCUAUUUUUAAGCCUUAGCCUAGCUGAUUGACUUGUCCCCGAAAUUGGGUUAAGAGCAUUUGGAGAGACUAAAGAUUUCUAUAGGUUAAAUGCAUAAAAUCUGACUUGAUUAAAAAUUUAGAUGUUGAAUCUGACUUGAUUAAAAGCUUUAACAUGUGAAUAAAUGUUUUACGUAUUCUCUAGAAUUAUUGUUGCAUCCAAUGCUAUUUGCAUUAAAAAAAAAAAGUAAAAAAGUAAAAAAUUGAGUGGCAAUCAUCCUAUCACUAACAUUGUGUUCAUUAUUCUUUGUGUAAAUUUAUAGUGAUUUUUAAAUUUGCAAAGGAGAAUCUAACAAGCUUAUUUUUAGUUUUCCAAAUCCUUUUUUCCACUCGUUCCUCAAAAUCUCUUACAAUAACUAUAUAGUGCGACAAGCAUAUUUGGAAUUAAUGCUAGAAUAAGGAAUGGAAAGGAGAAAUUCAUUCUAUUUCUUAUUCAUUAUAUAAUUACUUUUGGAUUGCUUGUUUGAGAAUGAGAAUAAGAAUAAAAUAAUUAUUCUUAUGGAAACCAAAGGAUUUUUUAUUCUUCUUUUCCAUAUGAUACUAUAAUUCAUCAAUAUUUUCAUUUCUCUUCGAAUGCCAUACAUUAAAUUUUUUAUUAAGGCAAAAAAAAUUAUUAAAAUUUUAUGAAAUUAAUAUAAUAUUAUUCAAAUGAUACUUCAAAUAUCUAUUAAUUCCUUCAAAAUCUUCUUAGAUAUCAUAUUACAAAGUUAUUUCAUUCAACUUUUUUUAGAAACAUUUUGGUAAAAUUUUACAUGAAAAAAAAAAAAUGAAAGCCAUUGUAAAAAACAUUUCACAAACUUUAAAAACUUAUCCAUAGAUGACCUUGGAAUUUAUGAUAAUUAGAUAUAUCAUGACUUUUGCAUGCUAUGAUGAAACCUACCAUGUAAGAAGGAUAAAUUAUAAUGAUAGUUUUAUUUUUUUUUUUAUUUGUUUAUUUUUAGCAUUAGGACCUUUGUGAUAUGAUGAUUAAACAAUGCAAGUUGCAACAUAUAUAUAUAUAUAUAUACCAUAAAUAGUGAUUCAAUAGAAGAGUUUGAUAUUUCUAUUUUUAAUUUUUUAAUUUUUUCAAUUUUUUAUCAAUGUUUUAUUAAUUGUCAUUAUUUAAUGGUUACUACCUCUCAGAGUAUGAUAAGAAUGAUUAAAAAUAAUAAUAAAAAUACUAAGAGAAAAAAAUAAUAAUCUAAAUUUUAUUUAGUUGGAAAAGUAAAAUUGAGUUCUUGUGGACUUUCCAAUAAACUUUAUAAUCUAUGAAUGGAAUCAUCACAAUCUCUGCCAUUACAUAAAGUGUGGGAGAGAAGACCUCGGAAUCUUCAAAGUCAACAAUCCUGUACAAUAAAAUCAUAAUAAAAAAUUUAUAAAUACAAGACCUUGUUUUUUAUGAUAAUUAAAUAUGUCAAGAGUACUACUACUACAUGUUUUGAUGAGGCAUAUGUGUAAGAGGGAUAUGAAGUCUAGGUAAAAGGCUUAAAACAAUUAACGGUCCUUAUAAUCUAUAAGUACUACAAUUUUUCUUUUUUGCAUUUCUCUCUCUCUCUCUUUUUUUUUUUUUUUUUCUUUUGGGCAUUAGGGCUUUUGUUAUAUGGUGAUUAAACAUUGCAAGUUGUAGCAAUUAAAUAAAACAACAGUGUGCAUGAAGUGGAAAGGGAAAAACAAGAAUAAUCAUGUUAUUUUUUCUAAUCUUAUUAUAUCAUAAAUGGUGAUUCAAUAUAGAGAAGUUUGCAAUGGAAUUUAGACCUAUUUGGAACGAGGGAAUGAAGAGUUAGAAUGAAUAUUUCAUCAUUUUUUCAUCAAUUUCUAUGUUUCAAUAAGUUAAAUAAUGGUAGGAAAGAAAUAAGAAAUGAUUUUUAUAGAAAUGUUCCACCCAUAAGUGAGAUUUCAAUUGAUUUUCAUUAGGGGGUAUUUUGAUUUCCUUGGUAUAGGAAAUGAUAUAUAAUAUCUUGAAAUUACUAUUUUAUCCUUAUAUUUCUAUUAGGUUUUUAUUACUUUUUACAAUUUUUGUAUUUAUUAAGUAAAUAUUAUUUUUUAAUCUUAUUAUUUAGCUAAAAAUAAAACUCUUAAAUCACAUUCUUUUAAAAUAAACAUAAAAAAAAAAUUUAAAACAUGUGUAAGGGUAUUAUUGUCAAAAUUUUCAUUUAUUUUUUCAUUGUUAUGUUGGAAUAUAAACAAAUAAUCAUUUUAAGCUUAUAAUAUUCCUAGUGUAUUCAAAUAGGAAAAUUGAAAUCACCAAAUUCAUACUUACUAAAGGAGAAAUAAAAAUGAAAACAAAAUAUUUAUUUUCAUUCCUCAUUCUUACGCACCAAACAUGCUCUUAUAGUUUAUCCAUGGAAAUAUAUCAAUCUAACCCAUUACAUAGAAGUGUGGGGAAGACGCACUAAUGUCUUGUGUGUGUUGGAAAAUUAAAACUAAAGAUAGUCUAAUCUCUCGUUCUUUAUCUUCUAUUUUGCAAAUAUAUCCUAUUGAUUGACUUAGUCCGAAACUGAAUUAAGAGCAUUCGCAUAGGAUUAAAAGGUUUGUAAAGAUUAAAUGUAUAAAAUCUAACUUAAUUAAAAGUUUUAAACAUGUGAACAUUUGUUGCUAAAGAUGCAACAAGUGGGUCAUUCCAUCUUGAUCCCCCGGUAGAUUAGCUAAAUACACUCUUUCCCAAAAGCAAAAUAGAGUGAGGCAAGGUAAGAAAGCAGAUUCCCAUACCCGCUCCAUAACUCUCCAUUGUUUAUUCUAAAUUUUAAAUUAUAUAAAAAAAUAUAAUUUAUAUAUAAAUAAAGUAAGUAUUUCACAAAAUUUUAUAUUUUGUUGUUUAUAAGAAAUAAUAUUGAAUUUUUAUUUUAUAUGUUUAAGAAGGUUAAAGUGAAAAAAAAUUAAUUCAAUCAAAUUUUAUUUUCAUUUAUAUACAAAGGUGGAAUAGUAUUAUAAUAAAAUGCAUCUUAGGUUUUAAAAAAUAAAAUUUCAAACCUACCCUUCAUAUGACUAUGUCUCCUCCAAGCCUAUUCCAUGCUUUAGAGCAAGGUUGGACUUUGUCUAUCAUCCUAAUGUCUGUCUAUAUACAUAUUCUAUUCUCGAUCAUUUGUGUAGGUAUGUUGGUUAUAUUUGAUUUUCAAAAGAUUUGAAGAAAGAGGGAAAGUACAACAAAAUAAAAAGUGAAGAAAAAUAAAAAAUAGAUUUAAAGUCAAUAAAUUAUUUUUAUAUACUAUUUUAAUUUUUUUUACUUAUUUAACUCUUCUACGUAAAGAUUAAAUAAUUUAAAUAUAUAUAAAUUUAUUAAUAAUUUGAAGUAUAUUUGACUUUCUUUUUCUUUGUACUUUCUGAAACCAAACGUGCAUAGCCAUAGUGAUUUAAGAGAUUUGAAUCUUGUAUUUUGAUACCUCUUUCAAUUGCUCCUUACAAGAAAUUAAAAUUAGGGGUAGAUUUUUUAAUUUUAUUUCAUAAAUCAACUAGAACUAGCUAAUAUAUAAGUCUAAACAAAUGUAUUUCUUGUACCCAAUUUGAAUUUACAAGCUUAGCAUUGGUGGUAAUGGCUGGUGUUCUUGAGGUAUAAAAAAAAUAAAAAAAUUACUGAAAAUUGACUCAAUCCAUAUGGUAACAAUUUAAUAAUCAUAUCUAAAUGACUUAACACGUGUAUCACCUAUUUAAUAAAUGAGGUAGAUUGACUUGUUUAUAAACUGACGUGGAUUACCCAUAAACCUUGCAAUACUGUUUACACUCUUUAAAAUUCUAAAGCUUAAUUAAUUUAAUUAAUUAUUUUUAAUUACAAUAUUUUUGUAUGAUAGAAGAUAAAUUAAACUUUUAAUUCUAUACCUGUUUAGAAUUUUAUUUUAUUUUUAUUAUAAUUUUUUUAAAUAUUUAUAGUUAUUUAAAUAUAUAAAAGUUUAUUUUAUUUUUUAUUUAAUUUUUAAAUUAUAAAAUAUUUAUAAAUAAAAACUAUCUUUGAUUUAUAUAAUUUUAAAUAUAUAAAAUUAGUAAAUUUAUAUGGUUAAAUGGUUCAUAAAAGAGUAAAAACAUAUAUAAACAUGCCAUUUUAAGGUGAUUUUGUAAACAGGUGAACUGCAUGGAUUAGACAAGUUGAGCCAUCAAGCCAAAACAUAGGUUAAAUGAAUUCAUAUCAUUUCAUAUUGUCAUGUGAUGUCAAAUUUGCCCCAAAAUGGUUGAGUCAACUGUAUCAAAAGUCUUCAAAAAUUUAAGAAAAAACGAGUAGUGGGACCUUACUAACCAUAGGAUUAUACAAUCUCUCUUGAUAAAAGAAAAAAAAGAAAAAUUGGAGAAAGUAUAUGGAAAAAAAAAAAAUCAUUUAAUCAUAACAUGUGUUAAGGGACGAAGUCAAUAGAGGUAGCAAGUUGUUGGCUACCUCAACCACGUCUUCUUCAUAUCCAAAUCCAUUACUCUUGCUCUCUCAUAAUUCUAAAACCUUAGAGCUUGCUUUACUUCGAAUUCGUUCAGUAUUGACUGUUCAUUUUCUUGCUCAUCUUCCUUUUCCUUUUGGCUUUUCUCAUCCUAUUUAGCCAAUUUUUAUAGCCCAUUUAUACAUGAAUCAAUCCAUCUAACCUAUUUAGCAGGUUGACCCAUUUAUGAUUUAUUUGUUGUUGGGCUUCGUCGUAUGUGGGGGAGUGGGCCCCAUAUGCUGGGGCCCAAGUCAGUUGCAUUAAAAAAUAUUAAAAAAAUGGGAAAAAAAAACAAAGAGAAGAGAAGAAAGAGAAAAAAACCACAUUUGUCCAGAUUUUAUCAAUAACUUGAUUAUGCUUCAUAUGUGGUUCGAUUGAGUGAAAAUUUGGAGGAAAGGUUCGAAACUCGAGUAGGAACAAUAUGAACGGUGAAGAUCAGAUUUUGAGCUUGGGAAUUAGUGUUAUUGUCCGUGAACAGUAAUGACGUUUUUUUUUUUAUACUUUCUCCAAUUUUUUUUGUUUCUUUCACCAAGAGAGAUGGUAUAAUCCAAGAUUAUAUGUAUUUUUGAUGUAUUUGGCAGCCUUUUGAAGACUAGUUAUGAUUUUCAAACCAACACCAUGUGUUAAGGGACGAAGUCAAUAGAGGUAGCGAGUUGUCACAUCCUCAUUUACACCUUUGAUGACUUAUCAAUUCAACAAACCCUUUUUUUCUUCCUCAUUUGUCAGUAUUAAAUUUGAUUUUUGUAUUAGGAUGUCUUAAUCAAUUUAUGUGAGCUAAAUUAAAAGACAUCAUAUAUAAAAAAAAUUACGGUUUCUUUAUUUCUAAAAUACCUACAAUCCCAGAUAGAAGAUUCAAUCCCAUUAAGGUUUAAUGUAAAUGUAGAAGUUAAAAAUUAAUUUGAGUAAUAGUUAGUUCUCUCACUAACCAUAGGACAAAAACAAGGAAAGGGAGUGGGUGUAGAGAAGAAAUUUAAUCAUGACAUGUCUUUUUGUCAAAGCCCAGCAUACAGUAGAAGGCGGCUACCAGAGAAUUUCAUUCCAAGAAACAAAUGCAUUCACAUGGUAGGGCCAGAAAAAAAACCGACAACCCAAAGAAAUUUGACCCAGCAUAAAGUAGAAGGCGGCUACCUGAGAGUUUCAUUCCAAGAAAUAAAUGCAUUCACAUGGUAAGAAUUGAAAUGAGCACAAAUAGAUAUGAGAGUGCUUGGUCUUGUGUGAAUUCAUAAAAGAAAUCAGCUGUUGCGGAGCCAUGGCUGUACGGUCCUUUGAACAGCUUCUUAGCUUUCUUGUGCUUUUGCUGCUAUGUGUCAAACCUGGCCUUGGAACCACUCUGGAGAAAGUUGGGUGCAUAGAGGGGGAGAGACAAGCUCUCCUUAAGUUCAAACGUGGCCUCGUUGAUGAUUAUGGCCUUCUUUCCUUGUGGGGAGAUGAACAAGAUAAAAGAGAUUGUUGCCGAUGGAGAGGAGUUCGGUGUAAUAAUCGAUCAGGUCACGUCAUCAUGCUUCGUCUUCCUGCCCCGCCGAUCGAUGAAUACGGUAAUUACCAGUCUCUAAGAGGUGAGAUAAGUCCUUCAUUGCUUGAAUUGGAGCACUUGAAUCAUUUGGAUCUCAGCUAUAAUGAUUUUGAAGGCAAGCAAAUACCUUCAUUCCUUGGUUCUCUCAGCAAAAUGCAGUACCUCAAUCUCUCUUAUGCCAAAUUCGCUAAAACUAUUCCCACUCAACUCGGAAAUCUUUCCAACUUGCUUUCCCUUGACCUCAGCGGUAGUUAUUAUGAGUUGAAUUCUGGGAACCUGGAGUGGCUUUCUCAUCUUUCGUCUUUAAGAUUCCUUGACUUGAGUCUGGUUGAUCUUGGUGCAGCCAUCCACUGGUCACAAGCAAUCAAUAAACUCCCUUCUCUCGU
rnacentral:lncRNA from 1 species